AACUGGGAAGACUAAUCGCAGCAAAGAACGAUGUGAUGAUGAGGGUUGUCAAUGCUGAACGGCAACAAAUGAGAAGGCUGGGCCAAGUGGAAUGGUGGGUUUCGAGGGUGGAUGCUGUUAAAACUGGAGCCGAUGAACUUAUCACAGACGGCUCUGAAGAAAUUGGCGAAUUAUGUGUUGGAGGCUACUGUUCCAAGAACUGCAGGUCAAGCUACAAGUUCGGAAAACAAGUGGCUAAAAAGCUACAAGAUGUGAAGGCUUUAAUCGCCGAGGGAGUUUUUGAGGCGGUGGCUACUGAGGUGGUGCCCGAGAGAGCUCCGGAACCUGUAGCAGAUGAAAGACCCAUUGAGCGAACAGUAGUAGGCUUGCAAUCACAACUUGAACAAGUCUGGAGAUGUCUUGUAGAAGAAUCAGUGGGAAUCAUUGGCCUAUAUGGUAUGGGCGGUGUUGGUAAAACCACACUGUUGACCCAUAUCAACAAUAAAUUUCUUGAGAGUCCCACCAACUUUGAUUGUGUGAUUUGGGUCGUAGUUUCAAAAGACCUGCGACUUGAAAAAAUUCAAGACGAUAUUGGGAAGAAGAUAGGUCUGUCUGAUGAUUCAUGGAAGAAUAAAAGUUUUGAGGAGAAAGCUGUAGACAUCCUGCGGAGUUUAGGAGAGAAGAGAUUUGUAUUGUUGUUAGAUGAUUUAUGGGAGCGGGUUGAUUUAACAAAAGUGGGCGUUCCACUUCCCGGACCACAAAAUACUACCUCAAAAGUCGUAUUCGCAACCCGUUUCAUCGAUGUUUGUGGUAGCAUGGAAGCUGACAGGAAGUUCCUAGUGGCGUGCUUAUCAGAAAAGGAUGCUUGGGAACUGUUUCGAGAAAAAGUUGGGGAAGAAACUCUUCAGAGUCAUCAUGAUAUCGUUGAGCUAGCCCAAAUUGUGGCCAAAGAGUGUGGUGGUUUGCCACUCGCACUUAUUACUAUUGGUCGAGCUAUGGCCUGCAAAAGGACAGCCGAGGAGUGGAUACACGCAGUUGAAGUGCUAAGAAGAUCAGCUUUUGAGUUUGCAGGUUUGGGAAAAGAGGUGUAUCCUCUUUUAAAGUUUAGCUAUGAUAGUUUGCAGAAUGAGACGAUUAGAUCUUGUUUCUUAUAUUGUUGUUUAUAUCCCGAAGAUUAUGGAAUUCUUAAAUGGGACUUGAUUGAUUGUUGGAUUGGUGAGGGAUUCUUAGAGGAAUCUGACAGGUUUAGUGCAGAAAACCAAGGUUACUACAUUGUGGGCACUCUUAUUCAUGCGUGUUUACUAGAAGGGAUAGAAGAUGAUAGAGUAAAAAUGCAUGACGUUGUUCGUGAUAUGGCUCUAUGGAUAGCUUGUGAAAUUGAGGAGAGGAGACACUUUUUGGUUUGUGCAGGCGCUGGAUUAGAACAGGCACCGGCUGUUAGAGAAUCGGAAAAUGUGACAAGAUUGUCAUUGAUGCAAAACCAAAUUAAAAUUCUGUCGGAGGUUCCCACAUGCCCUGAUCUCCUCACUUUAUUUCUUGACUUUAAUGAGGAGUUGGAGAUGAUCGCGGAUGGCUUCUUCCAAUUUAUGCCUUCUCUCAAAGUUUUGAAGAUUUCAAACUGCGGGAAUUUUACUUUUCAAUUACCUUUGGGGAUGUCAAAGUUGGGUUCACUAGAACUUUUUGAUAUUUCACGCACCGAAAUACAAGAGUUACCAGAAGAGUUAAAGUUGUUGGUAAAUCUGAAAUGUUUGAAUUUGAGGUGGACAAGCAAGUUAAUUAGAAUUCCACGGCAACUAAUAUCAAAUUCUUCAGGGUUACGUGUGUUGAGAAUGUUCGCUACUGGCUAUGAAUGUUUUCAUGAAGCACCAGAAGACAGCGUUUUAUUUGGUGGGGGUGAAGUUUUAGUACAGGAAUUGCUCGGUUUGAAAUAUUUAGAGGUAUUGGAGUUGACCUUGGGAAGUUAUCAGGCUCUCCAAAUCUUUUUGAGCUCAAAUAAGUUAAAAAGUUGUAUUCGAUCUCUUUUCCUCCAGUUGGCCGGAGAUACAAAGUCGAUUAUUGAUGCUGCGGCUUUCGCAGAUCUAAACCACCUCAAUGAAUUAUAUAUUUAUGAAGGUAUUGAGUUGGAAGAAUUGAAGAUUGAUUAUACAGAGAUAGUACGAAAAAGGCGGGAACCUUUUGUUUUCCGCAGCCUUCACCGUGUUACCAUAUUUAGUUGCGGUAAAUUGAAAGAUGUGACAUUCCUCGUUUUUGCUCCAAACCUCAAGUCUCUUGAGCUAUUGCAAUGCGAUGCUAUGGAAGAAAUAAUCAGCGUCGGAGAAAUUGCUGAGACUCCUGAGAUGAUGGGACACAUAAGCCCUUUUGAAAAUCUCCAAAGUCUUCAUUUAUCGUAUUUACCAAUUUUGAGGAGCAUCUACUGGAAGCCAUUGCCUUUCACUCAUCUCAAAAAAAUGGAGGUACGUAGAUGCGAUCAGCUUAGAAGGCUUCCGCUCGAUUCCAACAGUGCAACAGAGCGUAAUGUUGUUAUUCGUGGAUACACACUCUGGUGGAACCGACUUCAAUGGGAGGAUGAAGCCACUCAAAUUGCUUUUCGUUCCUGUUUCCAACCUCGUUCCUGAGCAGUGGUCGCAAAAUUUGAUUUCUGGUGAGUGCGUUUGUCUUUUAAAAAGAAGAAUUUAAAAGAAAUUUAUUCUUGUCGUUUUCUUCACUGUUUUUAUUUGAUUUCUGGUUAGUUUCUUUCUCUCUCUCUCUCUCUUUGUCUUCUGCAAAUCACAAUUAAAUGUUGAAUUAAUGGAAUUGAUGCUCUGGUUUUUUACUUUUUGUUGUCAAAUUUUGCCCUGUUCUAUCUUCUUAGCGAUUUAAUUUCCUGUCAAAAGACGAGCGAGAAGAACAUAUAUAUGACUUAAACCAAUUGAUACUUUAUUUAUGUGCAUUGUAUGUAAUAAAUAUUAAGUAUACUUUAUUUUUGCCCUGUUCUCUGUUUUUAUUUCAGUCUCUCUCUCUCUUUCCUGUCUUCUGCAAAAUAUAAUCAAUUAUUUUCAAAAUAUCAUUGAUGAUUUUUCUGCUCUAAUGCUAUGUAAAUAGUAUGUUAAGUAAAACAUAAUCAAUUAUUUGUGUUUUAUCUCUAAUUAGAACAUCAAUCAGUUCAGUACCUCACAAAUAAUUCGCAAUAUCUACAAAAUACUAUAAUGGCUACAAAACAAAUCCUGCUUGCAAAUUGUCAAGGAUACCUAUCCGUUCGCUUGACAAGUCAUUUGAAUAAAUAUUGUUCACAUUCCUUACUCUAUCAAUUAUCCAAAGCACCAUCAAUGGUCCUCAACUUUAGUUUGAAUAGUAUACAUGCCAUCACCAUUACCAAGAAUCAAGCAUGGAAGAGUCAUUCUAUAGAGUUAAUCGAAGCAAGGAAUGAUGUAUCAGAAAAUAUUUGGUGGAGAAUUCAGCACAAACAUAUUUUGGAUGAUCAGAAUCAAUAAAACCUGGUGGUUGCGCCAUAUAAACAUCUUCGGAAAGCUGACCUUGAAGAAAGGCGUUAUUGAUAUCCAAUUGACGAAGAGGCCAGCCAUGACUAACAUCAAUACUAAGAACAAGCCGUACUGUGGUGGACUUAACAACUGGACUGAAAGUGUCAUAAUAGUCCACACCAGGCCAUUGAUUGAACCCUUUGGCAACAAGAUGAGCUUUAAACCUGUCAACAGAACCGUUGGAAUGUCUUUUAAUACAAAAAUCCAUUUGCAGCCAACAAUAUUGGAAGGGAUGGGAGGUGGAACAAGCUUCCAUGUCCCGUUACGAACAAGAGCAUCAUACUCUUCUGACAUAGCUGGACGCCAGUGAAGAUUUUUGAUAGCUUGCGUCACAGUUGUAGGUUCACAAUCAGAAGAAGGGCUAAAAUGAGCACGGAGGUUAAGUUUUUGUAACGGCUUGUGAAUCUUAUUUUUAGCUCGGGUAGUCAUAUCAUGAUGACUUGUGGGGCAAUGAUCUAGUGGAGUUUAGGAAGAUGAUUGAACAGGAAGUGAAGAAGUGCUUUGUGUAGAGGUAGAAGUAGGUUGGGAGGAUUGCUGCGGAGAUGUUACCGGUAGAGAAGAAGGAGCAGUACACGGUGGCAACUCCAGAGGGCCCACAAUAGAUGGAGUAGGUGCCGACAAUGGAGUACUAGGAAAUGAAACAGGAAGAAUUGGUGGAACACUUGCGUAAUUAGGAGUGGUAGAUGAGCUUGUAAUGAUUUGUAUGGAAAAACAAACUCUACAAAUUUAACGUGACGUGAAAUAAAAAUUCAACCCGAUUGCAUAUUUAAGAACAUCUCAAAUGAAUUGCUUACUGCUAUCAUCAUCAUUAUUGUCUAUAUAAUAAUGGAUCUUUAUUAUAUAUAUGUUUCCACUAAAAUAUAUUUAAUUAUUCUUUAUUUUUCUAUUGUUGCGUGUAAGAUUUAUUUGAGUUCUAAGUUAUAUCAAUACAAAUGUUAUCUUAUCCAUAAAAAGUUAGAUCCAACAAUUAUGAAAAUUACUAUAGAGUUGCUUUCAAUUAUUUUUUUAAAAUACCAGGAGUAAAUAAUAAUUAGUUCAAAUGGUGGAGACUAAAAUGCGUUCACCUUUAUUUUUUAUCUGUUAUUUACUUUUGUCAUUACAUUAAUGCACAUGCUAUACAUUUGAGACAUUCCAUUAAUUGCCAAUUAUGUAUGUGAGAUAGUAAUUUAAAUUAAAAAAUAAAAGUGAAAGUUAAUCCUAUGCAAUGUGAAUAAAUUUCUUUCCUUUUUCCUUUACUCUUUUUAUUUGACAAUAAAGUUUCCAUCUAUCAUCUAUCAUCUAUGUACACAAAAUUUCUGCAACAAGUACAAAACAUAAAAAUAUAUGAAUAUUAAGGGAAACACGCAGAAGUUCAUCAUUUCAAUGUUCAGUAUUACCAAUUUUGGCAUUAAGCUUGUACGAAUAUAUUCUACUUCGAAAGCAAAAUAUUAGACUCGUGAUUUUAAUUCAUUCAUUAUCUCUCAUUUUAAUCCCAAAAUAUUCAAGAGUAUCCAAGUUACCAUAAGACUUCAGAGGCUCGAGCCUUAGCCAGAGAUGGUUAAUUGAUAGACUAUGUGCCUGGGUCGAGCACUGGAAGCCUGCAAUGCAGACUGAUUGAUUUAUCAGUUUAACGUGUGCCAGGAAUGAAGAACUGGAAUAUCACCGUCAAGCAAGCACCCUGUGGAGCAAUACCAAAGAAUGCACAAUCUGGCUUUGCUAGGUGACCCUGGAGGCUUUUUGAAAAGUGCUUCAUGCUCACUUGCACAGAUUGAGCAUCCCCUCUGGAUAUUGCCCUCUCUGAUCGAGUCUGAGCACUCAAAUUUCGGUCCUCAGAUGGAGCUACAGCUUUCUCUCCAAUAACCAACAAUUUUCUAAACUCAGCACCUAGUGUGAUCAGAGUUGUUGAUAUUUGCAAAUGGAGAUCCCCAUAUUUGCAAAUGGAGACAUUUAACAAAUCACCAACAUGCUUCAUCCGGUCCACGAAAUUCUGCAACUGAUUCAAAUCUGGAACCUGAACCAGAGUCGGAGGUAUAUCUUGAGCCAUAUCUAAAGCAGUUUGAAGUUCAAGACCUUGAGCCCUUGACAAUGGUUUUGAAAUUGGAACAUCUUGGAUUACUGCAGACUUGUACCCCUUGGUUUCAAAGGUAAGGAAAGGCAUUGCUUGAGUACAAUUUGGAGGCAGCUUCUUCACCAAUUUUAUUUGGAGGCAAUUGGCAGCGGAUCCAGCUGCACCAAUUUCAGAGCAACUACUGACACUACUUCGAACAGCACACUGACGAAGUGAUAUGUCUACGGCAAAGGCAAUGCAGUCCUCAUUUUGGCUUGAGAUGCAGUAAUCAUCGAAGAGAGUUUCCUUGUGAAACUGGGCAACACAUUGAAUCCCUUCGCCACUGAGAAGGUUGUGGAGGAAGUAAGCUGUCUCUCUAGUGAGGAAGAGGUGGCAUACCUUCCCCAUUUUGUCUAGGGCAGGUAGGAAUCUUUUUUCUAAGAGAUUUACUUCAUUCUCUGUGAGAAAUGCUUUGAACUUCAUCCCUCUGUCUCUAUCCUCACUUAUCAGGAAAUAAGUUGAAAGCACUAUGAAGAGAGAGAGAGAGAGAGAGAGAAUUAAGAUAUAUAGACAAGAAAAUAAUUAGACGUUGAUCUUACAAACUAAUACUUCAAGCAGUAUCCUAGAAAGCUAAAAACUGCAAGAUGGCUUGAAAUUUGAAAAGAGCACAUGGUUUUCCUCCUUAACUUGAGAAAAUGUUUAAUAUAGUGCACCUUACAGAAGCAUUUAAGCAAUUAGAACUUUGCACAAAAACAUCAAGAAGACUAAACAAAUCAGAUGCAGUGUAUUUGUCCAAGCACAAAUUGCAUUUUGUCCUCAACUUUAAUAUUUAUUGAUGAGAAUCAAUACAGGUCCCUCAUUUGUUAUAGAAAGCUUUCUUGUAGUCUCACCAGUUAAUUCACAGGUCUAUAAUCAUCUUGCAAAGUUAAGGGCAUUUCUUUCGAUCUAAAGUCUUUGCAUCACCACCUCAUCACACGCCAAGCCAAUAUUCCAUUUACCUCUACAACAAAAAGUUUUUAAGUAAAUAAUCCUAAUGCACGCAGCCGAAUAAAAUGCAGUAAGAAUAUUCAACUUAAAAAUCUGAAAGCCAACUUGGUGAAUUGCCUCCUUAGGUGAAGUUCCAUGCUUUACUAUAGUUGACAGAACUCAGCAAAAGCUUCCAUACAACAGAUUUUGAAAAUGAUGAUGCCAAUAGAUACUCAUUCAAUCCAUUGAAACUCCAAAGGUUCAUUGUUCAUAGAAGUUUACAGAGUUUUGGUCAUCAAAUAGCUCAGACCUAAUCCCAAACAAAAAACGAGUGAAAAUUAGAUCACGAGCAGCUAAUUGUAAAUUCUAACUUAACUCUUCAUCUCCUUUGUAAACAAGAAACAAAAUGGAGACACGCAAAAUGAAUAUGGAGAAAAUUUGAACUCAAAUGAAAUGAGGGCACGAAAGCAAACAAAUGGCAUGCACAAAAAAACCAAGCCUCGAUAAAAAACUAAUUAACCAUUAAGAAAAAAAUUGGUCAGAGAAUGAACUCCAAAUUCAGGAGUCAAGCAAGAAGCUUUCAUUAUUUCAGAAGCUCCUGUACAAAUUAAUAAGUUAUGCUCUUUGGAAGCAAACCUAAAUUCCAAGAGAAACAGAACCCAAAAAAUUUGCAAUUAUACGCAAAGGAAGUGAAGCACAGGAUUCUAUCACACAUAGGAAUUGUAUAACAAGAGAUCGAUAUAUCGAAUUAGAAAACUCAAUUCGAAUUUGUGUCAAAAAUCAAAAUUAGAAGAUUUCACAUUUCGAGAGGAACAAGCAACAGAUGAAGUUCAAAAUUUCAGCCAUAACAUGCUAAAAAUGCUACACUUAACGGUUCAUUUUCAUGGAUUUUCUCGGGAAACAAACAGAAAAUUACGGUUUAGAGAGUUGACUGACCUUUUGGCUUUUGAAAUUGACCAGAUCGCGCGCCAAAUUGGAAGAGGGAAAGUGAAAGCGCGAGUUUUAAUAUGGGUAUUAGAUAAGGAAAUUUUAUUAGGUUGCGAGGGUAAAAAAGGAAAGAGAUAUCAUUAUUUUAUUAUCGAUAAUUAUUAAAUUUUUUUCCAAAAAAAAGAACAAGCAAGGAUUUUUUAUUGUCAUCACUAAGUUAAAAAAAAUUGUUUCAAAAUUACUUGAGUCAUAUCCAAUGGACCAACAAAGUAAUCGUUUUUAUUUUUAUUGAUUUUUGCAGGAAAUUAAUAACUUAAAAAUACUGAAAGCUACUGUAAAAAUUUUUAUUAUCAACCUCAUAAUUUUUUUUUUUUGGGGAAGAGAAUUCAAACUUUUUUUUUAUGAAUAUCGCUGUUUCGUUUGAGUUGGAUGUGAAUUCAAAUCCAAAUAUUCUUUGUUUUUCAAUUUUGAACUCAAUUUCUUUUUCUCAAGAAUGUUAUGCAGAAAUAAUUUUUACUAAAUCUUUUUUGAUGAAUUGUUUAAAUUAAACAAUUGGAAUAAGAAUUGUAACGAUUUAUCAUAAGCGUGCUAAUAUGAUAACUUGUUUUACGAAGGAUUAAUUAAUCAAUUAAUAUUAAAUUAUAUAUUAGUCAAUUAGAUAUGUGUUACAUUUAUCAUGUUUUGUAGGUGAUAGUACAUCAUUUCUAAAAGAAUAUAGUACGUUAAAAUAUUAUUUUAAUGAAGAAAAUUUUAUUAUUUUAUUAUUAGGUGACACAAUAAUAAAUGGAUUUCUGUAAGAAUUGAGAUUCUUGAUAUAAUUAUUACAUAAGGAGAAGUUUAGUUGGUUCAAUUUUGACGUGAUAAGAAGACAACACAGCACAGAAAACCCAAAUUGCCACUUCCACUAAUAAAAGAUACCUGUUUGAAAAGUAAUUAUAAACUAUCUUCUUUGUGUUAUUUCUCAAAACUUUUGUGGCACAAAUGUUAUUUCCAUUGACAACAGUACGAAAUACCACCCCUUUCACUUGAGCAGGAGCAAAGCAAAGGUAUGAUGAGCUAUCUCUGUAUAAUUGAAACGCCAUUACUAAACGAUUCUUGAUGAUGGGAGCCACCGUGCCAGCUUUGUCGCUGAUUUGCAUGAUUUAUUAGUUGUCCAGAUGGCGGAUUUUGUACUGUUACCUUCGUUUCAUUCUUCAGAGCCAUGUACUGUUCUAGGAUACCAGAGAAACCAAGGUGGCAUUGAAGUUGCCCUGGUGGUUAGUUUUCCGAUCAUUUUUUUAUUCAAUUAUUUAUGUUUUUAGAAAAAUGUAGGAAAUAUGUAGAAAUGUUGACAGCUAUGAUUUUGAAACUUUUGCCUAAAAUUGUUAUCAUUACUUGUUGUUUCUUAUUUAAAGAGAAAUUCUAGAAACAUGAAAUGAUUAUUCUACGCUUGUUUUAAUAUUGUGCUAUGAAGAUUACGAAGGUUUGAUUAUAUGUCACUAUCAAUUGCCUUAAUCGUUUGUCGUAAAUCAAUUAAGCAUUUUGAUGCGAAUGAUUCCCUAUUAAAAAAUUCAAGUCAGAGCUGAAUUGCAAAGUAGUUAGUCGUGCUUGCAAUUCAAAUUAAGUAUUGUAUUUUCUCCCUGAUUUGGUUGAUUCAACUAUGUGCAUUUGCUUAUGAACGUUGCAGUAUAGAAAUCGAAAUAUCUUGUCUUUUGCUAAGCCCAGAAGCAAAUUCUUUGUAUUCUACUCAUCAGUUUUCUUCAUUCUCUUUGUUGAAAUUUUAUCUAAACAGCGGUUUCUUCGAAUUUAUGCCUUCGCUUACUCUUUUAAAUUUUAUCCAAACAACGGUUUUGAAAUUGUUUUCACUACAAUACCUUAGUCUUUCAGAUGCUCCCGUCACUGAGUUGCCAGAAGAGCUAAAAGCCUUGGUAAAUCUUAAGUGUUUGAACCGGAGUACACAAAUUAUCUCUCUACAUUUCCAAAGCAAUUGAUUUGUUACUUUUCGAUGCUACAUGUUCCGCGAAUAUUCAGUUGUGGUUAUCUUGUUCAGAUACCAGAAAAUAGCGUUAUAUUUAGUGGUAAUGAAUUCUUGGUUUGGGAGUUGCUUAGUUUAAAACGUUUAAAUGUAUUAAGCAUCAUCUUGAAAAGUUUUUCUGCUGUCCAAAAACUUAUGAGCUUCCAAAAGUUUCAAAGCUGUACACAAUGCAUGGAGCUUGUAGACUGUGAUGAUCCAAAGUCAUUUGCCGUGGCAGAGUUGAAGCAUCUUGAAAAACUAGGUUUUUCAAGUUGUGGAAAUUUGGAAGAGUUAAAGUUCUGCUGUGUCGAAGUUGCAAAGGCUCGAGAAUGUUUUCGUUUGAACAGCCCUCACUGAGUUAAGAUGAAGGCUUGUCAUAAAUUGUGGGAAGCGACAGGUUAUUCAAAUAGAAAAAUUUAUGGAGAUGGAUGUUAAUCUUAAGGUUAUUCAAUUAGAAAAAUUUGAAUAAAAUUUAUGGUAAGUGCUUUUCCAUUUAUUGCAUAUUUAUAUCUAAUUUUUAUUUUCCUUUAUUGUUAAAUUUUGGUCUCUAUUUGUUGUUGUAUGGUGGCAUUCUUGUACAAUUAUUAGCUUUUCAUUUCUCUUCUCACAUUAACUGCCCUUCUGAUCAUGUAGGAUUUGCUGAUGCAAAGAGUCAUAAUUUGGGAUACAAAUGUAAGAAUUAGACAGAUGACAUGUUGUUUUGAAGCUCUCAAAGAAGGACUAAUUAUGUCAUUGAAAGCCUCCAAUUUUGUGAUUGGUUUCUUUUUAUUUUAUUUGUUGUUUUCUCUAUUUUCAGAUCACUUAAUUGUUAGUUGUUGUAAUGUAAUGUUUUAGUAUAGCAAAUUAUAUUCGGCCAAGACAGUGAUAGGAGGGCACAUUGUGCAUGCACACUAGUGGAUUUGGCAUGCCAAAUCCAAUUAGGAUGGAUAACACUUUAUAAGCAUUAGGCUUCUCUCAUACCUGAGUAAUAUAGAAUAUGUUUAUAAGUUGUGAAUCACCCUUUACAAGUGUUAGGCUUCUGCUAUACUCAGUGAUGUGAAAUAUAUUUAUAAGCACUAAACUUCUCCCAUACACUUUAUGUUAAUAAUAAUAAUAAUAAUAAUAAUAAUAAUAAUAAAAUAAUAAUAAAUAAACCCAUUUUAACAGACUCUUUUUUCUUUUUCUAUAUGAACAAAUGCAUUCUUCAAAGCAACUGUGGGGAGAAGAAGUGAGUAGAGAAGAACUGAGCCCCUGUCAUUCCCCUAAAACCUCACCAAAACCUCUCUUGUAAGCUUCUCGGAUUUUCUUUCUAUAUUUCUUAGGAACUCAUUUUUUAUUGAAUCACUUAUUUUGCAUGCUGCAUUUUUUGGUUGUCGUAUUUGUGUAUUAUCUUAUCUGGAAUGCUGUUAUGAUUGAUGGAACAAGUAAUCGAUUUUUGGUCUAAUGGAAGUUGAUUUAUUUAUUUAUUGUUGUUUUUAUUUGAAAUUAUGUACAAUUGUAUUUCAUUCAUUUCUCUCUCUUUUGCUUUUUUCCCCCCAUAUAUUUGUUAUGUAUAAUUGCGUUUCAUUUAAUAUUGAUCAUACUGUAGGUAACCAUGUGAUUGUAGAUGGGGAUUUCGAGUUUGUUGAAUAUUCAUGUAAGUGAAGUAACCGUCACAAUACUAGUGAAAUUGGGAGCUUUAUUCAUGAGUUUGUGGUUUUGAAAAGUACCACAGUUCAACUGGUGAAGGCUCCGUUUUGGGAUUCUUCUUUUUCUAGGCUGCAAUUAGGAUAUGUACAUGAUAGACAAUCUUUUGUUGGUUUAGCAUAUCUUCGCUGAUUUUGUCUUUUAUUCCCCAAUUUUAUAAUUACACACCAUGAAUGUUGGGUGAUUGUAUAGAAAAUUUGUGUUAUAACAAAAACAUUGUGAAGGAGUUUCCGUGCUAAUAGUUAGUGGCUUCUGUUUUAUUGGCAUUGAUUGGGUAGAUUACGUGUUACAGUGAUUCAAUUUGUGUUCCAAACUUUGCUUUAAUUUUCUGUUUUCCCCAACUAUUUAUGUCAAAUUUAAAUCCAGAAGCAUGUGCUGAUUUUUUCUUUUUGUAUUAAUCUGUGAAGUUUAUUUGGAAUGGAAGUAACUGGGUCGGGUCUAAUGGAUUAAAUUAUGACAUUGAGGGGAAGGCACUAAAAGGGUUUGCUUGACACAUUUGGUUCUGUGUUUACUCUGCAAGAAAUAACUUUUGCUUAUUGCAAUGCAGGGGGAAAUCCCGAUUUGGCUGGUGAAUUUCUCUGCAACAAACAGGCAAACACCUCAACAUCUUCUGUCCAUACUUCUGCUGGGGAGGCAAGGGGUAAAGAGUCUUCAAAAUCAUCAAAUAGUUACAUCUCUGAGAAUUCAUUUUAUGGAAAUGGAAAAUCUAGAGUUUCUAAUACAAAAUGGCAUCUGGUAUCAGGACGUACCGUUUCAAGUUUUCUUGGUAAAGAUUAUGUUAAACCUGCACAGCCAGCUAAUGGCACUUUUCUGGCAUCAAAGCCAUUGAAGUUGGAUCCAAGGGAGUUUCGCAUUUCUGCACUUUCAGAGAAGAAACUAAACCGACAAUCAAAGGAUGACCAUUUGCAGAAGGAUAUGGAAGAUUUUCUUUUUAAAUUGCUAGGAGAAGGGUUCCAGCUGUACAGGGAUGUGAUUCAGGAGGUUCAUGGUAACGUCUUAAAUAUAUUGAUGCCAAUUUAAUACAUAUUGUCCUUUUCAAUGUUCUUUCUUUCUUUCUCCUCUUUUUAUUAUUCUUCUUCUUCUUUUUUCUUUUCAUGUGCAUGUGAUCACUAAUUUGGUAUUAUUCUUGACUUGCAGAUAGUUGUGGAUAUGAAAUGCAAAAGGUAAGGGCUAUAUCUUCUUGAUGGAGGCCUCUGAUUUUUUAAAUCGCAUUUUCCUUUGUGAUUGAUAUAUCAUACCAAAGUCAAGUCUUAAAUACUGCUGUCAUAUGUUAAGGUUCAACUUCCAUUUUGAUUAACGUCGAUUUGCUACUGCUUCCAAAAGUGAGAAUGAGAUACUUUGGUUAAUUUCAGUAGUUGAACUCAAUGGAGUACUUUAUUUAGAUCUUCAUGGUUCAAAGGCCUGAAAAAACUUGCCGGUAUUUGCAAAAUGACAUCUGUGCUUUUAUUUAGACUUAUUAUUAAAGACAACAUUUUAUUUCAGCCAAAAAUGUUUGUUUCAAUUAAAGACUUGAACCAUUUUCAUUUAACCUGAUUGUGAUGCUUUACAUUAUGCAUGUUCCUCUCAAUCAAUAAAAGUUGAGGUCAUGAUUUUAUAUUUCUAUUUUGUAACUUGAAAUAAUUGGUCUGCCUGUUUCUGUUGCUUGAUAACAUGAAUUUUUCCUUCUGAAGUUAAUUUGAUCAAUAAAGUAAUUCUUCGGAGAGGAUAUGCCCAUUCUAUAGUCAUUUUCUUAGCUAACAUGUUUUUUCUUCACUCUUCAAAGCAUGUCUAAACUAAUUGAUCGCUCAGCGGAGACUUUGGGUGAGAAGACAAAAUUUCUUGGUAAAUCCUCUGAAAAGGUAUGCAUAAUUCCCGAGUAUUAAAUAAUCAUUGGUCAUAAUUUUUGUACACGACUCUUGUUUUGGAGAUCGUUAAAAGUGGUUGAUGAUCUAUUUUGUAAUAUCAUAGAGGGAUCAUGAAUUCCUUUUCUUUUCUGUGGCUAGGCAACACUUUCGAGCCAAGCUAAGGAAAUCUAUUUUAGGUAAUGUGAAAACUAGUUGUAGGAUGUAAUAGUUUAUUAUGCCCUGACAAUAACUUUUUGUAUAAUUGUCAGUUUAAUGAAUACAAGAGGAACUCUGUUGGCAAGUUCAUCCAUGAUAGAUGCUAAAAUUAUUUAUGCAUACCAGUUGCCUUAACUAAUUUUUCUCAACACUGGUAUUGAACAGGAAAAUGAAUAUGCAAUUUGUAUAUUGUGCCAUUGUGGAGAAUUUGGAUAUUCUUAUUUAAGUAACAAGGAGAGUAUUUGCCUCAUCUUUAAACAAUGAAUCUUUGAGAAAUGAGGAGUGGGUGAUUGACAGUGUCUUCAUGUAAAUGUUCAUUUAUUUGUAUUUUGAACUAUUAUGAGAAUCUUUGUAUGCCAAAUUAGUAAUACAAAUGUUCAGAUGAUUUUUCCUGUUGAUCAUGCGUGUGUAUCUGCACACAACCAUUGUGUACCACUUUAUUCUGAUGCACAAAUAUCUGUAGUUUAGAAGAAAAGAAAUAAUAAUCAUAUAUUAUUGCUUGGUUCAUGAUUAUUAAAUGAUUAUGGCUUUAGAAAAUCCACAAAUCCUUUGUGUUCAUAUAUGAAUGUGCGAAGUUCGCUAUAUCUUAGAUUACCUUCUUCCAAGAUAACAAGUUCAUAUAUUUUUUUUAAUCCUUUUUCAUCACAGUUGAAUUUCAAGUGUAAGUUUUGUUAUUAAUAGCUGGUUUCCUGUUAUUAUGAUUUCAUAAACAAUGAGAGGAUAUGUGCUCUACUUUUGGAUGGCCUCCACAUAAAAGAAAAUUGCAACAAUUGAAUUCUUCUGGAGGGUAUGGUAUUUAAUUUAUUUUCUCAGCUUGUUGUAAGACUAAUAUAUUUCCUUCAGUACGCACGGCAUGGUGGGAAGGGUUUUUAUUGAAAGAAUUAUGAUAUUUCUUAGACUUUGUUUUGGAAGGGGGUGGAGGGAUUUCUCAUCCAUGUAUGGUUACUUGAUUAGCUUUUGACUGUACUGUCUCCGUCGUGCAAAGGAAAAUCCAAAUACUAACGAAGGGGAAUUGCUUAGGCACCCAAAGGACAGAAAUGAAUUACGGAAGGAGGUUUUUGCUGCUUUAUUUAGUGCUGCUGAGAAAUCUGAUGAAUUUCCUGAAAUUACGGUGAAGACGGAGUGGAGGUCCAACGCAUUAGGAAAGGUGGUGAGUGAACCGCCAGAGGAAUUAGUACCAGAAUACAAGGCUAAUGUGGUGCACUGGCAGCAAGAUGACCAGACCUGUAUGUGCUCUUAUAUUAACUAUAUUGGCUGGAUUUGUGAGUGUGUUCAUUUUUGUGUGUAUACUCACUUUUGUAUUUAUGCAUAUUCACGUGUGUAGGAUUCUCGAUUUCUGCCACUUACUGGAGAACUAGUGGAAAGCUUUAUACUGAUAUAUGUGCUAUAUAACUAAUGGAAACUACAAUAUGAAUAUUUUCUCUCACCUGGAGAGCAGUGUAACUAAUAUAAUUUGUGGCUCUGGAAUACUGAAGAUUCUGCAAUAACUAAUGGAAAAUAUGAUAUGAAUAUUUUUUCUCACCUGGAGAACUUUGUAACAGAUACAUUUUGUGCUGGAAUGUCUAAAGAAUGCUUCAGUUUAUAUCAAAUAUCUUUUAGUUAGAAAAGAUAAAAUUCUCUGAAUCUGAAAGACUGAAACAUUUUGCAUAUUUCGUGAAAGGCAAGUAUCUGUAGAUACUAGCUCAUGCAUUGAGGUAAUAUCAAUGUUAAAGAAAAACAGCAAUAAUUUAUUAUACAGAAUUAGGUUCACUUGCUUUAAAUGCUGGUCUGAUCAACCAUAUCAACCUGUAAUGGUCCUGCAGAAAUAUAUAUACGGGGAGAAACUAGCUAAUUUUCCUUUCACUUAUGGGUUUGGUCUUUUUUUCCCCAAUUUUUCAGCUUUCCUUCUCCUGAAGUAUGUUAAUAAUUGCAGAUAAUGGCGAAGAGGACUGCUUCCAGGCUACCGGCAAAAACUUUGUGAAAGCUUUGGAGUUAAACAGGGAAUUCACUUACUGCUAAGGACAAUUGGUGGCGAGCUAUUUCAUUCAUUUUAUGUCCAUACAUCUAUUUAAUUAUUAAAGAUAAUGUACGCAUUUGUAAAUUUCAGAUUGUGUGUCUCUGAAAAUAACAAUAUUUAAAAUGUCUCUUAAAUUAUUAUAAAUUUUAAUUUACUCUCGAUUUAAAAUGGAACAUGUUGGUGAAAUAUUUUUUCUUCUUAAUAAAAUUGAAAUAAAUUAUGUUAGCAGUAGUUUGAAAUAUUUUAAAGAUGAUUAUUUUAUAAGGGAGUAAUAUGAAAUGAAAUUUACUUUUCAUGCGUGAAAUGUUGAAAAAGGACAAAGCAAGUGUCCCUGCUUUUAUUUUAUUUCAAAGUGGAGUCAUCUCACAUACUUUAGCUCUAUCAUUAGGAGCCGGCUAAGUUACGUUAAACGUAAUUUACGCCAGGCACAGCAAUAAUGACAAGUCCCAUGACUAGUAUUGUUGCUGUGUCUGACGUAAGUUACGUUUAACGUAACUUAGCCAAAGCCCUAUCAUUAAUAUAUAUUUAAAUUUAACACAUGCAUGUGGGUUACUUUUCCGUAAGUUCCUUAAUAUAUAUUUAACACAAAUCAUGGAAGAGAUGGGAGUAUAUCAAGAUGAUCAAAGCAUGAAACAAAAAUAUUUAAGAAGUAAAACACUGAAAAUGGAGAAGAGAUGCAAGCAAAAGAUAUUCUAAAGAAAAGCAAUCUAUCCCCUUUCGAGGGCAAACUUAUCAGGUUUAAGAAAAGUACAUGCUUUGGAUUGGUAGUUGCAGCCUUGCAGGAUAAUUGUUUUUGCCACUAUAUUAGUUGGAGGAGUUGAACCCAGUGAAGAAUGUUAUGGAAGAGCAAAUGAUAUUUCUGAUAGACUCUAUUUGAUUAUGUAGCCUGAAUAGAUGUCUUGUUGAAAGAUAUAUCAGUGCAUUAGUUCAUCCUUGUCUGUCAAUGUGUUUUUAAUGGUUUUUCCAAUUGUUUUUUUUUUUUUUGAAACUGAUUAAGCAUCAGGUUACUGCAUUACACAGAUAUAUAUACAACUGCUAUGACAGCAGGUCAUUACACUGAUAUUUACAAUCAGAUAUAUAUACAUGGGACUUAUAUUAUUACAUUUUUAUUCUAUGAAGUACAUGCCCAUCCCAAAUACCCCUCACGGAGGAGGGAUGUCUCUACUCCACUCGCAUUUCGCAAGGGAGAAAGACGUUUAUAGAAAUCUCCACACAAUUAUGUUUAAUUGGAGGAGGUUGAGUCCGUGGGGACUCGAACCAUUGCCCUCAAAGUCAUGCUUAACUUUGAGGGCAAUGGUCCACCACUGGGCUACAAGCCCAAGUGGCGGUUUUUCCAAUUGUUUAUUGCUAUAGAUUGAUUGUAAAUUGAUGUGAACUUAAUGUUGAAAUAUUUUCUCUUUAGUGGAAUGAAAGUUAAACAUUCAAGAUUAGAUUAUUCAAGGUCCACAUAGUAUGUGUUCCGUUGUGUUGUCUGUAAUUUUGCAUUUAAAUAAAUUUGAGUGCUGCCGUUUCGCUCCCACAAUCUCUCGCCUUUUUUUAAUUUUAAAAAUUAAAAUAUUAAUAAAAAACAAUAAAGAAAAUCGAAUCCUUUAUGUCAUUCCAUCUUUACAACUCUCUCUCACAAACUCCAUCUAACAGACUUCUCUCUUACUAUCUCGGUCGAACAAGACCAGUGACAAUGAUGACACGACCGCCGACGAUGAGAUGGUCAUCGCUAAAGAAUCGGGCCGUGUAUUUUACAAUUUCUUGGUUUGUGACAACAAUGGAAAACUCCUGAAAAUUUUGAAUUUGUAGUCGAGCAAAGGAAGAAGCAAGUUAUCUUCAAAGCAUUUUCCAGUAAUAGCUGAUGAAAUUUAAUACUUCAAGCUGGCCCUUUGCUGUCACAACUAGAUGCAUUUGCACUGUCAUUACAAUUUAUGGAAAUUAAAGUAAUUAAUGGUUCUAAUUAAUAGCUUCCCAAAAAACCAAUCUGCCCUUGUGAGAACCAAAGCAUUAAUUUCUUGUAAGAGCUGCAGAAGGCCAGAGAAUUUCAGAUCGUGAAAAGGAGUGUGUGAGUGAGAGAGAGAUCGUGAAAUAGUGAGAGACAAUGAGAGAGAGAGCCGCUCGACUGAGAUGGUGAGAGAGUUGCAAAAAUGGAGUAAGGAGCAGAUAAGAUUAUGUUUUCUUUAUUAUUUUUUAUUAAUAUUUUAAUUUUUUUAAUUAAAAAAGGGCGAGAGAUUUUGGGAGUGAAACGGCAGCAUGUUCCAAUAAAUUUUUACCAAAGUUUCUCUCGUGUUUCUCUCACCUUUCUAGAUACCAAGCAUUUUCCAAUAAAUUUUUACUAAAAACUUAGCAAGCCCUUGAAACUUUGGUCAAAAUUAUUGUUAUUAUUACUUUUAGAGGAAAAACUUUUAUUAAAACCUCAUUAACACAAUUCUUAAUUAAAAUUAUAAGUUUGUGUUGGUGUAAGGAUUUGCAGGAGCAAUUACUGCCUAGCCAAGUGUCAAAAGCACAAAAUAAAUCAAGAGAAAGUAGACAUGAAUUAGGAUCCAAUGAAAUUUAAAUCCCGGAGAAAAGAAAUAAUCAUGCAGAUUAUCAAGAUUUCAAUAAGGGAUAUUGAUAUCCUAUUUUGAUUAAUAAUAUCCUUUUACUGUGUUAACUCAAAAAAUAUGUAUAUUCUAAUAUUUUACAAUAAAUAGAAAUCUAAUAUUAAAAUAAAUGUGAUAUAUAUAUAUAUAUAUUAAAUAAUUUAAAUAUAAAAAAUAUUUUAAUGUUUUACAAUCUACUACACAUAUUUUAUUAAGUUAAUAUAAUUUUUCAAAUAAAUAGGGACAUAAUAUUAAAAUAAAUUUAUAAAAAUUUAAAUUAUUUUGAAUUUAAAAUAAUUUUAAUAUUAUUAAUAUGUUAGAUAUGUUUGAUUAAUUAUAAAAAUUAUUUACGCAAAUUUUUUUAAUAUUUUCAGUAGAUAUAAAUAUAUUACUUACAUUUUGAUUAUUUAACUAUUAUUAUUCUACAAUUAUUUAUAUAAUGUUUGCACUUAUUAGAAUAUAUUUAAAGUCAAAUCUUUUGCACUUCUACCUAGCUAGAAUUAUUGGACGCAGAGAAAUAAGCAUAUAUGCUUUAUAACUUUAGAAAUCGAAUUAUCUAUACAAAUUGAUUUUAGCUGGAAAAAAAGUGAGCUGAAUGAUAUAGGCGAUUAGUGUGGUAAUAUUUCAUAGAGUUAGACUAUUGAAUUUGGCACCCCUCCAAUCUUCUCAUGAUUACCUUUUUGAGUUAUUAAUACACUUCUAAUUUUUCGUUUAAUUUUUUUUAUUGUUAUACUCAAAGUAGUAUUGUGAUAUUUUAUAUUUCUUUUGCAAUCUUAUUAUUAUUUUACACAAAAUUAAAAAGUUUUCUAGGUGAUGAACUUUUGAGUUUUGAACAUUAAUCAUUGGCUUAAAUUUCAUAUAUUUUACAUUAUAAUUUGAAAUUAAGUACGAAAAUAUUUAAUAAAUUAUGAAAAGAUUAACAGAUUAUUCUAAAUUGAUACAACUUAUUUUAGUUAAAUAAAAAGUAACAGGUAAAAAAAAAAAGGAUUGGUUAUGAAAUUUGUUGGAAAAAAAUCUGUGUGUGUUUAAUUUUUAUUUGUCCUUAAUUGUAAUUUAUUUGAAGUGAGGUUUUAUAAGGAUAAUGAAGGGGUGCCAUAGUUUCACUCUAUUUCAUAUGGAGAGAGAAGUAAAAGGUACACCUGAGGUUAAUGGAAAGGACUUCGAAAGUUUCUUUUGAUUAUAAUACUGUUUGUUCUAAUUAACUUAAAAAAUUUUACUUUAAUAUUUUAUAAUAAAUUAAAUUUUAAUCUUAAAAUAAGUAUAAUCAUAUAUUUUAAAAUAAUCUUAAAAUAAAUACAAUCAUAUAUUUUAAAAUAAUCUUAAAAUAAAUACAAUCAUAUAUUUUAAAAUAAUCUUAAAAUAAAUACAAUCAUAUAUUUUAAAAUAAUCUUUAUAUUUAAAAUUUAUUUAUUUGUACAUAUUUUAUAAUAAAUAUAACACAUACUAUUAAAAUAAUAUAUAAAAAAUUAAAGUAUUUUGAAUAUUAUAUAAAAUAACUUUAAGAUUCUUAAUAUGUAAGAUAUAUUUUAUUAAUUUAAAAUUCUAUUUAAAAUUUUAUUAAUUUAAAAUUCUAUUUAACCCAAAGAUUUAUUUAAGAUAAAUUAAUAAUCAUAUUUUUUAAAUCAUUUCAAAUAUUAAAAAAUAUUUUGAUAUUACUAGUCUAUUAAAUAGAUUAAAUAUUUUUAUUAUUUUGUACUAAUCAAAAGUUACAGCUCGAAUGAUAUUAUGAGAACAGAAUUUUUAUGUCUUUAUUAAAAAUUUGGGUUUGUAUAAUUAUUUUUUCAAAUGUUAGGGGCAUAGCUGUCUUUUUACUUUUAUAUAUGUGAACCGCGGUGGUGAAAAAGUGUGAUUUAAUAUUAGUUAUUUAAAUAAUAUCUGAAUUAAAGAUGUACAGAGAAGAAAUUUCGGUGGGCAUUUUAGUCUUUUAACGAUUAUCAUGAUUAGGGAUUAGGUCCUGCUCUUGAAACGUUGGUCAGAAAAGUUCUAAAAUGCGUACAUUAUCUUUACUUUAAAAAAGUUAUUUUAUUUUAUUACAAAUUAAUGCCGACAAGAAAAAGCAAGAUCUUAAANNNNNNNNNNNNNNNNNNNNNNNNNNNNNNNNNNNNNNNNNNNNNNNNNNNNNNNNNNNNNNNNNNNNNNNNNNNNNNNNNNNNNNNNNNNNNNNNNNNNAUAAAGAUGAAGAAAAGGGCAAAAAAAUAUUAAUGAUUAACGAAAUCUCUAUCCAAAUUGAUUUUAGCAGGAAAAAAGUGAGCUAAAUGAUGUAGACGAUUAGUGGUAAUAUUUCAUAGAGUUAGACUAUUGGCACCCUUCCAAUCUUCUCACGAAUCCUCUUUUUGAGUUAUAUUUAUUUUAUUUUUAAAAUAUCUUUUUUCUCUUUUACUACACUUCUAAUUUUUCAUUUAAUUUUUUUAUUGUUAAACUCAAAGUAGUAUUGUGAUAUUUUUAAUUUCUUUUGCAAUCUUAUUAUUACUCUGCAUAUAAAUUAAAAAGUUUUUUAGGUGAUGAAUUUUUGAAUGUUAAUCAUUAGCUUAAAUUUCACAUAUUUUACAUUACAAUUUGAAAUUUAAUAUGAAAAUAUUUAAUCAAUAAGAAUUAUGAAAAGAUUAAUAAAUUAUUCUAAAUUUAUACAACUUAUUUUAGUUAGAUCAGAAGUAGCAGGUUAACAAAAGAAAGGAUUGGUUAUGAAAUUUGUUGGAAAAAAAUCUAUGUGUGUUUAAUUUUUAUUCGUUGUUAACUCUAAUUAAGUAGGUUAAAUAUUUUUGUUAUUUUUUACUUAUCAAAAAAUUUAAGAUCAAUAUUUUUAGUUACCAUUCGAAGGAUAUUAUGACAAAAACAGAAUUUUCACUUCUUUGUUAAAAAUUUGGGGGUUUGUGUAACUAUUUUUUCAAAUGUUAGGGGCAUAUCUGUCUUUUUACUCUAUAUAUAUGAACCAUGGUGGUGAAAAAGCGUGAUUUAAUGUUAUUUAUUUAAAUAAUAUCUCAAUUAAAAAUGUAAGGAGAAGAAAUUUCGGUGGGCAUUUUAGUCUUUUAACGAUUAUCAUGGUUAGGCCCUGGUCUUGAAACGUUGGUCAGAAAAGUUCUAAAAUGCGUUCAUUUGUCUUUACGCCAACAAUAAAAAGCAAGAUCUUAGUGUCCCACAAAAGCAAAUCGUAAUAUUCCGCAAUGGAGUUAGAUCCGCAAAAGCAAACAAAUUCUUUUAUUAAACUACAAAUUAAAGUGGAAUCAUUUACUAAACAACAAAUUAAAUUUGAAAUAUUUAAAUAGUCGUGCGUUAGACGAUUAGAGACUCUUAUUAAAGGCAAGUACAAAGUAGUGAAGAAUCGAAUAUUUCUAUUGUCUAGUCUUUUUUUAAAAAAAAUUUUCUUUUAUUAUUUUUCAGAAUAUGUUUUGGUGAUUACUAUUGGGUUAUUAUUCAGAGUUAUUGUUAUCUUCCGGGGCAGUUUCUGUUCAUCGAAUUCGUUAAUAAAAUUUUAAAACUCUUAUUGAAAGAAUGUUUUUCCGUUAUCUUUUUUAUAAUCUAAUUUUAAGUGUAAGAAGUAGUCAUUUUAGAAUUUGGGUCUUGAAUCGAAUUUCAAUGCAUGAAUUAAUAUUUAAAAAAAAUUUACUACAUGCAGUUUAGGUUACAAACUAUUUUUUGCAAAGUUGACUAUGAAAUUGGAGAAAUUAAGUAAUUUAUAAUGUUUGCAAAGAAAGAGACCAACAUACUUCCAAUUACACUAUAUCUCAAUUAUCAUAAUGUUAAGAUUAAACUAACUUAAAAUAAAAUUUAUUUAAAAAGUUUAUCAAACGCAGUCUAAUUUUAUUAACUUGAAGAGAUAAUAGUUAUAGAAAUUAUUAUUCUAACUUAAUUAGUAAAAGUGGUAUAAAGGUUAAGUGUGCACUAAAUCUAUUUAAAUUUUUUUCCAGUAUAACUAACAGAGGUCAUUACUAGAAUUAUAUUACUAGUCUAUUAGAUAGAAAAAAUUAUUUAUAUUGUUUUAUAUUUAUUAAAAAAAUUUAAAGUCAAUCUUUUUAAUUACUAUUUAAAGGAUAUUAUAAUUAAAAAAAUUUUAAUGUCUUCAUUAAAAAUUUAAAAUUUUAUAUGACCGUUAUCUAAAUAUUUAAAGUGUAACUGUCAUUUUCUCAUAUAUAUAUAUAAUUUCAUCAACCCCUUAUACUUUAUGUUAUUUAUAUUUUAUUCAUGAAUAUUAUAAAUUUUUUGAAAUAUAAAAUUUCGUUUAACCCUUUAUACUCAAUUUUAUUUUAUUAAAACCCUAGAGUAUGAAUUCGUCCCUAUAAUAUUAAAUUCUCAAAAUAACUUCCAUUUAAUUAAAAAAUAUAAUUAUUAUUAAAUGAAUUAUAAUUAUUAUUAUUAUGUUAUUAUAAUCAUAAAAAGCGAGAUCAUAUUCCACAAAAGCAUAAGUGACAAAACAACCAACUGGAUUCUUUUAUUAAUCAACAAAUUGUAUAGUCUUUUUCAAAUUGUUAUAAAUUGGUGGCCCCUACAAUCCUCAAUAAUUGUACCGAAAUUCACAAGUUGGUGGGCCCUACAAUUCUGUUCCGAUAAUUUAACUGUGCAAGUGCUCAUUCACAAUCUUCCAGGUCAUGCUCUUAACAAUUGUUUUUUCUUUUCUGCACGCCCUUUCAUGCUCUUAAUAAUUGAAGAGCAUACUUUUCAAAUGUGAAGCCGCAUCUAAUGUCGCUAAUUUAAUUUGGGAUUAAAUUACGGGACUAUUAUAUUGCAGUGUGCACUAAUUUUUAUGUUUAUCUAAACUCUUCAAAUUUAAAACAUAUUAUGGCAUAAAUAAGAAUGUAACAAUAACAAAAGAGUAAGAAAGUGUAGAGAAAAUCUUGCAGAAAUAUAAAUAAUAUUUAUUUUUAAAAUAAUAUUAAUAUUUAAAAUAAUUUUUAAUAUUUUAUGGUCCAUUAGAUAUAUUUUAUUAUAUUAAAAUAAAUUUUAUAAUAAAUAAAAACAUACUAUUAAAAUGAAUAUAUAUAGAAAAUUUAGAGUAUUUUAAGUAUUAUAUAAAAUAAUUUUAAUAAAAUAUGUGAGAUAUUCAUAUUUUAUUAAUUUAAGAUACCAUUUAACCUAAAGAUUUAUUUAUGAUAAAUUAAUAAUUAUAUUUUUGAAAUUACUUCAAAUAUUAAAAAAAUUAAUAUUACUAAUAUAUUAGAUAGAUUAAAUUAUAUAUAUUAUUUUUACUUAUUAAAAAAAUUUUAAAAUUAUUUUUAAUUACUAUUCAAAAAACGUAUUCAAAAAACAUAAUGAUAAAAAAAUCUUAACAUCUUUAUUAAAAAAUUAAAAACUUAUAUGAUAAAUUCUCUAAAUAUUUACGGUAUAUGUGAACCACGGUGGAUAAGCUUUAUUUAAUAUUAUUGAUUUAAAUAAUAUGUCAAUUAAAAAUGUACAGAGAAGAAAUUUCGGUGGGUAUUUUAGUCUUUUAAGCAAUUAUCAUGAUCAGAUCAGCCUUUAGCCUUCAAACGUCGGUCAGAAAAGUUUUAAAAUUAAUGCUAAAUUGUUUUUCACUUUUAACGUUGGUGGCCUUGAAAUUGCUUGUAUUUUAUUAAAAAUUAAUGCUAACAAGAAAAAGCUAGGUCAUAUUCCACAAAAUCAAAAGUGACAAAACAACCAGCUGGUUUCUUUUACUAAACUACAAAUUAAAAUAAAUUUUUUCGAUAAAUUACAAAUUAAAGUGGAUUCUUUUGAAUACAAAUGGGACAGACGAUUAGGCUCUUUUUAUUAGAGGCAAGUAAAAACUAGUCAAGAAUCGAACAGUCUUUUUCCAAUUCUUGUUUUAUUAUUUUUCAAAACUAGUUUUUGGUAAUUACAACCGGGUCAUUAAUCAUUAUUCAGAGUUAUCUUCCGGGGCAGUUUCUGUUCAUCGAAUUCGUUAAUAAAAUGUUAAAACUCUUAUUGAAAGAAUGUUUUUCCGUUAUCUUUUUUAUAAUCUAAUUUUAAGUGUAAGAAGUAGUCAUUUUAGAAUUUGGGUCUUGAAUCGAAUUUCAAUGCAUGAAUUAAUAUUUAAAAAAAAUUUACUACAUGCAGUUUAGGUUACAAACUAUUUUUUGCAAAGUUGACUAUGAAAUUGGAGAAAUUAAGUAAUUUAUAAUGUUUGCAAAGAAAGAGACCAACAUACUUCCAAUUACACUAUAUCUCAAUUAUCAUAAUGUUAAGAUUAAACUAACUUAAAAUAAAAUUUAUUUAAAAAGUUUAUCAAACGCAGUCUAAUUUUAUUAACUUGAAGAGAUAAUAGUUAUAGAAAUUAUUAUUCUAACUUAAUUAGUAAAAGUGGUAUAAAGGUUAAGUGUGCACUAAAUCUAUUUAAAUUUUUUUCCAGUAUAACUAACAGAGGUCAUUACUAGAAUUAUAUUACUAGUCUAUUAGAUAGAAAAAAUUAUUUAUAUUGUUUUAUAUUUAUUAAAAAAAUUUAAAGUCAAUCUUUUUAAUUACUAUUAAAGGAUAUUAUAAUUAAAAAAANNNNNNNNNNNNNNNNNNNNNNNNNNNNNNNNNNNNNNNNNNNNNNNNNNNNNNNNNNNNNNNNNNNNNNNNNNNNNNNNNNNNNNNNNNNNNNNNNNNNNNNNNNNNNNNNNNNNNNNNNNNNNNNNNNNNNNNNNNNNNNNNNNNNNNNNNNNNNNNNNNNNNNNNNNNNNNNNNNNNNNNNNNNNNNNNNNNNNNNNNNNNNNNNNNNNNNNNNNNNNNNNNNNNNNNNNNNNNNNNNNNNNNNNNNNNNNNNNNNNNNNNNNNNNNNNNNNNNNNNNNNNNNNNNNNNNNNNNNNNNNNNNNNNNNNNNNNNNNNNNNNNNNNNNNNNNNNNNNNNNNNNNNNNNNNNNNNNNNNNNNNNNNNNNNNNNNNNNNNNNNNNNNNNNNNNNNNNNNNNNNNNNNNNNNNNNNNNNNNNNNNNNNNNNNNNNNNNNNNNNNNNNNNNAUUGUGGGCACUCUUGUUCGUGCAUGUUUGCUAGAAGAGAUGGAAGAUGAUAAAGUAAAAAUGCAUGACGUUGUUCGUGAUAUGGCUUUAUGGAUAGCUUGUGAAAUUGAGAAGGAGAAGAGAAACUUUUUGGUUUGUGCAGGUGCUCGAUUAGAAGAGGCACCGGGUGUUAAAGAAUGGGAAAAUGUGAGAAGAUUGUCAUUGAUGCAAAACCAAAUUGAAACUGUGUCAGAGAUUCCCGCAUGCCCUCAUCUCCAUACUCUAUUUCUUGCCUCUAAUAGGAAUUUCAGGAUGAUCACGGAUGGCUUCUUUCAAUUUAUGCCUUCUCUCAAAGUUUUGAAGAUGUCACGCUGUGGGCAAUUCGAAGGUUUUCAAUUACCUGUUGGGAUGUCAGAGUUGGGUUCAUCACUAGAACUUCUUGAUAUUUCACAUACCACCAUAAGAGAGUUACCCGAAGAGUUAAAGUUGCUGGUAAAUCUGAAAUGUUUGAAUUUGAGGUGGACAGGUGCGUUAAUUAGAAUUCCACGGGGACUAAUAUCAAAAUUUUCAAGGUUACGUGUGUUGAGAAUGUUGGGUACUGGCGGGUUCAUUUUUUAUGAAGCACCAGAAGACAGCGUUUUAUUUGGUGGGGGUGAAGUUUUGAUACAGGAAUUGCUCGGUUUGAAAUAUUUAGAGGUAUUGGAGUUGACCUUGGGAAGUUAUCAUGCUCUCCAAAUUCUUUUGAGCUCAAAUAAGUUAAAAAGUUGUAUUCGAUCUCUUUACCUCUAUUUGACCGGAGAUAAAAAGUCGAUUAUUGAUGCUACGGCUUUCACAGACCUAAACCACCUCAAUGAAUUAUGGAUUGAUAAUGGAAUUGAGUUGGAAGAAUUGAAGAUUGAUUAUACGGAGAUAGUACGAAAAAGGCGGGAACCUUUUGUUUUCCACAGCCUUCACCUUGUUACGAUAUAUAGUUGCCAUAAAUUGAAAGAUUCGACAUUCCUCGCUUUUGCUCCAAACCUCAAGUCUCUUUCGCUAUUCAAAUGCCGUGCUAUGGAAGAAAUAAUCAGCGUCGGAAAAAUUGCUGAGAAUCCUGAGAUGAUGGGACAUAUAAGCCCUUUUGAAAAUCUCAAAAGUCUUGAUCUAUCAUAUUUGCCGGAGUUGAAGAGCAUUUUCUGGAAGCCAUUGCCUUUCACUCAUCUCAAAGAAAUGGGGGUAAGAGCAUGUGAUCAGCUUAGAAAGCUUCCACUCGAUUCCAACAGUGCAAAAGAGCGUAAAUUUGUAAUUCGUGGAGAAGAAGACUGGUGGAACCGACUUCAAUGGGAGGAUGAAGCCACUCAAAUUGCUUUUCGUUCCUGUUUCCAACCUGAUUCCUGAGCGGUGGUCGCAAAAUUUGAUUUCUGGUGAGUGCGUUUGUCUUUUAAAAGAAGAAUUUAAAAGAAAUUUAUUCUUGACGUUUUCUUCACUGUUUUUAUUUCAGUCUCUCUCUCUCUCUUUUUGUCUUCUGCUAAUCACAAUUAAAUGUUGAAUUAAUGGAAUUAAUGCUUCAUAAAUUUGCCGGCACUGCCAUUACUUUUUUUUUUUUUAAUACAAAUUGAUACUUUAUUUAUAUCUUCUUAGCGAUUUAAUUUCCUGUCAAUUGACGAACGAGAAGAACAUAUGACUUGAACCAAUGCUCGCAUAAACUUGCUGUAAAAAGAUAUAAUCUCACUGAAAUGCACACGCCUAGAAUGAAUAGAAUUAAAACAGGGAAAAUAUUAAGUAUAUUAGCCCUCUUUACCGAAAAUCAAAUGACAAUAAAUUUUUUGAAGUUUUGAUUUUCUAUGGUCAAUUCCACCUUUUGCAAUUUCUUCUGUUCUAACAAAAACCAAUUUCUUUGUUCAAGUAUUUUCGUUUGGGUAUUAAUAAUUCUCCACCGAAAGAGUGAACUCUUGCUCAAGGGAUCUCUAAUCAAUAGCCGGAAGGGCGCCGAGACCUGAUCGGACCUAGGCCCAAGUUUGGUCUUAAAGCCUGGGCUUGAGCCUGGCAAUUAAAUUAAAACAGUAAUUGAUUUCUUGAAUGAAUUGUCGUGUAAUUGAUUUAUGGGGGAUGACACAUCAACAUACUUGAAAAUACACUAAUCUCAGCAUCAUCCGUUAAUAACUUUUAGAUUUAUGGGCAAUCAAUAGUUAAAUUAGUUGUCAUUAAUACUAAAUAAUUUUUACUUUUUUUGUCUCUUCUAGAGGAUCUUCUAGAAAAAUGCAUCCACAAUUAAAUUUAAUACUUUACAUAAUAAAGAAAGCAUAAAUGUUAAAUUUAAGAAACUGCAUUGUAUUUCAGCUGAAGUUGACUUUAAUAUUUAGGGUAGAAAAAAAUUAAAUCCUUAAUGUGUUUAAUUUCUAUCACUUGUGUCAUUAAAAUUUUCUAGUCACCCUAACCAAUUACAUCUCAACCCACUUUUUUUUGGAUGAUUUUAUUUUUACACUAUUAUUUUCAACAUUUUUUUUUCCUUUUAACACCAACAUUAGUGUAUGUUACGUAACAUAAUCCAUAUUUGGAUAAUUUGAAAUUUGUUUGUGUUUUAUCUCAAAAUAGAGCUUCAAUCAAUUUGUACCUCAUAAAUUCACAAUAUCUGGCAUAUUGUCAAAUGUGCUUAUCCUUUUGCUUGACAUGUCAUUUUAAAAUUGUCAUUCAAUGUCAAAAAAUCACAUCAACUAAUGGCCGACUACUUUAAUUUGAAAGCAUGCGUGCGAUCGCCAAUAAUUAUAACUUAAUUGUUAUAUUGAAAUUUUUUUCUUUAUAAUUUAAGUUUAAUACUGCUACAUGUGUGGCACAUAAGUUGGAAAAUAUAACAUAAAAUUUGAAAAAUGUGUAGUUUUCGUUCCUUUUUUUUCUAAAAAAAUGGGAAAAAAGAAUGUAAUUUUGUUUAAAUUACUGUUGUCAUAACAAUUAUUAUUUUAUUGAUUAAUUGGCAGAGAAUCGUAAUGGUUUCGCAUGGUUGUUAAAACAUUGGAAAGUCCACUACAUCAUCGGUUAAUAACUUUCAGAUUUAUGGUUAAUUAAUAGCUGAGAUUUAUUAUCAUUAAUGCUAAAUAUUUUUUCUCUCUCCUGGAGGAUCAUCCACAGGCAGGUGCUUCCUGACGAUGACAAAAUUUUGGGCAGGCAGGUGCUUCCUGACUUUCACACGGUAAUUCUCAAAUUCUGAUUUCACCAUAUUUUAAUUACUGAUUAGCAUAUAUUCAAGUGCUCUCCAUUAUAAUGGAAGCCGCCGCCUCACUCGUAAUUCCAAACUUUAUCUUUUUUUCCUUUUUUAAAUUAAUGCAAGUAGCCGCUGUCCUUUCUAUUAAUUAAUUAAUUCGGCCGCCCACAUUUCUUUUCCUAAUGUCUUCUACUGUCGAGUUUAUUUUAUUUUCUCUUUAUUAUUAAAAUAUACUUAUAAUAAUAAAAAAAUAAAAAUUAACAUAUCAAAAUAUAAUUUAACAGAAAAUUAAGAUAAAAAAUUAAAAAUAAAUAAAUUAUGAGCAUAUCAAUCAAUAAAUGAAAAAUAAUAAUUUUUAUUUUUAUUAAAUAUAAAUUUUUCAGUAUUAAUCAAUUAUCUGAAUAAAUAAAAUCAUUUAAAAAUAAAUAAAUAAAUUAUUCUUAAAAAAAAAAAAAAAACUUUUUAUAACACUCACUAUGCUGGUUGUAGGGUUGACGCUUUGGGUACUGAAGCUAGUAACUUCUACAAGUAGUCUUAAGUUGACUGGCAACAACUAUAUUGGCAUUUAGAAAUAAUGUACUGCAACCAUAUUGGCAUGUUCAAAUGUUCUUAUUAUUGUAUUGGUGUGUCAAUAUUAUCUCUAACGGUUUUAUAAAUAAAAAAAUAAUCUAAAUUUAUAAUUUAACAUAAAAUAAAAUAAUUGGUAGAAAAACAAUUAUGGUUCAUUUACUUAUCAGUAAUCAGAAUAGACUGAAAUCGAAAUGAGUUGUAUUACUGUUGAUGUGUUUAUGUUGUACUCGAAUCGAAAUGAAUUAUUUUAAAUUACUAAAAUAUCCUUGGUCUGUUAUUCUAAUUAUUAUUAUUAUUUAAUAUUUAUUAUAAUAUUUUUCAUAUCAUUAAAAAAAAAUAAUAAUGAUGAUAAUAUUCUCAUUAUUGUUUGUUACAUUAUUAUUAUUCAAAAAAAUUAUUGUUAAUAACAAUAAUUACUUUAUUUCAAUAAUAAUAAUGAUAAAAUUAAUAAUAAUAAACAUGACAACAACAAUAAUUAUUUAUUAUGCCAAAAAAUAACAAUAAUAAUAAGAAUAAUAAUCAUCAUCAUUUUUUUGCCAAAGAAGCAUUAUCAUCAUCAUUUCAAAAAAAAAAUCAUCAUCAUCAUCAUCAUUUUUGUAGUGGCUACCUAUCGGCUGCUGCUUUCAUGUGAGAUUGACUUGCGACGCUUCAACGGCUAUUAUUUCUGACAAUGUCAGGUGUUGCUAUUUCAAUUUAGGAAGAAGUUGUUUCGGUGUGCUAGCGAUGGGAGAUGUUGUGGCUGCGAUUCGGGGAGCUACUAGUUUAUUGCACUAAUAACGGCAGGUGCUGUUGCUUGAUGCGAGGUCCAUGGCCAGUUGUCAGCAGUUCGACUUUGGUAUGGGUGCUGCUGGUUCGAUUUUAGGUGUUGUCCAAUUUCAUUUUCAGGAUUUUAAUUUUAUUUUUCUUUUAUAUUUUCAUUAAUUAAUCAGGGUAAAAUUGGAUUUUAGAAUUUAGAAUGAAGGUAAUUUUGUUAAUAAUGGAAAUGAGAUUCUGAUUGUCGAGAAUGAGCUUACACAAACAACUAUAAAUUAAGUGAAAACAAAACACUUUUUCUCUUUGUGUGAUUAAAACAUGAUAUGUACCAUAAAUAAAUAAGUAAAAAAUAAAUCAACACAAUCUAAAACAGUAAACAAAUUACAAGAGGCACAGAUUUUUAUGUGAAACACCGAAAAUGGAAAAAACCACAGCAUCUUAGUUUGAUAUAAUCUUCUACUAUAUUAAUGGGAUUAUAGCACAAAUUCUUUCCUAUAUAACACUAGAGAUUAACAACAUCAAGAAUCUCAAUAAUCUUGACUUACAAUACAGCCUAAUAUUUGUCUCUCUAAUAAGUAGAUAUCUAAAAUAACAGUCUCUAAUAAGUAUGUAUCUAAAAUAAUAGUCAACAAGAGGAUAAAACAAAAAUUAAGAUUAGUAGGAUGUGUAUAAGGUGAUGCUAUCAAUUUAUCUUCUAAAUUUGAGAAAAAUAGUUAAAUUCACUUUUUCGAUUGUCCGACCAAAAAUGGAAACCCUUGCCCCAAAACCAAAGGAAUCACCAUUAUGUUUUUCUCUCUCUCUCUCUCUAUCUCGUUCUUUUCUUCUUCUUUUCUUAAUGUUAGCCAUCACUUGCUUUUAUUCUUUAUAGCAUUCAAAAAGCUACUUUUAAUGGUAAAUUUCAUUUAAGUCUGCAACUUAGUGAUAAUUGCACACCAAACAAUCCUUACAUAGUGUUUUGGGCCCUCAAAUGAGAUGAAUACAACAAAUCUCCCCCUUUAAAUCAUGUGGGGGGCACCGCAAGCCCGCUAUUUGCAUAUAGCUUUUCAGCUUCUCCUUGAAUAAUGACUUUGUCAUCAUACAUAAUCCAUUCUUCGUUGUGUAAAUCUUCUCAAGCUGUAACUGUUCCUUCUCAAGCUGUAAUUAUUCCUUCUCAAGCACGUCUCGUAUCUAAUGAUACCUUACAUCAAUAUGCUUAGAUUUCGAAUAGUAUAACAGCACUCUGACUAUCGUAGUACAUAACAUAGCUGUCUUGUUUUACACCCAGCUCUUGUAGGAAAUUCUUCGUCCACAAUAUUUUUUUGCAACCUUCAAUAAUUGUAAUAUCAUUUGCUUUAGUGGUAGAAAAGGCAACUUAUUACUAAAGUUUAGAUUGCGAUGAGACUGUUCCCCCUGCAAAAGUGAGCAAACAUCCUAGUAGGAAUUUUUCGGAAUCAACAGCUCCUGCCAUAUCUACACACUUGUAACACAGGUUUGUCACCACCAAAAUAUAAACAUGCUCUGGAAAUGCAUCUAAGAUAUCUGAGAAUUUUUCACUGUUGUCCAGUGCUCUUUACCGAGGUUGAAGAGAAACCACUGACUACACUAACUGUAUAGGCAAUAUUUGGUCUUGUACAAAUUAUGGCGUACAAUAAACUGCCAACUGCUGAAGCAUAAGGAACUCCUCUCAUGGAGAAAUGGGUUUUACUCUUGAGAUUUUUGGGACCAUGAAGAAUAAAGAUGUAAUUUCUUAUACUGCCAUUGUUUCGGGAUAUAUAAAUAGAGAACAAGUCGAUAUAGCUCGACAGUGUUUUGAUCAGAUGCCAGAACGAGAUUAUGUCUUAUGGACUACCAUGAUUGAUGGGUACCUUCGAGUGAAUAGGUUCAGAGAGGCUUUGACACUUUUUCAGGAGAUACAAACUUCAAAUAUAAUGGGAGACGAGUUUACCAUUGUUAGCAUUCUUACAGCUCGUGCGAAUCUGGGGGCACUAGAACUGGGAGAAUGGAUAAAGACUUAUAUUGACAAAAACAAAGUCAAGAAUGAUAUAUUUGCGGGGAAUGCUUUGAUAGACAUGUACUGUAAAUGUACUGUAAAUGCGGAGAUGUUGAGAAAGCUCAAAAGGUAUUCAGGAAGAUGCUUUGAAAGGUCAAAUUCACAUGGACGACCAUGAUUGUUGGCCUUGCCAUCAGUGGAAAUGGUGAUAAAGCUCUUGAUAUGUUUUCCCAAAUGCUCAGGGCUUCGAUCAAACCAGAUGAGGUAGCUUAUGUUGGUGUUCUGUCUGCCCGUACUCACAAUGGUAACGAAACUUUUGUGAUAAAUAGUUGCAACUUAAGGUGAGAACUGGAGGAAGGGAAAUAGAUUGAAGUUGUUCAAUCAUCAGUAGUUGCUACUUGGUUUUAAGUUGUUCAAUCAUCGGUCGUCUCUAUUUGGUUUUCUCCAAUAUCUCAUCUUCAAUUUUGACUCAGAUUGUAUCUUACCACUAGUAAUUACAUAGACUUGCUGCCAAAGGUAAGAAUGGGAAUAAAUUAAAUAGAUUAUGUCGAAAACGAAAUAAAUUUACUAUUGUUCUGUUCAUUCUAUUUGUUUCCUACAAAAUAUUUCUCCUGCCUAAAAUUUUUUGAAUCAGUAAGUUUUUACCUUAUGGAUGAAUUGUGUUGAGAGUAAUUCCAUUUCUCAGUCUCUUUAUGUUUCAAUGAAGACGUAAAACUUGUGUUCUAGUGCACCAACGUUUAUGCUUCUUACAAUUUGACUUUAAUUUACUUUGUAAAAUUUUUGUCAAAAAGUACUAAAAAGUAGUGCACCAAACACCAACUUUAUUACAGAGAGGACUUUAGUUAAAUUUUAAGAAAACACUCAAAAGAAAGAGUUGUAAAUUAUUAUAAAAAUAUUUCACAUAAAUAAAAGCCAUCCCAUGCUGCAAAGAUCUUGCUAUAAUCACCAAAAACUAUCGGGAGCUUUUAGGGUUUCCAUAAAAAUGCCAUUUCGUUCCAUGUAUAUGAUUCUAUAGUCUCACUGGCAAGUAAACCACAGCCCAACAGCACUGACUGUCCAUGAUGAUUCACCCCAAUGAACGAAACCAGCGUUGCAUCAUAUCUUUCUGUCAAGCAUGUAAUAUCAAUUGAUUUGAGCUAUUAACAUCAUUUCCAAAUACUCCAUUGGCAUCUACAUUACCAUUUCCCUCGGCAUCAAUGAUAAGAGUUCGAAACAGUCUAAUCUUUUGAACUUCUUCAGCACCAUCUAAGAGCAAUGUUCUUUUGGUUCCAAUACCCAUGUGCUUAUGAUAUUUGUAAAAUAAUUAUUUGUAAAAUAAUUAGUUCAAUUUUGACAUAAUACGGAAUAAACACAACCUGCCAAUCUAAGUUACUAUCUUUUCCCGUCAUCAGGUACCUGUUUGAAAAAUAAUUAUAUACAAUUUUAUUUGCGUCGUCCCUCUAAAAAUUUGGGACUCAAAUGUUAUUUCUAAUUGCUAAAAGUACGAAAUUGCCCCCUUUCUCUUCAGCUAAAGGAGUGCAAAGUCAUCUGUAUAAUUGAAUCUGCAUCAUCAGUUUCUAUUGCUGGCUGGUGUUACUGCAUGCUUACAGUUGCUUGACAAAGUGAGCCAGUUUUUUGUUUAUUAAUUUUUUUUCUUGUCGAGACAGUCACAAAGUAUUACUUGUUCUAUUUGAGAAUGAUGUGAAUCAAUUUUUCAAUUAUGCAUUCUGUGGUAAUUAUUGUGAAUUUAGUUUCAUUUGUCUUGUCUCCUGCAAAUUUUGAAGAAAAUGCAGACAUACAAAUUUACAAUAUGUAUUUGCGUUAGUAUAAAAACAAUUGUUAGAUGAUUAAAGCGAUUUAUUUUUUUUUUUACAGCAUUUGAUUGUAUUAGUUAAAAUCAUUUUUUAAGGAUAAAAAUAAAUAGAAAAUUAUUCUCAUGUAGUGUGGAAAUCUUUUCUAAUUUCUUGUUGACUUGUACAUUUAUUUCAGAAUUUCCAUUCAUUAAUUCUACUGUUUUAAUCUUUGACUUAGCUACCGUAGUUGACUUUUUAUAUCAAAGGCUUAAACAGCAUGCAUUUUUGAAUUGACUGAGAAUAAUUUGGUGGACAAAUUACUAGUAAAGGACUUCAAAUGGUUGAAUUGACUGUGGGUUUUUCAUGCCCAAGUCACUCGUCACGUCGUUUCAUCGAAACAAAGUGCCCGGUGCAAAUGGUGUGAUGUAAAACACCUUUUUAAAUUGUCAUUUUUUUUCCUUUGCUUUUGCUUUAAUUUUCUAAAUGCUCAACGCCAUAAAUCCAUGUAUUCUUAAUUUUCGUUUGCUGUAUUGAUUCCCAACCCUCUAUGUCACAAGGUUUUGAAUGCCAGUAAUUAAGUUAAAUUAAACAUAUUUUAAGUCCUACUUUAAAUUAUUGAAAAAUGUAUUAUGGUUGAACUGAAUUUUAACUAAAAAAUAUAUACAAAAUAAAAGAUUAAUCAUAUCUUUUUAUGAGGAAGGUCAGUCAUCAUUCUGACCACAGACACUUAAAAUUAAUUGAGUGGAAUAUUGCAAAAUAUAUAUAAACCAUGCCAAAACUAGAUGUUUGAGUAAUGAAAACGAGAAUUCAUAUGACUCAGAAAUAUGGUCGCUUUCCUUUUUCUGAAAGGCAAAAAAAAAGGGGGAACCAAAAAGGACCAAAAUGAACAAAAAUGGAAGGCGAAGGUAAGCAGACAUGUUAUAUGUUUUACCUAAGAUGCCAAAUGCAACUCCCCAUUGAUGGUGAUCGAACAUUAUGGCCAUUUUCUUAGUAAACAAAAAAUGAAUUUUGAACACUCAACAACGAAACUUGAGCAGAAGAUCAAGCAAGGGCCUCGAUCUCAAAGAAGAUACUAUGAAACCCUACUUAAUGGUUAAAUAACUUUCAUUCAGCUUUGGACCCUAUUUCGUGAUACGGAAAGACAAACCUUUCUUGGCCGGCAGUGUCCCAGAUCUGGGCUUUGAUGAUCUAGAGGUUGAUGGUGACAGUUCUGGUUUGGAACUCGACGCCAAUGGUUUAUUUCGAUUCAAAGCAAAACUCAUUCUUGGUGAAUCUCGAAAGAAUCUGAGACUUGCCCACGGCCGAGUCACCGAUCACCACUACCUUGAAUACAUAGUCUAUUUUGUCAGGAAUCAUAUUCUCUCGUUGUUGAUGACGAUGAUCGGUGCCAUCACCACUCAUUUCUUCGUUCAUUCAUUCUAUGUCCAUUGAUCUUUUUGAAUUAUUGAAGACAAGUGGCUCACCGCUUUUAGUAUUGGUAAAAUUCAGAUAAUCUCUAUUCCGAAAUAAUAAUAUUAAAAAUAUCUCUUAAAUCAUUAUAAACUUCAAAUCUAUUUUAAUUUUAUUUAAAAGAUAAAAGAAAAAUAAGUUAUGUUGGUGAUUUUUUAUUAUCUUUUUAAUAAAAAUAGAAUAAAUUGAUGUUUAUAAUUAUUUAAAGUAUUUUAAAGAUUGCUAUUUUAUGAGAGAAUAAUAUUUCAUUUUUUUUUUCGUGUGAAAGACCGAAAAAGGACAAAGCAAGUUUCCCUAAUUUUUAUUUUAUGUGAAAUUGGUCAUCUCAUAUACUUUACCCUUCAACACUCUAAUUUUUUUGGUUAUAAUUUUAUUAUUUUUUCUCUUUUACACAUGCAUGUGAAUUACUUUUCUUUAAGCUCCUGAAUAUUUAAGACAAAUCAUGGAAGAGAUGAGAGUAUAACAAGAUGAUCAAAAUAUGUAACAAAAAAAUUUUAGAAGUGAAAAAUAUGUUAGAGUCGAAGUAAAACUCUGAGGUGAUGUUUGAUUUGAAGAAAAUGGAGGAGAGAAAAAGAGUGGAAUGGAGAGGAAAAGAGAGAAAAGGAGAGGAGAGGAGAGGAGAGUGAACUUUUUUUCUAAUGUUUGGUUUGUCACAUAAAUAUACAAAGAAAGGAAAUCUCCAAUUUUUUAUUUAGACAAUUUUAACCUUAAUAAGUAUUAAGCUUUCAAUAUUUAUCAUGUGUAUAAUUUAAAAAAAGUAAAUGGUAGAAAGCGGUUUCUGAUUCCGGCCACAUCGCCGGCAAUGGAAGGUACUUAUCAGAACAUCAAGAACCGGCCAUCAUUCCCUAGCCAUCACUGCUGUAGGAACACUGCUAAAAAGCUGCCGAUUGAACCGCGAAAAGUCGUGGAAAUCGUUGCCUCAAAUCGGUGAGUUUCGCCUUUUUCUGGUCAUGCCGUCGCCUUGGCUUUGUCCAUCAACGCUGCCACUUCCAUUUCAACCAUCCAUAGCCACUAUUAACCGCCAAAUCGCCGCCGAUCAGCGGGAUCUGUGGAAGUUAAAAAGUUUCUAAAAUUUUUUAAUUGGAUUUGAACAACAUACAACCAUUUUUUGAUCUCAAUAACGACAUAGUAAUGUUGAUCGUUGGUCGGCAAGUCGAAUGGUAGUGGCGGUGAGUAACACGCGCCAAUGACAUCGGCGGCGGCGGCGGCACUAUCCGGCUACUGUUAAAAUUAAUAUUUUAUAUUUGUAGAUUAAAUAAAUUUAUUUUAUUAAACUUUUUAAAUCAUUAUUUAAAUUUAAUUAAUUUAAAAUUAUCUAUGAUGUUGAAUUGAUAAAAUAAAUUUAUAAAUAAUAAUUAUGUGAUUACAUUAAAUAAGUUAAAAAGUUGAAGGGUUAUUUUUGGAAGAUUUAGUUUCCAACACAAAGGGAAUUUGAAUUCUUCACUUCUUAGUGUGGAAUUCAAAUUCUAUAUUGUAAUGGAUAUUAAAUUCCAAUAGAAAUUAAAUUCUUAUAAGUUAUGUCAAACCAAACAACGGAAAUAAAAAAAAAGAAUUUAAAUUACUUUCCUUUCCUCCACCCUCUCCUUCCAACCAAAUACAUCCUGAAAAUAGAGAUAUUGAUUAAUUUAGAAGAGAUGCAAGCAAAAGAUAUUCCACAAAAAAAAAAAAGCAAUAUGUCCCUUUGGAGGGCAAACUUGUCAGUUUUAAAAAAGUACAUGCUUUGGAUUGAUAGUUGUAGGAUAUUUGUUUUGUCACUAUGUGUUAGUUGGAGAAGUCAAGCCUUGUGAAGAAUGUUAUGAAAGAGCAAAGGAUAUUCCUGAUAGCUGAUAGAGCUCUAUUUGAUUAUGUAUCCAAUGAAUGGAUGUGUUGUUGGAAGAUAUUUGAGUGCAUUAGUUCAUAUGUGUCUAUCAAUGUGAUUUUAAUGAUUUUUCCACUUGUUUGUUGUAAAAGAUUAUUGUAAAUUGAAAUGAACUUGAUGUUGUAAUAUUUUCUCCUUAGUAGAAUUUCACCUAGUAUGUAUUUAGUUGUGUUGUCUAUAAUUUUGCAUUCGAAUAAGUUUCACCUAAAAUAUUAGCAUGAGUAGUGGCCCUUGAAACUUUGGUCAAAAUUAUUGUUAUUAUUUCCGACUAGAUGUAAAUUUUUUAUUAAAUCUCGCUAACACAAUUCUUAAUUAAAAGUAUAGGUUAGUGUUGGUGCAAGACUUGCCACACCAAAUUCUGCCUAACUGUCAAAAGUGCAAAAUAAAUGAAGAGAAAGCACAAAUACACGACUUGAAUAAGGAUACAACGAAACUUAAAUUCAAGAGAAAAUGAUAGCUAUAUCUCAAGAUUUGAAAAAACGGUCAUGUAGAUUUUUAAGAUUUCAAUAAGCGACUGAGAUUCAAAUAAUAUCCUUUAAUUCUAUUAACAAAAAACAAAGACUCAAAUAUUUUAUGAUAAAUAAAAAUAUAAUAUUAAAAUAUAUGUGAUAAUAUACACAUUUUAAAUACUUUCAAUCCAAAAAAAUAGUUAUGUUUUACAAUCUAUUAGACAUAUUUUAUUAAAUUAAUAUAAAUUUUCUAUAAAAUAAGAAUAUAAUAUUAAAAUAAAUUCACAAAAAUUUAAAGAAUUUUGAAUGUAAAAUAAUUUUAAUAUAUCAAUACGUGAGUUUUUUUAUUAAUAUAAAAUUUAUUUAACUUUAAGAUUUUUUAAAAUCUUUACAAUAAGUAUAACUAUAUUAUUUACAUUUAAAAAUAUUUAAAUAUUAUUAACCUACAAUUAUAUUUGCAUUUGUUAGAAAUUUUUUAAGUCAAAUAUUUUGCACUUCUAUAUUAUUAGAAUUAUUGCACAAAAAGAAAGAAACAUACACCUUUAGAAAUUGUUUUCUUUUAAAAUAGAGAUGAUGAUUAGUAUAAGGAUGAAAAAAAGGAUAAAGAAUAUUAAUGAUUAACGAAAUCUCUAUACAAAUUGAUUUUAGUAGGAAAAGAGUGAGAUGAAUGAUUUCUUUUACAGUUAGAAACAUAGAUGAUGAUUAUUAUAACGAAGAAAAAAAGAUAAAGAAUAUUAAUUAUUAAUGGAAUCUCUAUACAAAUUGAUUUUAGUAGGAAAAAAAUGAUUAAAUGAUUUAGAGUGCGUUUGGAAUUGAGAUUGGGCAGCCAUAGAUUUUAAGUUACAACACUGAAGUGUUUAGUAAAUACUAGUUGCUGCAGAUUGAAAGUUAUGUUGAUAUGAUUUUUCACAUGUAUCAUAGAAAAUAUAUUACAUCUUUAAUAUUUUUUAAAAAUUUAUAUUUGCUAUAUAUUAUUAAUUUUUUUUUAUAGUUAUAACUUUUUUUCCACAACAGUUGUAGCUUAAAAGUCACAGCACCUCAAUCUCAAACAAAUCCUUAGACAUUCAUAGUGUGUUUAUUUUUUGGAUUGGUGAAUCAAAAUUAUUGACAACGCUAACUUCAUCUUCACUGUUCGCAAUCCAACAGCAGCAAUUGUCGCCAAUAAUGAUAUCUCCAAUGAUGAUGACAAUUAUUAUUAUUAUUUUUAUUAUUAUUAUUAUUAUUAUUAUUAUUAUUAUUAAUUAAUUAAUUAAUUAAUUAAUUAAUUAAUUAAUAUAUUAAUGUUGAUAUUAUUAUUAUUAAGAUUAACAAUAAUUAUUAGUAAUACAAUUUUUUGAAUAAAAAUAAUCACAAUAAUUAAAAUACAAAUUAAUAAUUAUGACAAUAAUUAAUUAAUGUCUUUUUAGUAAUUUGUAAUAAUCUAACUCAUUUUGGUUCUGAUUAUUACAGCUUAAGUAAACAAAUUAUUAUGAUUCCUAUUCUCCUUUCCCAUUUUAACUCACUUUGAUUCCAGUCUAUUCCGAUUUCUAUUUAAUAAAUGCACCAUUAGUGCUAAAGUAAUAUUUCAUACAUAGAAAAAUAAAAACUACGCCUAAGGUUAAGGGAAAAGACUUCAAAAUUCUCUUUUGAUCAUAAUACAUUUUGUCCUAAUUAACUUAAAGAUUUUGAAUCUAAUAUUUUAUAAUAAAUAAAAAUAUAUUCCUAAAAUAAAUAUAAUAUCAAUAUUUAAAAUAUGUUUUAAUAUUUUACAAUCUAUCAUACACAUUUUAUUAUAUUAAAGUAGAUUUAUAAUAAAUAUAUAAAAAUUUAGAAUAUUUAGAAUAUUAUAUAAAAUAAUUUUAAUAUAAUGCGUGAUAUAUAUUUUAUUAAUUUAAAAUGUCAUUUUACCUAAAAAAUAUGAUAAAUUAAUAAUUACAUAUUUGAAGUUAUUUCAAAUAUUAAAAAAAUUUAAUAUUAUUAAUCUUUUAGAUAGAUUAAAUUAUUUUUUAUAAGAGAGAUUAAAUUAUUUUAAAAUGCCUUAAUUGUUUUUACUUUUAACGUUACGGGCCUUUCUUUUAUUUUAUUGCAAAUUAAUGCUAACUAGAAAAACAAAAACAAAAGUGACAAACACAACCAGCUGGAAUCUUUUAUAAAACUACAAAUUAAAAUGGAUUUUUUUUUUUUGUUGAUAAAUUACACAUGAAAGUGGAUUCUUUUGAAUAUAAGUGGGGUAGGCUCUUUUAUUUUUUUUUUAAUACCGUAUAACAGGACUGUAGACUCUUUUAUUAAGCACAAAUAUAGAGUUGUCGAGACAAUUAGGGUCUUUUAUUAAACUACAAAUUGUAUAGUCUUUUUUAAAUUGUUCAGAUAUUUAUAAAUUGGUGGCCCCUACAAUCCUCAAUAAUUGUACCGAUAUUCACAAGCUGGUGGCCCCUACAAUCCUUAAUAAUUGUUUUUUUUUUUUUCUGCAUUCCCUUUCAUGCUCUUAAUAAUUAAAGAGCAUACUUUUCAAAUGUGGAGCCGCGGCUAAUGUCGCUAAUUUAAUUUGGGAUUAAAUUAGGGGACUAUUAUAUUGCAGUGUGCACUAAUUUUUAUGUUUAUCUAAACUCCUUAAAUUUAAGAUAUAUUAUGGCAUAAAUAAGAAUAUAACAAUAGCAAAAGAGUUAGAAAGUGUAGAGAAGAUCUUGCAGAAAUAUAAAUAAUAUUUAUUUUAAAAUAAUAUCAAUAUUUAAAAUAAUUUUUAUUAUUUUAUGAUCCAUUAGAUAUAUUUUAUUAUAUUAAAGUAAAUUUUAUAAUAAAUAAAAACAUACUAUUAAAAUGAAUAUAUAGAAAAUUUAGAGUAUUUUAAGUAUUAUAUAAAAUAAUUUUAAUAAAAUAUGUGAGAUAUUCAUAUUUUAUUAAUUUAAAAUACCAUUUAACCUAAAGAUUUAUUUAUGAUAAAUUAAUAAUUAUAUUUUUGAAAUUACUUCAAAUAUUAAAAAAAUUAAUAUUACUAAUCUAUUAGAUAGAUUAAAUUAUAUAUAUUAUUUUCUAUUUAUUAAAAAAUUUCAAAUUAUUUUUAAUUACUAUUCAAAAAAUAUGAUGAUAAAAAAAUCUUAACAUCUUUAUUAAAAAAUUAAAAACUUACAUGAUCAAUUCUCUAAAUAUUUAGGGUAUAUGUGAACCACGGUGGACAGAGGUCAUUACUAAAAUUUCUCUUCCACAGGCAAUUACAGCAGCUCCAGUUUAUCAAACUCAACCAAUUUUCUUUCUUAACAAAAUUCCAAAGAUGUGUAGCUUUUUUCAGAUCACAUGCGAUGGUGCUUUUUUCAAUCGUUGCUUGGAUUGCUUUCUUGGAAAAGCAGCAUACAUACGUAACCUCCAAGAUAAUCUUGAUGCCUUGGACACUGAACUGGGAAGACUAAUCGCAGCAAAGAACGAUGUGAUGAUUAGGGUUGUCAAUGCUGAACGGCAAUAAAUGAGAAGGCUGGACGGAGUGCAAGUGUGGGUUUCGAGUGUGGAUGCUGUUAAAACUGGAGCCGAUGAACUUAUCACAGACGGCUCUGAAGAAAUUGGCAAAUUAUGUGUUGGAGGCUACUGUUCCAAGAACUGCAGGUCAAGCUACAAAUUCGGAAAACAAGUGGCUAGAAAGCUACGAGAUGUGGAGACUUUAAUCGCCGAAGGAGUUUUUGAGGCGGUGGCUACUGAGGUGGUGCCUGAGAGAGCUCCAGAGCCUGUAGCAGAUGAAAGACCUACCGAGCGAAAAGUAGUAGGCUUGCAAUCACAACUUGAACAAGUCUGGACGUGUCUUGUGGAAGAAUCAGCGGGAAUCAUUGGCCUAUACGGUAUGGGCGGUGUUGGUAAAACCACACUAUUGACCCAUAUCAACAAUAAAUUUCUCGAGAGUCCAACCAACUUUGAUUGUGUGAUUUGGGUAGUAGUUUCAAAAGACCUGCGACUUGAAAAACUUCAAGAAGAUAUUGGGAAAAAGAUAGGUUUGGUUGGUGAUUCAUGGAAGAGUAGAAGUGCAGAGGAGAAAGCUCUCGACAUCUUCCGGAGUCUAAGAGGGAAGAGAAUUGUAUUGUUGUUAGAUGAUAUAUGGGAGCGGGUUGAUUUAACAAAAGUGGGCGUUCCACUUCCUGGACCACAAAAUACUACCUCAAAAGUCGUAUUCACAACNNNNNNNNNNNNNNNNNNNNNNNNNNNNNNNNNNNNNNNNNNNNNNNNNNNNNNNNNNNNNNNNNNNNNNNNNNNNNNNNNNNNNNNNNNNNNNNNNNNNNNNNNNNNNNNNNNNNNNNNNNNNNNNNNNNNNNNNNNNNNNNNNNNNNNNNNNNNNNNNNNNNNNNNNNNNNNNNNNNNNNNNNNNNNNNNNNNNNNNNNNNNNNNNNNNNNNNNNNNNNNNNNNNNNNNNNNNNNNNNNNNNNNNNNNNNNNNNNNNNNNNNNNNNNNNNNNNNNNNNNNNNNNNNNNNNNNNNNNNNNNNNNNNNNNNNNNNNNNNNNNNNNNNNNNNNNNNNNNNNNNNNNNNNNNNNNNNNNNNNNNNNNNNNNNNNNNNNNNNNNNNNNNNNNNNNNNNNNNNNNNNNNNNNNNNNNNNNNNNNNNNNNNNNNNNNNNNNNNNNNNNNNNNNNNNNNNNNNNNNNNNNCAGGAAGUCCUAGUGCGUGCUAUCAGAAAAGAUGCUGGGAACUGUUUCGCGAAAAUGUUGGGGAAGAAACUCUUGAGAGUGAUCAUGAGAUCGUUGAGCUAGCCCAAACUGUGGCCAAAGAGUGUGGUGGUUUGCCACUCGCACUUAUUACUAUUGGUCGAGCUAUGGCCUACAGAAAGAAAGCGGAGCAGUGGAGACGUGCAAUUGAAGAGUUAAGAAGAUCAGCUUCAGAGUUUGCAGGUUUGGGAAAAGAGGUGUAUCCUCUUUUAAAGUUUAGCUAUGAUAGUUUGCAGAAUGAUACAAUUAGAUCUUGUUUCUUGUAUUGUUGUUUAUAUUCUGAAGAUUAUGGCAUUCUUAAAUGGGACUUGAUUGAUUGUUGGAUUGGUGAGGGAUUUUUGGGGGAAUCUGACAGGUUUGGUGCAGAAAACCAAGGAUAUGACAUUUUGGACACUCUUGUUCGUGCAUGUUUAUUAGAAGAGGUGGAAGAAGAUGAAGUAAAAAUGCAUGACGUUAUUCGUGAUAUGGCUAUAUGGAUAACCAGUGAAAUUGAGAAGGAGAAGAGAAACUUUUUGGUUUGUGCAGGUGCUGGAUUAGAAGAGGCACCGGAUGUUAAAGAAUGGGAAAAUGUGAGAAGAUUGUCAUUGAUGCAAAACCAAAUUGAAACUCUGUUUGGGGUUCCCACAUGCCCUCAUCUCAUCACUUUAUUUAUUGACUUUAAUAGGGAGUUGAAGACUAUCGCGGAUGGCUUCUUCCGAUGUGUGCCUUCUCUCAAAGUUUUGAAGAUGUCAAACUGUGGAAAGCCUUAGAAAGGUUUGGAAUUACCUUUGGGGAUGUCAAAGUUGGGUUCACUACAACUUCUUGAUAUUUCACACACCUGCAUACAAGAAUUACCACAAGAAUUAAAGUUGUUGGUAAAUCUGAAAUGUUUGAAUUUGAGGCGGACAAUUUGGUUAAAUAAAAUUUCAUGGCAACUAAUAUCAAAAUUUUCAAGGUUACGUGUGUUGAGAAUGUUCGCUACUGGCUGGUUCAGUUUUCAUGAAGCACCAGAAGACAGCGUUUUAUUUGGUGGGGGUGAAGUUUUGAUACAGGAAUUGCUCGGUUUGAAAUAUUUAGAGGUAUUGGAGUUGACCUUGGGAAGUUAUCAUGCUCUCCAAAUUCUUUUGAGCUCAAAUAAGUUAAAAAGUUGUAUUCGAUCUCUUUUCCUACAGUUGUUCAGAGAUACAACGUCGAUUAUUGAUGCUACGGCUUUCGCAGAUCUAAACCACCUCAAUCAAUUAUGUAUUAGUAACGGUUCUGAGUUGGAAGAAUUGAAGAUUGAUUAUACGGAGAUAGUACGAAAAAGGCGGGAACCUUUUGUUUUCCGCAGCCUUCAACGUGUUACCAUAGAGGAGUGCCAUAAAUUGAAAGAUUUGACAUUCCUCGUUUUUGCUCCAAACCUCAAGUCUCUUUCGCUAUACGAUUGCGGUGCUAUGGAAGAAAUAAUCAGCGUCGGAAAAUUUGCUGAGACUCCUGAGAUGAUGGGACAUAUAAGCCCUUUUGAAAAUCUCCAAAUGCUUUAUUUAAUGGCAUUGCCGGAGUUGAAGAGCGUCUACUGGAAGCCAUUGCCUUUCACUCAUCUGAAAGAAAUGGAGGUACUUGGGUGUGAUCAGCUUAAAAAGCUUCCACUCGAUUCCAACAGUGCAAAAGAGCGUAAAUUUGUAAUUCUUGGAGACACACAGUGGUGGAACCGUCUUCAAUGGGAGGAUGAAGCCACUCAAAUUGCUUUUCGUUCCUAUUUCCAAACCUGAUUCCUGAGCGGUGGUCGCAAAAUUUGAUUUCUGGUGAGUGCGUUUGUCUUUUAAAAGAAGAAUUUAAAAGAAAUUUAUUCUUGUCGUUUUCUUCUCUGUUUUUAUUUCAGUUUGUUUCUCUCUCUCUCUUUUUGUCUUCUGCAAAUCACAAUUAAAUGUUGAAUUAAUGGAAUUAAUGCUUCAUAAAUUUGCCGGCACUGCCAGUACUUUUUUUUUUUUUUAAUACGAAUUGAUGCUUUAUUUAUUUCUUCUUAGCGAUUUAAUUUCCUGUCAAAAGACGAGCGAGAAGAACAUAUGACUUAAACCAAUUGAUACUUUAUUUAUGUGCAUUGUAUGUAAUAAAAUUUUCUCUGUUUUUUUCAAAUUGAGGCUUUAUUUAUAUUUUCUUCGUGAAGAGUGAUUUAAUUUCCUGCCAAAAGACAAACGAGAAGAACAUUAGAGUCAAACUAAUGCUCACAUAAAUUUCCCGUAAGAAUAUAUAUAUAAUUAGACUGGAAUGCACACCUCUAGAUUGAACAGAAUUAAAGCUGAGAAAAUAUUGAGUAUAGUAGCCCUCUUUACAGAAAAUGACGCGAAAGUUAAUUUAGAAAGAUAUAUUCUUGAUUAAUCCAUUUUCUGAAGUUUUUUAUUUUGUAUGGUCAAUUAUACCUUCAUACUAAAAAAAAAAAAAAAAAAGAGAAAAUAUGUAAUCCAUGAAUGGUUAAUUUUGUUUGUUUGUUUUUUUUUCUUAAAUAUCAUUCUUUUUCGGCCACCCAAGGACAUUUUCACAAAUACCUUUUGUGUGCAGAAGUCUUCCAAACCAUCAAUGGAAAAAUAAAAAAUAAAAAAAACACGGUCCAGUAUACCUCAAAAUAUCAUUGAUGACUUUUCUGGUCUAAUGCUAUGUAAAUAGUAUGUUAAGUAAAACAUAAUCAGUUCAGUACCUCACAAAUAAUUCGCAAUAUCUACAAAAUACUAUAAUGGCUACAAAACAAAUCCUGCUUGCAAAUUGUCAAGGAUACCUAUCCGUUCGCUUGACAAGUCAUUUGAAUAAAUAUUGUUCACAUUCCUUACUCUGUCAAUUAUCCAAAGCACCAUCAACUUUAGUUUGAAUAGUAUACAUGCCAUCACCGUUACCAAGAAUCAAGCAUGGAAGGGUCAUUCUAUAGAGUGCAGAACAUGACUCUAUGCGGUAGUCAAUUUGACACACGACGAACACCAUAUGCUGCAUAACAUACAAAUUAAUUUCCCAUAUGUGAUGCAAUUUUCUCCUCAACAUAUGCGCAAUUCUUUCCAUUCCGGCAUUUACACUCAAAUUUUCCUUCCUUUCUCUUUGUGGUUGAAUCUUACACCACAACUCAUGUGAUGCAAUCUCCUCUCGCUGCCUAAAUUGCACUCUCAGCAAAGCAGCAUAUGUAAGCAAGCUUGAAGAUAAUCUUGCUGCUCUGCAGAAGAACGGCAAAAGUUAAUCGAAGCAAGGAAUGAUGUAUCAGAAAAUAUUUGGUGGAGAAUUCAGCACAAACAUAUUUCGGAUGAUCAGAAUCAAUAAAACCUGGUGGUUGUGCCAUAUAAACAUCUUUGGAAAGCUGACCUUGAAGAAAGGCGUUAUUGAUAUCCAAUUGAUGAAGAGGCCAGCCAUGACUAACAUCAAUACUAAGAACAAGCCGUACUGUGGUGGACUUAACAACUGGACUGAAAGUGUCAUAAUAGUCCACACCAGGCCAUUGAUUGAACCCUUUGGCAACAAGAUGAGCUUUAAACCUGUCAACAGAACCGUUGGAAUGUCUUUUAAUACAAAAAUCCAUUUGCAGCCAACAAUAUUGGAAGGGAUGGGAGGUGGAACAAGCUUCCAUGUCCCGUUACGAACAAGAGCAUCAUACUCUUCUGACAUAGCUGGACGCCAGUGAAGAUUUUUGAUAGCUUGCGUCACAGUUGUAGGUUCACAAUCAGAAGAAGGGCUAAAAUGAGCACGGAGGUUAAGUUUUUGUAACGGCUUGUGAAUCUUAUUUUUAGCUCGGGUAGUCAUAUCAUGAUGACUUGUGGGGCAAUGAUCUAGUGGAGUUUAGGAAGAUGAUUGAACAGGAAGUGAAGAAGUGCUUUGUGUAGAGGUAGAAGUAGGUUGGGAGGAUUGCUGCGGAGAUGUUACCGGUAGAGAAGAAGGAGCAGUACACGGUGGCAACUCCAGAGGGCCCACAAUAGAUGGAGUAGGUGCCGACAAUGGAGUACUAGGAAAUGAAACAGGAAGAAUUGGUGGAACACUUGCAUAAUUAGGAGUGGUAGAUGAGCUUGUAAUGAUUUGCAUGGAAAAACAAACUCUACAAAUUUAACGUGACGUGAAAUAAAAAUUUGAAAGGUGGAUGGGUCAAAACAUAAAUAAGCACUUUGAGAUAAAGGAAUAUCCUAGAAAAACACAAGGCUUAGAGGGUGGUUCGAGUUUAUGUGAUGAAACACAAACAUUCAAAAAAUUUUAAGUUUAUAUUAAUUAGGAGUGGUACCAAAAAUUAAUUAGCUAUGGGGUUGUUGGAUGUGUUUUGGAUAUUUACAGUUAAGUUUGAGUAUCUCAACUUAAAAUUUGUAGUUUUCACUUGAAAAAAUUCAGUUAAAUUUUGCAAUGCAGACUGAUUGAUUUAUCAGUUUAACGUGUGCCAGGAAUGAAGAACUGGAAUAUCACCGUCAAGCAAGCACCCUGUGGAGCAAUACCAAAGAAUGCACAAUCUGGCUUUGCUAGGUAACACUGGAGGCUUUUUGAAAAGUGCUUCACGCUCACUUGCACAGAUUGAGCAUCCCCUCUGGAUAUUGCCCUCUCUGAUCGAGUCUGAGCACUCAAAUUUUGGUCCUCAGAGGGAGCUACAGUUUUCUCUCCACUAACCAACAAUAUUCUAAACUCAGCACCUAGUGUGAUCAGAGUUGUUGAUAUUUGCAAAUGGAGAUCCCCAUAUUUGCAAAUGGAGACAUUUAACAAAUCACCAACAUGCUUCAUCCGGUCCACGAAAUUCUGCAACUGAUGCAAAUCUGGAACCUGAACCAGAGUCGGAGGUAUAUCUUGAGCCAUAUCUAAAGCAGUUUGAAGUUCAAGACCUUGAGCCCUUGACAAUGGUUUUGAAAUUGGAACAUCUUGGAUUACUGCAGACUUGUACCCCUUGGUUUCAAAGGUAAGGAAAGGCAUUGCUUGAGUACAAUUUGGAGGCAGCUUCUUCACCAAUUUUAUUUGGAGGCGAUUGGCAGCGGAUCCAGCUGCACCAAUUUCAGAGCAACUACUGACACUACUUCGAACAGCACACUGAAGAAGUGAUAUGUCUACGGCGAAGGCAAUGCAGUCCUCAUUUUGGCUUGAGACACAGUAAUCAUCGAAGAGAGUUUCCUUGUGAAACUGGGCAACACAUUGAAUCCCUUCGGCACUGAGAAGGUUGUGGAGGAAGUAAGCUUUCUCUCUAGUAAGGAAGAGGUGGCAUACAUUCCCCAUUUUGUCUAGGGCAGGUAGGAAUCUUUUUUCUAAGAGAUUUACUUCAUUCUCUGUGAGAAAUGCUUUGAACUUCAUCCCUCUGUCUCUAUCCUCACUUAUCAGUAAAAUAGUUGAAAGCGCUACAAGGAGAGAAAAGAAGAGUAUUAAGAUAUAUAUAUUAUAUAGACAAGAAAAACAUUAGAUGUCGAUCUUACAAGCUAAUACUUCAAACAAUAUCCUAGAAAGCUAAAAACUGCAAGAUGGCUUGAAAUUUGAAAAGAGCACGUGCUUUUCCUCCUUAACUUGAGAAAAUGUUUAAUAUAGUGCACCUUACAGAAGCAUUUAAGCAAUUAGAACUUUGCACAAAAACAUCAAGAAGACUAAACAAGUCAGAUGCAGUGUAUUUGUCCAAGCACAAAUUGCAUUUUGUCCUCAACUUUAAUAUUUAUUGAUGAGAAUCAAUACAGGUCCCUCAUUUGUUAUAGAAAGCUUUCUUGUAGUCUCACCAGUUAAUAUGGAUAUUAGAUAAGGAAACUUUAUUAGGUUGCGAGGGUAAAAAAGGAAAGAGAUAUCAUUAUUUUAUUAUCGAUAAUUAUUAAAUUUUUUUCCAAAAAAAAGAACAAGCAAGGAUAUUUUAUUGUCAAUUGCAACCUUUAAUUUUUUUAAAUGCUAUUAGAAACACAAGAUAACAAAAAUGUAGUGAGAUGGGAUCUCCUGCAUGCCACUCUGGUUUAGAACACAAAGAAUGUGUCUGCAUAAAUAUCCUCUGAAAUUGAACAACCCACAAACACAAAGCACCUCCAAGUCGGAGGCAUUGUACAAAACAUCAAAAGCCCUUGAAUCCUUCUCGUUGCCACCAACCUCGAAUUCUUCCUUCACUAUGUAUGUUAUAGGUCCAUCAGAACUAAUAUGUUUUGUGCUAUAGUAAGAGUACAUAGCCUCCACCUCCAUCUGAAACUUCCUUAACAUUUCAUUUGUGUACAGUUUUGAGAGUUGAAAUUCAUAGUAACAUCUUGGUUUCCGGAUACAACUUGAAUUUCUUGAAUCCAUAUCUGCCAAGGCUACCAGUUGAUAAUUCGCCUGCAGUGCUUGAUCAUACUUGUCUAAGAAUUCUUUCAAAGGAGUAUUCUUAUCAAGAUAUCCUUCAAAGUAUGAAGUAGAAACCUCAUUCUGCAGGAACGAAAACACUCCUGAUAAAAAAGCUUCCUUCAAAUAAAUAGGAGCCCACCUUUUAUGAUCUUCAUAUAAAGUUUGAAUCCAUCCGUGAUCCUUUAUUCCAUGACAUUGAAUCAUGUCUUCCCAAGCUGCUUCAAAUUUCUCAGGCCUGAGAGAGUGAUAAAUUGCUCUAUGUAAUGCAGCUUUAAUAGCUUCAUAUUCAAACAAUCCUUGGAGUUUCUCUGGAAUUUUUUUGCAUGAUGCAUGACAAUGAAAAGAAAUGAUAAGCUCUUGGGAAAACAUCACCAACAGCAAUUUGCAAGAUUCUACAUUGGUCAGUGAUGAUUGUUUGUGGAGAGCGCCCUAACAUACAUGUAAGCCACGCCGUAAACAACCAUGUAUAUGAUUCUAUGGUCUCACUGGCAAGUAAACCACAACCCAACAACACUGAUUGUCCAUGAUGAUUCACCCCAAUGAAUGAAACCAGUGGUACAUCAUAUCUUUCAGUCAGGCACGUAGUAUCAAUUAAGACCACAUCACCAAAGUACCUAUAUGCAACUCUUGACCUGGUAUCAGUCCAGAAUAGGUUUUUCAAGCAUCCCUUUUCAUUUAGAUCCACUACAUUAAAAAAGUUUGGAUCUGUCAACUGCAAAUGACAAAAGAAACUCUGGACAGCUUGUGCAUCUCCUGGUUUAAGCUUCAAUUGAUUUGAGCUAUUAACAUUAUUUCCAAAUACUCCAUUAACAUCUACCAUUUCCCUUGGUAUCAAUGAUAAGAGUUCGAAACAGUUUAAUUUUUUGAACUUCUUCAGCACUAUCUAAAUGCAAUGUUCUUUUGGUUCCAAUACCUAUGUGCUUAUGUGACUUGUAAAACUUUCCGCUUCUUGGGCUUAACAAGUGGUUAUGCUCAAGCUCGACUUCAAUGAUUCUCCACCUUUUGGUUUCCAUCAACCUAAACUUUAUCAUUGCUGGACAGCCAGUUCUUGUUUCUGGUCUUGGGCGGUUUGCCUCGCUUUUCUUCUUGAAGCCUGCACUACUACAGCUCAGCUUUCCUCUAUACUUUUCUCUACUCUUUCGGUACCAUGGAUUGCUAACUCUAACACCAAAACCCUGUUCCUUGGCAUAGCAAUUGUAAAAGUAAUAUACAUCAUCAUACAUCUCAAACUCCAUUCCAACAGUAGGAGGCAAGGGAUUUUGGAUUAUCCCAGUUUGUCCAACAUAUUCAGUCAUCGCACAAUCUCCUACAACCUCAAAAUCAUCAGUGUCAUCAUCACCUACUGGUUCGGUGUUGAGAGAAACUUCAUCCAUCUACAAUGGAUGUUCAAUGAAGUGAGCUUUAAGGAGAAAAAGCAAAAUCUGUUCAAGGAAUGAUAAUAUAAUCAUACAGUUACUUUCACAAAGCUUCAUAUUUCAUCACUGCUUUACCAACAUGCAACUGCCAGAGAACAAACAGACAUGUCAUAGACGCUUGAAUUAAGUAUUGGUACAAAUGAGCACACAUCAUGUGGGACAAAAUUUCAGUCACUAAACCCAAUACCACUUUUUACAUCAUACCAAGGAACAGAUUAAACCCGACACCUUCUUUUAAACCAUACCAAGGAACAGAUUAAAUCAUCAAUGAAAAAUUAAUCACAUAAUAACUUAACCAGACAAAUGAAGAGCCUGAAACAGCACAAAACUUGAAUCUGAUUAUGAUAAUUGUUGAGUCCUUGUAUCUACAGCUUUCCUUCAAUGAUAAGACAAUGAACAUAAACGAGACACAAAAAAAUUAUUUUAAACUGACAGCCCAUGAUAUAAAUCAAACAAAAUCAACUCCUUUUUUUACACAUUACAUCUCAUAUUCAUUUACAUUGAAACACAAAAAGGAAGCAGGAGUGGGAAAAAAACAACAGCAGAGGAACUUAUUUCCAUAAGGUUUACGAAAUAAGGAAUCUAUUAAAACCCAAAACUUGAGGUCACCACUAAGAAUUUGGUUCUCAUUAUUUUUUUCUUCAUUUUUCACCAAUUGAUGAACUUAAAAUACAAUCAUAAAUGAUAAAACCCCAUCUCCAUCUUUUUGAACUAGAGCUAAAGCAAAGCAUUUUAAGAUGUUUCAUCAUUUUUUUUUUUAAAAAAAACUCAAUAGUACAAUGUUUUUCAAUGCUAAAUGCACAAUUCAAUCUUCUCCUAAUUUACUCUAAUAAUCUCUUAAUUAAGGAAGAUUAAGCUUCAGUUGUAAGCUAAAACAAAUUUCUUAAAUCAAGCCCCAAUGCUUUAUGCUAUUCAACAAGGGCUCAUAAAUGAUAAAACUACUUCUAUAAAGAUACCCAUUUUCUAAAUUAAUUUCACAAACUGAAAUCAAACUCCUGAAACGUAACGAGCAUUAAUAUAAUCAAGCCCGAACAAGAAUUGAAAAAUGAUACAUAAACUCGUUUACACAUUUCGACAGACACUUUGCAAUCAAUGAGCAAAAAAUUAAUGGAGAAGAUAAAAUUCAAACGAAACAUGCCUUACAUUGAUAAAUUAGAAGGGCAAAAGAAAUUUUAGUACGAUAUGCGAUCAGGGUCUUGCCACGGUGAUGUUAUUUGUGAAGUUCGAGCGACUCAGCAGCCUUCGAGGUUGAAAAUUUGAUUGACCAAAAGCUUCCCGUUCGUUGAUUCUCUAAUAGUAGAAACGAGACUGGCAGUAUACACAAGAAGUUCGCCGAUUUUAAAUUCCGUUGUUUGAGAUGGAAAAUUUUUUGAAAAAAUUAAUGUGUUCGAUGAAAAUCAAAAUCUCAAAAACCUCUUGUUUUUCAUUUUUUUGGAAAAAACCAUUGAGAUCCUUACUAUUUUUUCUUAUAUCAUCUUCCUUAAUAAUUUGCAAAGUCUAUCGCAUAGCACCCAUGUAUGAUGUAUGCUGCGUUGUAAUUUACAAAAUUGCACAUGAAUAAAUCCAGCUAAAAUUUGUUAAAAGAAAAUAAUAAUAACAUGUUAAAACUUUAAAAUUUGAUUAUUCGAAGAAAUUUUAAUUUAGUUAAGUAGGUGACAUGAUAAUAAAUAGAUACGUAUAAUGUCCGAGAUUUUUUAUAAGAUUAAUAAAUAUGAUAAAUUUGGAUUAGUUCAAUUUUGACAUAAUUCAUAAUAAACACAGCUUGCUAAUCUAAAUUGCCACCGUUACUCAUCAUCAGGUACCUGUUUGAAAAAUAAUUACAAACAAUUUUAUUUGUGUUGUUUCUCUAAAAGUUUGAGACACAAAUGUUAUUUCAAAUUGAUAAAAGUACGAAAAUUCCCCCUUGCUCUUCAACUAAAAAUGAAACAUGCAAAUAUACACACUAAUUUAGAUGUGUGAAUAACAAAUAUGGAACGACACAUGCAAAGUCAUCUGUAUAAUUGAAACGCCAUGCACUAGUAGUAGGUAAGAGAAACCAAGGUUGAAGUUGCUCCAAUGGUUACUGUUAAUUUAUUUUUAUUUAUGAUUUUUUUUGUAAAAUGUAAGAAAUAUGUAGAAAUGUUGCCAGCAAUGAUUUUGGAACUUUGCAUAAAAUUUUUAUCAUUAUUGUUUUUGGUAUUAAGAAAUCCGAGGCGGUGAUUAGACGUAUGUUGCAACAAUUAAGAAAUUUCUUAUUGGAGAUAAUUUGGUAGGUUUGCAGCAAUUAGAGAAUAAUUUUCCUGCCAGUUAAUCAAUCAAUAAUAAAUUUCAAAUUGCAGAAAAUAAAAUAAUACAGCCUCACUUAGAAUCAUCUUUUCUAUCUCUUUCAAUUGUGGCAAUCAUUUGCAACAAAUAAAUCAAUUUGAUGCACAUCAUUUCCCCAAUUCAAAGUUCAAGUCACUGCUCAAUUACAGAGUAGUUAGUGGACAUGCAUGCAUGUUUAAUUAAGUACUGCAUUGUAGUAUCGAAAAUCAUAACAUCUCACCAAUAUCAGAUUAUUAACCAUGGAAAUCAUAUCACAAUAUCAUAUAGAAUUCACAAAUCUGAAAAUCAUCACCAAACAAGUACCCAGAGAAAUAAUCUCGUCAUAUCCAGACCUCAACGGACGGGCAAUGACGUACUAUUUGGGUAACGUCACACCCUGGAGCUACACGGAUAAAUAGGAAAAUACCAUCUCAUAUCUCAUCAUAUUUGUGCAUGCAUAAUCUAGUCCCCAAGGGACAAAAGCGCCCAAGCACACGGCCCAAAGCCUCUAUGUGUACUCAGACGGGCCCCAAAGGCCUGUAUCUCAUAUGUAUCAUAUGUAUCAUUUGUAUCUCAAUAUCUGUUUGUAUCUCAUUUCCGUAUAUCUAUAAUCAUCAUACCGCAUGCAUAUGCCCCCAAAAGACAAAAGCGCCCAAACACAUGGCCCAAAGCCUUUAUAUGUGUUUAGACGGGUCCCAAAAGCCUCUUAUCUCAUCUUAUCUGUAUCACUGUAUCUGGAGAGAAGGGUACUGUCUAAUGAUUUAAAAAACAAUCAUUAUACUCAUAUUUACAUACCUCUUAAUCAUAUUUGAAAUCAUAUCACAUUUGAAUCCACUUUUCUAAUCUUUAAAAUAUUAUCAUGCUUUAUUCAAAGUCGAUACGCAAAAUCAAUAACCAAACAUUUUAAAUCAAAUUAUUAACCAUGGAAAUCAUAUCACAAUAUCAUAUAGAAUUCACAAAUCUGAAAAUCAUCACCAAAUAAGUACCCAAAGAAAUAAUCUCGUCAUAUCCGGACCUCAACGGACGGGCAAUGACGUACUAUCUGGGUAACGUCACACCUUGGAGCUACACGGAUAAAUAGAGAAAUACCAUCUCAUAUCUCAUCAUAUCUGUGCAUGCAUAAUCUAGUCCCCAAGGGACAAAAGCGCCCAAGCACACAGCCCAAAGCCUCUAUGUGUACUCAGACGGGCUCCAAAGGCCUGUAUCUCAUAUGUAUCAUAUGUAUCAUUUGUAUCUCAAUAUCUGUCUGUAUCUCAUAUCCGUAUAUCUAUAAUCAUCAUACCGCAUGCAUAUGCCCCCAAAAGACAAAAGCGCCCAAACACAUGGCCCAAAGCCUUUAUAUGUGUUCAGACGGACCCCAAAAGCCUCUCAUCUCAUCUUAUCUGUAUCACUGUAUCUGGAGGGAAGGGUACUGUCUAAUGAUUUAAAAAAUAAUCAUUAUACUCAUAUUUACAUACCUCUUAUCAUAUUUGAAAUCAUAUCACAUUUGAAUCCACUUUUCUAAUCUUUAAAAUAUUAUCAUGCUUUAUUCAAAGUCGAUACGCAAAAUCAAUAACCAAACAUUUUAAUAAAAUACCAAUGCAUAAAUAAAAUUCAUUUCGAGAAAUCAUUAAAUCAGAACAUUUAAAAUACUUAUUUCGCAAACAUGCUUUACUAUCAUCGCUAACUAUGAAAAUAAGUUUUGUAUAUUCCACUUUCAGUGAUGGUGUUCACGGUCGGUUAUCGUCCAUAUCUGCAGACCGAUUCUCGCUCGCGAAUCCUCCUAAAUCAAGGAAACGACAUAAUUAUUUUUUGUAAAUCGGAAUUAUGACUAAAUUUUAUGCAAUAAACUCAAAACGAACAUCUAUUCAUAAUUGACAACUCCUAUAUCCAUAAAAUUACUAAAAUAUCCUUGAGUCCGUAGAUCAUUAACAUGCUCCGAAAUCGUAAAUCACUGAAUUACCCUCGGAAUCGUAAUUACACCCGAUCCUCAAUUAUAGGAAUUACUAACAGAUCCACAGGCUUAGAAAUUACAAAAUUGCCCUCGUAGUGUGAAAUUACCAAAAGCCGGAAGUUGGUCAACAAUGGCUAGGAAGCUCAAAUCGUAAAGUUCCAAUCACGCUGAGUUCAAUGGUACCGGCGGUGAGCUCCAACGCGCGACAACGAUGCCAGAAUCUAGCUCGGCAGCCGUGAAUUCCACCAAUCGACCGGCGGCACAACAGUGACUCUCGGUGCCUAUGGAUGGUCGAAAAUGGAAGAGGGAGCCGUGGGGAACAAAAUCCAACCGGUGGUGUCACCAAAACCGGUGAAAAUCCCGGCGGAGCAAAGUGAAACAGUCGCGGGUUUCAUGCUUCGAUCGCCGGUGUUCCGAUUGGUUUUUGGCGAGGAGGAUGGCAAGGGAACGACAGCCGGCUUCUAAGCUUCAGAUUGGUACCAAGCUCGGCCGAAACGAUGGCCGGAAAUGGGAGAUAUGACCGGGUCAAGGUCGCGGGUUCCGGGUCGGGUUUUUUGGUCUGUAGUUGGGUCGGUUUGGUAGCUUCUCUCUCACUCUCUGUUACACGUGCAUAUGUUUCCUCUGUUUCCAGCUUAUUCUUUUGCUUUUACUAACUUCUUAACCGCCUCAUACUUAUUCAUUUUUAAUUCACAUAUGUUACAAUAAUUCCCGAGUAUUAAAUAACCAGUGGUCAUAAUUUUUGUACAAGAUUCUUUUUUUUUUUUGGAGAUCGUUAAAAGUGGUUGACGAUCCAUUUCGUAAUAUCAUAGAGGGAUCAUCAAUUCCUUUUCUUUUCUGUGGCUAGGCAACACUUUUUGGCCAAAGUAAGGAAAUCUAUUUUAGGUAAUGUAAAAACCAGUUGUAGGAUGUAAUAGUUUAUUAUGCACUGACAAUAACUUUUUGUAUAAUUGUCAGUUUAAUGAAUGCAAGAGGAACUCUGUUGGCAAAUUCAUCCAAGAUAGAUGCUAAAAUUAUUUAUGCAUGCCAGUUGCCUUAACUAAGUUUUCUCAGCACUGGUUUUGAACAGGAAAAUGAAUAUGCAAUUUGUAUAUUGUGCCAUAGUGGAGAAUUUGGAUAUUCUUAUUUAAGUAACAAGGAGAUUAUUUGCCUCAUCUUUAAACAAUGAAUCUUUGAGAGAUGAGGAGUGGGUGAUUGGAUGUGUCUUCAUGUAAUUGUUCAUUUAUUUGUAUUUUGAACUGUUAUGAAAAUCUUUAUAUGCCAAAUUAGUAAUACAAGUAUUCAGAUGAUUUUUCCUAUUGAUCAUGCAUUUGUAUCUGCCCACAACCAUUGUAUAUCACUUUAUUCUGAUGCGCAAGCAUCUGUAAUUUAGAAGAAAAGAAAUAAUAAUCAUAUUUUAUUGCUUGGUUCAUGAUUAUUAACGAUUAUGGCUUUAAAAAUCUACAAAUUUCUUGUGUUCAUGUAUGAAUGUGCCAAGUUUGCUGUAUCUUAGAUUACCUUCUUCCAAGGUAACAAGUUCAUAUAUAUAUAUUUUUUAAAUCAUUUUCCAUUACAGUUGAAUUUCAAGUGUUAGUUUUGUUAUUAGUACCUGGUUUCCUGUUAUAAGGAUCUAAUAAACAGUGUACGGAUAUGUGCUCUACUUUUGGAGGGCUUCCACGUGAAAGAAAAUUACAACAAUUGAAUUCUUCCGGAGGAUAUGGUAAUUAAUUUAUUUUCUCAACUUCUUGUAAGACUAAUAUAUUUCCUUCAGUAGGCACAGCAUGGUGGGAAGGGUUUUUAUUGAAAGAAUUCUGAUAUUUCUUAGACUUUGUUUUGGAAGGGGGUGGAGGAAUUUCUCAUCCAUAUAUGGUUACUUGAUUAGCUUUUGACUGUAUUGUCUCUGUCGUGCAAAGGAAAAUCUAAAUACUAACGAUGGGGAAUUGCUUAGGCACCCAAAAGGCAGAAAUGAAUUACAGAAGGAAGUUUUUGCUGCUUUAUUUAGUGCUGCUGAGAAAUCUGAUGAAUUUCCUGAAAUUACGGUGAAGACCGAGUGGAGGUCCAAAGCAUUAGGAAAGGUGGUGAGUGAACUGCCGGAGGAAUUUGUACCAAAAUACAAGGCUAAUGUGGUGCACUUGCAGCAAGAUAACCAGACCGGUAUGUGCUCUUAUAUUAACUAUAUUGACUGGAUUUGUGAGUGUGUGCAUUUUUUUGUGUAUACUCACUUUUGUAUUUAUGCAUAUUAACAUGUGUAGGAUUCUUGAUUUCUGCCACUUACUGGAGAACUAGUGGAAAGCUUUAUAUUGAUAUAUCUGCAAUAACUAAUGGAAACUAUGAUAUGAAUAUUUUCUCUCACCUGGGGAGCUGUGUAACAGAUAUACUUUGUGGCUCUGGAAUGCUGAAGAUUCUGCAAUAACUAAUGGAAAAUAUGAUAUGAAUAUUUUGUCUCACCUGGAGAACUUUGUUACAGAUACCCUUUGUGGCUCUGGAAUGUCUAAAGAAUGCUUUAGUUAGAUCAAAUAUCUUUUAGUUAGAAAAGAUAAAAUUCUCUGAGUCUGAAAGACUGAAACAUUUUGCAUAUUUUGUGAAAGGGAAAUAUCUGUUGAUACUAGCUCAUGCAUUGAGGUAAUAUCGAUGUUAAAGAAAAACAGCAAUGAUUUAUGAUAUAGAAUUGGGUUCACUUGCUUCAAAUGCUGGUCUGAUCAACCAUAUCAACCUGUAAUGAUUCUGCAGAAAUAUAUAUACAUGGAGAAAGUAGCUAAAUUUUUCUUUCAUUUAUGGGUUCGGUCUUUUUUCCCCUUAUUUUUCAGCUUUCCUUCUCCUGAAGUAUGUUAACAAUUGCAGAUAAUGAUGAAGACGACAGCUUCCGGGCUCUCCUUAGAGCCGUGAUGGAAUAUAGGGGCACAAUGAAGGAAUAUUGUAAAGCUGUAGGUACUUUUUCUCCUUUCAUUUAUGUUUUCUCACACAUUUUGUAUAUGCCCUGAACAUGCACCUUUGUAUGUAUCAAUUGACUUUUAAAUUUUAAAAGCCAUAAAGUAAGAAUACGGUUCCUUGUCAGGCUACUGAUGACAUUCGCUCAGGGGGAUCAUGUUCGAGCAGGAAAAUUUCUAGAACAGGUAAGGUUUCCAUCUACAGCCAUCCAUUGACAGCAGAUACAUUUUCAUUCAGCAGACUCUGUUAGCAUUCAAGAUGCUGGCAGAUUCACUUGAUUCUUAUUAGCUUGUUUAGUGGCAAAGCCUAUAACCUGUAUUUCAAAGCCAAGUUGUGCUAUUGAUUAUGUUAACUUUUUUGUUAACAUAAAAUGAUAUGGAGGAAAUAAUCAGUGUUGGAAAAUUAGGUGAAAAGAUGAUGUCAAAUCUUGAACCUCUUACGAAACUCUAAGUUCUUUACUUGAAGAGGCUACGAAAUUUGAACAGCGUCUACUCGAAGGCCUUGCCAUUCCCUGAUGCAUGCAGAAUUUUUGUAUUUAAAUGCCCAGAGCUUAAGAAGCUGCCACUGGAUCUUGAAGGGGCAGACCAAGGUAAAAAUCUUAUCAAGGGAAAGGAAGAUUGGUGGAAACAACUUAAUGGGAGGAUCAAGUAACUCAGAAUGCAUUGCUUCCAUUUUUUAAAUUGACUGACAAGUGAUUGAACGGGGCAUCAUCAACAUCAUCAACAGGGAUGGAGAGAUACCGGAGCAGAUCAGCAGGGUUUGAAUAUGACCUUUGGCGGUUGCUUUUUUUUUGUGAUUUUUUUUUCAUUUUUUCCUUCCUGUCAUUUUAUCAUUUCUUUCUCUGUUUCUAUUGCGGGUGUUACUGCAUGCUUACUGUUGCUUGACAAAGUUUGCUAGCUUUUUGUUUGCAGUGUUGCUAUACACUCCGAGUCAAGCCUCGAAAAUUUAUUAAACGAAGCCGUUUCGACAGUAACAAUUCUUUUCUUUUCCCUUUGCAUGUCUCUUUCAUCUGCUGUUUCUCUAUCACUUUUCAUUUUUGAUUUCCUUGCUUCUCAGCUGCCCCUAAAUUGUUAUUCUAGCAAUAUACUUUCUCAUCUUUGAAUUUUCAUCCUUGAGUACUCCCACAGCCGUAAUUUCAUCAUCAUAGACUUCACUUGGAAUGCUGUAUUUUUUCGAUUCUUGAGCUACUUCAAUUACAUCUUAGUAUAGGAUCCUCAUCUUCCUUUAUUUCUUCAUCUUAUGAGGUAAUAAAUGGAUUUCACAACUCAUCUACUUUUAAGCAAUUACAUAUUAUACCUUGAAUGAUUCAACUGUUCUGACAGUUAAAGAUUUUAUGCUCAACCUGCAGUGCUACGAACAUUGUCCAUGAAAGAUGAGUUUCAGCAUAUAAAAUGAAAUAUAGAUGUUUAAUCUAAAAUAACCCUUCACUGCCAGAAACCUAGGUCACAAAAUUCACAGAUAAUGAUAAAGAGCUAAAAAAUUUGAAAAACUCUACAGAUCACACAUCAAGCAAGAUAUCAUGUUUUUUUCCCUCAUUCAGUGGUGAUUGAUUCGCUUUUUGAUGAUGGAUAUGGUAUAAAAGUGUUGACCCAAUUUCAAGCAAACACAAAUAGAAACACAAACACAAUCGGGACUAGAGUUGUGGGCGAUUAUCUUAGGUGUACAAGUGAAACGGUGGUGGCUGUCGAUGGUGGUAGUGGGGUGGUUGGGUAUGCGUGAUGGCUAGAUUUUAGGACAAUAAUGAUUGGAGUUGACCUCAAUCAACGAAGGAAAGUGACAACAAUUUUGACAUCAAACGGUGCAUUUUUUAGCUUAGUAAAAUGGAGCCGUUUCGAUUUUGGGGUUUAAUCCGGGGUUUGACUCGGUGCAAGUAUCAUUUUCCUUUUGUUUAUUAAAUUUUUUUAUGGUCACAAAGUAUCACUCGUUCUAUUUGAGAGUCAUGUGAAUCAAUUUUUCAAAUUUUCAAUUUUAAAUUUUGUGGUCAAUGUGAAUUCAAUUUCAUUUGUCUCCUGCAAUUAUGAAAAAAUUAAAUAGUCAUAAUAUGGAAAAAUACACCGGUAAAAACUUUGUAAAAGCUUCGGAGUGAUACGGGGAAUUCACUUACUACUAAGGACAAUUGGUGGCAAGCUAUUCCAUUCAUUUUAUGUCCAUCCAUCUAUUUAGUUAUUGAAGAUAAGUGGUCCAUUUGUAAAUUUCAGAUUGUCUCUCUCUCCCUCUUGAAAUAACAAUAUUUAAUAUAUCUCAUAAAUUAUUAUAAAUUUUAAUUUACUCUCGAUUUAAAAUGGAGCAUGUCGAUAAAUUUUUUUUCUUCUUAAUAAAAUUGACGUAAGUUGUGUUUACAGUAGUUUGAAGUUUGAAAUAUUUUAAAGAUUAUUAUUCUAUAAGGGAGUAAUAUGAAAUGAUAUUUACUUUUCAUGUGUGAAAUGAAAAAGGACGAAGCAAGUGUCCCUGCUUUUAUUUUAUUUCAAGGAGGAGUCAUCUCACAUACUUUAGCUCUUAACAUUACAUUUUUUCUGGUUACAUUUUUUAUUUAUUUAUUUUUUUUUUUUUACACAUGCGUGUGGGUUGCUUUUCUGUAAGCUCCUUAAUAUAUAUUUAAGACAAAUCAUGGAAGAGAUGGGAUUAUAUCAAGAUGAUCAAAGAAUGUUAAAAAAGAAAAAAGAAAAAAAAAAGAAGUAAGACACUGAAAAUGGAGAAGAGAUGGAAGCAAAAGAUAUUCCAAAACAAAGCAAUCUAUCCCCUUUCGAGGGCAGACUUAUCAGGUUUAAAAAAGUACACGCUUUGGAUUGGUAGUUGCAAUCAAGGGAAAAUAAAUAGGAUCCAAUGAAAUUUAAAUCUCGGAGAAAAUAAAUAAUCAUGCAGAUUUUCAAGAUUUUAAUAAGGGAUACUAAUAUCUUAUUUUGAUUAAUAAUAUCCUUUCAUUGUGUUAACUCAAAAAAUAUAUAUUUUAAUGUUUUGCAAUAAACAGAAACGUACUAUUAAAAUGAAUAUAUAAAGAAUUUAGAAAAUUUUGAAUGUUAUAUAAAAUAAUUUUAAGAUAAUGCGUGAGAUAUAUUUUAUUAAUUUAAAAUGUUAUUUUACCUAAAAAAUAUGAUAAAUUAAUAAUUACAUAUUUGAAGUUAUUUUAAAUAUUAAAAAAAUUUAAUAUUAUUAAUCUUUUAGAUAGAUUAAAUUAUUUUUUAUAAGAGAUAGAUUAAAUUAUUUUAAAAUACGUUAAUUGUUUUUACUUUUAACGUUACCGGCCUUUCUUUUAUUUUAUUGCAAAUUAAUGCUAACAAGAAAAAGCUAGAUCAUAUUCCACAAAAGCAAAAGUGACAAACACAACCAGCUGGAAUCUUUUAAUUACUAUUCAAUAAUUCGAGACGAUUAGGGUCUUUUAUUAAACUACAAAUUGUAUAGUCUUUUUAAAAUUGUUAUAAAUUGGUGGCACCUACAAUCCUCAAUAAUUGUACCGAUAUUCACAAGUUGGUGGCCCCUACAAUUCUGUUCGGAUAAUUUAACUGUGCAAGUGCUCAUUCACAAUAAUUGUUUUGUUUUUUUUUUCUGCAUUCCCUUUCAUGCUCUUAAUAAUUGAAGAGCAUACUUUUCAUUUUCAAAUGUGGAGCCGCAGCUAAUGUCGCUAAUUUAAUUUGGGAUUAAAUUAGGGGACCAUUAUAUUGCAGUGUGCACUAAUUUUUGUGUUUAUCUAAACUCCUUAAAUUUAAGACAUAUUAUGGCAUAAAUAAGAAUAUAACAAUAGCAAAAGAGUUAAAAAGUGUAGAGAAGAUCUUGCAGAAAUAUAAAUAAUAUCUAUUUUAAAAUAAUAUCAAUAUUUAAAAUAAUUUUUAAUAUUUUAUGAUUCAUUAGAUAUAUUUUAUUAUAUUAAAGUAAAUUUUAUAAUAAAUAAAAACAUACUAUUAAAAUGAAUAUAUAGAAAAUUUAGAGUAUUUUAAGUAUUAUAUAAAAUAAUUUUAAUAAAAUAUGUGAGAUAUUCAUAUUUUAUUAAUUUAAAAUACCAUUUAACCUAAAGAUUUAUUUAUGAUAAAUUAAUAAUUAUAUUUUUGAAGUUACUUCAAAUAUUAAAAAUAUUAAUAUUACUAAUCUAUUAGAUAGAUUAAAUUAUAUAUAUUAUUUUCUAUUUAUUAAAAAAUUUAAAAUUAUUUUUAAUUACUAUUCAAAAAAUAUAAUGAUAAAAAAGAAUCUUAACAUCUUUAUUAAAAAUUUAAAAAUUUACAUGAUCAAUUCUCUAAAUAUUUAGGGUUAUAUGUGAACAACGGUGGAGAAGCUUUAUUUAAUAUUAUUGAUUUAAAUAAUAUGUCAAUUAAAAAUGUACAGAGAAGGAAAUUUCGGUGGGUAUUUUAGUCUUUUCAGCAAUUAUCAUGAUCAGAUCAGCCUUUAGCCUUGAAUCGUCGGUCAGAAAAGUUUUAAAAUUAACGCUAACAAGAAAAAGCUAGGUCAUAUUCCACAAAAGCAAAACUGACAAAACAACCAGCUGGUUUCUUUUACUAAACUACAAAUUAAAAGUGGAUUCUUUUGAAUGCAAGUGGGACAGACGAUUAGGCUCUUUUUAUUAAAGGCAAGUAAAAACUAGUCGAAUAGUCUUUUUCAAAUUGUUGUUUUAUUAUUUUUCCUUCAAAAGUUAGUGUGGCUCAUGUUUGCAGGUGCGAAUGUGGGUCCCGAAUCAUUACUAAAAUUUCUAUUCCACAGCCCACCGCAGCUUCAGUUAAUCAAACUCAAAUCAAUUUUCUUUCUUAACAAAAUAUUCCAAAGAUGUGUAGCAUUUUUCAGAUCACAUGCGAUGGUGCUCUUUUCAAUCGUUGCUUGGAUUGCUUUCUUGGAAAAGCAGCAUACAUACGUAACCUCCAAGAUAAUGUUGAUACCUUGGGCACUGAAUUGGGAAAUCUGAUCGCUAGAAAGAACGAUCUGAUGAGGAGGGUUGUCGAUGCUGAACGGCAACAAAUGAGAAGGCUGGACGGAGUGCAAGUGUGGGUUUCGAGGGUGGAUUCUGUUAAAACUGAAGCUGAUCAAUUUAUAAGAGACGGCUCUCGAGAAAUUGAAAAAUUAUGUGUUGGAGGCUACUGUUCCAAGAAUUGCAUGUCAAGCUACAAGUUCGGGAAAAAAGUGGCUAAAAAGCUACGGGAUGUGCGGACUUUAAUCAGUGAAGGAGUUUUUGAGGUGGUGGCUGACAGAGCUCCAGAGUCUGUAGCAGAUGAAAGACCUACUGAGCGAACAGUAGUAGGCUUGCAAUCACAACUUGAACAAGUCUGGAGAUGUCUUGUAGAAGAAUCAGCGGGAAUCAUUGGCCUAUAUGGUAUGGGCGGUGUUGGUAAAACUACACUACUGACCCAUAUCAACAAUAAAUUUCUCGAGAGUCCAACCAACUUUGAUUGUGCGAUUUGGGUUGUAGUUUCAAAAGACCUGCGACUCGAAAAAAUUCAAGAAGAUAUUGGGAAAAAGAUAGGUUUGGUUGGUGAUUCAUGGAAGAGUAAAAGUGUAGAGGAGAAAGCUGUCGACAUCUUCCGGAGUUUAAGAGAGAAGAGAUUUGUAUUGUUGUUAGAUGAUAUAUGGGAGCGGGUUGAUUUAACAAAGGUGGGCAUUCCACUUCCCGGACCAAAAAAUACUACCUCAAAAGUCGUAUUCACAACCCGUUUCAUCGAUGUUUGUGGUAGCAUGGAAGUUGACAGGAAGUUUCAAGUAGCAUGCUUAUCAGAAAAGGAUGCUUGGGAACUGUUUCGAGAAAAAGUUGGGGAGGAAACUCUUCAGAGUCAUCAUGAUAUCGAUGAGCUAGCCCAAAUUGUGGUCAAAGAGUGUGGUGGUUUGCCACUCGCACUUAUUACUAUUGGUCGAGCUAUGGCCUACAGAAAGAAAGCGGAGCAGUGGAGACGUGCAAUUGAAGAGUUAAGGAGAUCAGCUUCAGAGUUUGCAGGUUUGGGAAAAGAGGUUUAUCCUCUUUUAAAAUUCAGCUAUGAUAGUUUGCAGAAUGAUACGGUUAGAUCUUGUUUCUUGUACUGUUGUUUAUAUCCUGAAGAUUAUGGCAUUCUUAAAUGGGACUUGAUUGAUUGUUGGUUUGGCGAGGGAUUUUUUGGGGAAUCUGACAGGUCUGGUGCAGAAAACCAAGGAUAUGACAUUUUGGACACUCUUGUUCGUGCGUGUUUAUUAGAAGAGGUGGAAGAUGAUGAAGUAAAAAUGCAUGACGUUAUUCGUGAUAUGGCUAUAUGGAUAACUUGUGAAAUUGAGAAGGAGAAGAGAAACUUUUUGGUUCGUGCAGGUGCUGGAUUAAAAGAUGCACCGGGUGUUAAAGGAUGGGAAAAUGUGAGAAGAUUGUCAUUGAUGCAAAACCAAAUUGAAACUCUGGCAGAGGUUCCCACAUGCCCUCAUCUCCAUACUCUAUUUCUUGACUUUAAUAGGGGGUUGGAUAUGAUCGCGGAUGGCUUCUUUCAAUUUAUGCCUUCUCUCAAAGUUUUGAAGAUGUCAAACUGUUCGAAUUUGAAAUUACCUGUUGGGAUGUCAGAGUUGGGUUCAUCACUAGAACUUCUUGAUAUUUCAGAAAACAGCACAAGAGAGUUACCGGAAGAGUUAAAGAAGUUGGUAAAUCUGAAAUGUUUGAAUUUGAGGUGGACAGAGCAUUUAAAUAAAAUUCCACGGCAACUAAUAUCAAAUUCUUCAAGGUUACGUGUGUUGAGAAUGUUCGCUACUGGCCGGUUCAAUUUUCAUGAAGCACCAGAAGACAGCGUUUUAUUUGGUGGGGGUGAAGUUUUGAUACAGGAAUUGCUCGGUUUGAAAUAUUUAGAGGUAUUGGAGUUGACCUUGGGAAGUUAUCAUGCUCUCCAAAUUCUUUUGAGCUCAAAUAAGUUAAAAAGUUGUAUUCGAUCUCUUUACCUCGAGUUGACCGGAGAUACAACGUCAAUUAUUGAUGCUACGGCUUUCGCAGAUCUAAACCACCUCAAUGAAUUACGGAUUGAUAAUGGUAUUGAGUUGGAAGAGUUGAAGAUUGAUUAUACGGAGAUAGUACGAAAAAGGCGGGAACCUUUUGUUUUCCGCAGCCUUCAACGUGUUACCAUAGCGGAGUGCCAUAAAUUGAAAGAUGUGACAUUCCUCGUUUUUGCUCCAAACCUCAAGUCUCUUCGGCUAUUCUAUUGCGGUGCUAUGGAAGAAAUAAUCAGCGUCGGAAAAUUUGCUGAGACUCCUGAGAUGAUGGGACAUAUAAGCCCUUUUGAAAAUCUCCAAAUGCUUGAUUUACAAGGUUUGCCACAUUUGAAGAGCAUCUUCUGGAAGCCAUUGCCUUUCACUCAUCUGAAAGAAAUGGAGGUACUUAGGUGCGAUCGGCUUGAAAAGCUUCCACUCGAUUCCAACAGUGCAAAGGAGCGCAAAUUUGUUAUUCGUGGAGAAGAAGACUGGUGGAACCGACUUCAAUGGGAGGAUGAAGCCACUCAAAUUGCUUUUCGUUCCUGUUUUAAAAGUGAUGCUUUAUUUAUAUCUUAUUCGUGAAAAGUGAUUUAAUUUCCUGCCAAAAGACGAACGAGAAGAACAAUAGAGUCAAACUAAUGCUCACAUAAAUUUCCCGUAAGAAUAUAUAAUUAGAUUGGAAUGCACACCUCUAGAUUGAACAGAAUUAAAGCUGAGAAAAUAUUGAGUAUAGUAGCCCUCUUUACAGAAAAUGACGUGAAAGUUAAUUUAGAAAGAUAUAUUCUUGAUUAAUCCAUUUUCUGAAGUUUUUAUUUUGUAUGGUCAAUUAUACCUUCAUACUAAAAAUUUCUGAAGUUAUAAAUUAGUGCAACUUGACAAUUUUUACUGAUGAUAUCUUCUAUUUUUCCCUUUUUUUUUUUUUCACUUUCAUAGACUGGCAGCGGAUCCUGCGGCACCAAUUUGAGAGAAUAUACUGACACUACUUCGAACAGCAAGCAGAAGAAGUAAUAUGUCUACGGCAAAGGCAAUGGAGUCCUCAUUUUGGCUCGAGAUGCAGUAAUCAUCGAAGAGAGUUUCCUUGUGAAACUGGGCAACACAUUGAAUCCCUUCACCACUGAGAAGGUUGUGGAGGAAGUAAGCUUUCUCUCCAGUGAGGAAGAGGUGGCAUAUACCUUCCCCAUUUUGUUGAGGGCAGGUAGGAAUCUUUUUUCUAAGAGAUUUACUUCGUUCUCUGUAAGAAAUGCUUUGAACUUCAUCCCUCUGUCUCUAUCCUCACUUAUCAGGAAAUAAGUUGAAAGCACUAUGAAGAGAGAGAGAGAGAGAGAGAGAGAGAGAGAGAGAGAGAAUUAAGAUAUAUAGACAAGAAAAAUAUUUGACGUUGAUCUUACAAACUAAUACUUCAAGCAGUAUCCUAGAAAGCUAAAAACUGCAAGAUGGCUUGAAAUUUGAAAAGAGCACAUGCUUUUCCUCCUUAACUUGAGAAAAUGUUUAAUAUAGUGCACCUUACAGAAGCAUUUAAGCAAUUAGAACUUUGCACAAAAACAUCAAGAAGACUAAACAAGUCAGAUGCAGUGUAUUUGUCCAAGCACAAAUUGCAUUUUUUCCUCAACUUUAAUAUUUAUUGAUGAGAAUCAAUACAGGUCCCUCAUUUGUUAUAGAAAGCUUUCUUUCUUGUAGUCUCACCAGUUAAUUCAGAGGUCUAUAAUCAUCUUGCAAAGUUAAGGGCAUUUCUUUUGAUCUAAAGUCUUUGCAUCACCACCUCAUCACACGCCAAGCCAAUAUUCCAUUUACCUCUACAACAAAAAGUUUUAAUUAAACAAUCCUAAUGCACGCAGCCAAAUAAAAUGCAGUAAGAAUAUUCAACUUAAAAAUCUGAAAGCCAACUUGGUGAAUUGCCUCCUUAGGUGAAGUUCCAUGCUUUACUAUAGUUGACAGAACUCAGCAAAAGCUUCCAUACAACAGAUUUUGAAAAUGAUGAUGCCAACAGAUACUCAUUCAAUGCAUUGAAACUCCAAAGGUUCAUUGUUCAUAGAAGUUUACAGAGUUUUGGUCAUCAAAUAGCUCAGACCUAAUCCCAAACAAAAAAUGAGUGAAAAUUAGAUCACGAGCAGCUAAUUGUAAAUUCUAACUUAACUCUUCAUCUCCUUUGUAAACAAGAAACAAAAUGGAGACACGCAAAAUGAAUAUGGAGAAAAUUUGAACUCAAAUGAAAUGAGGGCAUGAAAGCAAACAAAUGGCAUGCACCAAAAAACCAAGCCUCAAUCAAAAACUAAUUAACCAUUAAGAAAAAAAUUGGUCAGAGAAUGAACUCCAAAUUCAGGAGUCAAGCAAGAAGCUUUCAUUAUUAUCAAAGUCAAUUAUCUUUGUUAGUAUGCGAGUGUGACGACUAUAGGUUGUUCUUUUUCUAAUGUCAUAUGAUUCCAAUUUUAGGUACAGGGCAUCUCUCUCUCUCUCUCUCAUCGCUAAGUGGAUAUUUUUCUCUUUUGUCAUAUACUUUAGUUAUUCUUCAAUUUACUAACUAAAAUGAAGGCCGCUUUAUUAAGAAGUUAUAUCCAGUUAUAUAAUUUGUUGUAUUUAAUAUAUGUUUGGGCUCAUAAUUUUUUUUAAAAAUAUAUAUUUCAUUCUCCAUAAUUUUUUCCCAUCAUAGCUACGAAACGUCUUAGUUUCGACUAAAAUCCUAAAAUUGGUCCUUAAUUGAAUAUGCAUUGCAAUUUGCAAAUGUAAUAUUGUGAAUGGGACACUGGAGAUACCAAAAUGGUCAAAUGCGAAAUAAGUUAGGAUUGUACGAUGUAGUUUGUAUUCAUAUUCAAUGCCUUUUUUUUCAAAAAACAAAUUGAAAUGCCAUUACUAAACGAUUCUUGAUGAUGGGAGCCACCGUGCCAGCUUUGUCGCUGAUUUGGUAUUAUUCUUAACUUGCAGAUAGUUGUGGAUAUGAUAUGCAAAAAGGUAAGGACUAUAUCUUCUUGAUGGAGGCCUCUGAUUUUUUCCCUUCUAUGUAAUUUAGUAAAUCGCAUUUUCCCUUGUGAUUGAUAUAUCAUACCAAAGUCAAGUCUUAAAUACUGCUGUCAUAUGUUAAGGUUCAACUUCCAUUUUGAUUAACGUCCAUUUGCUGCUGCUUCCAAAAGUGAGAAUGAGAUACUUUGGUUAAUUUCAGUAGUUGAACCCAAUAGAGUACUUUAUUUAGAUCUUCAUGGUUCAAAGGCCUGAAAAAACUUGCCGGUAUUUGCAAAAUGACAUUCUGUGCUUUUAUUUAGGCUUAUUAUUUAAGUGAUAAAAACUCCCGUAACCUGCUGUCAAGAAAAUUUCAGAUUGUUAAAAGACAACAUUUUGUUUCAGCCAAAAAUGUUUGUUUCGAUUAAAGACUUGAACCAUUUUCAUUUAACCUUGAUUGUGAUGCUUUACAUUAUGCAUGUUCCUCUCAAUCAAUAAAAGUUGAGGUCAUGAUUUUAUAUUUCUAUUUUGUAACUUGAAAUAAUUGGUCUGCCUGUUUCUGUAGCUUGAUAACAUGAAUUUUUCCUUCUGAAGUUAAUUUGAUCAAUAAAGUAAUUCUUCGGAGAUGAUAUGCCCAUUCUAUAGUCAUUUUCUUAGGUAACAUGUUUUUUCUUCACUCUUCAGAGCAUGUCUAAACUAAUUGAUCGCUCAGCGGAGACUUUGGGUGAGAAGACAAAAUUUCUUGGUAAAUCCUCUAAAAAGGUAUGCAUAAUUCCCGAGUAUUAAAUAAUCAUUGGUCAUAAUUUUUGUACACAACUCUUUUUUUGGAGAUCGUUAAAAGUGGUUGAUGAUCUAUUUUGUAAUAUCAUAGAGGGAUCAUGAAUUCCUGUUCUUUUCUGUGGCUAGGCAACACUUUCGGGCCAAGCUAAGGAAAUCUAUUUUAGGUAAUGUGAAAACCAGUUGUAGGAUGUAAUAGUUUAUUAUGCCCUGACAAUAACUUUUUGUAUAAUUGUCAGUUUAAUGAAUACAAGAGGAACUCUGUUGGCAAAUUCAUCCAUGAUAGAUGCUAAAAGUAUUUAUGCAUACCAGUUGCCUUAACUAAUUUUUCUCAACACUGGUAUUGAACAGGAAAAUGAAUAUGCAAUUUGUAUAUUGUGCCAUUGUGGAGAAUUUGGAUAUUCUUAUUUAAGUAACAAGGAGAGUAUUUGCCUCAUCUUUAAACAAUGAAUCUUUGAGAAAUGAGGAGUGGGUGAUUGGCAGUGUCUUCAUGUAAAUGUUCAUUUAUUUGUAUUUUGAACUAUUAUGAGAAUCUUUGUAUGCCAAAUUAGUAAUACAAAUGUUCAGAUGAUUUUUCCUGUUGAUCAUGCGUGUGUAUCUGCACACAACCAUUGUGUCCCACUUUAUUCUGAUGCACAAAUAUCUGUAGUUUAGAAGAAAAGAAAUAAUAAUCAUAUAUUAUUGCUUGGUUCAUGAUUAUUAAACGAUUAUGGCUUUAGAAAAUCCACAAAUCCUUUGUGUUCAUAUAUGAAUGUGCGAAGUUUGCUAUCUCUUAGAUUACCUUCUUCCAAGAUAACAAGUUCAUAUAUUUUUUUUAAUCCUUUUUCAUCACAGUUGAAUUUCAAGUGUAAGUUUUGUUAUUAAUAGCUGGUUUCCUGUUAUUAUGAUUUCAUAAACAGUGAGAGGAUAUGUGCUCUACUUUUGGAGGGCCUCCACAUGAAAGAAAAUUGCAACAAUUGAAUUCUUCCGGAGGGUAUGGUAUUUAAUUUAUUUUCUCAGCUUGUUGUAAGACUAAUAUAUUUCCUUCAGUACCCAAAAGGACAGAAAUGAAUUACGGAAGGAAGUUUUUGCUGCUUUAUUUAGUGCUGCUGAGAAAUCUGAUGGAUUUCCUGAAAUUACGGUGAAGACGGAGUGGAGGUCCAACGCAUUAGGAAAGGUGGUGAGUGAACCGCCGGAGGAAUUAGUACCAGAAUACAAGGCUAAUGUGGUGCACUUGCAGCAAGAUGACCAGACCUGUAUGUGCUCUUAUAUUAACUAUAUUGGUUGGAUUUGUGAGUGUGUACAUUUUUGUGUGUAUACUCACAUUUGUAUUUAUGCAUAUUAACGUGUGUAGGAUUCUUGAUUUCUGCCACUUACUGGAGAACUAGUGGAAAGCUUUAUACUGAUAUAUGUGCUAUAACUAAUGGAAACUACAAUAUGAAUAUUUUCUCUCACCUGGAGAACUGUGUAACAGAUAUAAUUUGUGGCUCUGGAAUACUGAAGAUUCUGCAAUAACUAAUGGAAAAUAUGAUAUGAAUAUUUUUUCUCACCUGGAGAACUUUGUAACAGAUACAUUUUGUGGCUCUGGAAUGUCUAAAGAAUGCUUCAGUUUAGAUCAAAUAUCUUUUAGUUAGAAAAGAUAAAAUUCUCUGAAUCUGAAAGACUGAAACAUUUUGCAUAUUUUGUGAAAGGGAAGUAUCUGUAGAUACUAGCUCAUGCAUUGAGGUAAUAUCAAUGUUAAAGAAAAACAGCAAUAAUUUAUUAUACAGAAUUAGGUUCACUUGCUUUAAAUGCUGGUCUGAUCAACCAUAACAACCUGUAAUGGUCCUGCAGAAAUAUAUAUACGGGGAGAAACUAGCUAAAUUUUCCUUUCACUUAUGGGUUUGGUCUUUUUUUCCCCUAUUUUUCAGCUUUCCUUCUCCUGAAGUAUGUUAACAAUUGCAGAUAAUGACGAAGAGGACCGCUUCCAGGCUCUUUGUAGAGCUGUGAUGGAAUAUAGGGGCACAAUGAAAGAAUAUUGUAAGGUUGUAUGUACUUUCUCUCUUGUCAUUUAUGUUUUCUCACACAUUUUGUUUAUGCCCUGAACAUGCAGCUUUGUAUGUGUCAAUUGCCUUUUACGUUUUAAAAGCCAUAAAGUAAGAAUACAGUUCCUUGUCAGGCUAUUGAUGCGUUCGCUCAGAAGGGUCAUGUUCAAGCAGGAAAACUUCUAGAACAGGUAAGGUUUCCAUCUACAGCCAUCCAUUGACAGCAGAUAUAUUUUCAUUAAGCAGACACUGUUAGCAUUCAAGAUGCUGGCAGAUUCACUUGAUUCUUAUUAGUUUGUUUAGUGGCAAGGCAUAUAACCUGUAUUUCAAAGCCAAGUUGUGCUAUUGAUUAUGUUAACUUUAUUGUUAACAUAAAGUGAUAUGGAGGACAUAAUCAAUGUAGGAAAAUUAGGUGAAGAGAUGAUGUCAAAUCUUGAACCUCUUACAAAGCUCCAAGUUCUUUACUUGAAGAAGCUGCCAAAUUUGAAGAGCGUCUACUGGAAGGCAUUUCCAUUCCCAGAUGUAUGCAGAAUUUUUGUAUUAAUGCCCAGUUCUUAAGAACCUGCCACUGGAUUUUCAAGGGGUGGGCCAAGGUAAAAUUCUUAUCAAGGGAAAGGAAGAUUGGUGGAAAGAACUUCAAUGGGAGGAUCAAGCAACUCAGAAUGCAUUGCUUCCAUUUUUCAAAUCAACUGACAAGUGAUUGAAGGGGGCAUCAUCAACAUCAUCAACAGAGAUGGAGAGAUUCUGGAGCAGAUCAGCAGGGUUUGUAUAUGAUCUUUGGUGGUUGCUUUCUUUUGUGAUUUUUUUUUUCUUCCUGUCAUUUUAUCAUUUCUUUGUCUCUUUUUUUAUUGCUGAUGUUAGUGUAUGCUUACUGUUGCUUGACAAAGUUCGCUUGCUUCUUGUUUAUUAAAUUUUUUAUCGUCACAAAAUAUUACUUGUUCUAUUUGAGAGUGAUGUGAAUCAAUUUUCAAUUAUAUAUUUUGUGGUCAAUGUGAAUUCAAUUUCAUUUGUCUCCUGCAAUUAUGAGAAAACUGCAGAGUCAUAAUAUGGAAAAGUACACCAGCAAAAACUUUGUAAAAGCUUCGGAGUGAAACAGGGAAUUCACUUACUACUAAGAACAAUUGAUGGCGAGUUAUUCCAUUCAUUUUAUGUCCAUCUAUCUAUUUAAUUAUUAAAGAUAAAUGGUCCAUUUAUAAAUUUCAGAUUGUCUCUCUCUGAAAAUAACAAUAUUUAAAAUAUCUCUUAAAUUAUUAUAAAUUUUAAUACACUCUCGAUUUAAAAUGGAACAUGCUGAUGAAAUUGUUUUCUUCUUAAUAAAAUUGAAAUAAAUUGUGUUUGCAGUAGUUUGAAAUAUUUUAAAGAUUAUUAUUUUAUAAGGGAGUAAUAUGAAAUGAAAUUUACUUUUCAUGCGUGAAAUGUUGAAAAAGGACAAAGCAAGUGUCCCUGCUUUUAUUUUUAUUUUAAAGUGGAGUCAUCUCACAUACUUUAGCUCUAUCAUUACAAUUUUUCAGGUUACAUUUUUAUUAUUUAUUUAUUUUCUUUUUUACACAUGCAUGUGGGUUACUUUUCCGUAAGCUCCUCAAUAUAUAUUGAACCCAGCGAAGAAUGUUAUGGAAGAGCAAAUUAAUGAUAUUUCUGAUAGAGUCUAUUUGAUUAUGUAGCCUGAAUGGAUGUCUUGUUGAAAGAUAUCUCAGUGCAUUAGUUCAUCCUUGUCUGUCAAUGUGUUUUUAAUGGUUUUUCCAAUUGUUUAUUAUUAUAGAUUGAUUGUAAAUUGAUAUGAAAAUUUGAUAUGAAUUUAAUGUUGAAAUGUUUUCUCUUUAGUGGAAUGAAUUUAAAAGUGCAAAAGAUUAUUGCACACAGAGAAAUAAACAUAUAUGCUUUAUAACUUUAGCAAUCGAUUCUUUUACAGCUGGAAACAGAGAUGAUGAUUAUCAUAAGGAUGAAGAAAAGUAGUGCGUUAGACGAUUAGACUCUCUUAUUAAAGGCAAGUAUAAAGUAGUGAAGAAUCCAAUAUCUCUAUUGUCUAGUCUUUUGUUUAAUUCUUCUUUUAUUAUUUUUCAGAAUAAUUUUUGGUGAUUACAAUCGGGUUAUUAUUCAGAGUUAUUGUUAUCUUCUGGGGCAGUUUCUGUUCAUCGAAUUCAUUAAUUAAAAUUUUAGAACUCUUAUCAGAAGAAUAUUUUUCGGUUAUCUUUUUUAUGUUCUAAUUCCAAUUGUAAGAAGUAGCCAUUUUAGAAUUUGGGUCUUGAAUCGAAUUUCAAUGCAUGAAUUAAUAUUAAAAAAAAAAAAUUCACUACUCGCAGUUUAGGUUACAAAUUACUUUUUGGAAAGUUGACUUUGGAAUGUUUGCAAAGAAAGAGACUAACAUAUUUCCAAUUACACUAAAUCUCUAUUAUGAUAAUGUUAAGACUAAAUUAAUUUAAAUAAUUUUUAUUUGAAAAUUAUAUCAAACGCAGUCUAAUUUUAUUAAUUUUAAGAAAUAAUAAUUAUAAAAAUUAUUGUUCUGACUUAAUUAAUACAAGUGAUAUAAAAGUUAAGUGUGCACUAAAUCUGUUUUAAUUUUUUCCAGUAUAACUAACAGAGGUCAUUACUAGAAUUAUAUUACUAGUCUAUUAGAUAGAAAAAAUUACUUAUAUUGUUUUAUAUUUAUUAAAAAAUUUAAAGCCAAUUUUUUUAAUUACUAUUUAAAGAAUAUUAUAAUUUGAAAAAUUUUAAUAUCUUUAUUAAAAAUUUAGAAAUUUACAGUCCUCUAAAUAUUUAAGGCGUAACUGUCAUUUUCUCAAGAAGCUUUAUUUAAUAUUAUUGAUUUAAAUAAUAUCUUAUUAAAAAUGUACUGAGGAGAAAUUUUGGUGGGUAUUUUAGUCUUUUCAGCAAUCAUCAUGAUUAACCUUUGGUUGGCCUUGAAACGUCGGUCAGAAAAGUUUUAAAAUGCUUAAUUGUUUUUCACUGUUAACGUUAGUGGCCUUGAAAUUGCUUAUAUUUUAUUAAAAAUUAAUGCUAACAAGAAAAAACUAGAUCGUAUUCCACCCCCAAAGCAAAAGUGAUAAAACAACCGGCUGUAUUCUUUUAUUAAACUACAAAUUAAAAUGGAUUUCUUUAAUUAAAGUGGAUAUCAUUUAAUUAAUGUUUGAACAUUAAAGUUCUGAUAUAUAACCACUAUGCCGACCACCUAAUUGCUGCUAUUUAAUUUCGUUCCAGUUCUCUCUCUCUCUCUUUUUCUUUUUUUUUUGGGCCAAGCAAUAAAUAGUAAAAAUUCAAUAAAAGCAAUAUUAAUGCUGCAAGUGAGUCAUGUUAUUUAUUGUCAAUUAGGAAAUGUGAACCUAAUUUGAUUGCAUCCCUUUAAUCAUUUAAUAAUUAUGUAAGCACCAUCCCUUUAAUUAUUUAAUAACUAGAAAAUAGAACACUGCGUUUCACGCGGCUUUGAAAAAAGAAUUUAGUAUUAUCUUUUUUUCUUACUUUACACUUGAUGAAACUGAUAAAAAAUAUGAAUUGAUUUUUUUUAAAGAUGAGGCAGCCUUAUAAAAAAUAAAAAAAGCUAUUAGCCAGCAAUACAAAUAAAGAAGGAAUGCAAGAUAAAGAAUAAAAUGAGAGAAUAUAUUAUAGAGUGAUCUUAUUCAUUCUAAUUGUGUGUGUACAAAACAAAAAGAUGAGCUCUCCUUUUAUAACUACAUAAUUACUUCAUGAAAUUAAUGAAAAAUUAUGAAUCAUAAUUUCUUGUGAGAUAGUGGGAGUUAUUGGGAAGCUAAAAGUUGCUAAUGGGAGAUAGUGGGGAGACUAAGAGAUAUAUAUUAUGAACAUCUACAUUUAUUUUAAUAAAUUCAUAACACUCCCCCUUAAAUGUUCAUUACAAAGAAUAUGCCUCAUUAAAAUCUUUACAUAAUUGUUAUUGUGUAAUAACAAUCAAAUUAAUUAUAAGAAGAUGAAAAGCCAAAUCUAACAGAAAAUUUCUCUAUUUAUUAGAUAAUAGAGAAUAUAGCAAGAUGAGAAAUGGUAAUGCCACAUCAUCUCCUCACGUCCCAACUUUAUAUAUAUAUAUAUAGAUAAUAUAUAUUAUUCCUGUCCUACAUUCACAUAUUUAAUUGUCCUUUUGAAAAUAUUCAUGAGUUAGGCCAAGUAAAGUCAAAGAAAUUGGGAAAAAGGAACAAAAGGACAAACCUAAAUUAAUUGAACCUAAUUCAUGAAAAUGCACACUUUUGUGUUGCGGACGGCGGACCCUAAAGCUUCGUUGUUUGCAGCUGCAAUUAAUUCUUUUCCUUCAAAAGUUAGAGGCUCGUGUUUACAGUGGGUCCCGAAUCGGACGUACCUAAUAAAUCUUUUAAAAAAAUUUGCCGUAUAAAGGACAGAGGUCAUUACUGAAAUUUCUCUUCCACGGGCAAUUACAGCAGCUUCAGUUAAUCAAACUCAAAUCAAUUUUCUUUCUUAACAAAAUAUUCCAAAGAUGUGUAGCAUUUUUCAGAUCACAUGCGAUGGUGCUUUUUUCAAUCGUUGCUUGGAUUGCUUUCUUGGAAAAGCAGCAUACAUACGUAACCUCCAAGAUAAUCUUGUAGCCUUGGACACUGAAUUGGGAAAUCUGAUCGCUAAAAAGAACGAUGUGAUGAGGAGGGUUGUCGAUGCUGAACGGCAACAAAUGAGAAGGCUGGACGGAGUGCAAGUGUGGGUUUCGAGGCUCGAUGCUGUUAAAACUGAAGCCGAUGAACUUAUCACAGACGGCUCUCGAGAAAUUGAAAAAUUAUGUGUUGGAGGCUACUGUUCCAAGAACUGCAGGUCAAGCUACAAAUUCGGAAAACAAGUGGCAAGAAAGCUACGAGAUGUGGAGACUUUAAUCGCCGAGGGAGUUUUUGAGUCGGUGGCUGAGAGAGCUCCGGAACCUGUGGCAGAUAAAAGACCCACUGAGCCAACAAUAGUAGGCUUGCAAUCACAGCUUGAACAAGUUUGGAGAUGUCUUCUUGUAGAAGAAUCAGCGGGAAUCAUUGGCCUAUAUGGUAUGGGCGGUGUUGGUAAAACCACACUGUUGACCCAUAUCAACAAUAAAUUUCUUGAGAGUCCCACCAACUUUGAUUGUGUGAUUUGGGUCGUAGUUUCAAAAGACCUGCGACUUGAAAAAAUUCAAGAAGAUAUUGGGAAGAAGAUAGGUCUGUUUGAUGGUUCGUGGAAGAAUAAAAGUGUUGAGGAGAAAGCCGUAGACAUCUUGCGGAGAUUAGGAGAGAAGAGGUUUGUAUUGUUGUUAGAUGAUUUAUGGGAGCGGGUUGAUUUAACAGAAGUGGGCGUUCCACUUCCCAGCCCACAAAAAUACUACAUCAAAGUCGUAUUCACGACCCGUUUCAUUGAUGUGUGUGGUAGCAUGGAAAGUCACAGGAAGUUUAAAGUGGCAUGCUUAUCAGAAGAGGAUGCUUGGGAGCUGUUUCGAGGAAAAGUAAGGCAAGAAACUCUUGAGAGUCAUCAUGAUAUCGUUGAGCUAGCCCAAACUGUGGCCAGAGAGUGUGGCGGUUUGCCACUCGCGCUUAAAACUAUAGGUCGAUCUAUGGCCUACAGAAAGACAGCUAAGGAGUGGAGACAUGCAAUUGAAAUGUUAAGGAGAUCAGCUUCAGAGUUUGCAGGUUUGGGAGAAAAGGUGUAUCGUCUUUUAAAGUUUAGCUAUGAUAGUUUGCAGAAUGAUACGAUUAGAUCUUGUUUCUUAUAUUGUUGUUUGUAUCCUGAAGAUUAUGGCAUUCUUAAAUGGGAUUUGAUUGAUUGUUGGAUUGGUGAGGGAUUCUUAGAGGAAUCUGACAGGUUUAGUGCAGAAAACCAAGGAUACUACAUUGUGGGCACUCUUGUUCAUGCAUGUUUAUUAGAAGAGGUGGAAGAUGAUAAAGUAAAAAUGCAUGACGUUGUUCGUGAUAUGGCUAUAUGGAUAACCGGUGAAAUUGAGAAGGAGAAGCGAAACUUUUUGGUUUGUGCAGGUGCUGGAUUAAAAGAGGCACCGGAUGUUGAAGUAUGGGAAAAUGUGAGAAGAUUGUCAUUGAUGCAAAACCAAAUUGAAACUCUGUCAGAGGUUCCCACAUGCCCUCAUCUUCUCACUUUAUUUCUUGACUUUAAUAGGGAGUUGAAGACUAUUGCGGAUGGCUUCUUCCGAUGUAUGCCUUCUCUCAAAGUUUUGAAGAUGUCAAACUCUGGAAAGCCUUGGAAAGGUUUGGAAUUAAAUUUGGGGAUGCCAAAGUUGGGUUCACUACAGCUUCUUGAUAUUUCACACACCUGCAUACAAGAUUUACCGCAAGAAUUAAAGUUGUUGGUAAAUCUGAAAUGUUUGAAUUUGAGGCGGACAAUUUGGUUAAAUAAAAUUUCAUGGCAACUAAUAUCAAAUUUUUCAAGGUUACGUGUGUUGAGAAUGUUCGCUACUGGCUGGUUCAAUUUUCAUGAAGCACCAGAAGACAGCGUUUUAUUUGGUGGGGGUGAAGUUUUGAUACAGGAAUUGCUCGGUUUGAAAUAUUUAGAGGUAUUGGAGUUGACCUUGGGAAGUUAUCAUGCUCUCCAAAUUCUUUUCAGCUCAAAUAAGCUAAAAAGUUGUAUUCGAUCUCUUUACCUCCAGUUGACCGGAGAUACAGCGUUAAUUAUUGAUGCUACGGCUUUCGCAGAUCUAAAACACCUCAAUGAAUUACGCAUUGAGUCGGCUACAAAGCUGAAAGAAUUGACGGCUGAUUAUACAGAGAUAGUUCGAAAAAGGCGGGAACCUUUUGUUUUCCGCAGCCUUCACCAUGUUACUAUACAAAGCUGCCAGAAGUUGAAAGAUUCGACAUUCCUCGUUUUUGCUCCAAACCUCAAGUCUCUUUCGAUAGUCAAAUGCAAUGCUAUGGAAGAAAUAAUCAGCGUCGGAAAAUUUGCUGAGACUCCUGAGAUGAUGGGACAUAUAAGUCCUUUUGAAAAUCUCCAAAUGAUUGAUUUACUAGGUUUGCCACAUUUGAAGAGCAUCUUCUGGAAGCCAUUGCCUUUCACUCAUCUGAAAGAAAUAUCUGUGCGUUAUUGCCCUAAUCUUAAAAAGCUUCCACUCGAUUCCAACAGUGCAAAGGAGCGUAAAUUUGUUAUUCGUGGAGAAGAAGACUGGUGGAACCCACUUCAAUGGGAGGAUGAAGCCACUCAAAUUGCUUUUCGUUCCUGUUUCCAACCCUUGUUCCUGAACAGUGGUCGCAAAAUUUGAUUUCUGGUGAGUGCGUUUGUCUUUUAAAAAGAAUAAUUUAAAAGAAAUUUAUUCUUGUCGGUUUCUUCACUGUUUUUAUUUCAGUUUCUCUCUCUCUCUCUCUCUCUCUCUCUUUUUGUCUUCUGCAAAUCACAAUUACAUUUUUAUUCUUGUCGUUUUCUUCACUGUUUUUAUUUCAGUUUCUCUCUCUCUCUCUCUCUCUCUUUUUGUCUUCUGCAAAUCACAAUCAAAUGUUGAAUUAAUGGAAUUAAUGCUUCAUAAAUUUGCCGGCACUGCCAUUACUUUUUUUUGGGGGAUCGAAUUGAUACUUUAUUUAUAUCUUCUUAGCGAUUUAAUUUCCUGUCAAAAGACGAACGAGAAGAACAUAUGACUUAAACCAAUGCUCGCAUAAACUUGCUGUAAAAAGAUAUAAUCUCACUGAAAUGCACACGCCUAGAAUGAAUAGAAUUAAAACAGGGAAAAUAUUAAGUAUAUUAGCCCUCUUUACUGAAAAUCAAAUGACAGUAAAUUUUUUGAAGUUUUGAUUUUCUAUGGUCAAUUCCACCUUUUGCAAUUUCUUCUGUUCUAACAAAAACCAAUUUCUUUGUUCAAGUAUUUUCGUUUGGAUAUUAAUAAUUCUCCACCGAAAGAGUGAACUCUUGCUCAAAGGGAUCUCUAAUAAUACAUAACAUGAUUAUUUUCGUUUGAAUAAUUGAUUUCUUGAUUGAAUUGUCGUGUAAUUGAUUUAUGGGGGAUGACACAUCAACAUACUUGAAAAUACACUAAUCUCAGCAUCAUCGGUUAAUAACUUUUAGAUUUAUGGGUAAUCAAUAGUUAAGAUUAGUUGUCAUUAAUACUAAAUAAUUUUUACUUUUUUUGUCUCUUCUAGAGGAUCUUCUAGAAAAAUGCAUCCACAAUUAAAUUUAAUACUUUACAUAAUAAACAAAGCCUAAAUGUUAAAUUUAAGAAACUGCAUUGUAUUUCAGUUGAAGUUGACUUUAAUAUUUAGGGUAGAAAAACAAUUAAUUUUAUUUUUUGAAAUGUCCAUAUUCAGAGCACAUUUCAAAAAGACUCAAUAAUUUCUCAUAAAUUUCAAUUAAAAAUAUUCAAUUUGUUGUUUCAGUUCUUUUAUUUUUUAUUUUUUCCGACAUGAAAGCGACUUAAUGUUACUAAAUUGGGUGGUCUUUGGAUUUUCAUGACCCAAUAAUUGGAACAAAACAAUUUUCUCAAGCGCUCUCCCGCAACAUUUUAUAAUUGAAGCCGCUGCCCCGCCCGUGGUUUCAAACUUUUUUCUUUCUCCUUGUUUAAAUUAAUGGGAGCAGCCUCCGUCCUUGACUAGUUGACUGCUUGUCUUCUUUUUUUUAUUAAUUAAUUAAUUCAGCCGCCCCCCUUUCUUGUCCCAAUAUCUUCUACUUUCGGUUUCCUUUUAUUAUCUCUUUAUUUUUAAAAAAUGCUUAUAAUAAUAAUAAAAUAUAAAAUAUAAAAAUAAAAAUAUAAUUUAUCAGAAAAUUAAGAUAAAGAAAUAUUAUAAGCACAUCAAUCAACAAGUGAAAAAAAAACAAUUUUAAUUUACAUUAAAUAUAAACUUUCAGUGUUAAUCAACUUUUCUAAAUAACUAAAUUAAAAAAUUAAUUGAUUUAAUUGUGGUGUAAUUGAUUUGUAGGGGAUGAAUCAGCAGCAUCAUCGGUUAACGCUUUCAGAUUUAUAGUUAAUCAAUAGUUGAGAGUUGUUAUCACUAACGCCGUGUAUUUUUUAAUGUUUUUUCUCUCUCCUACAGCAUCUUCUAGGAAAGUGCAUCCGUUGCUAAAAUUUAGUAUCGUAAAUAAUAAACCAAGAAUAAAUAUUAAAUCUAAGAAACUGUAUUGCAUUUAAUAUUUAAGGGAGAAAAAUAAUUAUAGUGUCUUUAUUAAUCAGUAAAAAAAAAAAUUAGAAUCAUAAUAAAUUGUAUUGUUAUUGAUGUAUUUAUUUUAUUUUAUACUCAAAAUAAAUUAUUUUAAAUUAUUAAAAUAAUUUAAAAUUAGUAUUUUAUUUUAUACUCAAAAUAAAUAAUUUAAAAUUUUCAUUUCUUGUUUAUUUCGCAAGUUGUUAUUGCCUAAUGCUAUGUCAACUCGAACAUUAGCAUUUUUUUUUUUGGUCCUCUUUUAACGCAAAAUUAGUGUAGGUUAAGUAACAUAAUCAAUAUUAGGACAAUUUGAAAUCCCUAUGGGUGCGUUUGGUACACUGUAUUGUAUUAUACUGUAUUGCAUUAUUUUAAUGCUGAUGUAUUGUAUUAUGUUGUAUUGCAUUAGCACUGUAUUAUAACAAUGCUAUACAAUAUUUGGUGUUACAUUGUACUGUAUUAGAUUUUAAUUAUAUUAUAUUUAGUGUUACAAUUGUUGUAACAUAAACACGACCAAAAUAAAUUGUACUAAAUAAUCUAAGUAAGAGUUCUGUAGUAUAUGUAAUAAUACUAUUUAUAUUAUUAUUAUUAAUAAUUCUAAAUUAAUAUUAUUUAAUUUUAUUCAUAUUUAAAUAUGUAUUAUUAGUUUAUUAAAUUAUUUAAAAUAAUUAAUUUAUAUAUAUUAAUUAUUGUAACUUAAUUAAAUAAUGUAAUGCUAUAUUAUAUUUUUAUAUACUAUUUAAGUAUUUAUUAUUAAUUAUAUUUAAUUAUAAAUUUAUUAAUAAAUUAUAAUAUAAAAAUAAAAAAUAAAAAUUAAUAUUGUAUAAUAUUAUAUUAAAUUAAAGUUUUAUUUUUAUUACUAUUAUUAUAAAGUAAAAAAAAAAAAAAGGGAAGCUACUGACUUUUGAAACACAAAAGUCAGUAAUACAACCUAAUCACGAGGGGGGGCGCGGGUUUUGAUAAUGCGGCAAAAGCUGCAUUGUAAUGCUGCUCAAUGCAAUCCAUUUGAUCACCAAACACAGGUAUAUUUUAACUAAUGCUGGGCCCACAAAAUAAUACAAUGCAAUUCCGCAUGCCAAACAUACCCUAUGGGUGCGUUUGGUACACUGUAUUGUAUUAUACUGUAUUGUAUUAUUUUAAUGCUGGUGUAUUGUAUUAUGCUGUAUUGCGUUAGCAUUGUAUUAUAAUAAUGUUGUACAAUGUUUGGUGUUACACUGUACUGUAUUAAUUUUUAAUUAAACUAUAUUUGGUGUUAUAUUGUAUUGUAUUAAUUUUUAUAAUUAAUUAAAUUAAAUAAUUAAAAAAUAAUAUUUAUUAAUACUUAGAAAAAUAAUAAAUAUAGAAAUCUUAAUUGUAGAAAUUUAACAAAUUUUUUAGUAAAUAUUAAAAAUUAAUGAUUAAAUUUCUAAAAUUUGUAUUAUAAUUAUGAUAAAAUAAAUUUAUAAAAUUUAAUAUUAUAUGUAAAUAAUAAAUUUAGAUUAUAAUUAAUAUUAUAAUUGUUAAUAUAAAUUAAUAAAUUAUUAUUCAAUAAUAUUCAAUUAUAUUUUAAUUUACAAUAUAUUAUUAUUUUUACAUUUUAAUAUAUUAAUAAAUUUAUAAUUUAACAUAAAUAAUUAUAAAUUUAAAUAAUAUUAAUUUUAAAAUUAAUAUUAAUGUAAAUAAUAUUAUAAUAUUAAUAUAUUAUUUUUAUAUGAAUCAUUAAUAAAUAAAAUAAUAUUAUCAUAUAAUUUAUUUUUAUAUUUUAUUCAUUAUAUUAAUAUUUAAUAAUAAAAUAAUUUAUUUUUAUAAUAUUUUAAUAAAAUAAAUUUGCCUCAAUUGAGGCAUUAACUGUUGCCUCAAUUGAGGCAAAAAGCUUCCGCAUCCCUCGGGUUUGCGUAAUGCGGCCCCAUGCCUCAUUAUGCUGCAUUAUAAUGCAGCAUAAUGAGGUGUCAAAUUUUGCCAAACAUGUUCUUGGUAAUAAACUAAUGUGAAUAGUAGUAUAAUACCACAUAAUCUCAUGCACCAAACACGCCCUAUGUGUAUUAUUCACGGUAUCUAUGAGGGCUUAUCCUUUUGCUAGAACAAACUCUAGCAAAUUGUCAAAUGUGCUUAUCCUUUCCCUUGACGACUCAUUUUAAAAUUGUCACUCAUUUUAAAAUUGUCUUUCAAUGCACAAACACAGACAUAACCGCCGACAUCGAGCACCAAGUUUGGAAUUUAAUUGAUAAGCAUACAUUUGAUAAAUUAAUGAAAAGUUUGGAGAGUAGUUUUGAUCACCCUUGAUUAGGACGGUAUUACAAAAAAGAUCAAAAAGAAAACAUCGUCUCUCUUCACAAAAAUAAAUAUUUUCCGUUAGAAUUUAAUACAAUAAUAUUUUUUUUGAUUAAAAUUUAAUUAAAUACACAAAUAAAUUAUAUAUUUUUUAAAAAAAUUUACACCCAGUCACAAGGCUGGCUAUUAAACUUAAAGGGUGGAAGCUUCGGAGACUAAAGUUGGUAACUUCUCCAAGUGGUCUUAAGUUGACCGGAACUACCCAGACUUUAUGUUUGGUAGCCUAGACCUGAUCGGACCUAGGCCCAAGUUUGGUCUUAAAGUCCACAAUUAAAUUAAAAAAAAAUUAUUUGAUUUGUAAUUGAUUUAUGGGGAAUGAAUCCGCAGCCCUAAAAUUACACCAAUCUUGACAUAAUGACAUCAUCGGUUAAAAACGUUCAGAUUUAUGGUUAAUCAAUGGUUUGAGAUUUGUUAUCAUUAAUGCUAGAUAUUUUUUAACAUUUUUUUCUAUCUCUCUUCUCCUGAAGGAUUUUCUAGGAAAAUGCAUCCACAACAAAAAUUUUAAAUUGUAAACAAUAAACAGAGUAUAAACGUUAAAUCUAAGGAACAUCGCUGCAUUUCAGCUGAAGCGAACUUUAAUAUUUUACGGAGAAAAAUAAUUAAGUCUUUAAUGUGAUUUAUUGAUUAAUAUAUAUGACUAAUUUUUUAAAAGAAGAUGAAGGAUGAAGCUUAAAAAUAUAAAUUAUAGAAUUAAUUUAUCUCUUCAAUAAAUCUAAAGUUUAUUUUUUUUAUUACAUGCUUCUAUUUUAUUUUUAUUCCAUGUUAAUGAAUGGAGAUUUAAAUCCAUUUUGGAUUUAUAAAGAUGUUUAGAUAUUUAAAUCCACGUGUGAUUCCAAACUUGAACCUUUUUUUUUUUUUUUUCUAAUUAAUGCAAACAGCCGCCUCUUUGACUGCUUUUCUUCUUUGUUUAUUAAUUAAUUAAUUCAGCUGCCCACCUUUCUUUUCCUAAUGUUUUCUACUCCCAAAUUUUUUUAAGGACAAGGCUACGUUGCAGACGCUGUACCUAACAGCUGCACCUUCGCCAGCUUAAAAAAGGGUGCAUUUGGUAAGCAACUUUUCUUUCGUGUGCAUAUGUGUCCUGCCACCAUUGGGUGUGUACGUAACAGAUAAUGUACCGUAACAAGCUCCUAUUUUUAAAUUUGUUUAUAAUGAUAAAAUAUAAAAAUUAAGAUUAAAAUGUAAUGUAAUGUAAAAUUAAAGGUGGAAGAGUAUUAAAAUAAGGCUAAACCUAUGUUACGUUUAACGUAACAUACAUUUAAAUAUAUAAAAUAUCAAUGGAAACCCUCAAAUUUUAUGGAAACUAUAUUAAUAAAAUUAAAAGAAAUAUUUUUAAAUCUGAAAGAAGAAAUAAAAGAUAUAAAGCAAGAGAUAGGAAAACUAAAAAUAGAAAUAUCUGUAAAAGAAAAAGGAAAAGAAAAAUUAGAAAUAAAAGAAACAACUCCAACUGAAUCGAAUUCAGACUAAUGGAAGAUGUAUUAGAAACUUUAACUGAAAAAUUCAGUGACAUAAAUCUUAGUGAUUUAGAAGACUUUGAAAAAGAAUAUUAGAUAAAAAUGAAUACUGCUGGAGGACCAGAAAUGAAACCUAAUGUAGCAUAACCAAGUCAUAGAUAUGGUAUAAAUAAAAUGAAAAAUAAACCUUUUUACGAGUAUAUACCUCCUAUUAAAAAUACUCCUUGGAAAAAAGAAUACAAACCAAAUCAAGAUACAUUAACCCCAAUAAAUAAUGCUGGAACAUUUUUAAAUCUAGAUUGUAAGAUAGACAUUCGAAAGGCGUUAGCAGAAUGGGUGUUACAAAUGAAAUUAUUUUUUAUAUUUAACGGGUCAAAGGAUGACUAGAAUGUAGAGACUGAAGAAGAAAAAAUAGAUAUAUUUGUUGAAAUCUUAAUAGCCAGUUUUUCAGGAAAUGUGUUUAAUUGGUGGAGAGGAUUAAGCGAUGAUACACAAAACUUAAUAAAAGAUUCAACCAAAUAGCAUUUAGAAAAAAUAAAGCCUUAGGAAUGGAAAGGAUAACUGAAUACAUAGCUAGUGAAUUUUUAGGAGAAGAUUGGCUAGAAAAAUCGGGCAUAUAUGAAAAUUUAAAAAUUUAUGAUAAAAAGAUCUUAGUGUUUUUAUUAAAAAAUUAAAAUUUACAUGACUAUUUCUUUAAAUAUUUAGGGCAUAUAUGAACCACGGAGGAGAAAAGCUUUAUUUAAUAUUUUAGAAUAGUUUUUGAUCAGUACAAUUGGGUCCUUAUUCAGAAUUAUUGUUCUCUUCCGCAACAGUUUUUGUUUAUCAAAGUCGUCAAUUAAAAUUUUAGAAUUCUUAUCAGAAGAAGUAGUCGUUUUAGAAGUUGGGUCUUGGAUCAAAUUUCUACGAGUGCAUGAAUUAACAAUAAAAAAAUUUCAUUACACACGGUUUAAGCUACAAACUACUAUUUGCACAGUUGACUAUAAAACUUACCUCCAAUUACACUAAACCUCUCUAUUUGGUAACGUUGAGACUAAAUUAAUUUUAUUAGCAUGAAAAGAUGAUAGAAAUAUAAUUAUAAAUAUUAUUGUUGUUAAUCAAUUAGUACAUGUGAUAUAAAGGUUAAAUGUGCACUAUAUUUAAUAAUUAAUUAGUGGAGCAUGUUAAACAAAAUGUUAAUGUAUAUUUAUAUAGUGUUAGGAAUAUGCAAAGUCAAGUCCUCAAUUUGCAUUAUCCUGUAUAGAAUAUUACUCUAAAAAUGUUUUACUAUAAUUGGCUUAGAACAUUUGUAAAGAAAAAUAAUAAUAAAAUAAUAAAUAACAUACACCGUCACAUAGCACCUAGACAAUGAUAGAAAAUUAUUAAAGAGAGUGCAAACAAUUAAUUAGAGAUUUUUAUGAUGACUUUUAAUAUUCAUGAUAAUAACAAAUAAAUACAUGUAUCACUUUUUUAAAAUAUUAAAUUUGACUGCUCCAUUAAUAAAUUAUUAUUGUAAUUCAGACUCUAUCUAUAUAUCCUUGCACUAAGAAUAAUUAAGGUAACGUUUGUUUUUUAACUUAAUGACUUAAAGUGACUUAACUUAAUUAAUUAAGUUAAUUAGAGGUGUUUGUUUUAUAACUUAAUGAGACUUUUUAGAUAAUUUUGACUUAAUAAAAUAAGCUAAUUUUUUUUGGCUUUUUACUUAAUGGAGAAAUCUGAAUUAAGUCAAUUACUUGCUAAUGUCAAAAAUAUCCUUGUUUUAUAAUUUAUUUUUCAUGUCUAUCCCAAAACUCGCCCGUAGAUAUUUACCCCACAUAAAAAUAUCCCUGUUUUUUUCUUUCUUAUAUUAUAUACGAUAAAAUUUGAAAUUUAUAGUAUUUUAUAUAUUAAAAUUCUAAAAUAAUUAUGUAUUCACUUGAAUAUAGUUUUACUUAUAAAUGUUAAAAUAUGAUGGUAUUUAAUAUAUUAUUUAUUUGACAUUCAAAUUUAAUAAGGAUACAAAUGUAAAAGUACAUAUUUUCAGCUUUUUAAAUUGAAAAAAAAUAACUUAAUAUUUAUUUUCUGAGAUUCAGACGAAAAAAUAAACAUAUUAUUCAGAUUCAUACAUUCAGAUCUAUUCAGAAUUCAAACUAAUUCAAGUCUAUUCAAAUUUUAGACAAAAAAAUAAACGCCACCUAAGUCAUAAUAAAAAUUUUCGUAACUACAUCUCGUUUCUUCCUCAUAAUAAUAAUUAGAUUGGUUCGAAUAUUAUAACUAUAUAGAUUUAGUGUAUAGCCACAUCCAAUUUAAAUAUUGACCCAAUUGGGAUGGUCCCCAAAAAAAAAGAUUCGUUAAAGGAUAAUUCUAAUUAUUUUUACUUCUCAAACGUUAGUGGGACGUUUCUAUUAGCGCACUCGUAAGCCAAGUUGUCAAAUAUUUAUACUAAACUACAAUUGCUAACAAGAAAAAUCAAGAUCGUGUUAAGCAAGUGGGUCCCGAAUAGGACGUGCAAAUCUCUCGUAAGUCAAGUUGUCAAAUGUUUAUAUAAAACUAACAAUUACUGACAAGAAAAAUCAAGAUCGUAUUAAAAAUGGGUCCCGAAUAGGAUUAUCUUUUUAAGAAUAUUAUUAUUUUAUUAUUAAAAUUUUAUUAAUAUAACAGUAUUAAAAUUUAUUAAAAAAUAUAUUUUAUUAUUAAAAUUUUAUACCGUUAUCAAUUUAUUAUUAUUUUAUUAAAAAAAUUAAUAUUUAACAAAAAUUGAGAUAAAAAUUAAUUUUUGUUCUCUGUCUUUAUUUAUUUAUUUAUUUUUUUGGGUCUUCUGCAAAUCACAAUCAAAUGUUGAAUUAUAAAUUUGCCGGCAUUGCUUUUUUUUUUUUUUUUGGGCCGGGGGGUGGUGUUGAAUUGAUGCUCUGGGUUUUUGACUUUUGUUGUCAAAUUUUACUCUGUUUUUCCCAAAUUGAUGCUANNNNNNNNNNNNNNNNNNNNNNNNNNNNNNNNNNNNNNNNNNNNNNNNNNNNNNNNNNNNNNNNNNNNNNNNNNNNNNNNNNNNNNNNNNNNNNNNNNNNNNNNNNNNNNNNNNNNNNNNNNNNNNNNNNNNNNNNNNNNNNNNNNNNNNNNNNNNNNNNNNNNNNNNNNNNNNNNNNNNNNNNNNNNNNNNNNNNNNNNNNNNNNNNNNNNNNNNNNNNNNNNNNNNNNNNNNNNNNNNNNNNNNNNNNNNNNNNNNNNNNNNNNNNNNNNNNNNNNNNNNNNNNNNNNNNNNNNNNNNNNNNNNNNNNNNNNNNNNNNNNNNNNNNNNNNNNNNNNNNNNNNNNNNNNNNNNNNNNNNNNNNNNNNNNNNNNNNNNNNNNNNNNNNNNNNNNNNNNNNNNNNNNNNNNNNNNNNNNNNNNNNNNNNNNNNNNNNNNNNNNNNNNNNNNNNNNNNNNNNNNNNNNNNNNNNNNNNNNNNNNNNNNNNNNNNNNNNNNNNNNNNNNNNNNNNNNNNNNNNNNNNNNNNNNNNNNNNNNNNNNNNNNNNNNNNNNNNNNNNNNNNNNNNNNNNNNNNNNNNNNNNNNNNNNNNNNNNNNNNNNNNNNNNNNNNNNNNNNNNNNNNNNNNNNNNNNNNNNNNNNNNNNNNNNNNNNNNNNNNNNNNNNNNNNNNNNNNNNNNNNNNNNNNNNNNNNNNNNNNNNNNNNNNNNNNNNNNNNNNNNNNNNNNNNNNNNNNNNNNNNNNNNNNNNNNNNNNNNNNNNNNNNNNNNNNNNNNNNNNNNNNNNNNNNNNNNNNNNNNNNNNNNNNNNNNNNNNNNNNNNNNNNNNNNNNNNNNNNNNNNNNNNNNNNNNNNNNNNNNNNNNNNNNNNNNNNNNNNNNNNNNNNNNNNNNNNNNNNNNNNNNNNNNNNNNNNNNNNNNNNNNNNNNNNNNNNNNNNNNNNNNNNNNNNNNNNNNNNNNNNNNNNNNNNNNNNNNNNNNNNNNNNNNNNNNNNNNNNNNNNNNNNNNNNNNNNNNNNNNNNNNNNNNNNNNNNNNNNNNNNNNNNNNNNNNNNNNNNNNNNNNNNNNNNNNNNNNNNNNNNNNNNNNNNNNNNNNNNNNNNNNNNNNNNNNNNNNNNNNNNNNNNNNNNNNNNNNNNNNNNNNNNNNNNNNNNNNNNNNNNNNNNNNNNNNNNNNNNNNNNNNNNNNNNNNNNNNNNNNNNNNNNNNNNNNNNNNNNNNNNNNNNNNNNNNNNNNNNNNNNNNNNNNNNNNNNNNNNNNNNNNNNNNNNNNNNNNNNNNNNNNNNNNNNGAAGGGUCUCUAAUCAAUAGCUGGAAGCAAUUGAGAAGGCGGUUGCUACAGUGAAUUCAAAUGUAAAAUGUUUGCUAUUCUUCGAUUUGGUUAAUGAUUUCGUAUGAAUAUUGUUGUUCCGUUGAGUUGCAUGCGAAUUCAAAUGCAAAAUAUUCUUCGAUUUUCAAUUUUGAAAUCAAAUUUUUUUUUCCUUCUCAAGCAUGUUAUGCAGAAACGAUUGUCAUGUUAUGCAGAAACGAUUUUUACUAAAUCAUUUUUAACAAACUAUUGAAAUUAAACCACUGGAAUAAGAAUUGUAAGGAUUUAUCGUAAGCUUACUAAUACGAUAAUUCUGAAACUAUCACCUUUUUUUUUUUAUUUGUUGCAGGGAAACCCAAAUUUUGUAUUUUGUCAAUUUCAUCUGAUAUGGAAUUUAUUUCCUCCCUAAAGAUUUAUCAAACUGCUUCUCUUCCCUGCUUCAAUAUCUUUAUGCAAUUACGAUCUCAUAGGAAAAGAGAGUUUGGGUUGUAUAUCUUAUAGUAUUUAUUUAUUUUUUGUUAAAAGAAAUUUAUUUUAAAAUAGUUUAUAGCAACAGUUUUUAUUUAACAAUAAUGAGGAAGGAUUAUUAUAGGUUCAAAUAGUUGUUAGAACAUUAUAAAAAAGUCCAUUUACUAUCAAAUGUUUUAAAUUGGUGCAACGUGAUAAUUGUCUCAUAUAAUUUUUUAAGGGUAAAAACUCGUUUCAUUCCCAUAUUUUAAGAUUAUUACUCAUUUAGUCUUUAUAUUUUUAAAAAUGUUUCAAAACAUUCAUACCCUUAAAUUAUUAACAUCUCUGCUGUUACUUUUUAUUUUUUUUUGACUUGUUUUUACAAUAUUGCCCUCUUACAAUAAUGUUUCUUUUUAUAAAAUUAAUAAAAAGAAAAAAAAUUAAAUUAUCAAUUUAACCCCAAAAAUAAAAUAAAAAUAAAAAGAAUAAAUAUUAAUUUUUGUGAAAGUUUACAUGUGUCCAAAAUAAAUUUUAUUGUAAAAAUAAUUAAAUUGCCUUUUUUUUGGACAUUAGUAAUAAAAAAAUUAAUAUAUUAAUUCCUCAGCAGUGUGUUACAAAAAAGUAAAAUAUAUUAAUUUUGUUUUUAUUUUAGACAAUGAGAUAGAGAAAAGUACAAGAUAAAGGAAAGGACUUCAAAACUCACUGUUCAUCAUAAUGCCCUUUGCCUUUAAAAAAAAAUCAUUCUAAUAUUUUAUAACACAUAAAAUAUAAUCCUAAGAUAAAUAUAAUAAUACAUAUUUUAAACUAAUCUCGAUAUUUAAAAUAUGUUUUAAUAUUUUAUAAUCUAUCAGACAUAUUUUAUUAUAUUAAUGUAAAAUUUAUAAUAAAUACAAACAUAUUAUUAAAAUAAAUAUAUAAAAAAUAUUUAUUUUUUAUAUGUUUACACUGAGGACUCUCUUUAAUUCAUUUAUUUUCUCUCUCUCCAAACAGGUACUGUCUUCAGUUAGCAAUGCUAUGAUAGUAAUCCAAUUCUCUUCUCCCCCACCUGAGCGAGAUUUGAAUUUGAAUCCCUUGUUUUUCACCCACUCUGUUUUUUUUCACGCAAGAUUUGACAAUUUGAGUUAAAAAAUAUGGUCCAAAACUUGAACACGUAUCUUUUAAUUGUAAUAAAAGUUCUUUAAGCUUUGGAGAUGGCAUAUAUAUGGCUGGAAGUGUCCUUUUCUUUGACCUAGAGGCAGCACCAAGCUAUCCAGCAUCAUCAUUUUUCAAGUGGGUCUUAAAUGCCUAGAAACGUUGGUGUUUCUUGAUUUAAAGAUGACACAUGCUAUAAGUGUGAAUGGUUUGGCUAAGCCUAAAUUUAAAGUCUACUCAAGUCGCAUUCAGGAUCAUGGAAAUUGGAAAGGGAGAGAUGAUAGCAAGAUUUAUAAUAAACAAUUAACUUGGGUCCUCAGUGUACAAAGCAAAUGCCACGCAAGCGAUAGCCGGCCCAGCCCAGAAAACCCAGUGGCGAUCCCAGAGAUGGCCUCCUCUAACGAGUGCUGGGCCCAAAAAUCUUUGCGGGUUGAGCCCAGCUCCGGCAUAGCCCUUUUGAGCAGUAACAGUUGUCGAGACAAAAACCAGAAGACCCAACACUGUUCCAAUGACAAUGCAUACGGUAAACUCUGCCAAGAGCCUUGGCUUGUCUGGAGUCAAAAGCCAUCCACACAGAAGCAAAAAGGAACACAAACGAGCAAAUUAUCUCAAGCCAAAGGGCCUGCCUAGUCCCCAAGCCGAUCUCAACAGGCCCAUCUGGCCCAGGUACGACAACAUUCAGGGUGCAGCCUCCAAGUUGUCAAAUAUUUAUAUUAAACUACAAUUGCUGACUAGAAAAAUCAAGAUCGUAUUACAAGUGGGUCCCGAAUUGGACGUGCCUAAAUCUUUUUAUAAUUUUCCCAGUGUAGCGGACAGAGGUCAUUACUAAAUUUCUCUUCCACACGCCACAGCAGCUUCGGUUAAUCAAACUCAAUCAAUUUUCUUGGCUUCUCCGCUUAUCAAUAUUACAAGGUAUGGGUAGCAUUUUUCAAAUCACAUGCGAUGGUACUAUUUUCAAUCGUUGCUUAGAUUGCUUUCUUGGAAAAGCAGCAUACAUAAGUAACCUCCAAGAUAAUCUUGUUGCCUUGGAGACUGAACUAAGGAAACUAAUCGCAGCAAAGAACGAUGUGAUGACGGCGGUUGUCAAUGCUGAACGGCAACAAAUGAGAAGGCUGGACCAAGUGCAAGUGUGGGUUUCGAGGGCGGAUGCUGUUAAAAAUGAAGCUGAUGAACUUAUCAGAGGCGGCUCUCAAGAAAUUGAAAAAUUAUGUCUUAGAGGGUUCUGUUCCAGGAACUGCACGUCAAGCUACAAGUUCGGAAAACAAGUGGCUAAAAAGCUACGAGCUGUGGAGACUUUAAUCGCCGAAGGAGUUUUUGAGGCGGUGGCUGCCGAGGUGGUGCCUGAGAGAGCUCCAGAGCCUGUAGCAGAUGAAAGACCUACCGAGCGAACAGUAGUAGGCUUGCAAUCACAACUUGAACAAGUCUGGAGAUGUCUUGCAGAAGAAUCAGCGGGAAUCAUUGGCCUAUAUGGUAUGGGCGGUGUUGGUAAAACUACACUAUUGACCUAUAUCAACAAUAAAUUUCUCGAGAGUCCAACCAACUUUGAUUGUGUGAUUUGGGUAGUAGUUUCAAAAGACCUGCGACUUGAAAAACUUCAAGAAAAUAUUGGGAAAAAGAUAGGUUUGGUUGAUGAUUCAUGGAAGAGUAAAAGUGUAGAGGAGAAAGCUCUCGACAUCUUCCGGAGUUUAAGAGAGAAGAGAAUUGUAUUGCUGUUAGAUGAUAUAUGGGAGCGGGUUGAUUUAACAAAAGUGGGCGUUCCACUUCCAGGACCACAAAAUACUACCUCAAAAGUCGUAUUCACAACCCGUUUGAUCGAUGUUUGUGGUAGCAUGGAAGCUGACAGGAAGUUCAAAGUAGCAUGCUUAUCAGAAAAGGAUGCUUGGGAACUGUUUCGAAAAAAAGUUGGGGAAGAAACUCUUGGAAGUCAUCAUGAUAUCGUUGAGCUAGCCCAAACUGUGGCCAAAGAGUGUGGUGGUUUGCCACUCGCACUUAUUACUAUCGGUCGAGCUAUGGCCUACAAAAAGACAGCCGAAGAGUGGAGACACGCAGUUGAAGUUCUAAGAAGAUCAGCUUCGGAAUUUGCAGGUUUGGGAAAAGAGGUGUAUCCUCUUUUAAAGUUUAGCUAUGAUAGUUUGCAGAAUAAGACGAUUAGAUCUUGUUUCUUAUAUUGUUGUUUAUAUCCUGAAGAUUAUGGCAUUCUUAAAUGGGACUUGAUUGACUGUUGGAUUGGUGAGGGAUUCUUAGAGGAAUCUGACAGGUUUGGUGCAGAAAACCAAGGAUACUACAUUGUGGGCACUCUUGUUCAUGCGUGUUUACUAGAAGAGAUAGAAGAUGAUAAAGUAAAAAUGCAUGACGUUGUUCGUGAUAUGGCUCUAUGGAUAGCUUGUGAAAUUGAGAAGGAGAAGAGAAACUUUUUGGUUUGUGCAGGUGCGGGACUAAAGGAGGCACCUGAUGUUAAAAGAUGGGAAAAUGUGAGAAGAUUGUCAUUGAUGCAAAACCAAAUUGAAACUUUGUCAGAGGUUCCUGCAUGCCCUCAUCUCCAUACUCUAUUUCUUGCCUCUAAUAAUAGUUUGCAGAGGAUCACCGAUGGCUUCUUCCAAUUUAUGCCUUCUCUCAAAGUUUUCAAGAUGUCAAACUGCGGGAAUUUAAUUUUGGAAUUACCUUUUGGGAUGUCAAAGUUGGGUUCAUUGGAACUUCUCGAUAUUUCACAUACCUACAUACAAGAGUUACCACAAGAGUUAAAGUUGUUGGUAAAUCUGAAAUGUUUGAAUUUGAGGUGGACAAGCGAGUUAAAUAAAAUUCCACGGCAGCUAAUAUCAAAUUCUUCAAGGUUACGUGUGUUGAGAAUGUUGGGUACUGGCUGGUUCAAUUUUCAUGAAGCAUCAGAAGACAGCGUUUUAUUUGGCGGGGGUGAAGUUUUAGUACGGGAAUUGCUCGGUUUGAAAUAUUUAGAGGUAUUGGAGUUGACCUUGCGAAGUUAUCAUGCUCUCCAAAUUGUUUUGAGCUCAAAUAAGUUAAAAAGUUGUAUUCGAUCUCUUUACCUCCAGUUGACCGGAGAUAGAAAGUCGAUUAUUGAUGCUACGGCUUUCGCAGAUCUAAACCACCUCAAUGAAUGAUUGAUUUUUAAAGGUUUUGAGUUGGAAGAAUUGAAGAUUGAUUAUACAGAGAUAGUACGAAAAAGGCGGGAACCUUUUGUUUUCCGCAGCCUUCACCGUGUUACCAUAGAUUCGUGCCUUAAAUUGAAAGAUUUGACAUUCCUCGUUUUUGCUCCAAACCUCAAGUCUCUUUCGCUAUUCAAUUGCCGUGCUAUGGAAGAAAUAAUCAGCGUUGGAAAAUUUGCUGAGGUUCCUGAGAUGAUGGGACAUAUAAGCCCUUUUGAAAAUCUCCGAAGUCUUCGUUUGUCACAUUUGCCAAAUUUGAAGAGCAUCUACUGGAAGCCAUUGCCUUUCACUCAUCUGAAAGAAAUGGUGGUACAUGGGUGUGAUCAGCUUAAAAAGCUUCCACUCGAUUCCAACAGUGCAAAAGAGCGUAAAUUUGUUAUUCGUGGACAAGCAGACUGGUGGGACCGACUUCAAUGGGAGGAUGAAGCCACUCAAAUUGCUUUUAGUUCCUGUUUCCAACCUUAACUUGAUUUCUGGUUAGUGCUGUUUCCUUAACUUUUACAUAUAUUCUCGUCGUUUGCUUCGUGCAAAAUACUAGGUCUUUUGUUCUCUGUUUUUAUUUCGCCCAUUUUUUUUUUUUUUUUUUGUCUUCUGCAAAUGACAGACAAAUGUUGAACUAAAAGGAAUUAAUGCUUUAUAACUUUGCCGGCAUUGCUUUUUUCUUUUUCUUUUUUGAUUUUUUGGGGCGAGGGGGGAUCGAAUAGAUGCUCUGGUUUUUGACUUUUUGUUGUCAAAUUUUACUCUGUUUUUUUCAAAUUGAUGCUUGAAUAUUUGAAUCAAAUUAAUGCUCACGUAAAUUUGUUCAGUUGCCGUAAAAGGAUAUAAUUACACUGAAAUACACAAACUCUAGAAUGAAUAGAAUUAAACAGAGAAAAUCUUGAGUAUAUUAGCCGUCUUCACAUAAAAUCAUAUGAAAAUUAAAUUUUGAAGUUUUUAUUUUCUAUUUUUAAUCAUACCCUUUAUAAUUUCUUCUGUUCUAACUACAAUAAAAUUUUUGGUUCAAGGAUUUUUAUGAGGGGUAUUAAUAAUAGUCCACCAAAAGAGUGAACAGUUGGAUGCUGCCCUAAGGGUCUCUAAUCAAUAGCUGGAAGCAAUUGAGAAGGCGGUCGUUACUGUGUACAAAGCCAUGCAGUAUUUGCUAUUCAUCUUAGUAAUUAUGAAGCUUUGGUAAAAUUUUCAAACAAAGUUGACAUGUUAUUUUGAGAUUUGGUUCAUGAUUUUGUAUGAAUAUCGUUGUUCCAUUGAGUUGUAUAUGAAUUCAAAUGUAAAAUAUUCUUUGGUUUUCAAUUUUGAAUUCAAUUUCUUUUCUUAAGCAUGUUGUGCAGAAAUGAUUUCUACUAAAUCAUUUUUGAUAAACUACUUAAAUUAAACAACUGCAAUAAGAACUGUUAAGGAUUUAUCGUAAGCAGACUAAUAUGAUAAUUCUGAAACUAUCAUUUUUUUUUUCAAUUUGUUGCAGGGAAAGCCAAAUUUUGUAUUUUUCAGUUUUAUCUGAUAUGGAAUUUAUUUCCUCUACACUAGCUACCUAAAGAUUUAUCAAAUUGCUUCUCUUCCCUGCUUCAAAUUAAUAUCUUUAUGCAACUACAAUCUCAUAGGAAAAGACAGUUUGGGUUGUAUUUAUUAUAGUUUUUUUUUUCGUUAAGAGCAAUUUAUUUUAAAAUCGUUUAGUAGUAACAGUUUUUAUUGAAUAAUAAUGGGGUAGGAUUAUUAUAGGUUCAACUAGUUGUUAGAACAUUAUAAAAAGUCCAUUUACUAUCAAAUGCUUUAAAUUGGUGCAACAUGAUAAUUGUCCCACAUAAUUUUUAAUAAUAUAUAUGGCCCAUAAAUUUAAUAUGAAUAAAUGAGUUUCGAUAGUUAAAUUUGAUACGAUUAUUAAAUAAGUUAUAUCCAUGUCAAUUCGACUUAAAAUCUGGUAAAUUUAGAUUUAGAGUUUAUAACAUGAUAACUUGUUUUAUGACAUGAUUUACUAAUCAAUUAAUAUUAAAUUAUAUUUUAGCCAAUCAGAUAUGUGGUACAUUUGUCAAAUUUUAAAAAUUAUUUAUUUAUAUAUGAAAUAAAUUUGACUAGACUGUGUGUAGGUAAUAGUGCAUAAUUUCUAAAAAAAUGUAAUAAUAACACGUUAAAAUGUUAUUUUUAUGAAGAAAAAUUGAAAUUUUAUUAAAUAGGCGACACAAUAAUAAAUGGGUUGAGAUUAUUUACAUUUUAAGAAUUACUCUGAACAUUAUUUUAUUUUAUAAAUUUUAUAUUACAAAAACACCCAUAGUUUAAUUUACCAUUAAGAACAAUUUUGUGCGAUUAAAUAAAAUACAUUACUCUUUACCCUUUCACUACAUCGACAUAAAUCCUAAUUGUUAUGUUUCUAAUUUCUUUGAUAUGCUUAUUGAAGUCCACAUUAUAAUCAAUUUUAAACUAUUAUACCACUUAAAUACAUUUUAGAAUGAGAAGUUUGGUUUUCUUCAUGGGCUGCCUUGCUGAUGCUGUUAUUGAAACUAUCGAACUUAAUAAUUUUAUGGCCAAAAUGAUAUAUGUUGAACCAGCUUUUACAUCGAAUUCUACCACCAUAAAAAAUCGUACUUGUAACAUCUCAAGGUUCCAAUUUAUCAAAAGUUAAUCAUUCAUAUUUGUUAGUUCCUAACAGUCACAAGAGCGUACAAGCCAAUUUUUGUAGCUCCUUUUUCUGCAGUAGAUUCAAGUAUAUUAUUAUCAAGCAUUUUUGUUACACCCUUAAUUCCUUAUCAUCAUCCCUUCAUUCAGAGCAACUAAACAGAGGUCAAUGUCAUUAUGUUAGAGUUACGAGGAAGAGUACUGCCAAAAAAGUUCUUUGUAUGGGAUUUAAUUUUCUGGGUUUGUAGUGAUGAACAAAUUGAGGGUUGUUUUGGUAUUUUCAAGAGUGUAUUGAGUGAAAAUUAUUUUUAAAAAAUUUAACAAAUGAGUGUAAUGAGUAAAAAAGUGUUUAAAGUAUUUUUUAGAGUACAAAUAGCUCCACCUUAAUAAAUGAGUUCUUGUAAAAAUUGAGAUUAUUGAUAUAAUUAUUAAAUAGGUUGGAUUGAAGUUAGUUUAAUUUUGACAAGAUAAUAAGACGACGCGACACAAAUACAACCAACCAGUCAACCCAAAUUGCAACCUUUUACUAAUAAAAGAUACCUGUUUGAAAAGUAAUUAUAAGCUAUCUUCUUUGUGUUAUUUCUCUAAAAAUUUGCGGCACAAAUAUUAUUUCCAUGGAGAAAAGUACGAAAUACCCGCUUUCACUUCAGCAGAAGCAAAGCAAAGCUAUGAGCCAUCUCUGUAUAAUUGAAACGCCAUUGCUAAACGGUUCUUGAUGAUGGGUGCCACCGUGCCAGCGUUGUCGCUGAUUUGCAUGAUUUAUUAGUUGUUCAGAUGGCGGAUUUUGUACUGUCACUUUCAUUUCAUUCUUGAGAGCCACGUACAAUACUAGGUGGCAUUGAAGUUGCCCCAGUGGUUAGUUUUCUGAUUUUUUUUAAUUCAAAUUUUUAUGUUUUAGAAAAAUGUAAGAAAUAUGUAGAAAUGUUGACAGCUACAAUUUUGAAACUUUGCCUAAAAUUAUUAUCGUUGCUUAUUGUUUCUUAGCUAAAGAGAAAUCCUAGAAACAUGAAAUUAUUAUUCUAUGCUUGUUUUAAUAUUAUACAUUAGCAGGUUAAUUAAAAAUUAGACGUGAAUACAACAAGAGAUAAGUGGAGAGAAUUUGGUAGUCGACCGCAUUUAGAAUUUAAUUUUUCUUUUAGCUGCCGAUCAUUAAAUUUUAUAUUUCAGAAAAUUAUACCUAGAAUAUUUCAAGGAUAUACUACGAAGAUUAUGAAGGUUUGAUUACAUGUCACUAUCAAUUGCCUCAAUCAUUUGUAGUAAAUUAAUUAAUCAUUUUGCUGCAAAUGAUUUCCUAUUAAAAAAUUCAAGUCAGAGCUGAAUUGCACAGUAGUUAGUCGUGCUUGCAAUUCAAAUCAAGUAUUGUAUUUUCUGCCUGAUUUGGUUGAUUCAACUAUGUGCAUUUGCAUAAUGGAGAUGCUUAUGAACGUUGUAGUAUAGAAAUCGAAACGUCUUGUCUUUUGCUAAGCCCAGAAGCAAAGUUCUUUGUAUUAUACUCAUCAGUUUUCUUCGUUCUCUUCGUUGAAAUUUUAUCCAAACAGCGGUUUCUUCGAAUUUUUGCCCUCUCUUACAUUUUUAAAUCUAUCAAAGAACGGUUACCUGAGAAGAUUGCCAUCAGGUAUUUCGAAAUUGAUUUCACUACAAUACCUUAAUCUAUCAGAUUUUAAUCUAUCAGAUGCUCCCGUCACUCAGUUGCCAAAAGUGACAAAAGCCUUAGUAAAUUUUUAGAGUAAAAACUCAUUUAUUCCUUAUAUUUUAAGAUUAGUAUCUAUUUAGUCCUUAUAUUUUGAAAAAUACCUUGAAACAUCACUGCCAUUAAAGUAUUGAUACCCUUACCGUUACUUUUUAUUUAUUUUGGCUUAUUUUUACAAUAUUACCCUUUAAUAAUAAUUUUUUUGUUUAGACAUUAAUAAAAAUAAAAUAAUUAAAUUACCAAUUUAAUCCUAAAAAAUAAAAAUAAAAAUUUAUAUUAAUUUUUAAUUGUAAAAAAUUGUAUGCAAACUACCAAAUGUGCAAACGGUGCUUGCAAAAAAAUUAAUAUAAAUUUUUUAUUUUUAGGGUUAAAUUAGUAAUUUAAUUAUUUUAUUUUUAUUAAUGUCCAAAAAAUUAGUAAUUUAAUUAUUUUCUUUUUAUUAAUGUCCAAAAAUUAUUAUAAAAGGGUAAUAUUAUAAAAGUAAGCUAAAAGAAAUGAAAAGUAACGGUAGGGGUAUCAAUACUUUAACGGUAGGGAUGUUUCGAGGUAUUUUUAAAAAUAUAAAGAGUAAAUGGACACUAAUAUUAAAAUACAGGGACUAAAUAAGUUUUUAUCCUAAAUCUUUAAGUGUUUGAAUUGGAGUACAUAAAUUAUCUCUCUACAAUUCAAAAACAACAGAUUUGUUACUUUUCAACGCUACAGGUUCCGCGAAUAUUCAGUUGUGGUUAUCUUGUUGAAACACCAGAAAAUAGCGUUCUAUUUGGUGGUAAUGAAUUCUUGGUUGGGGAGUUACUUAGUUUAAAACAUUUAAAUGUAUUAAGCAUCGCCUUAAAAGGUUUUUCUACCGUCCAAAAAUUUAUGAGCUCCCAAAAGUUUCAAAGUUGUACAAAAUGUUUGGAGCUUAUAGACAGUGAUGAUUCAAAGUCGUUUGCCAUGGCAGAGUUGAAGCAUCUUGAAAAACUAGGUAUUUCAAAUUGUGGAAAUUUGGAAGAGUUUAAGUUCUGCUGUGUCGAAGUUGGAAAAACUUGAGAAGAUUUUUGUUUGAACAGCCUUCACCAAGUUAAGAGAAAGGCUUGUCAUAAAUUGAGGGAAGUGACAUGGCUUGUGUUUGUACCAAAUCUUAAGGUUAUUCAGAUAGAAAAAUGUAUGGAGAUGGAGGUUGUUGGGAAAGAGACUACCACAAGCAGCUAAAAAUUAAGCGAAUACAAAAUUCUUUCUCUCUUUGUGUGAUUAAAAUAGGAUGUGCACCACAAACAAAUAAGCAGAAAAAUAAACCAAUAAAUGCAAAGCAAAAACCAACCACAAGAGACACCGAUUUUUAAGUAGAAAAUUUAAAUUGGGAAAAAUCACAGGAUAGUAGUCUGAUAUAAACUUCUACUAUAUUAAUGAGAUUACAACACAAAUUCUUCUCCAGAUAAUACUAGAUGCUAACAAUAUUAAAAUUCUCAACAAUCUUAGUUUAUAAUAAUAGAUCUAAAAUCUAUUUCUUCAAUAAGUGAGUAUCUCAAAUAAUAGCUACUGAGAGAAUAAAAUACAGAUCAACACCAGUAGAAAUAUAGAGGGCAAUGUCAGGAACUUACCCUCCAAAUUUAGGACUAAUCAGAGCUAAAAUAACCUUUUGAUUGUUGAAUCAAAGAUUGAAAACCAAAAAAAAAAAAAAUAUCUCUUUCUCUCGCAGUGUCUUCUCACUUUCGCAAAAUGUCUACAGCUCUCGCGAUUCUUUACUUAUUUCCUUAGUUAAUUUCAUCCAAGUCCAAAAUUUUACAAUAAUUACACAUCAAGCAAAUUAUUUUGGACUUUGAACUUUUUGGUCCACUGAAGUGAAAUGGACCUUACAAAUCUCCCCCUCCAUCUCAUCUAAGGGGCACCACCAAGCCCGCUCUCUACUUACAGCUUUCCAGCUUCUCCUUGGGUAAUGACUUUAUCAUCAUAUCUGAUGCAUUCUUCGUUGUGUGAAUUUCUCCAAGCUGCAACUGUUUCUACUCAAGCACGUCUUGUAUCCAAUGAUACUUCAUAUCAAUAUGCUUCGAUUUCAAAUGAUAUGUUGAAUUCUUUGCCAAGUGGAUGACACUUUAACUGUCACAGUACACAACAUAACUAUCUUGAUUAACACCUAGUUCUUGUAGAAAAUUCUUCAUCCACAAGGUUUCUUUGUAACUUUCAGUGAUUGUAAUAUACUCUACUUCUGUAGUAGACAAAGCAACACACUACUAAAGUCUAGACUGCCAUGAAACUGCUCCUCCUACAUAGGUGAGCAAAUAUCUUGAUAGAGACUUUCUAGAAUCAACAUCUCCUGCCAUAUAUGCAUCCGUAUCUACUUGUAAUAUAGGUUUGUCACCACCAAAACAUAAACAUGCCUUGGAAGUGCCUCUGAGAUAUAUGACAAUCUACUUUACUGCUGUCCAGUGUUUUUUACCCAGAUUAGAGGAAAACCAGUUGACUACCAACUGUUGAAGCGUACCUCAAACUACCAACUGUUGAAGCAUAAAAAACUCUUUUUAUCUCUUGCUUCUCUUUCUCACUUAUGGGACAAUGCUUGAAACUAAGCUUGAAAUGACCUGCAAGUGGAAAAUAAACAUAUUUUGCUUUGUCCAUAUUAUAUCUUUUAAGAACUUUUUCAACAUAUGCUUCCUGAGAUAACCAUAAAUUCCCAGUUUUUCUGUCACGAGAAAUCUUCAUGCCAAGAAUUUGUUUCGCCGAUCCCAAGUCCUUCAUUACAAAAGACUUGCUAAGCUCUCUCUUCAAAUUGUCAAUCUUACUAGUAUCCUUGCCAACAAUCAACAUGUCAUCCACAAAAAGUAAAAGAAUAAUAAAAUCAUUAUCACUAAACUUUUUCACAAACAUACAAUGAUCACACAUUGUCUUGCAAAAGCCAUGAUUCUCCAUAAAAGAAUCAAACUUCUUAUACCACUGUCUUGGUGCAUGUUUCAGCCCAUAUAAAGUUUUUUUCAAUUUGUACACAAGUUCUUCUUUACCUUUGACACUGAACUCUUCAGGUUGUUAUAUGUAUAUUUCCUCCUUUAAGUCAUCGUGUAAGAAAGCAGUCUUUACAUUGAAUUGUUCAAUUUCCAAAUCCAAGCUAGCUACUAAUCCCAGAGGUGCUUGCUCAAUUGGUUCUGCUGGACCAUUAUUAUUAUCCUCUCCAGCUCCCCUAUGAUCAUCAUGAACAACAUGUGGAGAAACCGAAGUUGGAAUAAUAAGAAUCUCUGGAGAUGGCUGAGACUUAUCAUUUUUUUUUCAUCACCAACUAUCUAAUUUUUAAGAAACACAACAUCUCUAAUUCUGAUUACUUUUCUUGUCACUGGAUCCCAUAAUCUGUACCCAAAUUCUUCAUGUCCAUAGCUUAAGAAAAUACAUUUCUUGGCUUUAUCAUCAAGUUUUGAUCUCUCAUCUUUAGGGAUAUGAACAUACACUCUGCACUUAAACACCCUCAAGUGUUUAUAAGAAACAUCUUUCCCAAUCCAAACUCUUUUAGGUACAUCGUCAUCUAAUGGAGCUUAAGGAGAAAGAUUAAUCAAAUCAACUACAGUACGCAUAGCCUCCGCUCAGAAGGAUUUAUAAAGCUUGGCAUCAGAAAACAUACAUCUGACUAUCUUUUCAAUUGUUCUGUUCAUUAUUUCUGCAACACCACUCUGCUGAGGGGAUUUUGGUACAGUUUUCUUAAGUUUGAUUCCAUGAGAUCUGCAAUACUGCUCAAAUGGUCCUCUGUACCCACCAUCAUUUUCUGCCCUGACACAUUUCAAUUUUUUUCUUGUCCCUCUCUCAACAUAAGCACGAAAGAAUUUAAACAUAGUAAGCACGAAAGAAUUUAAACAUAUCAAGCACUUAAUCUUUAGAUUUUAAAGCAAAAGUCCAUACUUUUCUAGAACAAUCAUUAAUAAAAGUCAUAAAAUAAAGUGCACCUCCUAUUGAUCUAUUUUGCAUCAUGCAAAUAUCAAUGUGAAUCAAAUCAAGGAUUUGUGACUUUCUAGAUGGAGAAAAGCUUUUAAAAGUUACUUUAUGUGCCUUUCCAGCUAAACACUAAACACAAGUCUUGAGGGACGUACCUACAAAGCUUGGUAGAAAUCCUUUUUUGGCAAGAGUUCCUAACCCUUUCUCACCAAUGUGACCAAGCCUUUUAUGCCAUGUCUCAAUGUCAGAAUUGUUUACAGCCAUAUUCAUAUAUUCUUUCUUGAUUUUGGCUUCUAUUACGUAGAGGGUGUUCAUUUUCUUUCCUUUAGCCAACACUAGAGAGCCUUUGGUGAGCUUUCAUUUUCCUUCACCAAAUUAGUUAGUAUAACUAUCAUCAUCAAUUUUUCUUGUGGAGAUCAAAUUAAGACGAAUAUCUAGUACAUGCAAGCUUUUUUGUGGAGAUCAAAUUAAGGCGAAUAUCUAGUACAUGUCUGACAUCUUUAAGGAGUAGCUUAUAGCCAACACUGGUUUGAAGCAAAUAUCUCCUAUGCCCACAAUCUUGGAUGCCCCCUCAUUUCCCAUCCGAACAUGGUCAUAAUUACCAUUAACAUAGGAUGUGAAGUAAUCAUGAUGUGCAGUUGUUGUGCAAAUUUUAAUGUACUCGCAAGCGCACGAAUCUAUUGUAGUAUAGAUCAAUGGUGACGAGUGUCGAUCCCACGAGGAGGUGGAUUUUAAUUGUGUAUAGAAUUAAUUUUGCAAAUGGUUGAUUGGAUUUGUGGUGGAAAUGAUUUGGAAUAUGCUAAAACUUAAAUUAAAAUGGCGAGAAUAAAUUCUAAAAUUGGAAUUGAAAUUGCGAGAAUAAAGUUGAAGAGAAUUCUAUUGAAAUGACGUACUUGGGUAUCUGGAUCCGUAUCAACAUGCAUCAUGGGCUAAAUAAUGCGUAUUAAUGCCAAUUAAAUCAUGAGGGGGGAAUCCACACCUCAUGAACCACGCUCUAAUCAAUAUGGUGCUAAGGGCUUAUCGUGCCAAAUAAUAAUAACCUUGUACUAGAGAGCCGGUGUAACCAAGGCGGUACUAGACAAGAUUAGUAUUAUUUGUCGACGAGAAGUCAAAACAUCCACAAAAACUAGAGGGGAAGAGAAAAUAAAUUUACCAAAUAAAGCCCAUGACACAUGUUGAGACUUCACCUUCAACCCAAGCUUAAAAGAAAAUUAGCUACUCAUAAUUGAACUAAGGGCAAAAUGGGAAUUUAUUAAAAUACGAAGAAAAUACAAGAUAGAGAGGGAAUUACAGAAAAUGGAUCCCAAAAAUGGAUUCAGAGAUAUCAAAUUAGGGGGGGAGGCCCCCUUUUUAUAGAUACAUGGAGUAAAUCAUGGCAAUCGGAUUAAAAACAGUUUGGACGCUCAGGAUUGCGCCACGUCAUCAGUCAACAGUCCACGGUUUGACCACGCGGAUGAACAGUAAUACGGUUUGACCCAUAUGAACAGUACGCGGUUUGACCCGGAUGAACAGUAACGCGGUUUGGUUGAAAAUAAUCCUGUGUGAUGCAUGCACCGUACGCGAGAUUUUUUGUCCACUGAUAUGCUGCCACGUCACCAUCAACAGUACAUAAGAAUUUUAGUCCAACAGGAUCGUGACACCUCAUCAGUCAAUGCCACAUCAUCGAUCCGUCUAUGUGAGCAGUGCCGUGAACAGUAACAUAUACAGUACCGUAUACGUGAAUAGUACCGUACAUGUGAAUAGUGCUAUUUUUCCUUUUAUGCUCCUCCUAAGGUUUUCGACCGUCCUGAGUUCAAAAGUGAUGUCCGUUUUACCGUCUGAUCUCUCCUUUAUUGUGAAAUCACUAUAAUACCACUAAAAUACAUAAAAUACUUAAUUAAAAUAAAACACAUGUAAUUAAAUCACAAGAAGGUUAAAUACAUAAAAGUAAGGGUUGUUAGUAAGACUUGAAAUGUAAAAUGAUGGUUUUCUCCUUUAUAAAUAUGCAUUUUCUAACACUCAACAGCAGUAACCACGAUGUGCAGUAACAUCAAACGAAGCACCCGAAUCAAUCACCCAAUUACUGGUAUGGCAAGUAAGAUUUAUAGAGCUAUCAUUAUAAGCAAUGCCCAUAUCACCAUUAAUUACGGCUGUAACAUUCUCUUUGUCAUUUUUCUGACCAUCGCCUUUUUCUUUCGCAUGUUCUCUUUUCCACAAUUUACACUACCUUUUUACAUGGCCCAUUUUCUGACAAUGAAAGCACUUAGCUUCUCCUAUGGGACUUAGAUCUUCCUCCAGGGUUAUCAUUAUUCUGAUGACGGAAAUUUCUGCUUCGACUUCUCCCCCGUCUUUUUUGGUUUUCUGAAACAAGUGUAGCUGACUCAGAGGGAACUACUUCAGCAUUCUUUCUUCGAGAUUCUUCAUUCCGCAGUCUAUCUGUAACCAUAUCCAAGUUUAAUUUACCAUUCGGUGCCGAAUUAUUCACUGACACCACUAAUGUCUCCCAACUAUCAGGUAAAGAACUAAGCAACAACAAUGCUUGUAACUCGUCAUCUAGAAUAAUCUUCAUAGUAGUCAACUGAUCAACCAAACCCUGAAACUCACUAGUGUGUUCAGUAAUACUGUGGCCUUUUUUAUAUUUCAAGUUAACAAGCCUUUUCAUUAGAUUGACUUUAUUUUGUGCUGUUGGCUGCUCAUAAAUUAUUUCUAAUUUUCUCCAAAGAACAUCAGCCUUGGAUUCCUUCGCGACAUGAUGGUACACACUCUGAUCAAUCCAUGACCUAAUAGUGCCCACGGCUUUCUGGUUCAAUUGAGCCCAUUUCUUAUCAUCUAUAUCAACAAGUUUAACUUCAUCACCUUCAAUAGGUUCAUGUAAGUCUUUCAUGUAGAGCAAAUCUUUCAUUCUAGACUUCCAAAUAUCAUAAUUCCACGACUCAAUUUAAUCAUGAACGCCAAAGACUCCUCUAUUUCAACCACAUAAGUAAUAAAAACACACAACCUGGCUCUGAUACCACUCUAUUGGGAAAACGACUACCACAAACAGCUACAAAUUAAGCGAAAAUAAAAUUCUUUUCCUCUUUGUGUGAUUAAAAUAGGAUGUGCACCAUAAACAAAUAAGCAGAAAAAUUAAUCAAUAAAUUCAAAGCAAAAAUCAACCACAAGAGACACCGAUUUUAACGUGGAAAAUUCAAAUCGGGAAAAACCAUGGGACAAUAGUCCGAUAUAAAUUUCCACUAUAUUAAUGGGAUUACAGUACAAAUUCUUCUCCAGAUAACACUAGAGGUUAACAACAUCAAGAUUUUCAACAAUCUUGGCUUACAAUAAUAGAUCUAAAAUCUAUUUCUUCAAUAAGUGAGUAUCUCCAAUAACAGCUAAUGAGAGAAUAAAAUAUAGAUCAACACGAGUAGAAAUGUAAAGGGCGAUGUCAGGAACUUAUCCUCCAAAUUUGGGAGAAAUCAAAGCUAAAAUUAUUUUUCGAUCGUUGAAUCAAAGAUUGAAAACCCAAAGAAAAAAAAUAUCUUUUUCUCUCGCAACGUCUUCUCACUUGCGCGAAAUGGCUACAUCUCUCGCGAUUAUUCACUUAUUUCCUUUAUAUUUUUUUUGGUUAAUUUCAUCCAAGUCUAAAAUUUUACAAUAAUUACACAUCAAGCAAAUUAUUUUGGACUUUGGGCUUUUGGUCCACUGAAGUGAGAUGGACCCUACAGAAGCAAUAAUCAGUGCAAGAAAAUUAAGUGAAGUUCCAGAGAUGAUGGCAGAUCUAAACCCUUUUGUAAAACUCCAAUAUCUUGGCCUCCGAAUUCUACCAAAAUUAAAAAAGCGUCUAUUGGAAUGUGUUGCCCUCUCCACAUGUCAGGGAAAUUUUUGUAUCUGAAUGCCCAAUUCUCAUUAGAGGAGAGGAACACUGGUGGAAUAAGUUGCAAUGGGAGGAUGAAGCAACCUAUAAUGCUUUUCUUCCUUGUUUUGGAUCCAUUUGAUGGGCAUCAACAUGGAUUAAUAUUUUGCAGCGAACCAAUUUGAAUAAAACUUACGGUAAGUGCUUUUCCAUUUAUUGCAUAUUUAUAUCUAAUUUUUGUUUUCCUUUAUGGUUAAAUUUUGCCCUGUAUAUGUUGUUGUACGGUGACAUUCUUGAAUCAAUUAUUAAUUUUUUUAAUUCUCGUCUCACAACCACCCUUUUGAUCAUGAGGAUAUGCCGAUAUCAAAGAGUCAUAAUUUGGGAUACAAAUGUAAGAAUUAGGCAGAUGACAUGUUGUUUCAAAGCUUUCGAAGAAGGACUAAAUAUGUCAUUGAAAGCCUCCAAUUUUGCGACUGAUUUUUUUUUAAUUUGUUAUUUUUAUAGGUGGCAAAAAUACCCGUCUGAUUUGGACUCGGCUGAUUUGGGCCGGGUACGGAGUAUGAAGCCGGGUUGGUCCUGGGCAUCACUUGAAACUCGGAACCUGGAUUUUAUUAAAAAAUAUUAUAAAUAUAUAUUAUUUUAAAUAUCUAUAUUUAUUAGACUCAUCUAUUACAUAUAUCUAAUUUCAUUGAAAUAAAUUUAAAAAUUAUAAAAUUACCAAUAUAUAUAUAUAUAUAUAAUAUUAAAAAAGUAUAAAAUCUGAGUCCUCAGAUUAAAACCCAGUUCAAGUGUCUAAAAAAUACAUGUGGACCGAGUUUGAACAUUGCGAUACCCAGACCCAAACUUGGGUUUUGCCAACCCUAGUCUUUUAAAUUGCUUGAUUGUAAUGUUUUAGUAUAGAAAAAUGAUAGCCAAGACAACAAUAAGAGGGCACAUUGUGCAUGCACAAUAGUGGAUAAUUUCGGCAUUCCAAAUCCAAUUAGGGUGGAUAACCUUUUAUUAGUAUUAACCUUCUCUCGUAUUCAAGUAAUGUAAAAUAUGCUUAGAAGCUGUGGAUCCCCCUUUAUAAGUGUUGGGCUUAUGCCAAACUCGAUUGAUGUGGGAUGCCUUUAUAGGCAUCAAGUUUUCUCCCAUACACUUUAUGUUAAAAAUAAUAAUGAUAAAAUAAAUCCAUUUUAAAAUAGACUUCUUUUUCUUUUCUAUAUAAACAAACUCAUUCUUCAAAUCAGUUGUGGGUGGAAGGAGUGAGUAGAGAAGAACUGGGCCCCUUUCGUUCCUCUAAAAACCUCACCAAACCUCUCUUGUAAGCUUCUCAGUGUCCCUCUCAAUAUUUCUUAUGAUCUCGUUUUUUAUUGAAUCACUUCUUUUGUGUGCUGCAUUUUUGUGUGUCGUAUUUGGGUUUAUCUUAUCUGGAAUCCUGUUAUGAUUGAUGGAACAAGUAAUCGAUUUUUGGUUUAUUUGGAAUGGAAUUAUGGUUUAUUUGGAAUGGAAUUAUCUGGGUGUAACGGAUUAAAUUAUGACAUUGGGGAGAAGGCACUAAGGGGUUUGCUUGACACAUUUGGUUCUGUGUUUACUCUGAAAGAAAUAGCUUUUGCUUAUCGUAAUGCAAGGCGAAAUCCCGAUUUGGGUGGUGAAUUUCUCUAUCCCAAUUGGGCUGGUGAAUUUCUCUGUGACAAAUAGGCAAACAGCUCAACCUCUUUUAUCUAUCUUCUACUAGUGAGGCAAGGGAUAAAAAGUCUUCAAAAUCAUCAAAUAGUAACAUCUUCGAGAAUUCAUUUUAUGCAAAUGGAAAAUCUAGACCUUCUAAGACAAAAUGGCGUCCAGUAUCAAGAGGUACCGUUUCAAGUUUUCUUGGUAAAAAUUAUGUAAACUUGCACAGCCAGCUAAUGGCACUUUUCUAGUUUUCUGGCAUCAAAGCCAUUGAAGUCGUAUCCAAAGGAGUUUCCCAUGUCUGCACUUUGUGGAGAAGGAACUAAACAAAAACAAUCAAAGGAUGACCAUUUGCAGAAGGAUGUGGAAGAUUUUCUGUUUAAAUUGCUAGGAGAAGUGUUCCAGCUGAAUAGGGAUGUGAUUCGGGAAGUUCCAGUAAUGUCUUAAAUAUGUUGAUGCCAAUUUAAUAUAUAUUGUCAUUUUCAAUGUUCUUUCUUUCUUUCUUUAUCUUCUUUUCUUCUACUUCUUCUUCUUUUUCUUUUCGUGUGCAUGUGAUCACUAAUUUGUUAUUAUACUUAACUUGCAGGUAGUUGUGGAUAUGAUAUGCAAAAGGUAAGGACUAUAUCUUCCUGAUAGAGGCCUCUGCUUUUUCCCUUUUAUGUAAUUUAGUAAAUCUCAUCUCCCUUUGUGAUUGUUAUAUCAUAUCAAAGUCAAGUCUUAAAUACUGCUGUCAUAUGUUAAGGUUCAACUUGCAUUUUGACUAACAUCCAUUUGUUGUCGCUUCCAAAAGUGAGAAUGAGAUACUUCGGUUAAUUUCAGUAGUUGAACCCAAUCGAGUACUUUAUCUAGAUCUUCAUGGUUCAAAGGCCUGAAACUUGCCCGUGAUUGUAAAAUGAUAUUAUGUGCUUUUAAUGCAAUAGGGGGAACAAGGUGUCAAAGGAAUUAGCAGAUUCUAUGGCAGAUUCUAUGCCUGUACAACUGUAACAAUUAUCCUUAUGAUUGUAAAUCUUAUAUGUUUUCCUUAUUUAGGAUAUACUAGCUGUAGGCUAUUUUAGAUAGUUAUGUAUAUGAUAGUUUAGCUAUGUUUAGGGCUAAACAUAAGCUUGUAUUCAUAGUAUAUAAAGGGAAUUCUCUUCUAAGAGAAAGCAUAACUUUUGCUCAAAAUUCUCUGAGUUUAUCAUGGUAUCAGAGCCUCAGUUCUGAAUUCUCUUCUUCCUAGUUCAUUCCCUUGUUCUUAGUUAUUCUUUUUUUUAUCAAGUUAUCUCAGCCUCAUGUCUUCAGACAAGUAUGAUGCUUUUUUGAUCCGUUUUAAUGGCACAAACUACUCAGCCUGGGCAUUUCAUUUCGAGAUAUUUGUCAAAGGCAAAGAUCUAUGGGGACAAGUUGAUGGCAGGAAACCUGCCCCUGAUAAAGAGAUAGACCAGGAUGGGUACGCCAAGUGGGAAGUCAAGGAUGCUCAAAUCAUGGCAUGGAUUCUAGGAUCUGUGGAAUCCAACUUCAUCUUGAAUCUUCGACCCUUCAAGACUGCAGCAGGAAUGUGGAAUCAUCUAAAGAAACUCUACAGUCACACCAACACUGCUCGUUGAUUUCAGCUUGAACAUGAGCUAGCCAAUCUCCAACAAGGCAGUCUCUCUAUUUCUGAUUUUUAUUCUAUCUUUAUGAUUAUUUGGGCUGAAUAUACUGAUAUAAUCUAUGCUACCUUACCUCCGAAGGUCUUAGUUUUGUUCAAUCUGUACAUGAAACUACUAAGAGAGAUCAAUUUAUGAUAAAACUGAUAUAUGAAUUUGAAAGCACUAGGUCCAAUCUUAUGAAUUGAGAAUCUGUCCCUUCCUUGGAUACAUGCCUCAAUGACUUAUUUCAUGAGGAGCAACGACUUCUUACUCAAAAUACCAUGAAACAAAAAAAAUCUACUUCUGUUCCUAUGGCUUAUGCAGCUCAAGGCAAGCCAAAAGGUAAGGACAUCAGUAUAGUUCAAUGUUUUUGUUGCAAAGGAUUUGGACAUUACGCUUCAAAUUGUUCAAAAAAAUUAUGCAACUAUUGCAAAAAAGAUGGACAUAUCAUUAAGGAAUGCCUUACUCGACCCCCCAAGAAAUCUGAAACAACAUAUGCUACCUCAGUUGGUUCUUCUAGUGAUGGUAGUUCUGUGGAUACAGCACAUUUGACCCAAAGUGCUCCUGUUCCUGUUCAAUCUGUGACCCCAUAAAUGAUUCAACAAAUGAUCAUUAUUGUAUUCUCCUCAUUAGGACUCUCAGGUAAAUCACCCACUAGAUCUCCUUGGUACUUUGAUUCUGGGGCUUCCCAUCACAUGACAAACAAUGCUAAAUUCUUCACCAAUGUAAGUAAAUACCUUAGAAAUCUAAAAAUUCAUACAGCUGAUGGCAACUCUUUACCUAUCACAGCCACUAGUGAUGUUUCUUUUUCUAUAACCAAUGUCUUUGUCUCUCCUGGUCUUCCUACUAAUCUUGUUUCAAUCGGUCAGUUAGUUGACAAUAAUUGUAAAGUAGAAUUCUCUAAAUCUAGUUGUGUUGUGCAGGAUCAGCAGUCAGGGAAGAUGAUUGCCAGGGGGCCUAAAAUAUGACGUCUUUUCCCUCUCCAAUUUGCUAAGUCUCCAUGUUUCUCUUUGCCUAUCAUCACUUGCAAUUUUACUAAGGUUAAUUAUCGAGCAUGGCAUAAACGUCUAGGACACCUAAACUCUAAUGUAUUUUAUGCUUUGCUAAAUUCUGGUUUACUUGGGAAUAAAAGAUCACCAUCCCUUAGUGUUGUUCAAUUUGAUUGCAAUUCUUGCAAGCUUGGAAAAAGUAAAAUUCUGCCAUUUCCCACUCACACACCGAAUGUUGUCCAGCCUUUUGAUUUGAUACAUAGUGAUGUGUGGGGUAUGGCGCCUGUUACAUCUCAUGCUAAUUACAAGUACUUUGUCACUUUUAUUGAUGACUAUAGUCGCUUCACAUGGAUUUAUUUUCUACAUUCUAAAGAUGAAGUGUUCUCUGUUUUCAAGCUUUUUCAUGCAUAUAUUCAGACCCAAUUUUCUACUAAUAUCAAAAUUCUUUGCUUUGAUAAUGGGGGUGAGUAUAUGUCUCAUUUAUUUUAAGAAUUUUUGCACACCAAUGGUAUAAUUUCUCAAAGAUCUUGUCCUUCAACCCCUCAACAAAAUGGGGUGGCUGAAAGAAAGAACUAUCACCUUCUCGAUGUUGUCUUCAUUUGUACCCUCUCGUUUUUGGUGUGAAGCUUUCUCCACUGUUGUCUAUCUCAUCAACAGAUUGUCCUCUCAUUCCUUGAACCAUGUCUCCCAUUUCUUUCAGUUAUUUGGCCAUACACUAAGUUACUCUCAUCUCCAUACCUUCAGUUGUGUGUGCUAUGUUCAUCUUCCUCCAUAUGAGCGUACAAAACUCACAGCCCAAGCUGUGAAAUGUGCUUUUCUAGGAUAUUUUAUGCACUAAAAAUGUUUUCUUUGUUAUGAUCCAAAUUUGCAUCAUAUAAGGGUUUCUCGAAAUGUGAUUUUCUUUGAAAAUCAGUAUUUCUUUUCCGCAUACCACGACGAUUCUUCGCCUUCAUUUUCUGUUUUGCCAAAGUUUACUAACCCUUCUGCAGAUUCUGCACCUUCUAAACCUAUCAUAGUCUAUCAGCGACGCAAGAAUUUAGUACCUCUCGGGCCCCCUCCAGCAACUUCCCUGAAUGUUGAUCCAGUUCCAGCAACUGCACCUGAACCUUUCAGACAUAGUACUCGGGUUCGUAGACCACCAGAUAGGUAUGGUUUCACCUCUCCAUUAUUUUUGACAGCCACUUUGUCUUCUAUUCUUAUUCCUUCAUCAUAUAAACAGGCAAUAGAGCAUGAAUUUUGGUGAAAAUCUAUUGAAUCAGAACUUCUUGCACUUGAAGAAAACCAAACUUGGGAUAUUGUUUCAUGUCCUCCAUCCGUGAAACCCCUUAGUAGUAAGCUAGUGUUUUCUAUCAAGCUGCGUUUUAAUGAAUCCAUAGAUCGUUACAAGGCUCGGUUGGUGGUUCUUGGCAACAAGCAAGAAUAUGGCCUAGACUACGAUGAGACCUUCGCGCCGGUAGCCAAAAUGACCACUGUUCGAACAAUAUUAGCCCUUGCUGCAUCACAAUCAUGUUCUUUACAUUAAAUGGAUGUAAAGAACGCUUUCCUACAUAGUGAUCUCAAGGAGGAAAUUUACAUGAAACUUCCCCACGGUAUGACUACUUCCUCUCCUAAUGAUGUUUGCAAACUAAAAUGUUCGUUGUAUGGGUUGAAGCAAGCACCGCGAGUAUGGUUUGAGAAGUUUCGAUCAACUCUUUUCAGUUUUUCAUUCACUCAAAGUCAGUAUGACUCCUCCUUUUUUUUUUCCAACAGACAUCUAAGGGCAUCAUUGUUCUCCUUAUUUAUGUGGAUGACAUCGUUAUCACUGGUUCUGAUAUGGAGGCAAUUUCUAAACUUCAGAAUUUGUUGCACUCUAUUUUUCACAUGAAAGACCUCGGUCAACUCACCUAUUUUUUGGGGUUAGAGGUGCAUUAUCUGCCUCAAGGUAUCUUCUUGAAUCAACACAAGUAUAUUCAGGAUUUAAUUUAAUUAGCUGGACUUAUGGACAAAAAUUCUGUUGACACCCCAGUGGAACUUAAUGUGAAAUAUCGACAAGACGAAAGGGAACUACUUCAAGAUCCUACUUAUCUAUCUAACUAUCACCCGCCCAGACAUCUCUUAUGCUGUCCACACCGUUAGCAAGUUCAUGCAAGCCCUUCGACAUCUCCACGUAUCCACAGUCCGCCGCAUCAUUAGAUAUAUUCUUGGCACUCUUAACUGCAGUUUAUUCUUCCCUACUGGUUCUUCACUCCAACUACAAGCCUACAAUGACGCAGAUUGGGCUAGCUGCCCGGACACGAGAAAAUCUACUUUGGGAUGGUGCAUGUUUCUUGGUGAUGCCCUUAGCUCUUGGAAAUGCAAAAAGCAAGACUCAGUCUCCAAAUAAUCCACUGAGGCAGAAUACCGCGCCAUGUCUGUAGCCUGCUCCAAGAUCAUUUGGUCGCGUGGUCUCUUAACAGAGCUUGGUUUCUCACAACAUCAACCUACUCCCCUACAUGCUGACAACACAAGUGCCAUCCAAAUUGUAGCCAACCCUGUCUACCAUGAGCGCAUGAAACACAUAGAGGUUGACUGCCACUCUAUUCGAGAGGCCUAUGACCACCAAGUUAUCACCCUCCUGCAUAUCUCCACUACUCUACUGAUUACGAAUAUCUUCACCAAAUCCAUGACAUGUCAGCGACAUAACGUUCUUGUUAGCAAAUUGAUGCUUGUAGAUUUACCAGCAUCAAUUUGAGGGGGGAUGUCAAAGGAAUUAGUAGAUCUUAUGGCAAAUUCUAUGCCUGUACAGCUGUAACAAUUAUCUUUAUGGUUGUAAAUCUUAUAUUUUUUCCUUAUUUAAGAUAUACUAGCUGUAGGCUAUUUUAGAUAGUUAUGUAUAUGGUAGUUUAGCCAUGUUUAUGGCUAAACAUAAGCUCGUAUUCAUAGUAUAUAAAGGGAAUUCUCCUCCAAGAGAAAGCAUAUGAAAGAAACUUAGUUCUAUAUUGUUUGGUAGGCUAGAAAAUGAAAGAAAAUAAAAGAAAAGCUUUGCAAAGAAAACUGUUAGAUCCUUUUAUUAUACCAAACUUACAGUUUAAUGACUAAAAAUUGAUAUUUAUAUUGAGCUACAAACUCUUCACACACACACACGAGAUUGUUGCAACACAUAACCAAUUGCUGUAUAACUAACUUGACACAUCAGCUCAACCAGCUAACUAACUUUGACAGGUCAGCUUAAUGAUUUGAUCUGAUACAACCAGCUACACAGCAACAUCAUGCUCUGCUCCAGCUUCAUCUAAUUCACUAACAACUUUUGCUCAAAAUUCUCUUAGUUUAUCACAGGGAAGUAUAGCUUUGGAAAAGGCCGGAUCAAUAACUAUGGAGAGAUUUAUAAGUGAUAAAAAUUCCCGUAACCCGCUGUCAAGAAAAUUUCACAUAGUUAAAGACGCCAUUUUGUUUCAGCCAAAAAUGUUUGUUUAAUCUGCCAAAAAUGUUUGUUUCGAUUAAAGACUUGAACCGUUUUCAUUUAACCUGAUUGUGAUGCUUUAUGUUAUGUAUGUUCCUCUCAAUCAAGAAAAGUUGAGGUUCAUGAUUUUAUAUUUCUAUCUUGUAACUUGCAAUAAUAACUGGUCUUCUUGUUUUUGUAGCUUGAUAACAUGAAUUUUCCUUCUCAAGUUAAUUUGAUCAAUAAAGUAAUUCUUCAAAGAAAAUAUGCCCAUUCUAUAAUCAUUUUCUUAGCUAAUAUGUUUUUUUUUUGUUUACUCUUCAGAGUGUGUCGAAACUAAUUGAUUGCUCGGCAGAGACUUUGGGUGACAAGUCAAAAUUUCAUGGUAAAUCCUCUGAAAAGGUAUGCAUAAUUCCUGAAUAUUAAAUAACCAAUGGUCAUAGUUUUUGUACACGACUCUUUUUGUGGAGAUCGUUAAAAGUGGUUGAUGAUCCAUUUGUAAUUUCAUAGAGGGAUCAUCAAUUCCUUUUCUUUUCUGUGGCUAGGCAUCACUUUCGUGCCAAAGUAAGGAAAUCUAUUUUAGGUAAUGUAAAAAACAAUGGUAGGAUGUAAUAGCUUAUUAUGCACUGACAAUAACUUUUUGUAUAAUUGUCAGUUUAAGGAAUACAAGAGGAACUCUGUUGACAAAUUCAUCCAAGAUAGAUGCUAAAAUUAUUUAUGCAUGCCAGUUGCCUUAACUAAUUUUUCUUAACACUUGUAUUGAACAGGAAAUGAGUAUGCAAUUUGUGUACGUGCCAUUGUGGAGAAUUUGGAUAUUCUUAUUUAAGUAAGAAGAAGAGUAUUUGCCUCAUCUUUAAACAAUGAAUCUUUGAGAAAUGAGGAGUGGGUGAUUGGAAGUGUCUUCAUGUAAAUGUUCAUUUACUUGUAUUUUGAACUAUUAUGAGAAUCUUUUAUAUGCCAAAUUAGUAAUACAAAUGUUCAGAUGAUUUUUCCUGUUGAUCACGCGUUUGUGUCUGCAGACAACCAUUGUAUAUCACUUUAUUCUGAUGUGCAAUUAUGUAUAGAUUAGAAGAAAAGAAAUAAUAGUCUUAUAUUAUUGUUUGGUUCAUGAUUAUUAAACGAUUAUGGCUUCAAAAAAUCUACAAAUUCCUUCUGUUCAUAUAUGAAUGUGCCAAGUUUGCUAUAUCUUAGAUUGCCUUCUUCCAAGAUAACAAGUUCAUAUGUUUUUUAAUCCUCUUCAAUCACAGUUGAAUUUUAAGUGUUAAGAUUUGUUAUUAAUACCUGGUUCCCUGUUAUUAUGAUUUUUAUUAUGAUUUCAUAAACAGUGUACGGACAUGUGCUCUACUUUUAAAGGGCCUCCACGUGAAAGAAAAUUGCAACAAUUGAAUUCUUCCGGAGGGUAUGGCAUUUAAUUUAUUUUCUCAACUUCUUGUAAGACUAAUAUAUUUCCUUCAGUAGGCAGGGCAUGUUGGGAAGGGCUUUUAUUGAAAGAAUUCUGAUAUUUCUUAGACUUUGUUUUGGAAGGGAGGUGGAGGGAUUUCUCAUCCAUAUAUGGUUACUUGAUUAGCUUUUGACUGUAUUGCCUCAGUCGUGCAAAGGAAGAUCCAAAUACUAAUGAAUGAGAAUUGGUUAGAGACCCAAAAGACAGAAAUGAACUACAGAAGGAAGUUUUUGCUGCUUUAUUUAGUGUUCCUGAGAACUCUGAUGAAGAUGGAGUGGAGGUCCAAAGCAUUAAGAAAGGUGGUGAGUGAACCGCCAGAGGAAUUGGUACCAGAAUACAAAGCUAAUGUGGUGCAUUUGCAGCAAGAUAACCAGACUAGUAUGUGCUCUUGUAUUAACUAUAUUGACUGGAUUUGUGAGCAUGUUCAUUUUUGUGUGUAUAAUCACUUUUGUAUUUAUGCAUAUUAAUGUUAGUAGGAUUCUUGAUUUCCUCCACUUACUGGAGAACUAGUGGAAAGCUUUAUAGUGAAAUAUCUGCAAUAACUAAUGGAAACCAUGAUUUGAAUAUUUUCUCUCACCUGGAGAGCUUUGUAACAGAUGUACUUUGUGGCUAUGGAAUACUAGAGAUUCUGCAAUAACUAAUGGAAACUCUGAUAUGAAUAUUUUCUCUCACCUGCAGAACUUUGUAACAGAUACACUUUGUGGCUCUGGAAUGUCUAAAGAUUUUGUCUGCUUCAGUUAGAUCAAAUAUCUUUUAGUUACCUACAUUAUGGAAAAGAUAGAGUUCUCUGAAUCUGAAAGACUGAAACAUUUUGCAUAUUUCGUGAAAGGAAAAUAUCUGUAGAUACUAGUUCAUGCAUUGAGGUAACAUCAAUGUUAAAGAAAAACAGCAAUAACUUAUUAUAUAGAAUUAGGUUCACUUGCUUUAAAUGCUGGUCUGGUCAACCAUAUGAACCUGUAAGUGUAUCUGCAGAAAUAUAUAUGGGGGGACAAACUAGCUAAAUUUUCCUCUCAUUUCUGGCUUUGGUCAUUUUUUCCCCUUAUUUUUCAGCUUUCCUUCUCCUGAAGUAUGUUAACAAUUGCAGAUAAUGACGAAGAGGACAGCUUGCAGGCUCUUCGUGGAGCUGUGAUGGAAUAUAGGGGCACAAUGAAAGAACAUUUUAAAGCUGUAGGUUCUUUUUCUCCUGUCAUUUAUAUUUGCUCACACAUUUUUCAUAUGCUCCAAGCAUGCAAGUUUGUAUGUGUCUUUGCCUUUUAAGUUUUAAAAACCAUAAGGUAAGAAUACAGUUCCUCGUCAGGUUAUUGAUGCAUUCACUCCGGAGGAUCAUGUUCGAGCAGGAAAACUUCUAGAACAGGCAAGGUUUUCCAUCUACAGCCAUCUAUUGACAACAGAUACAUUUUCAUUCAGCAGACACUGUUAGCAUUCAAGAUGCUGGCAGAUUCACUUGAUUCUUAUUAGUUUGUUUAGUGGUAAAGCAUAUAACCUGUUUUUCAAAGCCAAGUUGUGCUAUUGAUUAUGUUAACUUUAUUGUUCACAUAAAGUGAUAUGGAGGAAAUAAUCAUUGUAGGAAAAUUAGGUGAAGAGGUGAUGUCAAAUCUUGAACCUGUUACAAAACUCCAAGUUCUUUACUUGAAGAAGCUACCAAAUUUGAACAGGGUCCACUGGAAGGCCUUGCCAUUCCCUGAUGCCUGCAGAAUUUUUGUAUUUAAAUGCCCAGAGCUUAAGAAGCUGCCACCGGAUCUUGAAAGGGCAGGCCAAGGUAAAAUUCUUAUCAAGGGAAAGGAAGAUUGGUGGAAACAACUUCAAUCGGAGGAUCAAGUAACUCAGAAUGCAUUGCUUCUAUUUUUAAAAUCAACUGACAAGUGAUUGAAGGGGGCAUCAUCAACAUCAUCAACAUGGAUGGAGAGAUUCAGGAGCAGAUCCGCAGGGUUUAUUACGACCUGUGGUGGUUGCUUUUUUGUGACUUGUUCCCUUUCAUUUUUUCACUUCCUGUCAUAUUAUCAUUUCUUUGUCUCUGUUUCUAUUGCUGAUGUUGCUGCAUGCUUGCAGCCCUUGACAAAGUUAGCAAUGCAAUAUAGAUUUUGAAAUUAAAUUUUGUAUGUUCGGGACAGUCACAAAGUACUACUUGUUCUAUAUGGGGGUGAUGUGAAUCAACUUUUCAAUUAUAUAUUCUGUGGUAAUUGUGAAUUCAAUUUCAUUUGUCUCCUGCAAAUUAUGAAGAAAGUGCAGAGUUAGAAUAUCGAAAAGUUCACUGGCAAAUACUUUGUAAAAGCUUCGGAGUGAAACAGGGAAUGCACUUGCAACUAAGGACAAAUUGGUGGCCAGCUAAUGCAUUCAUUUUAUGUACAUUCAUCUUUUUAAUUAUUGAAGAUAAGUGGUUCGUUGCUUUUGUUGUAGAAAAAAUUCAGACGACCUCAAUUGUGAGAUGAAAAUAUUUAAAAUAUCUCUUAAAUUAUUAUAAACUUUAAUUUAUCUUAAUUUUAUUUAAAAGAUAAAAGAAAAAUGUGGUAUAUGGGUAAAAAUUUUUUUAUCUUGUUAAUAAAAUGAAAUAAAUUAAAAUUUACAAUAAUUUAAAGUAUUUUAAAAUUAUUAUUUCAUAAGAGAUUAAUAUGAAAUUAAUCCUUUUUACUUUUUGAAUGUGAAAGGACAAGAAAAGAGAAAGCUAGUGUCACUGCUUUUUAUUUUAUUUGAAAUCGGAGUUAUCCCAUAUACUUUACUACUUUAGCUCUAACAUUACAAUGUUUUUAGGCUACACUUUUAUUUUUCUUUUUCCCCCUUUUUUUAUACAUGCAUGUGGAUUACUUUUCUCUAAGCUCCUUAAUAUUUAAGACAAAUCAUAAAAGCAAUUGAAGCAUAACAAGAUGAUCAAAACAUUUAACCGAAAAAAAAAGAAAUAAAACAUUGAAAAUGGAGAUGUUGAUUAAUUUAGAAGAGAUGCAAGCAAAAAAUAUUCCCAAAAAAAAAAAAAAAAAAAGCAACGUUAGUUCAUCCAUGUCUGUCAAUGCGUUUUUUAUGGUUUUUUUUUUCCAGUUGUUUGUUGUAAUAGAUUAAUUGUAAAUUGAUAUAAACUUGAUGUUGUAAUAUGUUCGCUUUUGUGGAAAUAAAUUUCAAUAUUCAAGAUUAUUCAAGUCUUAUCUAGUAUGUGUUCGGUUGUGUUGUCGAUAAUUUUACAUUCUAAUAAGUUUUCACCUAAAAUAUUAGCAUGAGUAGUAGUCCUUAAACCUUUGGUCAAAAUUAUUGUUAUUGUUUCUUUUAGAGGAAAUUUUUUUAUUAAAGCCUCGUUAACACUAUUCCUUAUUAAGAUUAUAAGUUAGUGUCGGUGCAGGAUUUGCAGCGACAAAUCUUGUCUAGCCACGUGUCAAAAUACAAAUAAAUCAAGGGAAAGCACAUGACAUGGAUUAGGAUCCAAUAAAAUUUAAAUCCCAAGGAAAAGGACAACUGUAUCCUAAAGUUUCAAUAAGAGAUACUGGGAUAUCUUUUGACUAAUGUUAUUUUUUGGCUUUAUUAAUAAAAAGAUCCAAUAGUUUAUAACAAAUAAAAAUAUAGUAUUAAGCUAAAUGUGAUAAUUUACACAUUUUACAUAAUUUCAAUAAAAAUUUUUUUAAUGUUUUACAAUCUAUCAGACAUAUUUUAUUAAAUUAAUAAGAAUUUUCUUAUAAAUAGCAACAUAAUAUUAAAAUAAAUUUAUAAAAAUUUAAAUGUAAAAUAAUUUUAGUAUAAUUAAUACGCGGGAUAUAUUUUGUAAAUUAUAAAAUUACUUAACCCAAUGAUUUUUAAAAAUCUUUAAAAUAAAUAAAAAUAAAUUAUUCACAUUUUGAUGUAAAUAUUUAAAACAUUUUUAUACAUUAGUCCACAAUUAUUUAUGUUAUAUUUGUAUUUAUUAGAAAUUUUGAAAGUCAAAUGUUUUUUACCUCUAUGUUAUUAGAAUUAUUGCACACAGAGAAAGAGCCAUAUAUGCUUUAUAACUUUAAAAUCGAUUUGUUUUAUAGCUGGGAAUAGAGAUGAUCAUUAUUAUAAGGAUUUUUUAAAAAAAGAUAAAGAAUAUUAAUGAUUAGCGAAAUCUCUAUGGAAAUUGAAUUUAGUAAGAAAAAAUUGAGCUGAUUUUAGUGGUAUAGUAAUAUUUUAUAUAGAGAAAAGUAAAAGCUGCACCCAAGGUUAAGGGAAAUGGUCAAAAUUCUUUUUUAAUCAUAAUACCCUUUUUCCUAGAUAAUUUAAAAAUUUUACUCUAAUAGUUUAUAAUAAAUAAAAACAUAUAAUCCUAAAAUAAAUAAAAUGAUAUAUAUUUUAAAAUAAUCUCAAUAUUUAAAAUAUAUUUUAACAUUUUAUAAUCUAUUAGAUAUAUUUUAUUAUAUUAAAGUAAAUUUUAUAAUAAAUACAAAACAUACUAUUAAAAUAGAUAUAAAAAUUUUAAAGUAUUUUGAAUAUUAUAUAAAAUAACUUUAAUAUUGUUAAUGCAUGAGAUGCAUUUUAUUAAUUAAAAAUUCUAUGUAACCCAAAGAUUUAUUUAUAAUAAAUUAAUAAUCAUAUUUUUGAAAUUAUUUUAAAUAUUAAAAAAUAUUUUAAUAUUACUAACUAUUAGAUAGACUAAACUAUUUAUUUUAUUUUCUAUUUAUUAUAAAAUUUCAAAGUUAAUCUUUUUAACUACUAUUCAAAAGAUGUUAUGAUAAAAACAGAAUUUUUGUGUUUUUAUUGAAAAUUUGGAGUUUACAUCUAUUUUUUCAAAUAUUCAGGGUGUAACUGUUUUUUCCCUUUUAUAUAUACGAACGGUGGUGAGAAAGUUUGAUUUAACGUUAUUUAUUUAAAUAAAAUCUCAGUUAAAAAUGUACAGAGAAGAAAUUUCGGUUGGUAUUUUAGUCUUGGUAAUCUCUAUAUUAUAUGCAUAUAAGAUACAUCAUUCUCACAUGAAUAGUAUAUGUGUGAGAUCCAUAUAUUAUUCAUGUGAGGGAGAUGUAUCUUAAUAAGAUAGAGGGAUCCGUUAGUCUUUUACCAAUCAUCACGAUUAGGCCUUGGCCUUGAAACAUUAAUUGUUUCACUUUUAGCGCUAGUGGCGUUGAAAGUUGUCAAGAAAAAGCAAGACCAUAUUCCACAAAAGCAAAAGUAACGUAGGCUCUUUUAUUAAAGGCAAAGUAUAAAGUAGUCAAGAAUCGAAUAUCCUGUCGUCUACUCUUUUUUAAAUUCUUCUUUUAUUAUCGUUUAGAAUAGUUUUUGGUAAUUACAAUCAUUAUUCAGAGUUAUUGUUAUCUUCCGGGGCAGUCUCUGUUCAUCGAAGUCGUUACCUUUUUUUUAAUGGAUCAGUUCCAGUGGUAAGCAGUAAUUUUCUUAGAACUCGGAUCUUUAAUUCGAGUUUCUGUGUGAAUUAAUAAUAAAAAAUUUUCAUUACACGCAAUUUAAGCUACGAAUUACUUUUUGCAAAGUUGAAUAUGGAAUUGGAGAAAUUAAGUAAUUUAGAAUGUUGGUAAAAAUUGACGAACAUAUCUCCAAUUACAGUAAAACCUCUCUACAGUCAUAACAUUAUAACAAAAUUAAUUUUAUUACUAUGUUGAGGUAAUAUAGGUUUAGUUACAAAAUUAUUGUUUUAAUAUGGUUAGUGUCAAGUGAUAUAAAGGUUAAGUAUGCAGUACAUUAAUAAUUAAAUAAUGAAGUGUCAAAUCUAAUGUAUAUAUAUUAAUGAUAUAGAUAGACAUAGUUUUAAAAAACUAAUUAAUGUAUAUUUAUGUAGUGUUAUGAAUAUGGAAAGUCAAGCCUACACUUUACAUUAUCCUUAAUUUUUUCUCUCAGUUAAAUUCUACAAAUAUUGUACAAUGGUUGGGCAAGAACUCUAAAUUAAGAAUAAAUUAUUGUCACAAAUAAUUUUAGAAAAUAUUUUAUUUCGUCUUAAACCUUUAAUAUAAAUAAACAUAUAUAUAUAUAUAUAUAUAUAUAUAUAUAUAUAUAUGUGUGUGUGUGUGUGUGUGUGUGUGUGUGUGUGUGUGUGUGUGUGUGUGUGUGUGCAUAUUUUGCAACGUAUAGAUAAUUGUUAGUAUAUGGAGACAAGUCUUUUAAGGUAGGACCUAGGAAAAUUUAUAACUUACUACACUGUGGAGUUUUUAUUCCUUUUUAUAAUUGGCUCAUAUUGAUACAUUCUUACACAAAAUAUUACCAUUGACAUAUUUUACUACAAUUAGUUUAGAACAUUUGUUAGGAAAAAAAAGAAAAGAAAAGAAAACAUCCCUUGGAUGUAGCUCUCCUGACUAUUUAAAUCUUUUAAGGAAAAAAAGAAAAAAGAAAAACUGGCACAUUCAAAUCUUGAAGCAAUUACAUUAAAAUCUCUCCAUAAUGAUAGGAAUAAUCUCCAUUUAGUAAUAAAAAAUUUUGUUCGCAAUUUAGGCAGAGUUAUAAAUAAGAAUAAAAUCCUCAUUGUAAUAAGUUAUAUUUAUUAUGGAUCCCAUCCUAAGGAAUUCGUCUCUAUAUAGUAAUAAUUAUUUGCAUAUUAUAAAUAUAUAUGUUGCAUUAGAUUAAAUGAACUUGUCUCCACAUACUACUUAGACAACGAGAGAAAAUUAUUAAAGAGAACACAAAUAUUUAGAUAUUUUUAAGAUUACUUUGCAUAUUUAUAACAAUAAUACAUUGAUAUAUGUAUUAGUUUUUUGAUAUAUUAGAUUUAACAUGCUCUAUUAAUAAAUUAUUAAUACGAUGCAUAUUCAUCUCUAUAUCCUUGCAAUAAAAGUAACUAAGUUAUAACAAUAAUUAUUAAUAAAUUAUUAAUACGUUGCGUACUUCAUCUCUAUAUCCUUACAAUAAAAAUAACUAAGUUAUAAUGAUAAUUUUUGUAACUACAUACUUAUUAGGUUUUAACUACUUCAUAAUAAUAAAUUAGUUUCGUCCUAAUAUUAUAAUUAUGUAGAGUUGUAGUGUAUAGACACACCCAAUUUAAAUAGUAUAUCAAAUAAAAUUGUCCCCACGAAAAAGAAAAAAGGGGUAAAGGAUUCUCAUUUCUUCAAACAUUAGGAUCACGUUUGUACAAGUGCGAUGCCUUUCUUUUGAAGGCAACGUCAGUGGGUACCCAAUAGGACGUGUGUAAAUCUUUCCAAAAUUUCUCUGGUAUAACGGACAGAGAUCAUUACUUUUCUCUUCCAUAUACCACAGCAGCUUCAGUUAAUCAGACUCAAUCAAUUUUCUUGGUUUCUUCGCUUAUCAAAAUUCCAAAAUAUGGGUAGCAUAUUUCAAAUCACAUGCGAUGGUGCUUUUUUCAAUCGUUGCUUGGAUUGCUUUCUUGGAAAAGUAGCAAACACAAGUAAGCUCCAAGAUAACCUUGUUGCCUUGGAGACUGAAUUGGGAAAACUAAUCGCAGCAAAGAACGAUGUGAUGAUGAGGGUUGUCAAUGCUGAACGGCAACACCUGAGAACGCUGGACCAAGUGCAAGUGUGGCUUUCGAGGGUGGAAGCUGUUGAAACUGAAGCUGAUGAAUUGAAAAGACACGGCUCUCAAGAAAUUGACAAAUUAUGUGUUGGAGGCUACUGUUCCAAGAACUGCGCGUCAAGCUACAAGUUCGGGAAACAAGUGGCUAAAAAGCUACGGGAUGUGCAGACUUUAAUCGACGAAGGAGUUUUUGCGGCGGUGGCUACCGAGGUGGUGCCUGAGAGAGCUCCAGAACCUGUAGCAGAUGAAAGACCCACUGAGCCAACAAUAGUAGGCUUGCAAUCACAACUUGAACAAGUUUGGAGAUGUCUUGUAGAAGAAUCAGUGGGAAUCAUUGGCCUAUAUGGUAUGGGCGGUGUUGGUAAAACUACACUAUUGACCCAUAUCAACAAUAAAUUUCUUGAGAGUCCAACCAGUUUUGAUUGUGUGAUUUGGGCCGUAGUUUCAAAGGACUUGCGACUCGAAAAAAUUCAAGAAGAUAUUGGGAAAAAGAUCGGUUUGGUUGAUGAUUCAUGGAAGAGUAAAAGUGUAGAGGAGAAAGCUCUCGACAUCUUCCGGAGUUUAAGAGAGAAGAGAAUUGUAUUGCUGUUAGAUGAUAUAUGGGAGCGGGUUGAUUUAACAAAAGUGGGCAUUCCACUUUCCGGACCAAAAAAUACUACAUCAAAAGUCGUAUUCACAACCCGUUUCGUCGAUGUUUGUGGUAGCAUGGAAGCUGACAAGAAGUUCCAGGUGGCAUGCUUAUCAGAAGAGCAUGCUUGGGAACUGUUUCGAAAAAAAGUUGGGGAAGAAACUCUUGAGAGUGAUCAUGAUAUCGUUGAGCUAGCCCAAACUGUGGCCAAAGAGUGUGGUGGUUUGCCACUCGCACUUAUUACUAUUGGUCGAGCUAUGGCCUUCAAAAAGACAGCCGAGGAGUGGAGUCAUGCAAUUGAUGUGCUAAGAACAUCAGCUUCUGAGUUUGCAGGUUUGGGAGAAAAGGUUUAUCGUCUUUUAAAGUUUAGCUAUGAUAGUUUGCAGAAUGAGACGAUUAGAUCUUGUUUCUUAUAUUGUUGUUUAUAUCCCGAGGAUUAUAGCAUUCUUAAAUGGGACUUGAUUGAUUGUUGGAUUGGUGAGGGAUUCUUAGAGGAAUCUGACAGGUUCAGUGCAGAAAACCAAGGAUACUACAUUGUGGGCACUCUUGUUCAUGCAUGUUUAUUGGAAGAGUUAGAAGAUGAUAAAGUAAAAAUGCAUGACGUUGUUCGUGAUAUGGCUCGAUGGAUAGCUUGUGAAAUUGAGAAGGAGAAGAGAAAAUUUUUGGUUUGUGCAGGUGCUGGAGUAGGAGCGGUGUCAGAUGUUGAAGGAUGGGAAAAUGUGGGAAGAUUGUCAUUGAUGCAAAACCAAAUUGAAAUUCUGUCAGAGGUUCCCACAUGCCCUCAUCUCCUCACUUUAUUUCUUGACUUUAAUUAUAAAUUGGAGAUGAUCACCGAUGGCUUCUUCCAAUGUAUGCCUUCUCUCAAAGUUUUGAAGAUGUCAAACUGUGGGCAUGUCAAAGUUUUGAAAUUACCUUUUGGGAUGUCAAAGCUGGGUUCACUACAACUUCUUGAUAUUUCACAUACCGGCAUAAGAGAGUUACCAGAAGAGUUAAAGUUGUUGGUAAAUCUGAAAUGUUUGAAUUUGAGGUGGACACAUAUGUUAAAUAAAAUUCCACGGCAGCUAAUAUCAAAUUCUUCAUGGUUACGUGUGUUGAGAAUGUUCGCUAUUGGCUUUGAAAAUUCUAAAGAACCAUCAGAAGACAGCGUUUUAAUUGGUGGGGGUGAAGUUUUAGUACAUGAAUUGCUCGGUUUGAAAUAUUUAGAGGUAUUGGAGUUGACCUUGCGAAGUUAUGAUGCUCUCCAAUUUUUUUUGAGCUCAAAUAAGUUAAAAAGUUGUAUUCGAUCUCUUUUCCUCAAUAAGCUGGGAGAUACAAAGUCGAUUCAUGCUACGGCUUUCGCAGAUCUAAAGCAUCUCAAUGAACUAUGCAUUCGUUCGGCAGUGGAGUUGGAAGAAUUGAAGGUUGAUUAUACAGAGAUUGCGCCAAAAAGGUCGGAACCUUUUGUUUUCCGCAGCCUUCACCGUGUUACUAUGGAGCGGUGCCAUAAAUUGAAAGAUUUGACAUUCCUCGUUUUUGCUCCAAGCCUCAAGUCUCUUUCGCUAUACGGUUGCAAUGCUAUAGAAGAAAUAAUCAGCGUUGGAAAAUUUGCUGAGACUCCUGAGGUGAUGGGACAUAUAAGCCCUUUUGGAAAUCUCCAAACGCUUUAUUUAACUGAUUUGCCAGAGUUGAAAAGCAUCUACUGGAAGCCAUUGCCUUUCACUCAUCUCAAAGAAAUGACGGUACAUGGGUGUAAUCAGCUUAAAAAGCUUCCAUUCGAUUCCAACAGUGCAACAGAGCGUAAAUUUGUUAUUCGUGGAUACACACUCUGGUGGAACCGUCUUCAAUGGGAGGAUGAAGCCACUCAAAUUGCUUUUCGUUCCUGUUUCCAAUCUCAUGAAAUAUAAAUUCCUGAGCGGUGGUUGCAAAAUUUGAUUUCUAGUGAGUGCUUUUUUCUUAAACUCUUACAUAUAUUCUCGUCGUUUGCUUCGUGCAACGGACUAGGUUUUUAUUUCAGAUUCGUUUUUUGUCUCCUGCAAAUCACAAUUAAAUGUUGAAUUAUAUGGAGUCAAUGCUUUAUAAAAUUUUCAAGGCACUGCCAUUUCCUUUUUCUUUUUCUUUUUUUUUUUGGGUCGAAUUGAUGCUCUGGCUUUUUACUUUUUGUUGUCACAUUUUGCUCUGUUUUUUCAAGUUGAUGCUUGAAUAGUUGAAUUCAAUUGAUGCUCACAUAAAUUUGUUUAGUUGCCGCAAAAGGAUAUAAUUAGACUGAAGUACACACUUCUAGAAUGAAUACAAAAUGUUAAGUAUACUAGCCCUCUUUACAGAAAAUCAAAUGAAAAUCAAUUUUUUGGGGCUUUGAUUUUCUAUGGUCUAUUAUAUACUCUUUUUAAUAUCUUCUGUUCUAACUAUAACCAAAUCCUUUGUUCAAGGAUUUUUAUUUGGGGUAUUGAUAACUGUCCACCAAAAGAGUGAACACUUGGAUGCUGCUCAAGGAUCUCUAAUCAAUAGCUGGAAGCAACUGAGAAGGCGGUCGCUACUGUUUACAAAGCGAUGCAGUAUUUGCCAUUCAUCUUAAUAAUUAUGAAGCUUUGGUAAAAUUUUCAAACAAAGUUGAACACAUGUUGUUUUGAGAUUUGGUUCAUGAUUUUGGAUGAAUAUCGUUGUUCCGUUUGAGUUGGAUGUGAAUUCAAAAUCUAUAUAUUCUUUGGUUUUCAAUUCUGAACUCAAUUUCUUUUUCUCAAGCAUGUUAUGCAGAAAUGAUUUUUUACUAAAUCAUUUUUGAUGAAUUGUUUAAAUUAAACAAUUGGAAUAAGAAUUGAAAAGGUUUAUCAUAAGCAUGCUAAUAUGAUAAGUUGUUUUAUGAACGAUUAAUUAAUUAAUCAAUUAAUAUUAAAUUAUCUAUUAGUCAAUUAGAUAUGCGUUACAUGUCAUGUUUAAAAAUUAUUUAUUUAUAUUUCAAACAAAUUUGACUGGAUGUUGUGUAGGUAAUACUACAUAAUUUCAAAACAAAAAAAGUAAUAAAAACACGUUAAAUUUUGUUUUUAUGAAGAAAAAUUUAAAAUUUUAUUAAAUAGGUGAAAAUAAUAAAUGGAUUCGUGUAUGGUUUGAGAUUCUUGACAUAAUUAUGAAAUAAGCCGGAUUCGACUUAGUUCAAUUUUGACGCGAUAAGAAGACGACACCACACAAACACACGAUAAGAACCGUUACCUGAGAAGAUUGCCAUCAGGAAUUUUGAAAUUGAUUUCACUACAAUACCUUAAUCUUUCAGAUACUACCAUCACUGAGCUGCCAGAAGAGCUAAAAGCCUUGGUAAAUCUUAAGUGUUUGAACUGUACACAAAUUAUCUCUCUACAAUUCAAAAACAACUAAUUUGUUACUUUUUCAAUGCUACAUGUUCUGCGAAUAUUGAGUUGUGGUUAUCUUGUUGAAAUAUCAGACAAUAGAGUUCUAUUUGGUGGUAGUGAAUUGUUGGUUGGGGAGUUGCCUAGUUUAAAACGUUUAAAUGUAUUAAGCAUCACCUUACAAGGUUUUUCUGCUGUCCAAAAACUUAUGAGCUCUCAAAAGUUUCAAAGCUGUACAAAAUGUUUGGAGCUUAUAGACUGUGAUGAUUCAAAGUCUUUUGCCUUGGCAGAGUUGAAGCAUCUCGAAAAACUAGUUUUUUGAAUUGUGGAAGAGUUUAAGUUCUGCUUUGUUGAAGUUGGAAAAGCUCAAGAAUGUUUUCGUUUGAACAGUUUUCACCGAGUUAAUAUAAAGGCUUGUCAUAAAUUGAGGGACGUGACAUGGCUUGUAUUUGCUCCAAAUCUUACAGUUAUUCAAAUAGAAAAAUGUAUGCAGAUGGAAGUAAUAGUCAGUGCAAGGAAAUUGGGUGAAGUUCCAGAGAUGAUGGCAGAUCUAAACCCUUUUGCAAAUAUCUUUGCCAGCGAGUUCUACCAAAAUUAAAAAGCGUCUAUUGGAAUGAGUCACCCUUUCCACAUGUCAGGGAAAUUAUUGUAUCUGAAUGCCCAAUUCUCAAGAAGCUUUCACUCGGUUUUAACAAUGCAAAGGAAUCUAAAAUUGUCAUUAGGGGAGAGGAACACUGGUGGAGUGAGCUGCAAAGGGAGGAUGAAGCGACCGUUAAUGCUUUUCUUCCUUGUUUCGGUUCCAUUUGAUAGGCAUCAACAUGGAUUUAUAUUUUGCGGUGGACAACUUGUGGUAAGUGCUUUUCCAUUUAUUACAUGUUUAUAUCUAACUUUUGUUUUCCUUUAUGGUUAAAUUUUACUGUAUAUAUGUUGUUAUACGGUGACAUUCUCGCAUCAAUUAUUAGCUUUUUAAUUCUCUUCUGGCAUUAAUUGCCCUUCUGAUCAUGUAGGAUAUGCCGAUGUCAAAGAGUAGUAAAUUGGGAUACAAAUGUAAGAAUUAGCCAGAUGACAUGUUGUUUUGAAGCUCUCUCGAAGGACUAGUUAUGUCAUUCAAAGCAUCCAAUUUCGCUACUUUUUUUUUCAUUUGUUGCUUUUUAUAUUUCUAGAUAGCUUGAUAUUCGGCCAAGACAUCGAUAGGAGGGCACAUUGUGCAUGCACACUAGUGGAUGAUUUGGGCAUGCCGAAUCCAAUUAGCGUGGAUGACCCUUUAUAAGCAUCAGGCUUCUCUCAUACCAGAGCAAUGUAGAAUAUGUUUAUAAACUGUGGAUUACCCUUUAUAAGUUUAGACUUCUUCUAUACUCGAGCGAUGUGGAAUACCUGUAUAAGCAUUAAGCUUCUCUCAUACACUUUAUGUUAAAAAUAAUAAUAAUAAUAAUAAAAUAAAUCCAUUUUAAAAUAGGCUCUUUUUUUCUUUUUUUAUAUAAACAAAAUGCAUUCUUCAAAUCAAUAGUGGGUGGAAGAAGUGAGUAGAGAAGGACUAGGCCCCUUCAUUCCGCCUAAAACCUCACCGAAACCUCUCUUGUGAACUUCUCAGAUUCUCUCUCAAUAUUUCUUAUGAUCUCGUUUUUGAUAGAAUCACUUCUAUUGCAUGCUGCAUUUUGUGCGUCGUUUUUGGGUAAUAUCUUAUCUGGAAUGCUGUUAUGAUCAAUAGAACAAGUAAUCAAUUUUUGGUUUGACGGAAGUCGAUUUAUUUAUUUACUAUUGUUUUUUAUUUGAAAUUUUGACAGUUGUGUUUCAUUCAUUUCUUUCCUUCUUUUUUUAUUUUAUAUUUAUUAUGUAUAAUUGUGUUUCAUUUGAUAUUGAUCAUACUGUAGAUAACUAUGUGAUUGUAGCUGGGGAUUUUAAGUUUUGUGAAUUCAAGAAACUGUCAAAAUGCUAGUGAAAUUGGGACCUUUAUUCAUAAGCUUGUGGUUUUCAAAAGUAGCCGGGUUCAACUGAUGAAGUUCCUUUUUGGGAUUCUUUUUUUUCUAGGCUGCAAUUCGGAUAUGUACCUGAUAGACAAUCUUUUGUGAGUUUAGCAUAUCUUCUCCGAUUUUGUCUUUUAUUCCCCAACUUUACAGCUACACACCAUGAAUGCUGGGUGAUUGUACAGAAAAUUUGUGUUAGAACAAAAGCAUUGUGAAGGAGUUUCUGUGCUAUAAGUUAUUGGCUUCAGCUUUAUUGGCAUUAAUUGGGUAGAUUAUGUGUUACAGUGAUUCAAUUUGUGAUCCACACUUUAAUUUUCUCUUUUCCCCAAUUAUUUAUGUCAAAUUCAAAUCCAGAAGCAUGCGCUGAUUUUUUUUUUUUUUUGUGAUAAUCUGUGAAGUUUAUUUGGAAAGGACGUAUCUGGGUUUAAUGGAUUAAAUUAUGACAUUGAGGGAAAGGCACUAAAGGUUUUGCUUGACACAUUUGGUCUGUGUUUACUCUGCAAUAAAUAGCUUCGCUUAUCAGAAAUCCCUAUUUGGCUGGUGAAUUUCUCUGUGACAGACAGGCAAACACCUAAACCGCUUCUAUCCAUUUUUCUGCUGGUGAGGUAAGGGGUAAAAAGUCUUCAAAAUCAUCAAAUAGUAACAUCUCUGAGAAUUGGUUUUAGAAAAAUGGAAAAUCUAGACCUACUAGGACAAAAUGGCGUCCGGUAUCAGGAGGUACCGUUUCAAGUUUUCUUGGUAAAGAAUAUAUUAAACCUGCGCAACCAGCUAAUGGCACUUUUCUGGCAUCAAAGCCAUUGAAGUUGGAUCUAAAGGAGUUUUCCCAUGCCUGCAUUGUGCAGAGAAGAAACUAAACAAAAACAAUCAAAGAAUGACCAUUUGCAGAAGGAUACGGAAGAUUUUCUAUUUAAAUUGUUAGGAGAAGGGUCCCAGCUGAACAGGGAUGUGAUUCAGGAGGUUCUCGGUAAUGUCUUAAAUAUACUGAUGCCAAUUUAAUACAUAUUGUCCUUUUCAAUGUUCUUUCUUUCUUUCUUUUUUUUUUCCUUCUUCUUCUUUUUCUUUUCGUGUGCAUGUGAUCACUGAUUUGGUAUUAUGCUUAAGUUGCAGAUAGCUGUGGAUUUGAUAUGCAAAAGGUAAGGACUAUAUCUUCCUGAUGUAGGCCUCUGCUUUUUCCCCUUCUAUGUAAUUUAGUAAUUCACAUCUUCCUUUGUGAUUGUUAUAUCAUAUCGAAGUCAAGUCUUAAAUACUGCUGUCAUAUGUGAAGGUUCAACUUGCAUUUUGAUUAAGAUCCAUUUGCUGCUGCUUCCAAAAGUGAGAAUGAGAUACUUUGGUUAAUUUCAGUGGUUGAACCCAAUAGAGAACUUUAUUUAGAUCUUCAUGGUUCAAAGGCCUGAAAAAACUUGCCCGUAAUUGUAAAAUGACAUUCUGUGCUUUUUAUGCAAUAGGGAACAGGGAAGUAGAGCUUUGGAAAAGCCUGGAUUGAUAACUAUGGAGAGACUUAUUAUUUAAGUGAUGAAAAAUUCCCAUCGCCCGCAGUCAAGAAAAUUUCAGAUAGUUAAAGACUCCAUUUUGCUUCAGCCAAAAAUGUUUGUUUCAAUUAAAGACUUGAACCAUUUUCAUUGAACCUGAUUGUGAUCCUUUACGUUAUGCAUGUUCCUCUCAAUCAAGAAAAGUUGAGGUCAUGAUUCUAUAUUUCUAUAUUGUAACUUGAAAUAAUAAUUGGUCUACUUGUUUCUGUAUCUUGAUAAUAUGAAUUUUCCUUCUCAAGUUAAUUUGUUCAAUAAAGUAAUUCUUCAAAGAAAAUAUGCCCAUUCUAUAAUCAUUUUCUUAGCUCAGAUGUUUUUUCUUCACUCUUCAGAGCAUGUCAAAACUAAUUGAUCGCUUGGCAGAUACUUUGGGUAAGAAGACAAAAUUUCUUGGUAAAUCCUCGGAAAAGGUAUGCAUAAUUCCCGAGUAUUAAAUAACCAAUAGUCAUAAUUUUUGUACAUGACUCUUUUUUCUCUUUUUUGUGGAGAUCAUUAAAAUUGGUUGAUGAUCCAUUUUGUAACAUCAUAGAGGGAUCAUCAAUUCCUUCUCUUUUCUGUGGCUAGGCAACACUUUCAGGCCAAAGUAAGAAAAUCUAUUUUAGGUAAUGUGAAAACCAACGGUAGGAUGUAAUAGUUUAUUAUGCACUGACAAUAACUUUUUGUAUGGUUGGCAGUUUAAUGAAUACAAGAGGAACUUUGUUGACAAAUUCAUCCAAGAUAGAUGCUAAAAUUAUUUAUGCAUGCCAGUUGCCUUAACUAAUUUUUCUUAACACUUGUAUUGAACAGGAAAAUGAAUAAGCAAUCUGUAUAUUGUGCCAUUGUGGAGUAUUUGGAUAUUCUGAUUUAAAUAACAAGGAGAAUACUUGCCUCAUCUUUAAAUGAGGAGUGGGGGAUUGGAAGUGUCUUCAUGUAAAUGUUCAUUUAUUUGUAUUUUGAACUAUUAUGAGAAUCUUAUAUGCCAAAUCAGUAAUACAAAUCUUCAGAUGAUUUUUGCUGUUGAUCAUGGGUUUGUGUCUGCACACAACCAUUGUAUAUCACUUUAUUCUGAUGUGCAGGUAUGUGUAGCUUAGAAGAAAUGGAAUAAUAAUCAUCUAUUAUUGCUUGGUUCAUGAUUAUUAAACGAUUAUGGCUUUAAAAAGUCUACAAAUUCCUUCUGUUCAUAUAUGAAUGUGCCAAGUUUGCUAUAUCUUAGAUUAUCUUCUUCCAAGAUAACAAGUUCAUAUUCUUUUUAAUCUUUUUCCCUCACAGUUGACUUUUAGGUGUUAAGAUUUGUUAUUAGUCCCCUGUUAUUAUGAUUUCAUAAACAGUGUACGGAUAUGUGCUCUAACUUUGGAGGACCUCCACAUGAAAGAAAAUUGCAACAAUUGAAUUCUUCCGGAGGGUAUGGUCUUUAAUUUAUUUUCUCAACUUCUCGUAAGAUUAAUAUAUUUCAUUCAGUAGGCACAGCAUGGGGGGAAGGGUUUUUAUUGAAAGAAUUCUGAUAUUUCUUAGACUUUGUUUUGGAAGGGGGGUGGAGGGAUUUCUCAUCCAUGUAUGGUUACUUGAUUAGCUUUUGACUGUAUUUCCUCAGUCAUGUAAAGGAAGAUCCAAAUACCAACGAAGGAAUAUUGCCUAGACACCCGAAAGACAGAAAUGAGCUACAGAAGCAAGUUUUACUACUUUAUUUAGUGCUCCUGAGAAAUCUGAUGGAGACCGAAUGGAGGUCCAAAGCAUUGGAAAAGGUAGUGAGUGAACCGCCGGAGGAGUUGGCACCAGAAUGCAAGGCUAAUGUGGUGCACUUGCAGCAAGAUAACCAAACCGGUAUGUGCUCUUAUAUUAACUAGACUGACUGGAUUUGUGAGUGUGUGCAUUUUUUUGUGUAUACUCUUGUAUUUAUGCAUAUUAAUGUGUGUAGGAAUUUCUGCCACUUACUGGAGAACUAGUGGAAAGCUUUAUAUCGAUAUAUCUGCAAUAACUAAUUGGAAACUAUGAUAUUAAUAUUUUCUCUCACCUGAGGAACUGUGUAACAGAUAUACUUUGUGGCUCUGGAGUACUAGAAAUUCUGCAAUAACUAAUGGAAACUAUGAUAUGAAUAUUUUAUCUCAACUGGAGAACUUUGUAACUUGUAGCUCUGGAAUGUCUAAGGAAUUUUGUCUGCUUCAGUUAGAUCAAAUAUCUUUUAGUUGCAUACAUUAUAGAAAAAGAUAAAGUUCUCUGAAUCUGAAAGACUGAAACAUUUUGUAUAUUUUGUGAAAGGGAAAUAUCUGUAGAUACUAGUUCAUGCAUUGAGGUAACAUCAAUGUUAAAGAAAAACAGCAAUAAGUUAUUAUGUGGAACUAGGUUCACUUGCUUUAAAUGCUGGUCUGGUCAACCAUAUGAACCUGUAAGUUCUGCAGAAAUAUAUAUACGGGGAGAAACUAGCUAAAUUUUCCGUUCAUUGAUGGCUUUGGUCAUUUUUUUCCCCUUAUUUUUCAGCUGUCCUUCUCCUGAAGUAUGUUAACAACUGCAGAUAAUGAUGAAGAGGACAGCUUGCAGGCUCUUCUUAGAGCCAUGAUGGAAUAUAGGGGCACAAUGAAGGAACAUUGCAAAGCUGUAGGUUCUUUUUCUCCUGUCAUUUAUGUUUUCUCACACAUUUUUUAUAUGCUCCAAGCAUGCAAUUUUGUAUGUGUCAACUGCUUUCUAAGUUUUAAAAACCAUAAUGUAAGAAUACAGUUUCUUGUCAGGCUAUUGAUGCAUUUGCUCAGGGGGAUCAUGUUCGAGCAGGAAAACUUCUAGAACAGACAAGGUUUUCCAUCUACAGCCAUCUAUUGACAACAGAUAUAUUUUCAUUCAGCAAACACUGUUAGCAUUCAAGAUACUGGCAGAUUCACUUGAUUCUUAUUAGUAAUGUUUAGUAGCAAAGGAUAUAACCUGUAUUUCAAAGCCAAGUUGUGCUAUUGAUUAUGUUAGCUUUAUUGUUCACAUAAAGUGAUAUGGAGGAAAUAAUGUGAAGUGAUAUGGAGGAAAUAAUCAAUGUAGGAAAAUUAGGUGAAGAAAUGAUGUCAAAUCUUGAACCUCUUACAAAACUCCAAGCUCUUUACUUGAAUAAGCUACUAAAUUUGAACAGGGUCCACUGGAAGGCCUUGCCAUUCUCUGAUGCAUGCAGAAUUUUUGCAUUUAAAUGCCCAGAGCUUAAGAAGCUGCCACUGGAUCUUGAAAGGGCAGGCCAAGGUAAAAUUCUUAUCAAGGGAAAGGAAGAUUGGUGGAAACAACUUCAAUGGGAGGAUCAAGUAACUCAGAAUGCAUUGCUUCCAUUUUUAAAACAACCAGCAAGUGAUUGAAGGGGGCAUCAUCAACGUCAUCAACAUGGAUGGAGAGAUUCAGGAGCAGAUCAGCAGGAUUUAGUACGACCUGUGGUGGUUUCUUUUUUGUGACUUUUUUCCCUUUCAUUUUUUCACUUCCUGUCAUAUUAUCAUUUCUUUGUCUCUGUUUCUAUUGCUGGUGUUGCUGCAUGCUUGCUGUCCUUGACAAAGUUAGCUAGUUUUUUUUUUUUUAAUUAAAUUUUGUAUGUUCGGUCGGGACAGUCACAAAGUACUACUUGUUCUAUAUGGGGGUGAUGUGAAUCAACUUUUCAAUUAUAUAUUCUGUGGUAAUUGCGAAUUCAAUUUCAUUUGUCUCCAGCAAAUUAUGAAGAAAGUGCAGAGUUACAAUAUGGAGAAGUUCACUGGCAAAUACUUUGUAAAAGCUUCGGAGUGAAACAGGAAAUGCACUUGCAGCUAAGGACAAAUUGGUGGCCAGCUAAUGCCUUCAUUUUAUGUACAUUCAUCUUUUUAAUUAUUGAAGAUAAGUGGUUCGUUGCUUUUGUUAAGAUUAUAAGUUAGCGUCGGUGCAGGAUUUGCAGCAACAAAUCUUGACUAGCCACGUGUCAAAAGCACAAAUAAAUCAAGGGAAAGCACAUGACAUGGAUUAGGAUCUAAUAAAAUUUAAAUCCCAAGGAAAAUGACAACUGCAUUAUGAAGUUUCAAUAAGGGAUACUGACUAAUGAUAUUUUUUGGCUUUAUUAAUAAAAAAAGAAUAUUUUAUAACAAAUUAAAACAUAAUAUUAAGCUAAAUGUGAUAAUUAUAUACAUUUUAAAUAAUUUCAAUAAAAAAACAUUUUAAUGUUUUACGAUCUAUCAUACAUAUUUUAUUAAAUUAAUAUGAAUUUUUUUUUAUAAAUAGCAACAUAAUAUUACAACAAAUUUAUAAGGAUUUAAAUGUAAAAUAAUUUUAGUAUAAAUAAUACGUGGGAUAUAUUUUGUAAAUUAUAAAAUUAUUUAACACAAAGUUUUUUAAAAAAUAUUUAAAAUAAAUAAAAAUAAAUUAUUCACAUCUUGAUUUAAAUAUUUAAAAUAUUUUUAUAUAUUAGUCUACAAUUAUUUAUGUUAUAUUUUUAUUUAUUAGAAAUUUUGAAAGUCAAAUGUUUUCACCUCUAAGAGAAAGACACAUAUGCUUUAUAGCUUUAAAAUCGGUCUGUUUUAUAUCUGGAAACAAAUAUAUCAUUAUUGGUAAGGAUUAAAAAAAGGGAUAAAGAAUAUUAAUGAUUAAUGAAAUCUCUAUGGAAAUUGAAUUUAGUAGGAAAAAAUUGAGCUAAAUGAUUUAGACAUUUAGUGGUAUAGUAAUAUUUUAUAUAUAGAAAUGUAAAAGCUGCACCCGAGGUUAAGGGAAAUGUUCAAAACUCUUUUUUACUCAUAAUACCCUUUGUCCUAACUAACUUACAAAUUCGACUCUAAUAUUUUAUAAUAAAUAAAAAUGUAAUCCUAAAAUAAAUAAAAUAAGAUAUAUUUUAAAAUAAUCUCAAUAUUUAAAAUAUACUUUAAUAUUUUAUAGUCUAUCAGACAUAUUUAAUUAUAUUAAAGUAAAUUUUGUAAUAAAUACAAACAUACUAUUAAAAUAGAUAUAUAAAAAAUUUAAAGUAUUUUGGAUAUUAUAUAAAAGAACUUUAAUAUUGUUAAUACGUGAGAUAUAUUUUAUUAAUUAAAAAUUCUAUUUAACCCAAAGAUUUAUUUAAGAUAAAUUAACAAUCAUAUUUGUGAAAUUAUUUCAAAUAUUAAAAAAUAUUUUAAUAUUACUAACUAUUAGAUAGACUAAACUAUUUAUAUUAUUUUCUAUUUAUUAUAAAAUUUCAAAAUUAAUCUUUUUAACUACUAUUCAAAAGAUAUUAUGAUAAAAAUAAUUUUUUUGUGUUUUUAUUAAAAAUUUGGAAUUUGCAUAACUCUUUUUUUAAAUAUUGGGGUAUAGCUGUCUUUUCCCUUUUAUAUAUACAAACCACAGUGGUGAAAAAGCUUGAUUUAAUGUUAUUUAUUUAAACAACACCGAUAUUCACACCACAUUGAGCACCAUAGUUUUUUUUUUUUUUUUGAAAAGAAAGUACACCUUUCAUUGAAUUAAGAGAAAAGAAACAAAACAUCCUCUGGAAAUUCAUCCAGCCAAAUACAAGGGUCUGACUUUUUGAAAGCCAACUUUGCCAAAUCAUGCGCUAAAAAGUUACACAUCCUAAGGACGUGCUGAGCUUUAAAAUUCUGAAAGAUUUUCUUAGCUUCUAUAAUAUCAAAAAUCACCCAAAAGGUGUCUGUCAAAGUGCUUCUCUUGUUAUUGAUUAGCUCUAUCACCCCUUUAGAAUCAGACUCUAAGAUAACUGAAGUUGCCCCUGCCUUGGCAGCUGCCUGCAUUCCCCACAAAACAGCUUUUGCCUCACUCAACUCCACAUCUCCUGAGCUCUUAAAAGUGCUAACAGCUGCAGCAACUGUUUCUCCCUUAUGGUUUUUAACUACUGCUCCCAGCCCAGCAAGAUAAUUCACCCUAUCCAUAGCAUCAUCAACAUUUACCUUAAGCCAUCCUUCUUCGGGUGGACUCCAUUGGCUUUGCUGAACAUUGUUUUGUUCUGCUAAGAAAUCCUCUUCUGACAUUGAGCACCAUAGUUAAGUACAAAACGGUGCGUUUUGUUCACGCAUGUUAGUAAACACCCACGCAACUUACACACAUACGCGCGGCUCACAACACGCGCUCUCCUCGCCCUAAAUCUCACCUGAUUGAAGCCACAAAUUUGGCCACGUUCUCCCACAGCUCUCUCCGUUCUGACCGUUUACUCUUCCUCUAGCCCCAUCGAUUACAUCUCUCAUAGCACCUCAUUCAACCGACGUAAUUGCCAGAAAACAACCUACCUGGUAAUAAAAGUCGAUUCUCUUACAAUUUUGGCCCAAAAAAAAAAAUUGCACAACUGAAAAAUCAAAAUGCCACUCUUUAAAACCAAAAAUCAAUUUUGGGCCCCCUUCAUCACCGCCUUCACUCUAGAUUUUUUCAAUCCACUUUGUCGUCAAAACCGUGGUGUUCUUAAACCAUUAUUAUAUUCACCAUCCCCUUAAUCACAUCCAACCAUCCCCAUUAUUCGUUUGUCAAACACGCUGUUCUCUUCCCAAAUUAAUUAAUUAAUUAAUGACAGACAGGAACAAAAGUACUUUAAAUCUCUGCCAAAUCGUAUUGUUAUUACUUCUUCCGAGUCGAGGCCACGUCGUUCUCGAUGGAAACCAUUGCUUUUUAUUACCACUCUUGAGGAGUUCGAAGCAUUCUCGACGGAGACCCGCGCAAGCUGUGGAAAGAGAGAGAGUCAACGGUGAAAAGAGAGCAUGGUGAGAUGUGUGAGCGACGGGGGGAGAGAGAGAGAGAAAGAAAGCCGACGGAGAGAGCACAUAGAGCUGAGAUGCGUGAGUUGGGUGAAGAUUUGGUGAGCGUUGUGUCAGUUGCCCGUGUGUUGUGUGAGCUCUGUGCCAUGUGAUAUGCGUGCUACUUUGAGAAUUUAUAGAUAGCACAAAACUCAAUCUAUAUCCAAUUCAUACCUAGAUAGAUGCGGAUUUGACUCAAUUUAUAUCCAAUUCGUCAUUUGCGAACUAAAAAUUUUUAAUUCUCUCAAAUUCACAAACUAACUAAAUAAAUAAAAAUUUAAUAUAAAAAUAACUGUACUACCGAUCAAAUUUAAAAUUAAAUAAUAUUUAAAUAAAUUAAUUGUUUAAAUAAAGUUAGAAAAUACAUUCAAAAUUUUAAAAUAUAACACAGUAAAAAGAAAAAAUCUCAUUUGUUUAGACCUAUGUAUGAAAAUUAAUUGUUUAGGAAUCUAUAUUUAUUUAUUUUUAUAUUAUUAUCGGAUAAGAUAUAAUAUGGUGUUAAUGUAACUAUAUUUUAACUUAUUUAUUUAUAAGACCAAUGCUAUAUGUACAAGUUUAAUUUUUUAAUUAAAUAAAUAUUUUUUUUUGCGGAAUUGUGGAUUUUUGCGGAUUUACAAAAGUAAAUCUAUAUCCAAUCCACCGACUAUGGAUUUUCAAAUUUUCAAAAUUUCAAAUUUUCAAAUUUUCAAAAUUUCAAAUUUUCAAAUUUUCAAUCCAAUCCAAUCCACCAAUUCACAAAUUCGGAUUUUUACGGAUUAGAUUUCUACAGAUUAAACGAAUUGAGCAGACCAUAUUUGAUUUUGAACAUUGCUAAUUUGUAUGUUAAGUAUAACAUAAUCAAUUAUUUGGAUAAUCCCUUGUGUUUUAUCUCUAAUUAGAGCAUCAAUCUUCACAAUAUCUACAAAGCUACAAUGGCUACAAAACAAACCUGCUUGCAAAUUGUCAAGGAUACUUAUCCUUUCUCUUGACAAGUCAUUUGGAAAAAUACUGUCCCUUGGCGGCUCCAUGACUUCUCUGCUCCUCCUUUUGGUCUUAAUGUACGGUUGCAUAAUGAUAGUUUAGGCCCUUUAGGGACUACUUUCCCUGGGGUUGUUAAGUCUUAGCUUGUGCUAGGCUCGUUUUUCUUACCAAAAAAAAAGGGAAUACUUCUCCUAUAAGAAAUAAUCUCUAUAUAUAGGGUGGUUGGAUUCACUUGUUUACAUAACAGAUCAAUUAGUUCUCUGUAAAUAGAGAGUUUCUAGUAUAAGAGAAACGGUAGAUCUAUUGAGAGAUUAUGUGUUAUUAAAAUUUUAGUUGCGAAGAAAAGUACUAGAGUGAUUGUAUUAAUUUUUUACAUAGUAGAUUUUUCUAUCGUCAUCUUUAUGGCUGUGAUUUUUCUUCCAUAUAGAAGUUUCUCACGUAAAUUUUUAUGUUGUGUGAUUAGUUUUAUUCUCUAUCUAUUUUUUGUUUAAUAUUUUAUUUGUAAGAUGCUGGAUGGGAUUAAAAUUUCUUAACAAAUAACGGAUUAAAAAUCAUGAAGAAAAAGCUCAAGAGAUCUUCAAGAUUUGAAGUGUGCAAAAGUUCAUAUUACUGCUAGAUGAUAUAUGGGAGCGGGUUGAUUUAGUAAAAAUGGGUGUCCCUCUUCCUAGAUCAGAAAACAGCACAUCCAAAGUGAUAUUUACAAACCCGUUCUGAGGAAGUUUGCGGCUUAAUGGAAGUUCGUAGGAGUUUUAAAGUGGCGUGCUUAUCAAAUAAAAAUGCUUGGGAAUUGUUUCUAUACAAAGUUGGGGAAGUGAAAGAAAACAGAGAUGUACUGUUUGGUUGAAUAGAAAAUUACAGAGAAAAUUCUCAAUACUUGUAUUUGAUAAGAUUCAAUUCUUAAGAGCUUUUACAAAUCAGUACAAGUAUUUAUAUUAUUCCUUACACGUGAGAAUUGCUAGUAACUCACUAACUAACUAACUUUCUUUGAGCUGGAUCACUAACACUUGACUAAUCACACUGAGCUGUUAUUCUUCACUAACAACCUUCUGCUGACGUGGCUUCACCAAGCUACUUGAAUAAUGAGCAGCCUUGACAGCCCCCCUCAAACUCAAGGGACAAGACAUGACGUUGAGUUUGGCCCUAAGAUAGUUAAAAUGGAUGAAUGAGAGUGGCUUGGUCAUGAUGUCAGCUACCUGCUCCUCACUUGGUAUAUAUUGAAUGUUUAGUUCUCCAGCAAGAACUUUGUUUCUAACAUAAUGAAUAUCAAUCUCAAUAUGCUUUGUUCUUGAGUGGAAAACUGGAUUGUGAGCUAACUCUGUUGCACUGAGAUUGUCACACCAAAUAACAGGUUUCUCUAUGCAUUGUAAUUUCAACUCAGAAAACAGUGAUUGCAGCCAGCUUAUCUCGGCACUUGCUGAGGCUAGGGACCUAUACUCACUCUCUGCACUGGACCUAGCAAUAACAGGCUGCUUCUUAGACGACCAAGAUAUCAGAUUAUGACCAAGAUAGAUGCAAUAGGCUCCAAUCGAUUUUCUGUCAUCCAGAUCCCCUGCCCAGUCUGCAUCUGUGAAUCCUGUUAGUUUCAGAUCACCAUCCUUAAUAAUUUUGAGUCCAUAGUUCUGUGUAGCCUUUAGAUAUCUGAGCACUCUUUUGCAAGCCAUAAGGUGCUGCAGUGUUGGUGCAGAAACGUAUUGACUCAGCUUGUGAACACUAAAGGCAAUUUCUGGUCUUGUUAAUACCAAAUAUUGCAUCCCACCAACAAUGCUUCUGUAAUGUGUUACAUCUUCAACAUAACAACCAAGAUUACCUUGAGCUUCCUUCUGUAGCUUCAUUCCUGUACUCAUAGGAGUAUCAAUAUCUUUGCAAUUUAUCAUCUCAACUCUUGACAGCAGAUCCCUUAUGUAUUUCCUUUGAGAUAAGAAAAUACAAUCUUUAUCAUACAGUACUUCAAUGCCUAAGAAAUAAGAGAGAACUCCAAGAUCCUUCAAAGCAAACUUUGUACUGAAUUCUGUAAUGAAUUUUUCCAGCUCAAAGCUAUUUGGUCCUGUUAUUAAAAUGUCAUCAACAUAUAUAAGAACUAGAAUCAUAGAUGACUUAUUUAUUUUCAAGAAUAAGGAGGUAUCUGAGCUGGAAUUUGUGAAUCCCCACUGCAACAAACAGCCUUUCAACUUAUCAUACCAAGCUCUUGGAGCUUGUUUAAGUCCAUAAAGAGACUUGUGAAGCUUGCAUACAAAGUCUGGUUUCUCAAAGCUGAUAAAUCCCUCUGGUUGAUCCAUGAACACUUCCUCUGUUAAGUCUCCAUUAAGAAAGGCAUUAUUCACAUCAACUUGCCUUAUCUUCCACUGAUUCAUCACAGCUAAACUCAAGACUACUCUUACAGUUGCUGGUUUUAUGACAGGACUGAAAGUUUCAAAAUAAUUCACUCCUAUAAUUUGUUGAAAUCCCUUUGCAACUAACCUAGCUUUGUAUUUAGCUACACUUCCAUCAGUGUUGUAUUUAACCCUAUACACUCAUUUGUUUCCAACAACUCUUUGAUCAUUUGUUUUUGGCACUAAGGACCAUGUACCACUCUGCAUCAAAGCUGCAUAUUCUUCUUUCAUGGCUGUAAACCAUUUUGGGUUUUGCAUAGCCUCAUAUACAGAAUCAGGUUAUUUGUGAACAAGGGUUGCUGUAUAAAGCUUUGGUUUGAAGAUACCAGUUUUGCUUCUGGUAGUCAUUGGAUGUGUAUUAGGUUGGACUGGAAAAGAUAUAUCAGGUGUAGGUUGAGCUAAUAAGGAUAUGUCAGGUGCAGGUUGUGGUGAAUUUUGAGGCUCUGUAGAUGGUUCAAUAAAUGUGGUAUGUGUUUGUGAAUAGGAAUGUUGAUUGUCAGUAUGAAAUGGAUUAUCUGAAUGUUGUGAACUGCUGCUGGUAGAAAUUGCAGAUAGAGGAUUGCAUGAGCUAUUUCCAUCUGAUACUGGUGUUGUAGAUAAUAUGGUCAGAUGAAACACUGGUUGGGGUGUAAGGGAUUGACUCGAAUAAGAUGAUGAUUCAUUAGAAUGAAAAACUGAGUCUGUAGAAUAAGGAAAUGUUGACUCAUAAAAAACAACAUGUCUGGCUAUGUACAUCUUGCCUGAUGAAUGCAAGCAUUUGUAACCUUUGUGAACUGGACUGUAGCCAAGGAAAAUGCAUUUGCUUGAGUGAUAAUCAAAUUUGUGUUUGUUGUAAUCCCUUAGAUAAGGAUAACAUGUGCAACCGAAACACUUGAGCAUGCUGUAAUCAGGUUUAAGUUUAAAAAUUGUCUCAUAUGGGGUAAGAAGUUUCAGAGCUGUUGAGGGUAAUCUGUUUAUAUGGUAAACAGCUGUAAGAAAAGCAUCCCACCAAAAUUUAAAUGGUAGCUUAGCUUGUGCUAAUAGGGUUAGUCCUAGCUCAACAAUGUGUCUAUGUUUUCUUUCUACCACCCCAUUUUGGUGAUGUGUAUAAGGACAAGAAUGUCUGAAAAUGAUUCCACAUUGGUUUAAGAAUUGAGUAAAUGAUCUGUAUUCUCCCCCCCAAUCAGAUUGCAGGUUUUUAAUGGGGCUGUCAAAUUGGUUUUCAACCUGCAAUUUGAAUAGUUUGAAUACAUCUAAUGCCUCAGAUUUCAACUUAAGAGGAUAAAUCCAAGUGUAUCGGCUAAAAUCAUCAACAAAACUUAUGUAAUAGACAUAGCUAUCUCUAGAAGGUGUAGGUGAGGGUCCCCAUAGGUCUGUAUGUAUAAGCUCAAGGGGUUUUGUUGUUUUGGUUUCUGUGCUGGGAAAAUGCAGCCUAUGGGAUUUGCCCAUUUGACAUGCUUCACAGAUAUGCUCAAGUGUUUGUUUUAUGUUAUUUCUUGAGAGAUUAACUGAAGUAAUUCCUUUUAGCAAAUGCAUUAGAAUUUGAGAAUUAGGAUGGCCAAAACGUUUGUGAAGAAGAAGAAUUUUAUUAUUCAAUGCAUCACAAGAUGAAAUGUAGCUGGAAAAUUUAUUUAUUGAUGCAUUACAAACUGUGACACAACUGGAAUCAUUAUUCUGAGUGUUUUUAAGAACACUUGAAUCAAAAGAACAUGCAGAUAACAUUGACAAAGGUUGAGUGGAUGAAGGUUGACCCAUGUAAGAACAAGGAAGAGACUCAGAUGGUCUUAGAAGUAGCUUAUACAAUCCUUUCUCAGCAAUUCCUGUCAGAAGCACUUGCCUCUUCAGAGAAUCCUUCACAUAGCAAACAUUAUCAACAAAUUCAAUAGAGAUAUUGUUAUCAGCAGUUAAUUUUGAUAUGCUGAGCAGGUUCUUUGUGAUAUCAGGUACUAAUAACAUGUCAUUCAGUAAGAUAUGUGUUGGUUUAUAUGCAGCAUUUGAUCCUUUAUAAGUAAAACAUGGAUUACCAACAUGAGUUAUAGGCAAACCUUGGCCAUUGCCGAUGACAAGUUGAUUAGAUCCUCUGAAUUCCUCUCUGACAUUCAUGUUGGCCAUACUGUUAGUCAAGUGAUGUGUGGCACCAUUGUCAAGGUGCCAUCCUUCAUCAGCAGGCCCUUCAUAGUUGGUAAGAUAGGCUUCAGGAAUUACUGUGUCUGUUGAUGGAUAAGAGGAGAAGGAUAAAGGAUUGUAGCUUGAGUAGGGUGCAGCAUACUGUUCUUCAGUUGAAGGAGCAGCAUAGGUUAGAGAUGGAUCAAAGUUAGCUGUGUAUGCAGCCUUAGAUUCAAAAGAUCUGCCCCUUCCAAAAUGCCUAGGUAAUGGUUGAGGAUUGUCAUCAUAUCUAUGCCAGCAUUCAUCUGCUGCAUGUCCUGUUUUGUGGCAUAUCUGACAUAUGGUUGGUAAUUCAUCAGCAUGCAUGUUAGCUGAAGGAUGAAAGUUUGGCUUCAUAGGUGGCCUAAAAGGUUGCAUCAUCUGGCCCCUGCCAUAACCCCCAACAUUACCAACACCAGGUGAAAAACCUCUGGGAUGUGGAUUGUGAAACAUGCCUCUUCCAACAUUAAAUCCUCUAGUCAUAGGUCGACCAUAAUUUCCAUUUCCAACAACACCUCUUCUAAAAUUUCCUCUCAUAUAAGGAUGAUUCACAUUCAUUGUGCUAUAGUUUGCAUUAAACACAGUUUUGGCACUUUGAUUUUGUUCAAGUCUAGCUUCAUGAGUCAGUAAUAAUGCAUAAGCAUCAUCAUAGCUCAUCUUAUUAGCUGUGAUUAUGGAAGCUAGAUCUAGAUAACCUGAACCUAAGCCAUUCAAAACUCUCAUUAACAGAUCCUUUUCAGUGAUUACAUCACCAGCACAAGCAAGUUUGUUGGCGAGUAAUUUCAUUUUAGCACAAUAUUCCUCAACAUUCAUUGAAUCUUUUCUUAAGAUAUUCAUUUCAUAUCUGAGUUGCAUAAUCUUAGCCUCAGAUUGAACUCCAAACUGUUUUUCAAUAGAUCUCCACACAUCAAAUGAAGUGUCAUAGCUAAGAACAGAACUAAGAAUACCUUCACUUAUAGUUGAGAGCAGCCAGCCAAGGAGUAUUUGAUCUUGUGCUCUCCAGUUGCUGUAGGCUGGAUUUUCAAUGCUCUCACCAGAUCCUUCGAUCAUUGAAUCAACUAGAUACUGUUCUGGAAUAAUUUGCGGCUCUAGAAUGAAUCUUUCAAGGCGAUUUCCUCUGAUUGAAGUUACCACUUGUUUGCGCCAAAGCAAGAAAUUUGAUCGAUCAAGUUUCACAGUUGCAGCAAAAGUAAAUGAUGUUUGUGUAUGUUGAUUUGAGUUUAUGAUUGUUUGAUUUGAGAUUGUAUUGCUUGAGCUGGCCAUUUGUGGCUCUGAUACCAUGAAAGAAAACAGAGAUGUACUAUUUGGUUGAAUAGAAAAUUACAGAGAAAAUUCUCAAUACUUGUAUUUGAUAAGAUUCAAUUCUUAAGAGCUUUUACAAAUCAGUACAAGUAUUUAUAUUAUUCCUUACACGUGAGAAUUACUAGUAACUCACUAACUAACUAACUAACUUUCUUUGAGCUGGAUCACUAACACUUGACUAAUCACGCUGAGCUGUUAUUCUUCACUAACAACCUUCUGCUGACGUGGCUUCACCAAACUGCUUGAAUAAUGAGCAGCCUUGACAGGAAGAAACUUUGAACAAUCAUCCUGAUAUCCUUCAGAAAGCACAAUAGUUGUUAAGGAGUGUGGUGGUUUGCCACUUGCACAUUUUACCAUCGGUCGAUUUAUGGCAUGCAAGAAGACACAGCCGAAGAAUGGAGAUAUGCUAUUCAAGUGUUCAAUUCGUCCGCUUCCCGUUUCCAGGUCUGGAAGAAUGGAUAUAUACUCUUGUAAAAUUCAGUUAUGAUAGUUUACCCAAUGACACAAUUACACCUUGUCUGUUAUAUUGUAGUUUAUAUCCAGAAGAUUGUUGCAUUUCUAAAGAGAAUUUGGUAGAUUGUUAGAUCAGUGAAGGAUUUUUUAAUGAGAGUGAUUGGUUUGGAGAAAAAAUCAAGGAUACUUCAUUUUGGGCAUUCUUCUUCACGUUUUUUUUUGGAAAAGGGAGGAGAUUGUGAAAUGAAAAAUGCAUGCAUGACGUUAUUCGUGAUAUGGCUUUGUGGAUCGCAUGCGACUAUGAGAAGGAGAAGGAGAACUUUUUGGUUUACGCUGGUGUUGGUUUAACUAAGGUACCGGAUAUUAGAGAUUGGGAAAAGGUAAGGAGAUUGUCAUUGAUGAAAAAUAAAAUUGAGAAUCUAUCCGAGGCUCAUACAUGCCCUCAUCUCCUCACUUUCUUUCUUGACGAUAAUGAGUUUCGGAAGAUCCCCGGUGAUUUCUUCCAGUUUAUGCCUUCUCUCACUGUUUUAAACUUGUCAUGUAUUAAACUAAAGUCAGUUCCUUUAGGGACUUCAAGGUUGGUUCCACUACAACAACUCGAUCAUUCAUAUUCAAGCAUAAAAGAGUUGCAAGAAGAGUUAAAUGCCCUGAUUAAAGUUAAAUGCUUGAAUAUAGAUCAUGUAGAGGAGCUAAUUACAGUUCCACAACAACGGAUAUUUAAUUUUUAAGGUUAUAUGUGUUGAGAAUGUUCGAUACUAUUAGUUUAAAUUUUCAAGAAGCAUUAAAUAAAGACAGCAUUUUAUUUGGUGGGGAGGAAGUUUAAGCAGAGGAGUUGCUCGGUUUGGAAUAUUUGGAGGUAUUGAGCUUCACUUGAGAGGUGUUCGUGCUCUCCAAUUUAUUUUGAGCUCACAUAAGCUACGAAGUUGUACUCAAGCGCUGUUCCUCCAAUCCUUCAAUAAUUCGAUAUGGCUUGAUAUUUCACUUUUGGCAGAGUUAAAAGCACCACUGCAGAUUUAAGUAUUUUUGGCUGUAGAAAAUUGGAGGACUUGAAGAUGGAAUAUACAGGGGGAGCGAAAAACAAGCGGCAACCUUGUGUUUUCUAAGGCCUACAUACAGUUCACAUAGAGGUUUGUUCUAAAUUGAAGGACUUAACAUUCCUUGUUUCUGCUCCAAAUCUCAAGAACUUGGAAAUACAAAAUUGCCCUGCUGUGGAAGCAAUCAUCAGUGUGGGAGAAUUUGCGGAAGCUCUAGAGGUGGUGGAAAAUCUAAACCCAUUUGCAAAACUCCAGUAUCUUGGACUAGAAAAUCUGCCAAAUGUGGAGAGCAUCUAUUGCAAGCCUCUGCCCUUUCCAUGUUUGAAAAGAAAUGACUGUGGAUAGUUGCGGUUGUCUUAAAAAGCUUCCACUCUACUCCAACAGUGUAAAAGAGUGUACAAUUGUUAUUUCAUCAUUCGGAGAGUUAAUGGUGCAAUGAGAUUUGGCAGUUAACUCUCGUGGGAAGAGCUUGAAUGGGAAGACGAAGCCACUCGAAUUGCUUUUCAUUCAUGUUUCAAAUCUCUGAUUGGAUUGGAGAUUGCAUUUCGCCUCAGGUUCGUACUUUUCUUGAAUUUUUCUUGUUAACUUCAUUUGUUCAUUUAUCCAUUUUUUUUUAAAGGAAUCAGAAGGGUUAAUAAUUUUGGUUGUGUUAGGUCGACUUCUAAUCACGAGGCAGAAGGAGUUGAGAUGAAGUUUAAUUUUGGUGGAGAAAUUGUUUGAUUUAAAAAAUUUAAAUGAGUUGACCAUCAUUCUUUAGCAUAUUUGUAUGAACAGGAGUGUGUAAAUAUGCAAACUGUCCAGCUGUAUGUGUAUAGCGUAAUAAUUUUGAGGAGUUAAAACAUUGAAGAAUAUUGAUGUUUCCAUUGUCAAACCAAAUAUACUUAAUUACUUGAGGAUAAUGAUUACUGCUAAUACAUUUGCUAAUACAUUUGCAAAGAAAAAAACAUGCCUAUUGAAAAACUCAUCUUAUUAGCAACAGCAUUAUAAGUAGUAUCCAAUCAUAGUUUCAUGCAAGAUUUUGAGAUUUUUCAAAUGCUGAUUCCGGGAAUGGAGAUUAAUAGAUAAUGGAGACAGGUUGACUGCAAUGGCUAAUUGCAAGAGGGAAUUUUAGUCGUAAAAACAGACCAACUAGCAAAGCAAAUUCCAAAUCUUGGAAUGAAGUGGCAAAAAAACGAAACAAACAAAUGGCAAGAGGAAGUGACUAUACAAUAAUAACAUCGACUUGCAAUUCAACAUUUAUACAGUUUUACUCACCAAGAAAAGAGAAAAUUACAAUAGCAAUUUGGCUACUAGAAGAUGUUCAUUCAUGCUUAUGCCUGUCAUAUGGAUUUGAAACAAGGAGUAAAAGCAUUUAGAGUGGCUUCAUCCUUCCACUGCAGCUCAUUCCACCAGUGUUGCUCUCCCCUAAUAACAAGUUUGCGUUCCUUGGCGCUGUUGUAAUCGAGUGGAAGCUUCUUGAGGUUCGGGCAUCCAGAUACAAACAAUUCUAAGAGAUUUGGAAAGUGCACUUAAAUUCUUAUGAAUUGCUUAAGUAUGCAAGCAGCAGAGCAGAAAACAAACAACCUUUUCAUAUAUUAUAAUAACAUGAAUAAUCAGAUAUACACAUCCUUCACAUAUUUAUACUAAACGUGAAAAAUGGUAGCUUGCUCAAAGGGAAAACAGAAAUGAAUAAAACAAAAGAUUACAGCUGCACUAGCCAAUCAUUGGAAACAUUCUAGAAACUCCAGCUUGCAGUAUUCACGUGUAAAUAUUCUCCUGCAUAACAGUUUUGCCAGCUCAUUGAAUACACCUCAACUUCUUCAUCAGCUGGUUGCUGGAUAUGGCUGCUCAGGUGGCAUGCCAGCAUGGCCUUUGGGUCAAUUGUUGACUCAUCUUCAUAAUCUGAAUUCUCAACACCCUCUCUCAAACUUAAGGUCUUGUCGAAGACAUUAAGUUUGCUUCUAAAUUGACUGAACUUGUAAUAAGGCAAUGGCUUGGUUAAUAUGUCUGCAACUUGAUCUCUGCUGGCUACAAAACUGAUUUCCAGCUCUCCUUGAGUGACUUUGUCUCUAAUGAAAUGAAGGUCUAUCUCAAAAUGCUUUGUCUUUGAGUGAUACACUGGAUUUGUGGCUAUUGCUGCUGCACUUGUGCUAUCACUUAAGAUCAUUGGAACUCUUUGCAUCUUGAUUUCCAAUUCACCAAACAGAGAAUUUAUCCAAGUGAUUUCAGUAGUACACAAAGCUAUGGCCCUGUACUCGGACUCAGCUGUCGAUCUUGCUACCAUGCCUUGCUUUAUUGAGCUCCAAGCUACUAAAUUGUCUCCCAAAAACACACAAUAUCCACUUACUGAUCUUCUGUCAUCUGGAUCACUAGCCCAGUCAGCAUCAAUAUAGGCUAUCAAAUCUAGAUGUUCUGACUUCUGGAACUUUAAGCACAUGUUUGCAGUGCUCUUUAGGUACCUCAACACUCGUUUGCAAGCUGUCCAGUGAGAUUGUCUUGGGUCAGACAGGUAUUGGCUAAGCUUGUUCACAGAAUAUGCAAGCUCUGGUCUUGUUAGAACAGCAUAAUGUAGACUUCCUACAACACUCCUAUAAAAUGAAGGAUUGUCAAGUUUGGUGCCUUCACCCUUCUUUAGUUUCUCUGCUGUGCUGAAAGGUGACUCUAUUCCCUUGCAAUUCUCCAUCUCUGUUUUAGCUAAUAGGUCUUGAACAUAUUUAGCUUGAGAGAGCAAAAUGGAGUUCUGAUUUCUUAUAACAUGUAUCCCAAGGAAGUAGCUUAAAUUUCCAAGAUCUUUCCACUUAACUUUCCUAUCACUUCCUCAAUACCCUUGCUGUUAUUUCCAGUCACAAUUAUGUCAUCUACAUACACAAGCACAAUGAUUAUUUCAGCACUGCUUCUUUUGAAGAAUAGAGAAAUAUCACACUUGGAGUUGUUGAAUCCCCAAGAGCACAGAGCAUUCUUUAAUUUGUCAAACCAUGCUCUGGGUGCUUGUCUCAGUCCAUAAAGAGCUUUCUUGAGCUUGCAUAUGUGGUUUGGUCUUCUCCUAUCCUCAAAUCCCUCAGGUUGUGGCAUGUACACUGUCUCUGUCAAAUCUCCAUUCAGAAAUGCAUUAUUUAUGUCAACCUGCCUCAACAGCCAAUCAUUACUUACAGCCAAAGUUAAAAUGAUUCUGAUUGUUGCAGCUUUGACCACAGGGCUGAAAGUCUCAUUAAAGUCAAGUCCUGGUGUCUGCAGAAACCCCUUCAAGACAAGUCUAGCUUUGUAUCUAUUUAUGGUGCCAUCUGGAUUUUCCUUUACUUUGUACACCCAUUUGUUGCCAAUGAGUUUGUAGUUCUGGUCAUGUGGAAUUAAGGUCCAGGUUUGGUUUUUGACAAGAGCAUUAUAUUCAUCCUCCAUUGCUCUUCUCCAUUUAGGAUCUUUCAGUGCCACAGUGGAGUCAGGGGGUAAGGAAGUUUGAGAUUGAGUGGAUAUUUGAUAAACCUUUGGCUUGCAAAUCCCUGCUUUUGACCUUGUGAUCAUGGGAUGUAAGGAGGCUUGAGUGUUUGGUUAUGUUAUGAGAGGCAAGGUGCAAUUUUCUACUGAGGUGUUUGGUGAGAGUUCAACAGGUGAGUGGUUGUCUGAUAUAGAGUUGAAGCUCAAAUUCUAACAAGCUCCAUCUUAACUAAAACUUGGGAGCUGUUCUGAGUUUCCAGCAGUGGCCUGAGAUUAACUAUGAGCUGCAUUUUGCUGUGUUGACUCAGGGGGAACAGUAGUGGAGAAAGAUACAACUUGAAAUUUUUCUAGAACUGUGGGGGAAUCAUUUUGGUCAGUGAGCCUUUGCUUGCAGAAAUUUGAGUCAUUUUGAAAAGGGAAUGAAUGAUCAUUAAAUUGACACUGGCUGAAAUGUAGAUCCUCCCAGAAUGAUGCAUGCAAAUGUAACCUUUGUGACUGAUGCUAAUGCCUAGUAGUGUGCACUUGAAAGUGUGAAAAUCAAACUUAUGCUUGUUGUAGGGUCUUAAGUAUGGAUAGCAUUCACAACCGAAAACUUUAAUUUGGGAAUAAUCUGGUUUGGUGAGAUAUAACAGCUCAAAUGGAGUUUUAUUUUCAAGAAUAGGUGAGGUUAAUCUGUUUAUGAUGUAGGUGGCAUAGCUGAAAGCUUCUUGCCAAUAUCUCAAAGGCAUUUUUGCUUGGGCUAGUAAUGUUAGGCCAGUUUCCACAAUGUGUCUGUGCUUUCUCUCCACCUUUCCAUUUUGUUCAUGUAAAUAAGGGCAUGAGUGUCUUAAGGCUAUUCCUUCUUUCUUGAGAAAGGGUUCGAAAGUUUUAAACUCCCCACCCAUGUCUGUUUGUAAAGCCUUGAUUCUUAAAUUUAGCUGAUUUUCUACUUGGUUUUUAAACACAAUGAAUGUGUCAAGGGCCUGUGAUUUUGUUGUUAAGGGAAACAACCAUGUGUAUCUUGUCUUGUCAUCCACAAAUGAUAUGUAAUAUCUGUGUCCAUGGGUAGAUGGAAUAGGUGCUGGUCCCCAGAGAUCACUAUGUAUUUGUUCUAAGGCUGUGCUGGUCUUGGUUUCAAUGCUUUUAAAGUUUAGUUUUGAUUGCUUUCCAUACUGACAAGCAUUACAGAAUGAGGGAAAUAUAUUUUUAUUUAAGUUGAGCUGAUUACAAGAUAAUAGAGUAUUUUUCAGAACUGACUCAUUUGGAUGCCUCAGCCUAUGGUGCCAGAGAUCUAUUUCAUUUGUUCUAAGAUCCCUACUGCUUGUAUCAGCUCUACUGGACUCGACAACACUGGCACCAACACUGGCACCUAAAGACUCAUUACUACUGAAAUUGAAACAUGCCAUUGACAUUGGAUUGCUAAUGCAACUUAUUGACUUGGGUAUUGGAAAUGAAGAUAACUCAGCAGCAUAAGUAACCUUGUUGCCACUCAAAUGAGUUGGCAUGCAUAGCAGCUCAUAUAGUCCAUCUCUAGCCACUCCUUUCACCAGAAUUCUCCCUUGGCUCUUGUCCUUGAUGAAGCAAACAGAUUUUUGAAACUCAACAUCAAUAUCAUUAUCAUGAAGCAAUUUGGAAACACUAAUGAGAUUUUUGGUAAUAUCAGGUACAAACAAAAUAUGAUUUAAUUUGAUGUGUUUGUGUGGACUGUAAGUGGGCAAUAUAGAAUAACCAAUGUGAGAGAUAUGAAGUUUGUUACCAUUACCAACAGUGAGCUUGUCAUUACCUUGGUACUCUGAGUUCAGGUUCAUGUUUCCAAUAGCAUUGGUCACAUGAUUUGUGGCACCACUGUCAAGGUACCAGGCAUUGCUGUUUUGUCCUUCUGUUGUGGCCAUGUAGGCUCCUCUCCUCCUAUUUAGCUGUGGCACAUAAUUUUUCUUAAACCUAUGCCAGCAUUCAACAGCUGUGUGCCCCAUUUUGAAGCAGAUUUGGCAUGGACCCUUUGAUUCAGAACCUUCACCUUCUGCAGCAGCUUUGCCUUUGCCUUUGUCUUGAAUAUUUUGAUUUCCCUGACCAUGACCACCAUUGCCACCAUUUCCAGUGCCACCACCAGGAUUUCUGAAGACUAUCCCAGGUUGUUGCUGACUGCCAAAUCUUUCACCAUUGCCCCAGUUCCUCCUGCCAUUUCUCAUCUGUGUGAAGUUAGCCUCAAGAAUCCCUGGGCUGAGAUUUUGCUCAGUCCUGGUUUCUUGGCUGAGGAGCAUGCUGUAGACCUCUGACAAUGAAGGAGUUUCUGGCAUAGAGUUAAUGUUAGUGACAACAGAGUCAUAUUCAGAUCAUACUCCAGCUAAGACACACAUAAUAAAGUCCUCAUCACUCAUGUUAUUUCCAGCUGCUCUGAGUGUAUUUAGGAUAGUUUUCAUCAUGGAGUAAUAAUCAUGGAUUGUAAGAGAGCCCUUUUUAGUGGUUUGAAUCUGUGUCCUCAAAUAUAGGAUUCUAGCUCUUGUUCUUGCACCAUACUGAUUGGUAAGAGUUGUCCAAACUUCAUGUGAAGUAGAACAAUCCACCACAGUGCCGAGGACACCCUCACUGAGAGAUGAGAGCAACCAGCUCAAAAGAAUGUGGUCCUGUUUCUUCCAGAUUUGAUAUUCUGGAUUUUGGUGGGUAACGGUAGCUUGGUUAGGUCCAGGACUGGUGAAAUAUCUGGGGGGACAGGUAUAGCUUCCAUUUAUGAAGCCUUCAAGCUCAUUUGCUCGUAUGCUGGAGACCACUUGUGAUCUCCAGAGCAUGAAAUUGUUCUGUGUUAACUUGAUGGGAGUGGUGAACACAUAUGUGUUGCUGGUGAUAUGUUGGGUAGGAGAUGGGUUCAUUAUGGUCACAUUUCUUGUGUUAUUAUCUGGAUUCUGAUUGUCGAUAUUUUCAGGUUGGUUUUGAUUCAAAUCAUUUGGUUGAUCAUCUGGAUUUUCCAGAGUUUGAUUCAUGUUUGUUUGUGAAUUUCUGCUGCUUUCCAUAGCUCAAAAGUUGCUCUGAUACCAACUUAAAUUCUUAUGAAUUGCUUAAGUAUGCAAGCAGAAGAGCAGAAAAAAAAUAACCUUUUCAUAUAUUAUAAUAACAUGAAUAAUCAGAUAUACACAUCCUUCACAUAUUUAUACUAAACGUGAAAAAUGGUAGCUUGCUCAAAGGGAAAACAGAAAUGAAUAAAACAAAAGAUUACAGCUGCACUAGCCAAUCAUUGGAAACAUUCUAGAAACUCCAGCUUGCAGUAUUCACGUGUAAAUAUUCUCCUGCAUAACAGUUUUGCCAGCUCAUUGAAUACACCUCAACUUCUUCAUCAGCUGGCUGCUGGAUAUGGCUGCUCAGGUGGCAUGCCAACAUGGCCUUGGGGUCAAUUGUUGACUCAUCUUCAUAAUCUGAAUUCUCAACAAUGCAUUCAAACAGAUCUUCUUCAAAUUUCUUAGAACUUGCAACCGAAGAUAUUGGAGUUUCGCAAAAGGUUUUAGCCCUGUAACUUCUUCCACUUUCCAAACACUGAUUAUUUCUUCCAUCUCAUAACAACGUUCUACAUGGACCAUCUUCAGAUUUGGGGCAAAAACAAGCCAUGUCAUCUCCCUCAAUUUACUGCAAUAGUCUAUGGUAACACUUUGAAGGCUGUUGAAACCAUAAGUUCUCUUGUUGUUUGAACUUCUGCAUAGUCAACCUUUAGCUCUUCCAAACUUGUACAAUACACAAAAUCUAGUUUGUCAAGAUACUUGAGAUCUGCUAUGGACAAAAUAUUCCAUGACCUUGAAUCCUCACAGCGUCGAAGCUCUAAAGCAUAUUUACAACUCUUGUACUGUUGGCAGCUCAAAAGUCUUCGUAGAGCAUAAAAACUUCUUAACGUGACGCUUAAUACAUUUAAAUGUUCCAAAGUAAUCAACUCCUCUACCAAAAUUUCACUACCACCAAAUAGAACGCUAUCUUCUGGUACUGUAUUAGCAGAGCCACAAUCUAGCAUCCUCAACACCUUUAACCCAGAAAAAUUACAAAGCAGUUGCCGUGGAAUCGUAUGGAGAUAACGCAUGUACUCCAAGUUCAAACACUUUAGAUUUUUCAAGGCUUUUAAUUCAUGUGGUAACUCUUUGAUGAAAGUUUCUGAAAGAUUAAGAUAUUGUAGUGAAACCAAUUUUGAAAUUCCUGAAGGCAAUUGACUCAAGGAGCGAUUCUUUGAUAGGUUUAAAACUUUAAGAGAAGGCAUAAAAUCGAAGAAAUCACUAGGGAUAGUAUCUAACAUAUUAAUGCCGAGGAACAAAGUUAUAAGAUGAGGGCAUAUUGGAGUUAUUGGUAAAAUCACAAUUUUAUUUCUCAUCAACGAUAUCCUUCUCUUAUCUUCCCAUUGUUUAACCUCGGGUGGUUCAGUUAAUUCAAUACCGGCAGAAACCAAAAAGUUUUCAUUCUCCACUUCACAGGCUAUCCACAAGGUCAUAUCACGAAUCACAUCAUGCAAUUUUACAUAAUCUGAUCCUGCUUCUUCCAAUAGGCAUGCAUGAACAAGAACACCAAUAAUGUAGUAUCCUUGGUUAUGUACUCCAUUAAUUCCUUCAUAUUCCUUCAGAAAACCCUCACCAAUCCAACACCCUAUCAAUUCAAUUUUGCUAAUUUGAUAAUCCUCAGGAAAUAAACUACAGUAUAACAGACAAGAUCUAAGGACGUCACUAGACAAACUAUCAUAACUGAAUUUUAAAAGACGAAACACCUCUUUCUCCAUACCUGGAAAUUCAUAAGCUGAUCUCCUUAACAUCUGAAUUGCAUAGCUCCAUUCUUCGGGUGUCUUCUUGCUGCUCAUGGCACGACCGGUGGUAAUAAGUGCAAGUGGCAAACCACUACACUCCUUUGCCACAGUUUUGGCUAACUCCGGAAUAUCGGGAUGACUUUCAAGAGUCUCUUCUCCGACCUUCUUUAGGAACAAUUCCCAAGCAUCUUGAUCUGCCAAACACUCCACCUUGAACUUUUUUUGAGCUUCCAUGAGGCCACAGACGUCCACAAGACGAGUCGUAAAUGUUGAAAGUCAUGGCUGGCGCCGGCCAUCUAGAUGGCCGGUGCCAACCAUUCAACAUUCAACACGGCCCGCCAUUAUUGGUGGUGCCGUGUUGAAUGACUCCAUAAAAAAAAAAAAAAAAAAAAAGAGCCAAAAUUUUGGCUAUAUAAAGAGGGCUUCCCACCCUCAUUUAUAAUCCAAUCUUGAGAGAGCAAUUUAGGGAGUUGAGAGAGAGUUUAAGAGCUUGCAUUUAUAAGCUCUUAUUUUAGUGAUUUGAGAGUUUGGGUGUAUUGGGGUUUUGGGUAGUGAGCUAAAAUACUACAAUACUUGUAACUCCUUUUCACUAGUAAAAUAUUUCCUUCUGUCUUUGCCCAUGGACGUAGGCUAAAAGCCGAACCACGUAAUUUCUGGUGUCCUCUAUUGUGCUUGUUCUUUAUUUUAUUUCCAAUUUCAUUUUAGCUGCGGUCCUGCUUCACCCACCAAUUUCCUAACAGUGGUAUCAGAGCUAUUGGUUGUAUUUUUGGAGUCGGGAACUGUUCACGUAAGGGGUACUAUUCACGUAUACGACACUAUUCACGUAUACUGUACUGUUCACGUAUACGGGUUUGUUCACAUAUACGGUACUGUUCACGUAUACGAUACUAUUCACGUAUACGGUACUAUUCACGUGAAACGGGGAAGCGAUCCAAGAAUUUUCCGGUGCAAAGCAGGGAAUAGUAGUGUGAGAAAAGCAACUGUGGUUUUGUACAUGUCUAGGAAAGUUCUGUCACAAAGGCGAUAAGAGCUUAAGGAGUCUGGGUUUUAAGUGGGACCAUUGUGACCCCUCCAGUCUUUCCUGGGAACUUUCCUGGUGUGCAUUCUCACACAUACUCACAACUAUUCAAGGUGGUAUACUAGCUUGUGUGCAGUAUUUAUCAACAAAAUGGCGGCAAAGUAUGAAAUUGAGAAGUUGAACGGAAAUAAUUUUUCGUUGUGGAAAAUGAAGAUGAAAGCUGUAUUGAGGAAAAAUAAUUGUUUGGCAGCAAUUGGAGAAAGGCCCAUGGAGAUAACUGAUGACAAGUGGAACGAGGUAGACGGUAACGCCAUUUCUGAUCUACACUUGGCACUUGCGGAUGGUGUAUUAUCUAGUGUGGCAGAGAAAAAUACGGCGAAGGAAAUAUGGGAUACUCUCACAAAAUUGUACGAGGCCAAGUCACUACACAACAAAAUCUUCUUGAAGAGAAAACUAUAUACUCUUCGAAUGGCGGAAUCUACAAUGGUGACCGACCACAUCAACACUUUGAAGACUCUAUUUUCACAACUCACAACGUUGGGUCAUAAUAUAGAGGAGAAUGAACGUGCAGAGCUUCUACUUCAAAGUCUACCAGAUUCGUAUGAUCAACUCAUCAUCAACCUGAUGAACAACAAUCCAGUGGAAAGUCUAGUUUUCGACAAUGUUGCAGCCUCCGUAUUAAAUGAGGAGAGCAGACGGAAAAAUAAGGAAAACAGACAAGCAAGUUCGCAGCAAGCAGAGGCGCUAUCGGUGACGAGAGGGAGAUCAACGGAACGUGGCCCCAGUGGGAGUCAAAGUUAUGGUAGAUCAAAAUCCAGAAGUAAGAAAAAUGUUAAAUGCUACAACUGUGGCAAGAAAGGGCACGUCAAGAAAGAGUGUUGGAGUAACCAGAAGAGAAGAGAGGGUAAAGAACCUGAGUCAUCAAAUGCUCAGGGGUGUGUAGCAAGUACCUCGGAUGAUGGCGAAAUUCUCUACAGUGAGGCAACAACUGUUUCAGAAGGCAGAAAACGACUUUCUGAUGUCUGGCUUAUAGACUCAGGAGCUACCUGGCACAUGACCUCUAGGAGAGAAUGGUUCUACACAUAUGAACCUAUCUCAGGAGGAUCUGUAUAUAUGGGUAACGAUCAUGCCUUGGAGAUCGCUGGUAUUGGUACUAUCAAAAUAAAAAUGUUUGAUGGUACAAUUCGCACAAUUGGGGAGGUACGACAUGUCAACGGCCUAAAGAAAAAUCUAUUGUCUUUAGGACAAAUGGAUAGUCAUGGGUACAAAACUCAUGUGGAGAAUGGAAUUAUGAAGAUCGUUAAAGGCGCGCUUGUAUUAAUGAAGGCAGAAAAGAUCAGUGCUAAUCUAUUCAUGCUUAAAGGAGAAACACUACAGGAGGCUGAUGCGUGUGUCGCGUCAAAUGGAGAAGAAUCAACGAUGAUGUGGCAUCUCAAACUCGGCCACAUGUCAGAACAAGGCUUGAAGAUUCUCUCUGAGCGAAAAUUGCUUCCGGGGCUCAAAUCAGUAAGUUUACCAUUUUGCGAGCAUUGUGUUAUAAGUAAGCAGUAUAGAUUAAAAUUCAGUAGAUCUAUUGCUAGAAGUAAAUGCAUUCUAGACUUGAUUCAUUCUGAUGUUUGGGAAUCACCGGAUAUAUCCAUGGGAGGUGCAAAGUACAUGGUGACUUUCAUUGAUGAUUAUUCCAGAAGAUGUUGGGUGUAUCCAAUUAAGAAAAAGUCAGAUGUAUUUCCUGUGUUUAAAGAAUACAAAGCGCGGGUGGAACUUGAAUCUGGUAAAAAGAUCAAGUGCUUAAGGACAGAUAAUGGUGGAGAAUAUACAUACGACGAGUUUCUUGCUUUCUGUAAGCAAGAAGGUAUUCAGAGGCAAUUCACGGUGGCAUACACUCCUCAACAAAACGGAGUAGCAGAGCGGAUGAACAGAACUCUUACAGAAAGAAUAAGAGCUAUGUUGAGGACUGCUGGUUUACCCAAUUCAUUCUGGGCAGAAGCAGCCAAAACCGCCUGUUAUAUAGUAAAUCGGUCGCCAUCUACAGCUAUUGGGUUGAAGACAGCGAUGGAGAUGUGGACUGGAAAGCCAGCUGAUUAUUCCUACCUACAUGCAUUUGGAUGUCCUGUGUACGUGAUGUACAAUGCCCAAGAAAGAACAAAGCUGGAUGCAAAAUCUAGAAGAUGUAUCUUCUUGGGGUAUGCUGAUGGAGUAAAGGGGUAUCGUCUGUGGGACCCCACUGCCCAUAAGAUCGUCAUCAGCAGAGAUGUUAUCUUUGUAGAAGAUCAACUACAAAGAAAAGAUGGAGAUGAUGGCACUGUAAAAGAAAAGUCAGAGACUGUACCAGUAUAUGUCGAAAAUAAUCUAGAAGAUUCAGAUUCUUCUGAAGCAGCACCAGAGCACGAGGAACAAGAACCAGUCGAGUCUGAGGCUCCAGAAGUUCGUCGGUCAACUCGUGAGAGACGACCACCGGCGUGGCACUCGGAGUAUGUCACAGAGAUCAACGUUGCAUACUGUCUUCUAACAGAGGAUGGAGAGCCUUCAACUUUCCAUGAAGCUUUAAACAACUUAGAUGUUGCUUUGUGGAUGACAGCAAUGCAGGAAGAAAUUGAAGCUCUACACAAGAACAAGACAUGGGAACUUGUACCACUACCACACGGAAGAAAAGCCAUUGGAAACAAAUGGGUCUACAAGAUCAAACGUGAUGGCAAUGACCAAGUGGACCGGUAUCGUGCAAGAUUGGUGGUGAAAGGAUAUGCUCAGAAAGAAGGUAUUGACUUCAACGAGAUAUUUUCUCCGGUGGUUCGACUCACAACAGUCAGAAUAGUCUUGGAGAUGUGUGCUACAUUUGAUCUACAUCUUGAGCAGUUAGAUGUUAAAACUGCAUUUCUUCAUGGAGAACUUGAAGAAGAAAUAUAUAUGCUCCAACCAGAAGGUUUUGCAGAAACAGGAAAGGAGAACUUGGUUUGCAGGUUGAACAAAUCUCUAUACGGUCUCAAACAGGCGCCGAGGUGUUGGUAUAAGAGAUUUGAUUCCUUCAUCAUGAGCCUUGGAUACAACAGACUCAGUUCAGACCAUUGUGCAUAUUACAAGAGGUUUGAAGAUAAUGAUUUCAUCAUUUUACUGUUGUACGUGGAUGACAUGUUGGUAGCAGGCCCCAACAAAGAUCAAGUCCAAGAAUUGAAGGCACAAUUGGCUAAGGAGUUUGAAAUGAAGGACUUGGGACCAGCAAACAAGAUUCUAGGGAUGCAAAUUCACCGAGACAAAAAUAACAGGAAGAUUUGGCUUUCACAGAAGAAUUACUUGAAGAAAAUCUUGCGGCGCUUCAACAUGUAAGAUUGUAAGUCAAUUUCUACCCCACUUCCUGUUAAUUUCAAAUUAUCCUCAAGUAUGUGUCCUAGCAAUGAAGUGGAGAGGAAGGAGAUGUCUCGAGUACCGUAUGCAUCAGCAGUGGGAAGUUUAAUGUUCGCUAUGAUAUGUACUAGACCAGACAUUGCACAAGCAGUGGGAGCAGUCAGUCGAUACAUGGCGAAUCCUGGUGGAGAGCAUUGGAUAGCUGUAAAGAGGAUUCUGAGAUACAUCAGAGGAACCUCAGAUGUUGCAUUAUGUUACGGAGGAUCAGAGUUUACUAUCAGGGGCUAUGUGGAUUCAGAUUUUGCAGGAGAUCUUGAUAAAAGAAAAUCCACUACUGGUUAUGUGUUUACACUUGCAGGAGCAGCUGUAAGCUGGGUUUCGAAACUGCAGAUCGUUGUGGCUUUANNNNNNNNNNNNNNNNNNNNNNNNNNNNNNNNNNNNNNNNNNNNNNNNNNNNNNNNNNNNNNNNNNNNNNNNNNNNNNNNNNNNNNNNNNNNNNNNNNNNAUAUUCUUGAUUAAUCCAUUUUCUGAAAUUUUUUAUUUUGUAUGGUCAAUUAUACCUUCAUACUAAAAAUUUCUGAUGUUAUGGGGUUGUUGGAUGUGUUUUGGAUAUUUGCAGCUAAGUUUGAGUUUAUAUCUCAACUUAAAAUUUGUAGUUUUCACUUGAAAAAAUUCAGUUAAAAAUUGAUUGGUAGAAUUGUGAAGAAGUUUAAAUUUUUAGUUCAACCCGAUUGCAUAUUUAAGAACAUCUCAAAUGAAUUGCUUACUGCUAUCAUCAUCAUAAUUGUCAGAGAUGGUUAAUUGAUAGACUAUGUGCCUGGGUCGAGCACUGGAAGCCUGCAAUGCAGACUGAUUGAUUUAUCAGUUUAACGUGUGCCAGGAAUGAAGAACUGGAAUAUCACCGUCAAGCAAGCACCCUGUGGAGCAAUACCAAAGAAUGCACAAUCCGGCUUUGCAAGGUGACACUGGAGGCUUUUUGAAAAGUGCUUCACGCUCACUUGCACAGAUUGAGCAUCCCCUCUGGAUAUUGCCCUCUCUGAUCGAGUCUGAGCACUCAAAUUUUGGUCCUCAGAGGGAGCUACAGUUUUCUCUCCAAUAACCAACAAUUUUCUAAACUCAGCACCUAGUGUGAUCAGAGUUGUUGAUAUUUAUAAAUGGAGAUCCCCAUAUUUGCAAGUGGAGACAUUUAACAAUUCACCAACAUGCUUCAUCCGGUGUACAAAAUUCUGCAGCUGAUUCAAAUCCGGAACCUGAACCAGAGUCGGAGGUAUAUCUUGAGCCAUAUCUAAAGUAGUUUGAAGUUCAAGACCUUGAGCCCUUGACAAUGGUUUUGAAAUUGGAACAUCUUGGAUUACUGCAGACUUGUACCCCUUGGUUUCAAAGGUAAGGAAAGGCAUUGCUUGAGUACAAUUUGGAGGCAGCUUCUUCACCAAUUUUAUUUGGAGGCGAUUGGCAGCGGAUCCAGCAGCACCAAUUUCAGAGCAAAUACUGACACUACUUCGAACAGCACACUGAAGAAGUGAUAUGUCUACGGCAAAGGCAAUGCAGUCCUCAUUUUGGCUUGAGAUGCAGUAAUCAUCGAAGAGAGUUUCCUUGUGAAACUGGGCAACACAUUGAAUCCCUUCGCCACUGAGAAGGUUGUGGAGGAAGUAAGCUUUCUCUCUAGUGAGGCAGAGGUGGCAUACCUUCCCCAUUUUGUCGAGGGCAGGUAGGAAUCUUUUUUCUAAGAGAUUUACUUCAUUCUCUGUGAGAAAUGCUUUGAACUUCAUCCCUCUGUCUCUAUCCUCACUUAUCAGGAAAUAAGUUGAAAGCACUACGAAGAGAGAGAGAGAGAGAGAGAGAGAAUUAAGAUAUAUAGACAAGAAAAAUAUUAGACGUUGAUCUUACAAACUAAUACUUCAAGCAGUAUCCUGGAAAGCUAAAAACUGCAAGAUGGCUUGAAAUUUGAAAAGAGCACGUGCUUUUCCUCCUUAACUUGAGAAAAUGUUUAAUAUAGUGCACCUUAUGGAAGCAUUUAAGCAAUUAGAACUUUGCACAAAAACAUCAAGAAGACUAAACAAGUCAGAUGCAGUGUAUUUGUCCAAGCACAAAUUGCAUUUUGUCCUCAACUUUAAUAUUUAUUGAUGAGAAUCAAUACAGGUCCCUCAUUUGUUAUAGAAAGCUUUCUUUCUUGUAGUCUCACCAGUUAAUUCACAGGUCUAUAAUCAUCUUGCAAAGUUAAGGGCAUUUCUUUUGAUCUAAAGUCUUUGCAUCACCACCUCAUCACACGCCAAGCCAAUAUUCCAUUUACCUCUACAACAAAAAGUUUUAAUUAAACAAUCCUAAUGCACGCAGCCAAAUAAAAUGCAGUAAGAAUAUUCAACUUAAAAAUCUGAAAGCCAACUUGGUGAAUUGCCUCCUUAGGUGAAGUUCCAUGCUUUACUAUAGUUGACAGAACUCAGCAAAAGCUUCCAUACAACAGAUUUUGAAAAUGAUGAUGCCAACAGAUACUCAUUCAAUCCAUUGAAACUCCAAAGGUUCAUUGUUCAUAGAAGUUUACAAAGUUUUGGUCAUCAAAUAGCUCAGACCUAAUCCCAAACAAAAAAAGAGUGAAAAUUAGAUCACGAGCAGCUAAUUGUAAAUUCUAACUUAACUCUUCAUCUCCUUUGUAAACAAGAAACAAAAUGGAGACACGCAAAAUGAAUAUGGAGAAAAUUUGAACUCAAAUGAAAUGAGGGCACGAAAGCAAACAAAUGGCAUGCACAAAAAAACCAAGCCUCAAUCAAAAACUAAUUAACCAUUAAGAAAAAAAUUGGUCAGACAAUGAACUCCAAAUUCAGGAGUCAAGCAAGAAGCUUUCAUUAUUUCAGAAGCUCCUGUACAAAUUAAUAAGUUAUGCUCUUUGGAAGCAAAACCAAAUUCCAAGAGAAACAGAACCCAAAAAAUUUGCAAUUAUUCGCAAAGGAAGUGAAGCACAGGAUUCUAUCACACAUAGGAAUUUUAUAACAAGAGAUCGAUAUAUCGAAUUAGAAAACUCAAUUCGAAUUUGUGUGAAAAAUCAAAAUUAGAAGAUUUCACAUUUCGAGAGGAACAAGCAACAGAUGAGUUUAAUUUCAGCCAUAACAUGCUAAAAAUGCUACACUUAACGGUUCCUUGUCAGCUAUUGAUGCGUUCGCUCANNNNNNNNNNNNNNNNNNNNNNNNNNNNNNNNNNNNNNNNNNNNNNNNNNNNNNNNNNNNNNNNNNNNNNNNNNNNNNNNNNNNNNNNNNNNNNNNNNNNAAGGGUCAUGUUCAAGCAGGAAAACUUCUAGAACAGGUAAGGAUUCCAUCUACAGACAUCCAUUGACAGCAGAUAUAUUUCAUUAAGCAGACACUGUUAGCAUUCAAGAUGCUGGCAGAUUCACUUGAUUCUUAUUAGUUUGUUUAGUGGCAAGGCAUAUAACCUGUAUUUCAAAGCCAAGUUGUGCUAUUGAUUAUGUUAACUUUAUUGUUAACAUUAAGUGAUUUGGAGGACAUAAUCAAUGUAGGAAAAUUAGGUGAAGAGAUGAUGUCAAAUCUUGAACCUCUUACAAAGCUCCAAGUUCUUUACUUGAAGAAGCUGCCAAAUUUGAAGAGCGUCUACUGGAAGGCAUUUCCAUUCCCAGAUGUAUGCAGAAUUUUUGUAUUAAUGCCCAGUUCUUAAGAAGCUGCCACUGGAUUUUCAUGGGGCGGGCCAAGGUAAAAUUCUUAUCAAGGGAAAGGAAGAUUGGUGGAAAGAACUUCAAUGGGAGGAUCAAGCAACUCAGAAUGCAUUGCUUCCAUUUUUCAAAUCAACUGACAAGUGAUUGAAGGGGGCAUCAUCAACAGAGAUGGAGAGAUUCUGGAGCAGAUCAGCAGGGUUUGUAUAUGAUCUUUGGUGGUUGCUUUCUUUUGUGAUUUUUUUUUUCUCAUUUUUUUACCUUCCUGUCAUUUUAUCAUUUCUUUGUCUCUUUUUCUAUUGCUGAUGUUAGUGUAUGCUUACUGUUGCUUGACAAAGUUUGCUUGCUUCUUGUUUAUUAAAUUUUUUAUGGUCACAAAAUAUUACUUGUUCUAUUUGAGAGUGAUGUGAAUCAAUUUUCAAUUAUAUAUUUUUUGGUCAAUGUGAAUUCAAUUUCAUUUGUCUCCUGCAAUUAUUAAAAAAAUGCAGUCUCAUAAUAUGGAAAAGUCGACCGGCAAAAAUUUUGUGAAAGCUUCGGAGUGAAACAGGGAAUUCACUUACUACUAAGGACAAUUGGUGGCGAGCUAUUCCAUUCAUUUUAUGUCCCUACAUCUAUUUAAUUAUUAAAGAUAAGUGGUCCAUUUGUAAAUUUCAGAUUGUGUCUCUCUGAAAAUAACAAUAUUUAAAAUGUCUCUUAAAUUAUUAUAAAUUUUAAUUCACUCUCGAUUUAAAAUGGAACAUGCUGAUGAAAAUUUUUUUCUUCUCAAUAUUCAAUAAAAUUGAAAUAAAUUGUGUUUGCAGUAUUUUGAAAUAUUUUAAAGAUUAUUAUUUUAUAAGAGAGUAAUAUGAAAUGAAAUUUACUCUUCAUGCGUGAAAUGUUGAAAAGGACAAAGGAAAGUGUCACUGCUUUUAUUUUAUUUCAAAGUGGAGUCAUCUCACAUACUUUACCUCUAUCAUUACAAUUUUUCACGUUACAUUUUGAUUUAUUUAUUUCUUUUAACACAUGCAUGUGGGUUACUUUUCCGUAAGCUCCUUAAUAUAUGUUUAACACAAAUCAUGGAAGAGAUGGGAGUAUAUCAAGAUGAUCAAAGCAUGAGACAAAAAUAUUUAAGAAGUAAAACACUGAAAAUAGAGGAGAGAUGCAAGCAAAAGAUAUUCCAAAGAAAAGCAAUCUAUCCCCUUUCGAGGGCAAACUUAAUCAGGUUUAAGAAAAGUACAUGUUUUGGAUUGGUAGUUGCAGCCUUGCAGGAUAAUUGUUUUUGCCAUUAUAUUAGUUGGAGGAGUUGAACCCAGCGAAGAAUGUUAUGGAAGAGCAAAUUAAUGAUAUUUCUGAUAGAGUCUAUUUGAUUAUGUAGCCUGAAUGGAUGUCUUGUUGAAAGAUAUCUCAGUGCAUUAGUUCAUCCUUGUCUGUCAAUGUGUUUUUAAUGGUUUUUCCAAUUGUUUAUUAUUAUAGAUUGAUUGUAAAUUUAUAUGAAAAUUUGAUAUGAAUUUAAUGUUGAAAUGUUUUCUCUUUAGUGGAAUGAAUUUAAAUUGAUUGAUUGUAAAUUGAUAUGAAUUUAAUGUUGCAAUGUUUUCUCUUUAGUGAAAUGAACUUAAAAGUGUAAAAGAUUAUUGCACACAUAGAAAUAAACAUAUAUGCUUUAUAGUAUAACUUUAGCAAUCGAUUCUUUUACGGCUGGAAACAGAGAUGAUGAUUAUCAUAGGGGUGAAGAAAAGGACAAAAAAUAUUAAUAAAUGAUCUUAAUGUUCCACAAAAGCAAAUCGUAAUAUUCCACAAGAAAAAGCAAGAUCUUAAUGUUCCACAAAAGCGUUAUUUAUUUUUUUUGGUGAGCCACGUGGAGCUCAAUUAUCAUUGUCUUUACUUUAAAAACGUUAUUUUAUUUUAUUUUCUUACAAAUUAAUGCUAACAAGAAAAAGCAAGAUAUAAUAUUCCACAAAAGCAAAUCGUAAUAUUCCACAGAGGAAUAAGAUCCACAAAAGCAAACAACUAGCUGGAUUCUUUUAUUAAACUACAAAUUAAAGUGGAAUCGUUUACUAAACAACAAAUUAAAGUUCAAAUAUUUAAAUAGUAGUGCGUUAGACGAUUAGGCUCUUUUAUUAAAGUCAAGUAUAAAGUAGUCCAGAAUCGAACAUCUCUAUUGUCUAGUCUUUUUUUUUUUUAAUUCUUCUUUUAUUAUUUUUCAGAAUAUGUUUUGGUGAUUACUAUUGGGUUAUUAUUCAGAGUUAUUGUUAUCUUCCGGGGCAGUUUCUGUUCAUCGAAAUCGUUAAUUAAAAUUUUAAAACUCUUAUCGGAAGAAUGUUUUUCCGUUAUUUUUUUAUAUUCUAAUUUCAAUUGUAAGAAGUAGUCAUUUUAGAAUUUGGGUCUUGAAUCGAAUUUCAAUGCAUGAAUUAAUAUUUUAAAAAAAUUUACUACAUGCAGUUUAGGUUACAAACUAUUUUUUGCAAAGUUGACUAUGAAAUUGGAGAAAUUAAGUAAUUUAUAAUGUUUGCAAAGAAAGAGACCAACAUACUUCCAAUUACACUAUAUCUCAAUUAUCAUAAUGUUAAGAUUAAACUAACUUAAAAUAAAAUUUAUUUAAAAAGUUUAUCAAACGCAGUCUAAUUUUAUUAACUUGAAGAGAUAAUAGUUAUAGAAAUUAUUAUUCUAACUUAAUUAGUAAAAGUGGUAUAAAGGUUAAGUGUGCACUAAAUCUAUUUAAAUUUUUUUCCAGUAUAACUAACAGAGGUCAUUACUAGAAUUAUAUUACUAGUCUAUUAGAUAGAAAAAAUUAUUUAUAUUGUUUUAUAUUUAUUAAAAAAAUUUAAAGUCAAUCUUUUUAAUUACUAUUUAAAGGAUAUUAUAAUUAAAAAAAUUUUAAUGUCUUCAUUAAAAAUUUAAAAUUUUAUAUGACCGUUAUCUAAAUAUUUAAAGUGUAACUGUCAUUUUCUCAUAUAUAUAUAUAAUUUCAUCAACCCCUUAUACUUUAUGUUAUUUAUAUUUUAUUCAUGAAUAUUAUAAAUUUUUUGAAAUAUAAAAUUUCGUUUAACCCUUUAUACUCAAUUUUAUUUUAUUAAAACCCUAGAGUAUGAAUUCGUCCCUAUAAUAUUAAAUUCUCAAAAUAACUUCCAUUUAAUUAAAAAAUAUAAUUAUUAUUAAAUGAAUUAUAAUUAUUAUUAUUAUGUUAUUAUAAUCAUAAAAAGCGAGAUCAUAUUCCACAAAAGCAUAAGUGACAAAACAACCAACUGGAUUCUUUUAUUAAUCAACAAAUUGUAUAGUCUUUUUCAAAUUGUUAUAAAUUGGUGGCCCCUACAAUCCUCAAUAAUUGUACCGAAAUUCACAAGUUGGUGGGCCCUACAAUUCUGUUCCGAUAAUUUAACUGUGCAAGUGCUCAUUCACAAUCUUCCAGGUCAUGCUCUUAACAAUUGUUUUUUCUUUUCUGCACGCCCUUUCAUGCUCUUAAUAAUUGAAGAGCAUACUUUUCAAAUGUGAAGCCGCAUCUAAUGUCGCUAAUUUAAUUUGGGAUUAAAUUACGGGACUAUUAUAUUGCAGUGUGCACUAAUUUUUAUGUUUAUCUAAACUCUUCAAAUUUAAAACAUAUUAUGGCAUAAAUAAGAAUGUAACAAUAACAAAAGAGUAAGAAAGUGUAGAGAAAAUCUUGCAGAAAUAUAAAUAAUAUUUAUUUUUAAAAUAAUAUUAAUAUUUAAAAUAAUUUUUAAUAUUUUAUGGUCCAUUAGAUAUAUUUUAUUAUAUUAAAAUAAAUUUUAUAAUAAAUAAAAACAUACUAUUAAAAUGAAUAUAUAUAGAAAAUUUAGAGUAUUUUAAGUAUUAUAUAAAAUAAUUUUAAUAAAAUAUGUGAGAUAUUCAUAUUUUAUUAAUUUAAGAUACCAUUUAACCUAAAGAUUUAUUUAUGAUAAAUUAAUAAUUAUAUUUUUGAAAUUACUUCAAAUAUUAAAAAAAUUAAUAUUACUAAUAUAUUAGAUAGAUUAAAUUAUAUAUAUUAUUUUUACUUAUUAAAAAAAUUUUAAAAUUAUUUUUAAUUACUAUUCAAAAAACGUAUUCAAAAAACAUAAUGAUAAAAAAAUCUUAACAUCUUUAUUAAAAAAUUAAAAACUUAUAUGAUAAAUUCUCUAAAUAUUUACGGUAUAUGUGAACCACGGUGGAUAAGCUUUAUUUAAUAUUAUUGAUUUAAAUAAUAUGUCAAUUAAAAAUGUACAGAGAAGAAAUUUCGGUGGGUAUUUUAGUCUUUUAAGCAAUUAUCAUGAUCAGAUCAGCCUUUAGCCUUCAAACGUCGGUCAGAAAAGUUUUAAAAUUAAUGCUAAAUUGUUUUUCACUUUUAACGUUGGUGGCCUUGAAAUUGCUUGUAUUUUAUUAAAAAUUAAUGCUAACAAGAAAAAGCUAGGUCAUAUUCCACAAAAUCAAAAGUGACAAAACAACCAGCUGGUUUCUUUUACUAAACUACAAAUUAAAAUAAAUUUUUUCGAUAAAUUACAAAUUAAAGUGGAUUCUUUUGAAUACAAAUGGGACAGACGAUUAGGCUCUUUUUAUUAGAGGCAAGUAAAAACUAGUCAAGAAUCGAACAGUCUUUUUCCAAUUCUUGUUUUAUUAUUUUUCAAAACUAGUUUUUGGUAAUUACAACCGGGUCAUUAAUCAUUAUUCAGAGUUACUGUUAUCUUCGGGGGCAGUGGGUAAAAGAUAAUUACUAACUGUUUUUCCUUCAAAAGUUAGCGGCUCAUGUUUGCAAGUGUGAAUGUGCGAUGCUCUUUUCUUAAAGGCCAUUACAGUGGGGCCCGAAUCAGACGUGCCUAAAUCUUUUUAAAAUUUUUGCCGUAUAACGAACAGAGGUCAUUACUAAAAUUUCUCUUCCACAGCCUACAGCAGCUUCAGUUUAUCAAACUCCAUCAAUUUUCUUUCUUAACAAAAUUCCAAAGAUGUGUAGCAUUUUUCAGAUCACAUGCGAUGGUGCUCUUUUCAAUCGUUGCUUGGAUUGCUUUCUUGGAAAAGCAGCAUACAUACGUAACCUCCAAGAUAAUCUUGAUGCCUUGGACACUGAACUGGGAAGACUAAUCGCUAAAAAGAACGAUGUGAUGAGGAGGGUUGUCGACGCUGAACGACAACAAAUGAGAAGGCUGGACGGAGUGCAAGUGUGGGUUUCGAGGGUGGAUGCUGUUAAAACUGGAGCCGAUGAACUUAUCACAGACGGCUCUGAAGAAAUUGGCAAAUUAUGUGUUGGAGGCUACUGUUCCAAGAACUGCAGGUCAAGCUACAAGUUCGGAAAACAAGUGGCUAAAAAGCUACAAGAUGUGAAGACUUUAAUCGCCGAGGGAGUUUUUGAGGCGGUGGCUACUGAGGUGGUGCCCGAGAGAGCUCCGGAACCUGUAGCAGAUAAAAGACCCAUUGAGCCAACAAUAGUAGGCUUGCAAUCACAGCUUGAACAAGUUUGGAGAUGUCUUGUAGAAGAAUCAGUGGGAAUCAUUGGCCUAUAUGGUAUGGGCGGUGUUGGUAAAACCACACUAUUGACCCGUAUCAACAAUAAAUUUCUUGAGAGUCAAAACAACUUUGAUUGUGUGAUUUGGGUCGUAGUUUCAAAAGACCUGCGGCUUGAAAAAAUUCAAGACGAUAUUGGGAAGAAGAUAGGUCUGUCUGAUGAUUCAUGGAAGAAUAAAAGUUUUGAAGAGAAAGCUGUGGACAUCCUGCGGAGAUUAGGAGAGAAGAGAUUUGUAUUGUUGUUAGAUGAUUUAUGGGAGCGGGUUGAUUUAACAAAAGUGGGCGUUCCACUUCCCAGCGCACAAAAUACUACCUCAAAAGUCGUAUUCACAACCCGUUCCAUUGGUGUUUGUGGCAGCAUGAGAGCUAGGCCGGUUAAAGUGGCAUGCCUAUCAGAAAAGCAAGCUUGGGAACUGUUCCGCGAAAAUGUUGGGGAAGAAACUCUUGAGAGUGAUCAUGAGAUCGUUGAGCUAGCCCAAACUGUGGCCAAAGAGUGUGGUGGUUUGCCACUCGCACUUAUUACUAUUGGUCGAGCUAUGGCCUUCAAAAAGACAGCCGAGGAGUGGAGUCAUGCAAUUGAUGUGCUAAGAACAUCAGCUUCUGAGUUUGCAGGUUUGGGAGAGAAGGUGUAUCGUCUUUUAAAGUUUAGCUAUGAUAGUUUGCAGAAUGAGACCAUUAGAUCUUGUUUCUUAUAUUGUUGUUUAUAUCCCGAGGAUUAUGGCAUUCUUAAAUGGGACUUGAUUGAUUGUUGGAUUGGUGAGGGAUUCUUGGAGGAAUCUGACAGGUUUAGUGCAGAAAACCAAGGAUACUACAUUGUGGGCACUCUUGUUCAUGCGUGUUUGCUAGAAGAGAUGGAAGAUGAUAAAGUAAAAAUGCAUGACGUUGUUCGUGAUAUGGCUCUAUGGAUAGCUUGUGAAAUUGAGAAGGAGAAGAGAAACUUUUUGGUUUGUGCAGGUGCUGGAUUAAAAGAGGCACCGGAUGUUAAAGGAUGGGAAAAUGUGAGAAGAUUGUCAUUGAUGCAAAACCAAAUUAAAACUCUGUCAGAGGUUCCCACAUGCCCUCAUCUCCAUACUUUAUUUCUUGCCUCUAAUAUGGAGUUGGAGAUGAUCGCGGAUGGCUUCUUCCAAUUUAUGCCUUCUCUCAAAGUUUUGAAGAUGUCACGCUGCUGGAAUUUUCAAUUACCUGUUGGGAUGUCAGAUUUGGGUUCAUCACUAGAACUUCUUGAUAUUUCACAUACCACCAUAAGAGAGUUACCCGAAGAGUUAAAGUUGCUGGUAAAUCUGAAAUGUUUGAAUUUGAGGUGGACAGGUGCGUUAAUUAGAAUUCCACGGGGACUAAUAUCAAAAUUUUCAAGGUUACGUGUGUUGAGAAUGUUGGGUACUGGCGGGUUCAUUUUUUAUGAAGCACCAGAAGACAGCGUUUUAUUUGGUGGGGGUGAAGUUUUGAUACAGGAAUUGCUCGGUUUGAAAUAUUUAGAGGUAUUGGAGUUGACCUUGGGAAGUUAUCAUGCUCUCCAAAUUCUUUUGAGCUCAAAUAAGUUAAAAAGUUGUAUUCGAUCUCUUUACCUCUAUUUGACCGGAGAUAAAAAGUCGAUUAUUGAUGCUACGGCUUUCACAGACCUAAACCACCUCAAUGAAUUAUGGAUUGAUAAUGGAAUUGAGUUGGAAGAAUUGAAGAUUGAUUAUACGGAGAUAGUACGAAAAAGGCGGGAACCUUUUGUUUUCCACAGCCUUCACCUUGUUACGAUAUAUAGUUGCCAUAAAUUGAAAGAUUCGACAUUCCUCGCUUUUGCUCCAAACCUCAAGUCUCUUUCGCUAUUCAAAUGCCGUGCUAUGGAAGAAAUAAUCAGCGUCGGAAAAAUUGCUGAGAAUCCUGAGAUGAUGGGACAUANNNNNNNNNNNNNNNNNNNNNNNNNNNNNNNNNNNNNNNNNNNNNNNNNNNNNNNNNNNNNNNNNNNNNNNNNNNNNNNNNNNNNNNNNNNNNNNNNNNNNNNNNNNNNNNNNNNNNNNNNNNNNNNNNNNNNNNNNNNNNNNNNNNNNNNNNNNNNNNNNNNNNNNNNNNNNNNNNNNNNNNNNNNNNNNNNNNNNNNNNNNNNNNNNNNNNNNNNNNNNNNNNNNNNNNNNNNNNNNNNNNNNNNNNNNNNNNNNNNNNNNNNNNNNNNNNNNNNNNNNNNNNNNNNNNNNNNNNNNNNNNNNNNNNNNNNNNNNNNNNNNNNNNNNNNNNNNNNNNNNNNNNNNNNNNNCACUGUUUUUAUUUCAGUCUCUCUCUCUCUCUUUGUCUCUGCUAAUCACAAUUAAAUGUGAAUUAAUGGAAUUAAUGCUUCAUAAAUUUGCCGGCACUGCCAUUACUUUUUUUUUUUUAAUACAAAUUGAUACUUUAUUUAUAUCUUCUUAGCGAUUUAAUUUCCUGUCAAUUGACGAACGAGAAGAACAUAUGACUUGAACCAAUGCUCGCAUAAACUUGCUGUAAAAAGAUAUAAUCUCACUGAAAUGCACACGCCUAGAAUGAAUAGAAUUAAAACAGGGAAAAUAUUAAGUAUAUUAGCCCUCUUUACCGAAAAUCAAAUGACAAUAAAUUUUUUGAAGUUUUGAUUUUCUAUGGUCAAUUCCACCUUUUGCAAUUUCUUCUGUUCUAACAAAAACCAAUUUCUUUGUUCAAGUAUUUUCGUUUGGGUAUUAAUAAUUCUCCACCGAAAGAGUGAACUCUUGCUCAAGGGAUCUCUAAUCAAUAGCCGGAAGGGCGCCGAGACCUGAUCGGACCUAGGCCCAAGUUUGGUCUUAAAGCCUGGGCUUGAGCCUGGCAAUUAAAUUAAAACAGUAAUUGAUUUCUUGAAUGAAUUGUCGUGUAAUUGAUUUAUGGGGGAUGACACAUCAACAUACUUGAAAAUACACUAAUCUCAGCAUCAUCCGUUAAUAACUUUUAGAUUUAUGGGCAAUCAAUAGUUAAAUUAGUUGUCAUUAAUACUAAAUAAUUUUUACUUUUUUUGUCUCUUCUAGAGGAUCUUCUAGAAAAAUGCAUCCACAAUUAAAUUUAAUACUUUACAUAAUAAAGAAAGCAUAAAUGUUAAAUUUAAGAAACUGCAUUGUAUUUCAGCUGAAGUUGACUUUAAUAUUUAGGGUAGAAAAAAAUUAAAUCCUUAAUGUGUUUAAUUUAUAUCACUUGUGUCAUUAAAAUUUUCUAGUCACCCUAACCAAUUACAUCUCAACCCACUUUUUUUUGGAUGAUUUUAUUUUUAUACUAUUAUUUUCAACAUUUUUUUUUCCUUUUAACACCAACAUUAGUGUAUGUUACGUAACAUAAUCCAUAUUUGGAUAAUUUGAAAUUUGUUUGUGUUUUAUCUCAAAAUAGAGCUUCAAUCAAUUUGUACCUCAUAAAUUCACAAUAUCUGGCAGGGCUAAUAAGACCAAACUCUGGCAUAUUAUCAAAUGUGCUUAUCCUUUUGCUUGACAUGUCAUUUUAAAAUUGUCAUUCAAUGCCAAAAAAAUCACAUCAACUGAUGGCCGACUACUUUAAUUUGAAAGCAUGCAUGCGAUCGCCACCAAUAAUUAUAACUUAAUUGUUAUAUUGAAAUUUUUUUCUUUAUAAUUUUUAAGUUUAAUACUGCUACAUGUGCGGCACAUAAGUUGGAAAAUAUAACAUAAAAUUUGAAAAAUGUGUAGUUUUCGUUCCUUUUUUUUCUUAAAAAUGGGGAAAAAGAAUGUAAUUUUGUUUAAAUUACUGUUGUGAUAACAAUUAUUAUUUUAUUGAUUAAUUGGCAGAGAAUCGUUAUGGUUUCGCAUGGUUGUUAAAACAUUGGAAAAUCCACUACAUCAUCCGAUAAUAACUUUCAGAUUUAUGGUUAAUCAAUAGUUGAGAUUUGUUAUCAUUAAUGUUAAAUAUUUUUUUAAUAUUUUUUCUCUCUCCUAGAGGAUCAUCCACAGUUAAAAUUUAAUAUUAUAAAUAGUAAACAAAGUAUAAACGUUAAAUCGAAGAAACUGCAUUGCAUUUCAGCUGAAGCUAACUUUAAUAUUUAACAGAGAAAAGUAAUUAAGUCCUUAAUGUGCUUUAUUUACCCAUAUAUAUGGCUAAUUUUUUAAGAUAAAGGGGAAGGAUGAUGCUCAAAAAUAUAAAUUAUAGAAUUAAUUGAGCUCUCAAGUAAGUUUAAAGUUCAUUAUUUUUAAUUACAUGUUUAUAAUUUAUUUUUAUUUCGUAUUAAUCUAUAGAUCUAAAUCCACUUUGGAUUCAUAUACAUAUAUAGACAUAAUGUGUAUGUUAAUCUAUAGGUCUAAAUUCACUUUAGGUCUAUAUAGGUAUUUUGACAAAUGUACUCCAAUCAUAUUGGCAAGUUCUAACUACUAUAUUGGUAUGUCAAUAUUAUCUCUAAUUGCCCUAUACAUUCAGAAAUAAUCUAGAUAUACAAAUUAACAUAAAAUAAAAAUAAUUGGUAGAAAAUAUAAAUUAUAAACAUGUAAUUGAAAACGAUAAACUUUAAAUUUACUUAAGAGAGUAAUUAAUUUCAUAGUUAAAAUCUUUAAAUUUUACCCCUCAUCUUAACUUAAGAAAAUUAAUCACUUAUUUUAUUUAACAAAGAAGAGAUUUUUUUCCCCUAUAUUUCCCAAUUAUUUCUCUCCCUCUCGCUCCCGUAAGUUAUACAACUUGAAGUGAAAUAUGAGUGGUCUGAUUCUAGCUUAAAUAAUUUAUUGUGACAUGCUAUCUAAGGACAAUACAUUACCUAGCUCUACAUAUUUUAUUUAACCUCCGGCUCACCCUGUGCAAACUUGCCUUCCCCUACAAGACAAGAUUAAUCAAUCUAUCAAGUCUCAAAUUCAAUUUGGAAUAUGACCAUCGUACGUUCUUGUUCUUCCCUCUUUACGAGUGCAUUCCCCCCAACCUCAAGCUCCCUCUCUCGUCUUCAAUGUCACUGCCUAUAUCCUUGUGUUGUUCUAGUUUGAAAUAGUGGCUUCCACAAUUUCAGGGCCCCCAAAAAUCCAGAAACAUAGUAUUCAUCACGAUGACAAAUUUUUUGGCAGGCAGGUGCUUCCUGACUUUCACACGGUAAUUCUCAAAUUCUGAUUUCACCAUAUUUUAAUUACUGAUUAGCAUAUAUUCAAGUGCUCUCCAUUAUAAUAGAAGCCGCCGCCUCACUCGUGAUUCCAAACUUUAUCUUUUUUCCUUUUUUAAAUUAAUGCAAGUAGCCGCUGUCCUUUUUAUUAAUUAAUUAAUUAAUUCGGCCGCCCACAUUUCUUUUCCUAAUGUCUUCUACUGUCGAUUUUCUUUUAUUUUCUUUUUAUUCUUAAAAUAUGCUUAUAAUAAUAAAAUAUAAAAAUUAAAAUUAACAUAUCAAAAUAUAAUUUAACAGAAAAUUAAGAUAAAAAUAAAAAAAAUAAAUUAUGAGCAUAUCAAUCAAUAAAUGAAAAAUAAUAAUUUUUAUUUUUAUUAAAUAUAUAUUUUUCAGUAUUAAUCAAUUAUUUGAAUAAAUAAAAUCAUUUAAAAAUAAAUAAAUAAAUUAUUCUUAAAAAAAAAGAAACUUUUUAUAACACUCACUAUGCUGGUUGUAGGGUAGACGCUUUGGGAACUGAAGCCGGUAACUUCUACAAGUAGUCUGAAGUUGACUGGCAACAACUAUAUUGACAUUUAGACAUAAUGUACUCCAACCGUAUUGGUAUGUUUAAAUGUUCUUACUAUUGUAUUGGUGUGUCAAUAUUAUCUCUAACUGCCCUAUAGAUAAAAAAAUAAUCUAAAUUUAUAAUUUAACAUAAAAUAAAAUAAUUGGUAGAAAAAUAAUUAUGGUUCAUUUACUUAUCAGUAAUCAGAAUAGACUAAAAUCGAAAUGAGUUGUAUUACCGUUGAUGUGUUUAUGUUGUCCUGGAAUCGGAAUGAAUUAUUUUAAGUUACUAAAAUAUCCUUGGUUUGUUAUUCUAAUUAUUAUUUAAUAUUUAUUAUAAUAUUUGUCAUAUCAUUAAAAAGAAAUAAUAAUGAUGAUAAUAUUAUCAUUAUUGUUUGUUACAUUAUUAUUAUUCAAAAAAAUUAUUGUUAAUAAUAAUAAUUUUUUUAUUUCAAUAAUAAUAAUGAUAAAAUUAAUAAUAAAAAACAUGACAACAACAAUAAUUAUUUAUUAUGCCAAAAAAUAACAAUAAUAAUAAGAAUAAUAAUCAUCAUCAUUUUUUUGCCAAAGAAAUCAUCAAACCAGACAAGAAAUCAUCAAAAAUUGCUAUUUCAAUUUAGGAAGAAGUUCUUUCGGUGUGCUAGCGAUGGGAGAUGUUGUGGCUGCGAUUCGGGGAGCUAAUAGUUUAUUGCACUAAUAACGGCAGGUGCUGCUGCUUGAUGCGAGGUCCAUGGCCAGUUGUCAGCAGUUCGACUUUGGCAUGGGCGCUGCUGGUUCGAUUUUAGGUGUUGUCUAAUUUCAUUUUCAGGAUUUUAAUUUUAUUUUUUUCUUUUAUAUUUUCAUUAAUUAAUCAGGGCAAAGUUUGAUUUUAGAAUUUGGAAUGAAGGUAAUUUUGUUAAUCAUGGAAAUGAGAUUUUGAUUGUCGAGAAUGAACUUACACAAGCAACUGCAAAUUAAGUGAAAACAAAACGCUUUUUCUCUUUGUGUGAUUAAAACAUGAAAUAUACCAUAAAUAAAUAGGUAAAAAUUAAAUCAACACAAUCCAAAACAGUAAACCAAUUAUAAGAGGCACAAAUUUUUAUGUGAAAUACCGAAAACGGAAAAAACCACAACAUGUUAGUAUGAUAUAAUCUUCUACUAUAUUAAUGGGAUUAUAACACAAAUUCUUCCCUAUAUUACACUAGAGAUUAACAACAUCAAGAAUCUCAAUAAUCUUAACUUACAAUACAACCUAAUAUAUGUCUCUCUAAUAAAUAGAUAUCUAAAAUAACAAUCUCUAAUAAGUAAGUAUCUCAAAUAACAGUCUCUAAUAAGUAGGUAUCUCAAAUAAUAGUUAAUAAGAGGAUAAAACAAAAAUUAAGAUUAGUAGGAUGUGUAUAAGGCGAUGCUAUCAACUUAUCUUCUAAAUUUGAGAAAAAUAGUUAAAUUCACUUUUUUGAUUGUCCGACCAAAGAUGGAAACCUUGCCCCAAAACCAAAGGAGUCACCAUUGUGUUUCUCUCUCUCUCUCUCUCUCUCGUUCUUUUCUUCUACUUUUCUUAAUGUUAGCCGCCACUUGCUUUUAUUCUUUAUAGCAUUUAAAAAGUUACUUUUAAUGGUAAAUUUCAUCUAAGUCCAAAACUUAGUGAUAAUUGCACACUAAACAAUCCUUUUUGGACUAUAGACUUUUGGACCUCCAAAUGAGACGAAUACAACAAAUCUCCCCUUUUAGAUCAUGUAGGAGGCACCACAAGCCCACUCUCUGCAUAUAGCUUUUUAACUUCUCCUUGAAUAAUGACUUUGUCAUCAUACAUAACUCAUUCUCCGUUGUGUAAAUCUUCUCAAGCUAUAACCGUUCUUUCUCAAACACGUCUCGUAUCUAAUAAUACUUCACAUCAAUUUGCUUAGAUUUCGAAUGAUAUAUCAAAUUCUUUGAACGACACUCUGAUUUUCGCAGUACAUAAUAUAGUUGUCUCAUUUUAUACCUAGCUCUUGUAGGAAAUUCUUCGUCCACAGUAUUUUUUUGCAACCUUCAAUAAUUGUAAUAUCAUUUGCUUUAGUAGUAGAAAAGACAACUUAUUACUAAAGUUUAGAUUACGAUGAGACUGCUCCUCCUGCAAAAGUGAGCAAACAUUCUAGUAGGAAUUUUUCGGAAUCAACAUCUCCUACCAUAUCUAUACACUUGUAACACAGGUUUGUCACCACCAAAAUAUAAACAUGCUCUGGAAAUGCCUCUAAGAUAUCUGAGAAUUUUUCACUAUUGUCCAGUGCUCUUUACCGGGAUUGAAGAGAAACCACUAACUACACUAGUUGUAUAAGUAAUAUCUGGUCUUGUACAAAUUAUGGCGCACACCAAACUGCCAACUGCUGAAGCAUAAGGAACUCCUCUCAUGGAGAAAUGGGUUUUGCUCUUGAGAUUUUUGGGAACAUGAAGAAUAAAUAUGUAAUUUCUUGGACUGCCAUUGUUUCGAGGUAUAUAAACAGAGGACAAGUCUAUAUAGGUCGACAGUGGUUUGCUCAGAUGCCAGAACGAGAUUAUGUCUUAUGGACUGCCAUGAUUGAUGGGUACCUUCGAGUGAAUAGGUUCAAAGAGGCUUUGACGCUUUUUCAGGAGAUGCAAACUUCAAAUAUAAUGGGAGACGAGUUUACCAUUGUUAGCAUUCUUACAGCUCGUGCGAAUCUGGAAGCACUAGAUCUGGGAGAAUGGAUAAAGACUUAUGUUGAGUGUUAGAAAAUGCAUAUUUAUAAAGGAGAAAACCAUCAUUUUACAUUUCAAGUCUUACUAACAACCCUUACUUUUAUGUAUUUAACCUUCUUGUGAUUUAAUUACAUGUGUUUUAUUUUAAUUAAGUAUUUUAUGUAUUUUAGGGACAUUAUAGUCAUUUCACAAUAAAGGAGAGAUCAGACGGCAAAACAGACAUCACUUUUGAACUCAGGACGGUCAAAAACCUUAGGAGGAGCAUAAAAGGAAAAAUGGCACUAUUCACAUGUACGGUACUAUUCACGUGUACGGUACUGUCCACGUUACUGUUCACGAUACUGUUCACAUAGACAGAUCGAUGACGUGGCAUUGACUGAUGAGGUGUCACGAUCCUGUUGGGCUAAAAUUCUUAUGUACUGUUGAUGGUGACGUGGCAGCAUAUCAAUGGACGAAAAAUCUCGCAUACAGUACAUGCAUCACACAGGAUUAUUGUCAACCAAAUCGCGUUACUGUUCAUCCGGGUCAAACCGUGUUACUGUUCAUCCACGUAGUCAAACCGCGUACUGUUGACUGAUGACGUGGCGCAAUCCUGAGCGUCCAAACUGUUUUUAAUCCGAUGGCCAUGAUUUACUCCAUGUAUCUAUAAAAAGGGGGCCUCCCCCCCUAAUUUGACAACUCUGAAUCUAUUUUGGGAUCCAUUUUCUAUAAUUCCCUCUCCAUCUUGUAUUUUCUACGUAUUUUAAUAAAUUUCCAUUUUACCCUUAGUUCAAUUAUGAGUGGCUAAUUUCCUUUCAAGCUUGGGUUGAAGGUGAAGUCUCAACAUGUGUCAUGGGCUUUAUUUGGUAAAUUUAUUUUCUUUUCCCCUCUAGUUUUUGUGGAUGAUUUGACUUUUCGUCGACAAAUAAUAUUGAUCUUGUCUAGAUACCACCUUGGUUACACCGGCUCUCUAGUACAAGGUUAUUAUUAUUUGGCACGAUAAGCCCUUAGCACCAUAUUGAUUAGAGCGUGGUUCAUGAGGUGUGGAUUCCCCCCUCAUGAUUUAAUUGGCAUUAAUAAGGAUUAUAUAGCCCAUGAUGCAUGUUGAUACGGAUCUGGAUACCCAAGUGCUUCAUUUCAAUAGAUCUAUCUUCAAUUUCUUCUCGCCAUUUUAAUUUAAGUUUUAGAAUAUUCCAAAUCAUUUCCACCACAAAUCCAAUCCCCGAUUCACAAAAUUAAUUCUAUACACAAUUAAAAUCCACAUCCUCGUGGGAUCGACACUCGUCACCAUUAGUCUAUACUACAAUAGAUUCGUGCGCUUGCGAGUACAUUAAAAUUUACACAACAACUUAUAUUGACAAAAACAAAGUCAAGAAUGAUGUAUUUGCGGGGAAUGCUUUGAUAGACAUGUACUGUAAAUGCCGAGAUGUUGAGAAAGCUCAAAAGGUAUUCAGGAAGAUGCUUUGAAAGGACAAAUUCUCAUGGACGACCAUGAUUGUUGGCCUUGCCAUCAGUGGCAAUGGUGAUAAAGCUCUUGAUAUGUUUUCCCAAAUGCUUAGGGCUUCGAUCAAACCGGAUGAGGUAGCUUAUGUUGGUGUUCUGUCUGCCUGUACUAACAAUGGUAACGAAACUUUUGUGAUAAAUAGUUGCAACUUAAGGUGAGAAUUGGAGGAAAGGAAAUAGACUGAAGUUGUUCAAUCAUCGGUCGUCUCUAUUUGGUUUUCUCCGAUAUCUCAUCUUCAGUUUUGACUCAGAUUCUAUCUUACCACUUAGGGGUGGGCAAAAUCGGGUUCGGGUCAACCCGAUCGGGUUUCGGGUUGUUCGGGUUAGACAAGGAACAAUCCGAACAUAACCCGAAUUAAUGACCCGACCCGAACUUAGUUCGGGUCGGGUCAUUAAUUCGGGUUAUGUUCGGGUUGGAUUUAAAAUGGGUAGGAUUGAGUUCGGGUCAAUUUGGGUUAGUUCGGGUCAAUUCGGGUCAGUUCGGGUCAAUUCGGGUCAAUUCGGGUCGGUUGAAAUCGGGUCAGUUCGGGUCAAUUCAGGUCAGUUCGGGUCGGUUGAAAUCAGGUCAAUUCAAGUCAGUACGUUUUUUUUUUUUAAGAACCCGAUCGGGUAUUCGGGUCGGGUCGGGUUUGACCCGAACCGAUCACAACCCGAUCGGGUUUGUAAAUUUCAAACCGAUCGGGUUUCGAUCCCGACCCGAUCCGACCCGAACCCGAAAUUUAUCGGGUCGGGUCGGGUCGGGUAAAAUGCCCACCCCUAUUAAUACCACUAGUAAUUACAUAGACUUGCUGCCAAAGGUAAGAAUGAGAAUAAAUUAAAUAGAUUAUGUCGAAAACGAAAUAAAUUUACCAUUGUUCUGUUCAUUCUAUUUGUUUCCUACAGAAUAUUUCUCCAGCCUAAAAUUUUUUGAAUUAGUAAGUUUUUAUCUUAUGCAAGAAUUGUGCUGAGAGUAAUUCCAUUUCUCAGUCUCUUUAUGUUUCAAUGAAGACGUAAAACUUGUGUUCUAGUGCACCAAUGUUUAUGCUUCUUACAAUUUGACUUUAAUUUAGUUUGUAAAACUUUUGUCAAAAAGUACUAAAAAGUAGUGCACCAAACACAAACUUUAUUACAGAGAGGACUUCAGUUAAAUUUUAAGAAAACACUCAAAAGAACGAGUUAUAAAUUAUUAUCGAAAUAUUUCACAUAAAUAAAAGCCAUCCCAUGCUGCAAAGAUCUUGCUAUAAUCACCAAAAACUAUCGGGAGCUUUUAGGGUUUCCAUAAAAAUGUCAUUUCGUUCCAAAAGUCAAUGGUGGGUAGAAAGUGGUGCAAAUGAGACUCAUUGUUAAUGGUAUAAGUUUUUGCUUAAUUAUGUCUUCCCCAAAAUGAUGAUUUAAUUUCCAUUCUCAAUUAAUUUUCAAGUUUCAACACUUUUCUAUGUAGCAUGACAUUGGAAAGAUCUUGUACAGUUGUACUACUAAAAGCUAGCACCACACGUUAGUUAUUGUUAAGUUCUUUUUCAACGUGAAAUAAAGGAAGUAGUCCUUCGUUAAAACCAUUAUAGCCAAAUUUCACGUAAUUGGACAUUUACAGACUUUUAUUUCAAGUUGGAUUUUGGUCCAACAUUUCAAAGUUGGCCCAAUUAUUUUUGUCUGGUCAAGUCCUUCGCAGCUAAGCCCCUCAAUGAAUGAGGGUGAGAUUGCUAAAAAUUACGACAGGUGAUAUUUUAUUAUUAUUAUUUGUUUGAGGGAAAAAAUAGGAAAAGCAAUAGAGCGCCACGUGUCAACCAAUGGAAUGAUUCCUGCACAAUCUAAGGUACCCCACACAAUCCGAGGUACCCCAUAUAAUAUGAGGUACCCCACACAAAUAGGGGUACCCCGCGUAAUAGGAGGUACCCCAUGUAACUCGAGGUACUCGGCAAAGCGGAUGCAAGAGAAUCCUCCGAAAAUAUCCGCCAUGAGAAACGUCUCCGCCUCCUAAAAGAUAUUAUUCAAUUUUGUCAGAAUUAUGAAUAAAAAACGACGCCCUAAAAGGAGGGACAGUCGCCUGCGACCUCUGCCAAAAGUGAAGGACACUGUCCCAAGGACAGUGGUCCCCAACGCCUACCCGACAGCUACUGCAAAGGUACCCUGGACCACUCUCCAGCGCGCGCCACGUUUCCAAAAGAUGAGAUACGCCGCGAACGUGCAGAUAACUGCCCAAAAAUUAUAAAGAGGUAAAAGGACGUUAGUAAAAAAGGGUAUGCCAUGUGGCAGCUGAGGUACUCCAUAUAUAAAGGCGCCUAGGUUUCAUUCUCCAUCAUGUUCUCACUCACCAUUAACACUCGCACUCCAAAAAAUAGGUUUUCUUCAACCUUAAACCCUAAUUUACAGAGGGUUAGUCAGCUCUCUUUACCAUAAAAGCUUGAGUUUGCUAACUUGAGCGUCGAAGUGUGAACGCCGGGGUACCCCGGCUUCACCUCUAACCUCUAUUUCACUGUUUUGCAGGCGUGAAGCUCAUUUGGAAGGACACAUCUCUUAGUUCUAAACCUUUCACCAUUGUUACCACUCUCUCUCCCUUUCUCACCUCCCCUGGAUUUCAGAUACACCACACCGCACACAAUAAACUAGUGAGGUACCCCGUCUCCCAUAAAAAUACAAAUUCAUUGUUCUAGAUAGAUUUGGCUUUUUUUACCCCAAAAUCUGUUGAAAACACUAUUUUUAAUUUUGGGGGAUAAAUCCUCACCAAAGUGAGGAGAUUUUAUCAAAAUCAAAAUAAAAAUAUAACAAGAACUGAAAGUCGGGCAGCCUAAAAGCUAGAUGAACUAAAAGUCAGGCGCCUAAAAACAACCUUAUGCAAAAGAGAAGCAACAUGAGACCGAUCAAGUAAAAGAAUCCACCGCAACACCUAAAUUGGCCAAAUUAUCUGUUGGUAUUACAAGUUUCUUGUUAUAAAAGUGUAGAAUGAAGUAGGUGACAGUAGUUUUAAGUUACAGCUGCAUGCCUAAUCGCAAUAUCAAAUAAUGAUUAAAUAUCAAAUAAUGCUUAAAGUAGUUGCCUAGGCCCGCCACAAUUUAUAUUAACUCUUAAAUUUAUAAAUAAUUAAAUUUUUAAAAGUUUGGAUUUAUAUUAAAAAAUCUUCAUAUAAAUAAAUAAUAUAUGCACUUUUACAACACAGUCUUUAAAUUUAAAUUUUUCUAGAAAAAUCUUCUGUAUAUCUUUUCUAUUAAAAAAUUUCCAUAUAAAUAAAUAAUAUACCUAAUUUAAUUGGACCCAGCACAUCGCAUAUGCAUAGAACACAUUCCACAAAGCCAUGCUAUUCGGAAAUUGACGAAUGAAAAGUGAGGAGGCAGCAGUCAAUGCUAUUUGGGCUUGGCCCAAAAUUGAUUUAUCAGGUUGACGUUUGCCAGGAAUGAAGAACUGGAAUAUCACCGUCAAGCAAGCAACCUGUGGAGCAAUACCAUAGAAUGCACAAUCCAGCUUUGCAAGGUGACACUGGAGGCUUUUUGAAAAGUGCUUCACGCUCACUUGCACAGAUUGAGCAUCCCCUCUGGAUAUUGCCCUCUCUGAUCGAGUCUGAGCACUCAAAUUUCGGUCCUCAGAUGGAGCUACAGCUUUCUCUCCAAUAACCAACAAUUUUCUAAACUCAGCACCUAGUGUGAUCAGAGUUGUUGAUAUUUGUAAAUGGAGAUCCCUGUAUUUGCAAAUGGAGACAUUUACCAAAUCACCAACAUGCUUCAUCCAGUCUACGAAAUUCUGCAGCUGAUUCAAAUCCGGAACCUGAACCAGAGUCGGAGGUAAAUCUUGAGCCAUGUCUAAAGCAGUCUGAAGUUCAAGUACUUGAGCCCUUGACAAAGGUUUUGAAAUUGGAACAUCUUGGAUUACUGCAGACUUGUACCCCUUGGUUUCAAAGGUAAGGAAAGGCAUUGCUUGAGUACAAUUUGGAGGCAGCUUCUUCACCAAUUUUAUUUGGAGGCAAUUGGCAGCGGAUCCAGCUGCACCAAUUUCAGAGCAAAUACUGACACUACUUCAAACAGCACGCUGAAGAAGAGAUAUGUCUAUGGCAAAGGCAAUGCAGUCCUCAAUUUGACUUGAGAUGCGGUAAUCACCAAAGAGAGUUUCCUUAUGAAACUGGGCAACACAUUGAAUCCCUUCACCACUGAGAAGGUUGGGGAGGAAGUAAGCUUUCUCUCUCGUAAGGAAGAGGUGGCAUACCUUCCCCAUUUUGUCUAGGACAGGUAGGAAUCUUUUUUCUAAGAGAUUUACUCCAUUCUCUGUGAGAAAUGCUUUGAACUUCAUCCCUCUGUCUCUAGCCUCACUUAUCAGUAAAAUAGUUGAAAGCGCUACAAGGAGAGAAAAGAAGAGUAUUAAGAUAUAUAUAGACAAGAAAAACAUUAGAUGUCGAUCUUACAAGCUAAUACUUCAAACAGUAUCCUAGAAAGCUAAAAACUGCAAAAUGGCUUGAAAUUUGAAAAGAACACAUGCUUUUCCUCCUUAACUUGAGAAAAUGUUUAAUAUAGUGCACCUUACAGAAACAUUUAAACAAUUAGAACUUUGCACAAAAACAUUCAAGAAGACUAAACAAAUCAGAUGCAGUGUAUUUCUCCAAGCACAAAUGGCAUUGCAUUUUUUCCUCAACUGUAAUAUUUAUUGAUGAAAAUCAGUACAGGUCCCUCAUUUGUUAUGGAAAGCUUUCUUGUAGUCUGACCGGUUAAUUCACGGGUCUAUAAUCAUCUUGCAAAGUUACAGGCAUUUCUUUCGAUUUAAAGUCUUUGCAUCACCACCUCAUCACACACCAAGCCAAUAUUCCGUCUACCUCUACAACAAAAAGUUUUAAGUAAACGAUCCUAAUGCAUGCAGCCAAAUAAAAUGCAGUAAGAAUAUUCAACUUAAAACUCUGAAAGCCAUCUUGGUGAAUUGCCUCCUUAGGGGAAGUUCCAUGCUUUACUAUACUUGACAGGACUGAGCAAAAGCUUACAUACAACAGAUUUUGAAAAUGAUGAUGCCAAUAGAUACUCAUACAAUCCAUUGAAACUCCUAAGGUCCAUUGUUCACAGAGGUUUACAGAGUUUUGGUCAUCAAAUAGCUCAGACCUUAAUCCCAAACAAAAAACGAGUGAAAAUUAGAUCACCAGCAGCUAAUUGUAAAUUCUAACUUAACUCUUCAUCUCCUUUGUAAACAGGAGACAAAAUGGAGACACGCAAAAUGAAUAAGGAGAACAUUUGAACUCAAAUGAAAUGAGGGCACGAAAGCAAACAAAUGGCAUGCGCAAACAAACCAAGCCUCAAUCAAAAACUAAUUAACCAUUAAAAAAAAAAAAGUGGUCAGAGAAUGAACUCCAAAUUCGGGAGUGAAGCAAGAAGCUUUCAUUAUUUCAGAAGCUCCUGUACAAAUUAAUAAGUUAUGCUCUUUGGAAACAAACCUAAAUUCCAAGAGAAAGAGAACUCAAAAAAUUUGCAAUUAUACGCAAAGGAAGUGAAGCACAGCAUUCUAUCACACGUACAAAUUGUAUAACAAGAGAUCGACACAUCGAAUCAGAAGAACUCAAUUCAAAUUUGUCUCAAAAAUCAAAAUUAGAAGAUUUCACAUUUCGAGAGGAACAAGCGACAGGUCAGAUGCAAAAUUUUCAGCCACAACAUGCCACAAUUAACAGUUUAUUUCCAUGGAUUUAGAGAGCUGACUGACCUUUUGGCUUUUGGAAUUGAGAAGAUCGCGGGCCAAAAUGGAAGAGGGAAAGCGAAAGUGCGGGUUUUAAUAGGGUAUUGGAUUAGCAAAUUUAAUUAGUUUGCGAGGGUAAAAUAGGAAAGAGAUAUCACUAUUAACUUUUUUUUUUAUAAGAAAAAAGAAUAAUAAAGAAUAUUUUAUUGUCAUUUGCAGCCUGCAAAUGACAAUAAAUCAAAUACGUCAUACAGAAGCUUAAAGCUGAAUCUAAAAAAUCUAGAGCUCUCAACUACAAAAAUUACACUUGAUGAUCCUCUACAAGAUGAAGCUUGUUCAAUAUCUUAUCCAAAGUUUAUAAAGUAACCUUGUAACGAUCUUGAGAUUGCCUGCCUUCCUCGACGACCUGCACGAUGCGUUUGUACAAAUCAUCAUACCUGUGCACCGGAUUUUUAAUAUCAACGCCACUGCAGCUGUGAUCAAGAACAUAAGAGCGUUUAACAUCUUUUCUCCAUCGAGAAAGAAUGUAGUGAGAUGGGAUCUCCUGCAUGCCACUCUGGUUUAGAACACAAAGAAUGUGUCUGGAUAAAUAUCCUCUGAAAUUGAACAACCCACAAACACAAAGCACCUCCAAGUCGGAGGCAUUGUACAAAACAUCGAAAGCCCUUGAAUCUUUCUCGUUGCUACCAACCUCAAAUUCUUCCUUCACUAUGUAUGUUAUAGGUCCAUCAGCACUGACAUGUUUUGUGCUAUAGCAAGAGUACAUAGCCUCCACCUCCGUCUGAAACUUCCUUCACAUUUCAUUUGUGUACAGUUUUGAGAGUUGAAAUUCAUAGUCACAUCUUGGUUUCUGGAUACAACUUGAAUUUCUUGAAUCCAUAUCUGCCAAGGCUUCCGGUUGAUAAUUCGCCUGCAGUGCUUGAUCAUACUUGUGUAAGAAUUCUUUCAAAGGAGUACGCUUAUCAAGAUAUCCUUCAAAGUAUGAAGUAGAAACCUCAUUCUGCAGGAAUGAAAACACUCCUGAUAAAAAUGCUUCCUUCAAAUAAACAGGAGCCCACCUUUUACGAUCUUCAUAUAAAGUUUGAAUCCAUCCGUGAUCCUUUAUUCCAUGACGUUGAAUCAUGUCUUCCCAAGCUGCUUCAAAUUCCUCAGGCCUGAGAGAGUGAUAAAUUGCUCUAUGUAAUGCACCUCUAAUAGCUUCAUAUUCAAACAAUCCUUGGAGUUUCUCUGGAAUUUUUUGCAAGAUGCAUGACAAUGAAAAGCAAUGAUAAGCUCUUGGGAAAACAUCGCCAACAGCAAUUUGCAAGAUUCUACAUUGGUCAGUGAUGAUUGUUUGUGGAGAGCGUCCUAACAUACAUGUAAGCCACACCCUAAACAACCAUGUAUAUGAUUCUAUGGUCUCCCUGGCAAGUAAACCACAACCCAACAACACUGAUUGUCCAUGAUGAUUCACCCCAAUGAAUGAAACCAGUGGUACAUCAUAUCUUUCAGUCAAGCACGUAGUAUCAAUUAAGACUACAUCACCAAAGUACCUAUAUGCAACUCUUGACCUGGUAUCAGUCCAGAACAGGUUUCUCAAGCAUCCCUUUUCAUUUAGAUCCACUACAUUAAAAAAGUUUGGAUCUGUCAACUGCAAACGACAAAAGAAACUCUGGACAGCUUGUGCAUCUCCUGGUUUAAGCUUCAAUUGAUUUGAGCUAUUAACAUUAUUUCCAAAUACUCCAUUAACAUCUACAUUACCAUUUCCCUCGGUAUCGAUGAUAAGAGUUCGAAACAGUCUAAUUUUUUGAACGUCUUCAGCACUAUCUAAUUGCAAUGUUCUUUUGGUUCCAAUACCUAUGUGCUUAUGUGACUUGUAAAACUUUCCGCUUCUUGGGCUUAACAAGUGGUUAUGCUCAAGCUCGACUUCAAUGAUUCUCCACCUUUUGGUUUCCAUCAACCUAAACUUUAUCAUUGCUGGACAGCCAGUUCUUGUUUCUGGUCUUGGGCGGUUUGCCUCGCUUUUCUUCUUGAAGCCUGCACUACUACAGCUCAGCUUUCCUCUAUACUUUUCUCUACUCUUUCGGUACCAUGUAUUGCUAACUCUAACACCAAAACCCUGUUCCUUGGCAUAGCAAUUGUAAAAGUAAUAAACAUCAUCAUACGUCUCAAACUCCAUUCCAACAGCAGGAGCCAAUGGAUUUUGGAUUAUCCCAGUUUGUCCAACAUAUUCAGUCAUUGCACAAUCUCCUACGACCUCAAAAUCAUCAGCAUCAUCAUCACCUACUGGUUCAGUAUUCAGAGAAACUUCAUCCAUCUACAAUAGAUGUUUAAUGAAGUGAACUUUAAGGAGAAAAAGCAAAAUCAGUUCAAGGAAUGAUAAUAUAACCAUACAGUUACUUUCACAAAGCUGCGUAUUUCAUCAAUACCUUAACAACAUACAACUGCCUGAGAACGUAUAGACAUGUCAUAGACGCUUGAAUUAAGUAUUGGUACAAAUUCAUGUGGGACACAAUUUCAGUCACUAAACCCAAUGCCUUUUUUUUUCACAUCAUACCAAGGAACGGAUUAAACCCAAUACCUUCUUUUACGCCAUACCAAAGAACAGAUUAAAUCAUCAAUGAAAAAUUAAUCACAUAAUAAUUUAACUAGACAAAUAAAGAGCUCGAAACAGCACAAAACUUGAAUAUGAUUAUGAUAAUUGUUGAGUCAUUGUAUCUACAGCUUUCCUUCAACAAGAAGAUUAUGAACAUAAACUACACACAAAAAAUUUAUUUUAAACUGACAUAAAUUUAUUCAGUUACAUUGAAACCCAAAAAAGGAAGCAGGAGCUGGAGAAAAACAACAGCAGAGAAACUUAUUUCCAGAAGGUUUACGAAAUAAGGAAUUUAUUAAGACACAAAAUUUGAGGUCAACAAUAAGAAUUUGGUUCUCAUUCUCUUUUUCUUCAUUUUUCACUUAUUGAUGGAGUUACCAUACAAUCCUAAAUGAUAAAACCCCAUCUCCAUCUUUUUGAAAUAGAGUUAAAGCAAAGCUUUUUAAGAUGUUUUUCCCUAAAAGACUCAAUAGUACAAUGUUUUUCAAUAUUAAAUACACAACUCAAUCUUCCCCUAAUUUACUCUAAUAAUCUCUUAACUAAGGAAGAUUAAGCUCCACUUGUAAGCUAAAACAAGUUUCUUAAAUCAAGCCCCAAUGCUCUAUGCUAUUCAACAAGGCCUCAUAAAUGAUAAAACUACCUCUACAAAGAUACCCAUUUUAAUUUCGCAAACUAAAAUCGAACUCCUGAAACGUAACGAGCAUUAAAACAAACAAGUCCGAACAAGAACUGAAAAAUGAUACGUAAACCCGUUUCGACAAACAGUUUCCAAUCAAUGAGCAAAAAAGUUAAUGGAAAACAUGAAAUUCAAACGAAACAUACCUUAGGUUGAUAAAUUAGUAGCGCAAAAGAAAUUUUAGCGAGAUAUGGGAUCAGGGAUUUUGCCACGGUGAUGUUAAUUGCGACAUUCGGGUGACUCAGCAGCCUUCGAGGCUGAAACUUUGAUUGACCAAAAGCUUCCCGUUCGUUGAUUCUCUAAUUGCAGAAACGAAACUGGCAGUGUACAGAAGACGUACGCUGAUUUGAUAAUUCUGUGAAAAUCAUUGUUUUUUUUCAGAUUUUUAAUGUGUUCGAUAAAAUAUCAAAAUCUCAAAAACUUUUGUCUUUCAUUUUGGGGGGGAAAAACCCAUUGAGAUCCUUAUGUUUUUUCUUAUAUAAUCUGGCUUAAUAAUUUGCAAAGUCUAUUACUUAGCACCCAUGCAUGCUGCGUUCCAAUUUACAAAAUUGUACGUGAGUGCAUCCAGCUAAAAUUUGUAAAAAGAAAAUAGCAAUAACAUGUUAAAAAUGUGAUUAUUAUGAAGAAAUUUUAAUUUAGUUAAAUAGGUGACGAUGGAUAGGUAUAAAAUCUGAGAUCUUUUAUAAGGUUAAUAAAUAUGUUGAGUUUGGAUUAGUUCAAUUUUGAAAUAAUAAUAUUCAAAAUAUCUCUUAAAUCAUUAUAAACCUCAAAUCUAUUUUAAUUUUAUUUAAAAGAUAAAAGAAAAAUAGGUUAUGUUGGUGAUUUUUUAUUAUCUUUUUAAUAAAAAUGAAAUAAAUUGAUGUUUAUAAUUAUUUAAAGUAUUUUAAAGACUGCCAUUUUAUGAGAGAAAAAUAUUUCACUUUUUUUUAGUGUGAAAGGCCGAAAAAGGACAAAGCAAGUUUCCCUAGUUUUUAUUUAUUUGAAAUUGGUCAUCUCAUAUACUUCACCCUUCAACACUAUAAUUUUUUUGGUUAUAAUUUUAUUAUUUUUUCUCUUUUACACAUGCAUGUGAAUUACUUUUCUUUAAGCUCCUGAAUAUUUAAGAUAAAUCAUGGAAGAGAUGAGAGUAUAACAAGAUGACCAAAAUAUGUAACAAAAAAAUUUUAUAAGUGAAAAAUAUGUUAGAGACUUACAGUGGAAGUAAAACUCUGAGGUGAUGUUUGAUUUGAAGAAAAUGGAGGAAAUGAAAAGACUGGAAUGUAGAGGAAAAGAGAGAAAAGGAGAGGAGAGGAGAGUGAAAUUUUUUUCUAAUGUUUGGUUUGUCACAUAAUUAUACAAAGAAAGGAAAUCUCUAAUUUUUUAUUUAGACAAUUUUAACCUUAAUAAGUAUUAAGUUUUCAAUAUUUAUCAUGUGUAUAAUUAAAAAAAAAAGAAGUAAAUGGUAGAAAGCGGUUUCUGAUUCCGGCCACAUCGCCCGCAAUGGAAGGUACUUAUCAGAACAUCAAGAGCCAGCCAUCAUUCCCUAGCCAUCACUGCUGUCGGAACACUGCCGGAAAGCUGCCGAUUGAACCGCGAAAAGUCGUGGAAAUCGCUGCCUCAAAUCGGUGAGUUUCGCCCUUUUCUGGUCACGCCGUCGCCAUGGCUUUGUCCAUCAAGCCUGCCACUUCCAUUUUCAACCAUCCAUAGCCACUAUUAAUUGCCAAAUCACCGCCGAUCAGCGGGAUCUGUGGAAGUUAAAAAGUUUCUAAAUUUUUUUAACUGGAUUUGAACAACAUACGACCAUUUUUUUAUCUCGAUAACGACGUAGUAAUGUUGAUCGUUGGUCGGCAAGUCGUAUGGUAGUGGCAGUGAGUAACACGCGCCAAUCACAUCGGCGGCGGCGGCGGCACUAUCCGGCGACUGUUAAAAUAAUAUUUUAUAUUUUCAGAUUAAAUAAAUUUAUUUUAUUAAAAUUUUUAAAUCAUUAUUUAAAUUUAAUUAAUUUAAAAUUAUCUAUAAUGUUGAAUUGAUAAAAUAAAUUUAUAAAUAAUAAUUAUGUGAUUACAUUAAAUAAGUUAAAAAGUUGAAGGGUUAGUUUUGGAAGAUUUAGUUUCCAACACAAAGGGAAUUUGAAUUCUUCACUUCUUAGUGUGGAAUUCAAAUUCUAUAUUGUAAUAGAUAUUAAAUUUCAAUAAAAAUUAAAUUCUUAUAAGUUAUGUCAAACCAAACAACGAAAAUAAAAAAGAAAUUUAAAUUAUUUUUCUUUCCUCCACCCUCUCCUUCCAACUAAAUACAUCCUGAAAAUAGAGAUAUUGAUUAAUUUAGAAGAGAUUCAAGCAAAAAAUAUUCCAAAAAAAAAAGCAAUAUGUCCCUUUGGAGGGCAAACUUGUCAGUUUCAAAAAAGUACAUGCUUUGUAUUGAUAGUUGUAGGAUAUUUGUUUUGUCACUAUGUAUUAGUUGGAGAAGUCCAGCCUUGUGGAGAAUGUUAUGAAAGAGCAAAGGAUAUUCCUGAUAGCUGAUAGAGCUCUAUCUGAUUAUGUAUCCAGUGAAUGGAUGUGUUGUUGGAAGAUAUCUGAGUGCAUUAGUUCAUAUGUGUCUGUCAAUGUGCUUUUAAUGAUUUUUCCACCUGUUUGUUGUAAAAGAUUAUUGUAAAUUGAAAUGAACUUGAUGUUUUAAUAUUUUCUUCCGUAAAUUGAAAUGAACUUGAAUUAAAUCUCGUUGAAUUUAAUAUUAUCUCCUUAGUGGAAUUUCACCUAGUAUGUAUUCAGUUGUGUUGUCUAUAAUUUUGCAUUCGAGUAAGUUUCACCUAAAACAUUAGCAUGAGUAGUGGCCCUUGAACCUUUGGUCAAAAUUAUUGUUAUUAUUUCUGACUAGAUGUAAAUUUUGUAUUAAAUCUCGUUAACACAAUUCUUAAUUAAAAGUAUAGGUUAGUGUUGGUGCAAGAUUUGCCACACCAAAUUCUGCCUAGCUGUCAAAAGUGCAAAAUAAAUGAAGAGAAAGCACAAAUACACGACUUGAAUAAGGAUACAACGAAACUUAAAUUCAAGAGAAAAUGAUAGCUAUAUCCCAAGAUUUGAAAAAGUAGUCAUGUAGGUUUUUAAGAUUUCAAUAAGCGACUGAGAUUCAAAUAAUAUCCUUUAAUUCUAUUAAUAAAAAACAAAGACUCAAAUAUUUUAUGAUAAAUAAAAAUAUAAUAUUAAAAUAUAUGUGAUAAUAUACACAUUUUAAAUACUUUCAAUCCAAAAAAAUAGUUAUGUUUUACAAUCUAUUAGACAUAUUUUAUUAAAUUAAUAUAAAUUUUCUAUAAAAUAAGAAUAUAAUAUUAAAACAAAUUCACAGAAAUUUAAAGAAUUUUGAAUGUAAAAUAAUUUUAAUAUAUUAAUACGUGAGUUUUUUUAUUAAUAUAAAAAUUAUUUAACUUUAAGAUUUUUUAAAAUCUUUACAAUAAGUAUAACUAUAUUAUUUACAUUUAAAAAUAUUUAAAUAUUAUUAACCUACAAUUAUAUUUGCAUUUGUUAGAAAUUUUUAAAGUCAAAUAUUUUGCACUUCUAUAUUAUUAGAAUUAUUGCACACAAAGAAAGAAACAUAUACGUUUAGAAAUUGUUUUCUUUUAAAAUAGAGAUGAUGAUUAGUAUAAGGAUCAAAAAAAGGAUAAAGAAUAUUAAUGAUUAACGAAAACUCUAUACAAAUUGAUUUUAGUAGGAAAAGAGUGAGAUGAAUGAUUUCUUUUACAGUUAGAAAAAUAGAUGAUGAUUAUUAUAACGAAGAAGAAAAGAUAAAGAAUAUUAAUUAUUAAUGGAAUCUCUAUGCAAAUUGAUUUCAGUAGGAAAAAAAAUGAGUUAAAUGAUUUAGAGUGCGUUUGGAAUUGAGAUUGGACAGCCAUAGAUUUUAAGUUACAACACUGAAGUGUUUGGUAAAUACUAGCUGCUGCAGAUUGAAAGUUAUGUUGAUAUGAUUUUUCACAUGUAUCAUAGAAAAUAUAUUACAUCUUUAAUAAUUUUUUUAAAAUUUGUAUUUGCUAUAUAUUGUUUUUUUUAUAUAGUUAUAACUUUUUUUUUUUCCACAGCAGCUGUAGCUUAAAAGCUACAGCACCUCAAUCUCAAACAAGUCCUUAGACAUUCAUAGUGUGUUUAUUUUUUGGAUUGGUGAAUCAAAAUUAUUGACAACGCUAACUUCAUCUUCACCGUUCGCAAUCCAACAGCAGCAAUUGUCGCCAAUAAUGAUAUCGCCGAUGAUGAUGACAAUAAUAAUAAUAAUAAUAAUAAUAAUAAUAAUAAUAAUAAUAAUAAUAAUUAUUAUUAUUAUUAUUAAUAAUUAAUAUAUUAAUAUAUUAAUGUUAAUAUUAUUAUUAUUAAGAUUAACAAUAAUUAUUAGUAAUACAAUUUUUUGAAUAAAAAUAAUCACAAUAAUUAAAAUACAAAUUAACAAUUAUGACAAUAGUUAAUUAAUGUCUUUUUAGUAAUUUGUAAUAAUCUAACUCAUUUUAAUUCUGAUUAUUACAGUUUAAGUAAAUAAAUUAUUAUGAUUCCUAUUCUCCUUUUCUAUUUUAACUCACUUCGAUUCCAGUCUAUUCUGAUUUUUGUUUAAUAAACGCACCAUUAGUGCUAAAGUAAUAUUUCAUACAUAGAAAAGUAAAAACUACACCUAAGGUUAAGGGAAAGGACUUCAAAACUCUCUUUUGAUCAUAAUACAUUUUGUACUAAUUAACUUAAAGAUUUUGAAUCUAAUAUUUUAUAAUAAAUAAAAAUAUAUUCCUAAAAUAAAUAUAAUAUCAAUAUUUAAAAUAUGUUUUAAUAUUUUACACAUUUUAUUAUAUUAAAGUAGAUUUUAUAAUAAAUACAAACGUCCUAUUAAAAUGAAUAUAUAAAAAAUUUAGAAAAUUUAGAAUAUUAUAUAAAAUAAUUUUAAUAUAAUGCGUGAGAUAUAUUUUAUUAAUUUAAAAUGUUAUUUUACCUAAAAAAUAUGAUAAAUUAAUAAUUACAUAUUUGAAGUUAUUUCAAAUAUUAAAAAAAUUUAAUAUUAUUAGUCUUUUAGAUAGAUUAAAUUAUUUUUUUUAUAAGAGAUAGAUUAAAUUAUUUUAAAAUGCCUUAAUUAUUUUUACUUUUAACGUUACCGGCCUUUCUUUUAUUUUAUUGCAAAUUAAUGCUAACAAGAAAAAGCUAGAUCAUAUUCCACAAAAGCAAAAGUGACAAACACAACCAGCUGGAAUCUUUUAUAAAACUACAAAUUAAAAUGGAUUUUUUUUUUGAUAAAUUACACAUGAAAGUGGAUUCUUUUGAAUAUAAGUGGAGUAGGCUCUUUUAUUUUAUUUUUGAAUAUUGUAUAACGGGACUGUAGACUCUUUUAUUAAACUACAAAUUGUAUAGUCUUUUUAAAAUUGUUAUAAAUUAAUGGCCCCCACAAUCCUCAACAAUUGUACCGAUAUUCACAAGUUGGUGGCCCCUACAAUUCUGUUCCGAUAAUUUAACUGUGCAAGUGCUCAUUCACAAUCUUCCAGGUCAUGCUCUCAAUAAUUGUUUUUUUUUCCUGCAUUCCCUUUGGGAAAUUUACGAAAAUAAUCAUUAAUAUUUUAUUAUUUUUACAAUUAACCGUCUUAAUUUUUUUCUAUCAACAUUAGCCAAAUACAAGUCUUUCUUCCCAAAUUACCCUUCUUUACAGAACAAAACCAACAUUGUUUCUCCCAUAUCGCCAAACCAAAAGCAGCUUUUUAUUCUUAAAUCAUCAGCCAACGGCGACCGCAAAAGACAACGGUAAAAGUGAUAUCCGAUCAUAAUCUAUCCGGAUCCAACACAAAUCUACAUCACUCAGUGGUAUGAAUUAUUUUUUGAACUUACUGAACUCAGUCGGGUGAAUCUGAGUCUGGCGACAGGCUGCCUGUCGCAGUAAAACUUGGUGCGACAGGCAACCUGUCGUACCAAACCUUGGUGCGACGGGCACCCUUGGAGAUUUAUUAAAAAUGUAUUAUUUUAAUAGGACUCAAAUAAUUUUUUUUUAUAAUUUCAGGCUUAAUGGAUUCAGUUGUACUUGAAUUGUGUUACGAUGGUUGGUGGGAGACAUUAGAGAAUGGCUGUAUGGAGUACGUGAAUGGUAAAAAUCGAGCUUUUUUGGUUGGAAAAAAUUACUUGUUUGAUCAGUUAUUGGCAAGAGUAUACGAGGUAUUAAAAAUAAACCCUAAUGACUAUAGUAUCACAAUGAAGACAACUUUGAGGUCUAGUAACACAUUAUAUCGUAUAUGUGCAAUGCCCAUGGAUAUAUGUGAUGAUGAAAUGGUGAGGGUUGUGUUGCAUAUGGCAUCUGACGUAGCUAAUUUUGGAUGCAUUCCUAUAUUCGUGACCACAUCACCUCGACUUCCGAGCGAAGGUAUUGAGCCACAUGUCGAUAUAGAAACUUCGUUUAGAGCAAAUAUGUCUGGCCCCGAUAAUGAUGAAGAGGUGUUGCCAAGGACAAUAUCGCUGCAGCAAUAUUACUCUCCAAUCCACGACAAUUAUGAUAACAUUGAUGAUAAUAGCGUUACGUUACAGGAUGUUGGAGCAACGGUAUUUCCAAUAACAACGUCGUUGGAGCAACGAUAUUCUCCGUAUCACAACAAUGAUUUUCGGGACAAUGAUGAUUUUCAUAAUGAGACAGAGGAGGAUAAUGUUUGUGCAGAACCUUCUAAUAAUACGAGGCGGGGCACUCGUUUCAAUAAUGAUGGUGAUGAUGGAGGAGUCGGUCAUUCGAAUGUUCCGUCGUUUCAGCAUGAGGAUGAGUGUGAAGACAAUACUCCUGUGAAUAACAGAGGCAAUAGACCUAUUCCUUCUAUGGUUCGAUCGAGAAGGAGAAUUGACCCCCUUACAAGUCUUGCUCCAACUUUACCUUCGAACAUGGUUGCUCCAAGCUUUGUUAGCAGUUGUGACUCAGAUGAUAUCAGCGUGGGUAAGCUAUUUGUUGAGAAGAAUGAGCUUAUAUUACAACUACGCAAGGUGGCCUUUAGAGAUAAGUUUGAUUUCAAGAUUGCACGGUCUACUACGACACGUUUCGAGGCUCACUGUUGUUCAGAAUCAUGUAAAUGGCAUAUUCGAGCAACUAGAAGUUCGAACGAGCAAAAUGUUCCUUGGGUGGUGAAGAGAAUUGAUAAUGUACACACUUGUCAUAAUGAGGUAUUGAUUGAUGGACGUCAUCAAGUAAGGAGCCGGGUUGUCGGUCAUAUUAUCGCAGAAAAAUAUAUUCAAGAUAAGAGGAUUUAUACUCCCAAUGACAUAAGAGCAGAUAUGCAACAGGAAUACGGUGUUCAGUUAACAUACCAGCAGGCAUAUAGGGCGAGAGAAGUUGGUCUUGAAAUAGUUCACGGCAACCCUGCAGAGUCAUACAACUUGCUCCCUAAAUACUCUCACGUACUAACUACAACGAAUGAGGGUACAGUCACUCACCUCGAGCAGGAUGGAGAUGGUAAUUUCUUGUACUAUUUUGUAGCACUCGGAUAUUCCAUCAAGGGGUUUAUGCAGUACAUUCGGCCUGUCAUUGCUGUAGAUGGUACUCAUCUAAAGAGAUUAUAUCGUGGAAGCAUGUUCGUGGCAACAUGUCUUGAUGGUAACAAUCAAUUGUAUCCGUUAGCCAUUGGGAUCAUGGAUUCAGAAAAUAAUGAUGCUUGGGAAUGGUUUAUGAUGAAGUUACACGGAGUGAUUGGUGAUAGACCUGAGUUGGUAAUUAUCUCUGAUCGAUGCACUGCCAUAAGGAGAGCCGUUCUUAAAGUAUUUCACAAUGCAACUCAUGGCGUUUGUUUUUACCACGUCAAAGGUAACAUUAAGUCACAAUUUAGAAUGUCCAAAGCUCUUUGGGAUGAAUUUGAGCAUGCCUUUAUUAAUGCAGCAAAAGCAUAUGGCCACGAGGAAUUUAAGAGACAACUUGAAGGGUUGUGGAUGAUCCACUCGGGUGCGGCUGAUUACUUAGAAAAUAAUGUCGGCACGUGUAAUUGGGCAAGGUCUCAGUUUCAAGGUAGGAGGUACAACAUUCUUACCACCAACAUCGCGGAGAGUGUUAAUGCUUUCAUGAGGGAACCUCGAAAAUUUCCUGUUACUCAUCUUGUUGAUCACUUCAGGAAAACAUUGCAGCAAUUGUUUUAUGAUAGAAAAAUUGUGGCUGAAUCAAUGACUACUCGGCUAACAACAUGGGCGGAUGAAAUAGUCACUGAGAGGAGAACUAUAGCUGAAAGAAUGAUAGUUCGGCCGGUGUCUCCGCAUCGCUUUCAAGUUAUAGGCGGUGGGCUUAAGGAAGGGUUGGUUGACUUGCAAAAGAGAACUUGCUCCUGCAGAGUGUUUCAGCUUGAUCAGCAUGUGUGUGCUCAUGCAAUUGCGGCGUGUCUAACACACCGGGUGGAUUUUAUUAACCUUUGCUCGGACUUUUACACUACAGAAUCGUUGGCGAUGGCUUAUGCACAACCAGUGGAGCCAGUUGGUGAUGUGGCUGAUUGGGAAGUUCCAGAUGAAAUUCAGGAGAUGCAGGUAUACCCACCAGUUGAGGCACCACUACCUGGCCGUCGUAAAGAGCUCAGAAUACCCUCGACUGGCGAGGACGUUGACCGGCGGACUGUAAGAUGCGGCCGGUGUCAUGAACUAGGCCAUAAUCGUAAGCGAUGUAAGAAUCCUAUUGCGUCGACUCGAAGUUAGUUGUAUUUUGUGUGUUAUUCGUUGGUUAAAACUAUUAUUGUUUUUGUGUUACAUUGGUUAAAACUGUUAUUGUUUUUUGUAUUUCGUUGGUUAAAACUGUUAUUGUUUUUUGUGUAUUGUACACUUAUAUUCAUAAAACUUUAUUUUAUUUUAAAGUUCAAAAUGUGAGGCAUUAAAAUUAUAUAAACUUAAGUGCGGAAAUUAAAAAAAAUGCAAAUUUCAACAUUGAAAUUACUACAUAGGUCUACAAUAUAAUAUCGUCAUUAAAUAUAUCAACCGCAAUCUUCUUUCUAAAGUACUCGACAUGACUAGCGUUAAACUCCAAUCUAAGCCCGAACAUUAAAUACAUCGUAACCAUCAAUACAAAAACACUGCAAUCGCUAGUUCCGGGCUCUUGUUGUGGUGCGCUCUUAACUGCGAUAACUUUCCACGGGUCUUCACUCCGCAACUCAGGUCGGAUAUUGUAGAAGCCAACAUAUUCCAACCAUCGAGGGAAUAUAACUUCAAGUGGCUUGAAUUUCAACUUGUACUUUUUGUCGUCGCGAAAUGUGAGUAAUGAGUCAUAAAUCCAGACUUUAUUUUUCCGAAAGUCAACUCGUGCUAGUACCCAAUGCGCGCCGUCCAAGUUAACAGGGAUGAGUAACUGCAUAUAAAAAUUAAAAAAACAUGUUCGUUAUAUAUGAAAUUGAAAUACAACAAAGAAAAAGCAACAACUCGAAUAUUUUCAUUAUAGAGCAUGUGAAAUGUAAUAAAAUACACACCAUAUCGACAUCCGUCAUUAAUUUUGACAUUGUGUGCUGUCGCCCACAAAGAUAACUAUUCAAGCGGUCGUCGAAUACCAUUGAAUCAACUGCACAAUUCCUGUUAUUCCAUAACUGAUUCAAGAACACCUAGUACAUAGAUAACCAAGAAAUGCAUAAAUUAAUAAAACUUAAAGGCAAUAAUUAAACAAAUUAAAUAGUAUUUAUAAGUUUUGUCGGCACGUUACCCAAAAAAAUGUGUCAGUAUGUGUGACACGUUGGAGUAAGGCAUUUGGAUACUGCCGUUGUUUCUCGCUAAUCAAGCGGAGAUACUCGUGAAUAUGCUGUAGAGAAACAAAAAUAUUACGAUUUAAAAAAAAAUUAUACACAAAUCCACAACAGUAUACACCACGAGGAAAAUAUAAAUACCUCAUCGCCUAGCCAUCCCAUCGAAGCUGUCCCCAAAAUUAUUUGAAAGAAUGACCGCAGGUGCUGGACUCUCCGGCGGACUCUGCUAUCACCAGUGAACCAUCGAUCAAACUCAGCAAACAAACUAGAGUCCUCCAAUCCUCUCAGUGGAUUUACAUCCACACUCGUACUCAUGUCAAUCGCAUGCUCCAUCAUUUGGGGUCGAGGUAACCUCCGGACGUUCUGUCCACGCCUGACCGGAGGAAUCAUGUAAGGACUGUUAUAAACAUACGACGGUAUGUACGCGCGGCCGAACUUACUAACGCCCGGAGGCACCUCUGUGAACACCUGCAUGCUCUCCCCACUAACAUCCCCGUAUAAACUAUAAAAUGACGUGGGCGUAGACAAAUUUUCAUUGCCCACGUCAGUAUACACUCCAUAGUCAUCCGGGGCCUGUACAUUCGCCAAAAAGAACAUAUUAAAUAAUUAUCAAAUUAAAAGUUAAACGAACAUAAUUAUUUAAUUUAAAUUAGCUUACCGCAUACGAGCGUGCAGUGGGAGAAUCCUUAUUUGGAUGUUUAGAAAAUGUGUCGAUGAAGCCAACAACGGUUUCUUUAAAAUCUUUUAAUUCUGACUUUAUUUCAUACACAUUACGAUCAAUCUUAUCCAGCCGUCGUCGUACGUAAUCAUUAAACUGCUUUGUCCUCGACUAUUACAAAAGAAAAAAAUAAAACUUUAGAAUAACAAUAAAAAAAUAAUAAUUUAUAAAGGAAAAAUAUCGUAUAUUAUUUAUAACCUCAGAAUCCCGUGCGUCAUCAGAGUUGUCUGUUUGCUGCUGGUGGUCAUCAACAGCCACCUCAUCCUCAAAAGUGUCAAGACGCUGCUCUGGUAUUGGGUUUAGUAUGUCGUCAUGAUCAUCAUGCUCGUCCGAUUGUCUUGUAACCGACGGCAUCGCGUUGAUUGAGGGUUGGUGCUGUAUAAAGUAUCAUUUAAAAUUACUAAAUGAAAAGUCAAAAAUUUCGAUAAAAAAAUUUUUAGUACUUACAGUAUACCGACCUUAUGAAUCCAAUCUGGAAUGCUUGGCAAGUAAUCCUUCACAGAGAGUCAAUAUUUUCUGCUACUCUCUUUUGAAUUUGGCUCAAGAGUUUGUAAAAUGUCCGUCUGCCAUAAAUUCAAUUGAAAAAUUUAAGUAAGUAUACCCAACUUAAAUUUAGUAAAGUUAAAAAAUAAGUAAUACAUAUUACUUACAAGACGAGAUUCGUCGUUGAAGAACGAAUAAACCUCCGCAAAGUUGAUUCUCGAAGACGUCAUGGGCUUCCAUUGCAGAAUGCGGGGAAUCUUACUCUUCGUUUUGACGACCCAUGUUGAUGGCAACCCUCCGAUUGCUUCGUAAAUCCAAGCCUACAACAAACCAAAGUGAAAAAUCAAAUAAAACAACUAUCAAAUAUUUAAUACUAUAAAACUUAUUAAUAAACAAAAAAAAGCACCUGCACCCCAGACGUAAAGCCGUAAAGAUUAUAUUUUUCAAUAUUAUGAUCUGAAUUUUUCAACCGAGUCUUCUUAAAUUUCUCGUCUUUCUCGAACAGUGCAUUGUCAAGACUCUCGUAAAUCAUUUCCCACGACAAUAGACCCCAUGGCGCUUUCGGAAGUACUGUAUAUCAUCAACUUGGUCAAGCCAAUCGAAAUUAAUUUGACAGUGAUUUUUUCUUGCAUUUAGUACUCUGUCCGCAAAAUAAAACAGCGCAAUCUUUAAUGCGUCCAUAUCGUCCAUUUCCUCGAAAUUCAACUCCUUAAAUACUGCAUCAAAUUGCUUCACAUUAAUCUUACGAUGCACACCACCAAAAUACGUAUUCCGUAGCCUCUGCUCCAUUUCAUCAUUUUUUUCAUUGGUAUCAACACCAAAUGAAAGUCCAGUAACCAAGCACCAUUCGAUAAUUGACAAGCGAAUCAAAUGCUUACCAAUUUGAAACCAUAACUGAUCCUCACAGCUAUCUUCUUCAUGGGCCACUUGCCGCAGUAAACGAUUGUGCAAAAUUACCCCACUAAAUGGAAAACUUCGGCACUCCAAGAAAUGCCCAAAUAUAUCCUUUUUGAACAUACUCAACUGCCGCUUUGUUAAUUUUUCCUCGAUGGCUUUUACGACCGAAGAUAACAUACACAUGCUCGAAAUUCGACCAGGAAAGUGAUCAGCAUAACGAAAAUACAUCUUGCCUACUUCAAUAUCCGGUGAUUCUGAUUUCGCCAUGUAUCUGUAAUAUUUAUAAAAUUAUUACAUUACAUUUACAAAAUUAUUACCAAACUCUAAUUUUUUGGUGCGACAGGCGCCUGUCGCUCCAAAAAACUGCCUGUCGCACCACAGCUGGUGCUCCAAAAUCGAAAACAAUACUCCCAAACACUACCAACUACCACAAACAUCAUCACCACCACUAUUAAUCUCAAGCUAUAACUAUUAUUAUUCUAAAAUCUCAUUUUAAAUUAAUGAAAAUAAGAAAAAUGACUAACCUAGGUUUUGUUGAAGGUUGUAGAUCGUAGAUCGGAUGCCGGUGAGAGAUGGAGCCGCCGCCGACGAGGGUUGAUGUCGCCGCCGAUGAUGGGAGUUGGAUCGGUUUGGGAGAGAUGAGUGAAAAAGGGAGUGUUGGGGAAGAGAUGAGGGAUGGGUAUUUUGGUCUCAAAUGUUGUUUUAUGGCUAAUGUUGAUAGAAAUAUUUUUGGGGGGUUAAGAUGAAAAAAAACAAAUUUGUUUUGGUUAUUACUGUAAAUUUCCCAUUCCCUUUCAUGCUCUUAAUAAUUGAAGAGCAUACUUUUCAUUUUCAAAUGUGGAGCCGCAUCUAAUGUCGCUAAUUUAAUUUGGGAUUAAAUUAGGGGACCAUUAUAUUGCAGUGUGUACUAAUUUUUGUGUUUAUCUAAACUCCUUAAGUUUAAGACAUAUUAUGGCAUAAAUAAGAAUAUAACAAUAACAAAAGAGAUGCCGGAGCAGAUCAGCAGGGUUUGAAUAUGACCUUUGGCGGUUGCUUUUUUUUUGUGAUUUUUUUCAUUUUUUCCUUCCUGUCAUUUUAUCAUUUAUUUGGCUCUGUUUCUAUUGCGGGUGUUACUGCAUGCUUACUGUUGCUUGACAAAGUUUGCUAGCUUUUUGUUUGCAGUGCUGCUAUUCACCCCGAGUCAAGCUCCGAAAAUUUAUUAAACAACGCCGUUUCGAUAGUAACAAUUUUUUUCUUUUCCCUUUGUCUGUCUCUUUCAUCUGCUGUUUCUCUAUCACUUUUCAUUUUUUAUUUCCUUACUUCCCAGCUGCCCCUAAAUUGUUAUUCUAGCAAUAUACUUUCUCAUCUUUGAAUUUUCAUCCUUGAGUACUCCCACAGCCGUAAUUUCAUCAUUAUAGACUUCACUUGGAAUGCUGUAUUUUUUCGAUUCUUAAGCUACUUCAAUUACAUCUCCCAGUAUAGGAUCCUCAUCUUCCUUUAUUUCUUCAUCUUAUGAGGUAACAAAUGGAUUUCACAACUCAUCUACUUUUAAGCAAUUACAUAUUAUACCUUGAAUGAUUCAACUGUUCCGACAGUUAAAGAUUUUAUGCUCAACCUGCAGUGCUACGAACAUUGUCCAUGAAAGAUGAGUUUCAGCAUAUAAAAUGAAAUAUAGAUGUUUAAUCUAAAAUAACCCUUCACUGCCAAGAAACCUAGGUCACAAAAUUCACAGAUAAUGAUAAAGAGCUAAAAAAUUUGAAAAACUCUACAGAUCACACAUCAAGCAAGAUAUCAUGUUUUUUUCCCUCAUUCGGUGGUGAUUGAUUCGCUUUUUGAUGAUGGAUAUGGUAUAAAAGUUUUGACCCAAUUUCAAGCAAACACAAAUAGAAACACAAAUAGAAACACAAACACAAUCAGGACUAGAGUUGUGGGCGAUUAUCUUAGGUGUACAAGUGAAACGGUGGUGGCUGUCGAUGGUGGUAGUGGGGUGGUUGGGUAUGCGUGAUGGCUAGAUUUUAGGACAAUAAUGGUUGGAGUUGACCUCGAUCAACGAAGGAAAGUGACAACAAUUUUGACAUCAAACGGUGCAUUUUUUAGCUUAGUAAAAUGGAGCCGUUUCGAAUUUGGGGUUUAAUCCGGGGUUUGACUCGGCGCAAGUAUCAUUUUCCUUUUGUUUAUUAAAUUUUUUAUGGUCACAAAGUAUUACUCGUUCUAUUUGAGAGUGAUGUGAAUCAAUUUUUCAAUUUUAUAUUUUGUGGUCAAUGUGAAUUUAAUUUCAUUUGUCUCCUGCAAUUAUGAAAAAAUUGCAGUCAUAAUAUGGAAAAGUACACCGGCAAAAACUUUGUAAAAGCUUCGGAGUGAUACGGGGAAUUUACUUACUACUGAGGACAAUUGGUGGCAAAGCUAUUCCAUUCAUUUUAUGUCCAUCCAUCUAUUUAGCUAUUGAAGAUUAGUGGUCCAUUUGUAAAUUUCAGAUUGUCUCUCUCUCUCUCUCCCACUUGAAAUAACAAUAUUUAAUAUAUCUCUUAAAUUAUUAUAAAUUUUAAUUUACUCUCGAUUUAAAAUGGAGCAUGUCGAUAAAAAAUUUUUCUUCUUAAUAAAAUUGACGUAAGUUGUGUGUUACAGUAGUUUGAAGUUUGAAAUAUUUUAAAGAUUAUUAUUCUAUAAGGGAGUAAUAUGAAAUGAUAUUUACUUUUCAUGUGUGAAAUGAAAAAGGACGAAGCAAGUGUCCCUGCUUUUAUUUUAUUUCAAGGAGGAGUCAUCUCACAUACUUUAGCUCUUAACAUUACAUUUUUUCUGGUUACAUUUUUUAUUUAUUUAUUUUUUUUUUUUUACACAUGCGUGUGGGUUGCUUUUCUGUAAGCUCCUUAAUAUAUAUUUAAGACAAAUCAUGGAAGAGAUGGGAUUAUAUCAAGAUGAUCAAAGCAUGUAAAAAAAGAAAAAAGAAAAAAAAAAAUUAAGAAGUAAGACACUGAAAAUGGAGAAGAGAUGGAAGCAAAAGAUAUUCCAAAACAAAGCAAUCUAUCCCCUUUCGAGGGCAGACUUAUCAGGUUUAAAAAAGUACAUGCUUUGGAUUGGUAGUUGCAAUCAAGGGAAAAUAAAUAGGAUCCAAUGAAAUUUAAAUCUCGGAGAAAAUAAAUAAUCAUGCAGAUUUUCAAGAUUUUAAUAAGGGAUACUAAUAUCUUAUUUUGAUUAAUAACAUUCUUUUAUUGUGUUAACUCAAAAAAAAUAUUAUAAUGCUUUACAAUAAAUACAAAUGUCCUAUUAAAUGAAUAUAUAAAAAAUUUAGAAAAUUUAGAAUAUUAUAUAAAAUAAUUUUAAUAUAAUGCGUGAGAUAUAUUUUAUUAAUUUAAAAUGUCAUUUUACCUAAAAAAUAUGAUAAAUUAAUAAUUACAUAUUUGAAGUUAUUUCAAAUAUUACUUAAUUGUUUUUACUUUAAACAUUACCGGCCUUUCUUUUAUUUUAUUGCAAAUUAAUGCUAACAAGAAAAAGCUAGAUCAUAUUCCACAAAAGCAAAAGUGACAAACACAACCAGCUGGAAUCUUUUAUAAAACUACAAAUUAAAAUGGAGUUUUUUUAAAAAAAUUGUUAUAAAUUGGUGGCCCCUACAAUCCUCAAUAAUUGCACCGAUAUUCACAAGUUGGUGGCCCCUACAAUUCUGUUCCGAUAAUAAUUGUUUUUAUUUUUCUGCAUUCCCUUUCAUGCUCUUAAUAAUUGAAGAGCAUACUUUUCAAAUGUGGAGCCACAGCUAAUGUCGCUAAUUUAAUUUGGGAUUAAAUUAGGGGACCAUUAUAUUACAGUGUGCACUAAUUUUUGUGUUUAUCUAAACUCCUUAAAUUUAAGAUAUAUUAUGGCAUAAAUAAGAAUAUAACAAUAACAAAAGAGUAAAAAAGUGUAGAGAAGAUCUUGCAGAAAUAUAAAUAAUAUCUAUUUUAAAAUAAUUUUUAAUAUUUUAUGAUCCAUUAGAUAUAUUUAUUAUAUUAAAGUAAAUUUUAUAAUAAAUAAAAACAUACUAUUAAAAUGAAUAUAUAGAAAAUUUAGAGUAUUUUAAAUAUUAUAUAAAAAAUUUUUAAUAAAAUAUGUGAGAUAUUCAUAUUUUAUUAAUUUAAAAUACCAUUUAACCUAAAGAUUUAUUUAUGAUAAAUUAAUAAUUAUAUUUUUGAAAUUACUUCAAAUAUUAAAAAAUUAAUAUUACUAAUCUGUUAGAUAGAUUAAAUUAUAUAUAUUAUUUUCUAUUUAUUAAAAAAUUAAAAUUAUUUUUAAUUACUAUUCAAAAAAUAUAAUGAAAAAACAUAAUGAUAAAAAAAUCUUAACAUCUUUAUUAAAAAAUUAAAAACUUAUAUGAUAAAUUCUCUAAAUAUUUACGGUAUAUGUGAACCACGGUGGAUAAGCUUUAUUUAAUAUUAUUGAUUUAAAUAAUAUGUCAAUUAAAAAUGUACAGAGAAGAAAUUUCGGUGGGUAUUUUAGUCUUUUAAGCAAUUAUCAUGAUCAGAUCAGCCUUUAGCCUUCAAACGUCGGUCAGAAAAGUUUUAAAAUUAAUGCUAAAUUGUUUUUCACUUUUAACGUUGGUGGCCUUGAAAUUGCUUGUAUUUUAUUAAAAAUUAAUGCUAACAAGAAAAAGCUAGGUCAUAUUCCACAAAAUCAAAAGUGACAAAACAACCAGCUGGUUUCUUUUACUAAACUACAAAUUAAAAUAAAUUUUUUCGAUAAAUUACAAAUUAAAGUGGAUUCUUUUGAAUACAAAUGGGACAGACGAUUAGGCUCUUUUUAUUAGAGGCAAGUAAAAACUAGUCAAGAAUCGAACAGUCUUUUUCCAAUUCUUGUUUUAUUAUUUUUCAAAACUAGUUUUUGGUAAUUACAACCGGGUCAUUAAUCAUUAUUCAGAGUUACUGUUAUCUUCGGGGGCAGUGGGUAAAAGAUAAUUACUAACUGUUUUUCCUUCAAAAGUUAGCGGCUCAUGUUUGCAAGUGUGAAUGUGCGAUGCUCUUUUCUUAAAGGCCAUUACAGUGGGGCCCGAAUCAGACGUGCCUAAAUCUUUUUAAAAUUUUUGCCGUAUAACGAACAGAGGUCAUUACUAAAAUUUCUCUUCCACAGCCUACAGCAGCUUCAGUUUAUCAAACUCCAUCAAUUUUCUUUCUUAACAAAAUUCCAAAGAUGUGUAGCAUUUUUCAGAUCACAUGCGAUGGUGCUCUUUUCAAUCGUUGCUUGGAUUGCUUUCUUGGAAAAGCAGCAUACAUACGUAACCUCCAAGAUAAUCUUGUAGCCUUGGAGACUGAACUGGGAAGACUAAUCGCAGCAAAGAACGAUGUGAUGAUGAGGGUUGUCAAUGCUGAACGGCAACAAAUGAGAAGGCUGGACGGAGUGCAAGUGUGGGUUUCGAGGGUGGAUUCUGUUAAAACUGGAGCCGACGAACUUAUCACAGACGGCUCUGAAGAAAUUGGCAAAUUAUGUGUUGGAGGCUACUGUUCCAAGAACUGCAGGUCAAGCUACAAAUCGAAAACAAGUGGCUAGAAAGCUACGACAUGUGAAGACUUUAAUCGCCGAGGGAGUUUUUGAGGCGGUGGCCACUGAGGUGGUGCCCGAGAGAGCUCCGGAACCUGUAGCAGAUAAAAGACCCACUGAGCCAACAAUAGUAGGCUUGCAAUCACAGCUUGAACAAGUUUGGAGAUGUCUUGUAGAAGAAUCAGUGGGAAUCAUUGGCCUAUAUGGUAUGGGCGGUGUUGGUAAAACCACACUAUUGACCCAUAUCAACAAUAAAUUUCUUGAGAGUCCCACAAACUUUGAUUGUGUGAUUUGGGUCGUAGUUUCAAAAGAC
rnacentral:lncRNA from 1 species